UUCCAAUGCCACCAAUCUUGUAAACGUCCUGAAGGGGAAGACGCAGGGGCUUGUCUGAGGGCCUCUUGGGCUCGUUGAUCUGGUCAAGAGCCUCAAGAAGGGUAGGGCCCUUGUACCAGUCAAGGUUGGUGGACCUCUCAAUCAUGUUGUCACCCUCAAACCCAGAGAUGGGAACAAAGGGAACCUUGUCAGGGUUGUAGCCGACCUUCUUCAGGUACGAAGAGACUUCCUUGACAAUUUCCUCAUAACGGGCCUUUGAGUACUUGGGAGUGGUGGCGUCCAUCUGUAUAAGAUAACCAGAGCAAUCCCAUCAGUUAAACAAAAUUAUUGAAGCACUAGUAUAUAUAAACAAAUAUGAUAAAAAGCAAAAAAUUAUAGCACUCAUGUGAUGGAAGUUGCAGGAAUGAGAUAAUGAGCCAAACAAACAGUUUAUAACUUACAAAUUAAGAUACAAUUAGAACUAGUCAAGUUGUGAUAUUAAAUCACCCAGAUUUGGCAACAUGACAAAAAUUAAUCAAUUACAAUGCAAUUCAGCAGUACUUAAGCUGGGAAUUAACCAAGUAACUCUGAGCAUUCAGAUCAAGCAUGUAGAACAACACUACAUAUCUAAAUUAGAUAAAAGAAGGCAAUCAACAUAUGUAGUUAAUCAAUUACAAUGCAACUCAGCAGGACUAUUGAAGCUGGGCAUUUACUAGGUAACUCUGAGCAUUCACAUCAAGCAUGUAGAACAAUAUUACAGAUGUAAAUUAGAUAAAACAAGGCAAUCAACAUAUAUAUUAUAGAUUAACCAGUCAGUGUUGCACGAAAAUCAGAAUUAGACAAACAUCAAAUCAGUUUACAGAAUAUUUAGGCAAGAAAGAGCAUUGGAAGUUGAAUGGCAAGUAUACCUUGUUACAGCAGCAGAUCAUCUGCUUCACUCCAAGAGUGAAAGCAAGGAGGGCAUGCUCACGGGUCUGGCCAUCCUUGGAGAUACCAGCCUCAAAACCACCAGUGGUGGAGUCAAUGAUGAGCACAGCACAGUCAGCCUGGGAGGUACCAGUAAUCAUGUUCUUGAUGAAGUCACGGUGACCAGGAGCAUCAAUGACGGUGCAGUAGUACUUGGUGGUCUCGAACUUCCACAGGGCAAUAUCAAUGGUGAUACCCCUCUCACGCUCGGCCUUCAGCUUGUCAAGCACCCAGGCGUACUUGAAAGACCUCUUGUUCAUCUCGGCGGCUUCCUUCUCGAACCUCUCGAUCACACGCUUGUCAAUACCUCCAAGCUUGUAGAUCAGAUGGCCAGUGGUGGUCGACUUGCCAGAGUCGACAUGGCCAAUGACCACGAUGUUGAUGUGAGUCUUCUCUUUACCCAUGGCUGAAGCUAGCAAACAGAAACAUCAAAGUAAGCAUGUCUUAGAAACAACAGAUCCAAGUGAAGAAGUGUCAACAAAGUAAUAUCAUGUCUAUUUGUGAGGUUAACAUAUGAAACAACCAUGCAGACAAGUAUGCGUUUAACAAGAUGGAAUUGCACUUGAAGCAAUUAGACAGCAGGUACUUGUUAGAUCUACGAAUUACUGCGGUAAUAACGCGAACAAAAUUCACCAUACAAGUACAUGAUGAAGUUCAUGCUGUAAACUCUCAUAGAGAACUCACAGAUCCUACAGAACCAGAAGUACUACACGAAUCCAUCCAACAAUACAUGCAACAAAGCACGGACAUGAUUCAGGAACAUCUCGCGAGACCCAAUCGGUAACAGAAACACUAAAAAACCGACAGAUCAAGGCCACGGCAUGACAUCAAAAUUAAAGACGAAAAAAAAGACAUGCAUCCGCUCAUAGAUGAACCUGCGGCUAGAUCUACUCGCAGAUUUACCGCUACUAAGGAGAGGCACCCGCGCGAAGCCGAACCAAGGACUCGGCUUCGAGAAAAUCCGUCAAACCACGGACGAAAUCGACGCGCAUCACCGCAAAAAGAACCUAAAACUCGAUCUACCGGCACGCUACAGCUGCUACACGGAGACAUGGCCCGAGAUCUGAAGCUAUUCGAGACCACGGACAACGAAUCGAAGCAGAGAAGGGGGGCGGAUCGGGAUGCUCACCUCCGAGGAAGGAGAAGGAACCGAGAGGAGGCGGCGGCGGGGAUGGGGGGACUGAGAGGAGGGGCUCGGACGAGAGGAAUGGCCCUAUAUAUGGACAGCGAUGGGCGCUAGGGUUUCUUCUCGGCCGUCGGAUCCGGGUCCGAUGGAUGCCGACUUUAGGGAGGCGGCUGAGGGCGGUUUGCCUUUUCUUUUUCUCGCUGGUAAAUAACGUGUAAAAAAGAUGAAGAUACAUGCUGCUUUAAUUGGCUGAAGCUAUGGUCGCUUCCCCUUCCAAGCAAGGUUCGUCACUUCUUGUGGCGCAUGGCUACAAAUACCUUACCGCUGCGCAUGAAGCUCCAGCAUGGAGGUAUGCAUGUUGAUACUCGAUGUCCUAUGUGUUUUCGUUUGAAUGAGGAUGGUGGGCAUUGCUUCAUUAAGUGUAAGAGGGUUAAGGAAGUUUGGAGGAAAGCUCGGUUGGAGCAUGUCAGAUUGCAAAUUAUAAAUUGUACUGAUGCUUUCGGCUGUAUGGAGAAAAUUUUGAACCUCAAUGAUGAAGAAAAAAUUAAAUCAUGCCUGCUCCUUUGGUGUUGGUGGCGUGAAAGGAAUAGUGCAAAUGCGGGAAAUGAAAUCAAACCUUCUGAUGAAAUCUGUCAUUCUAUUGACUAUCUUUGUAUGCAAUUUUCGAAGGUAAAGAAAGAAGGGAGAAUACAUGAACAUCAGCAGAAGGAAAGAUGGUCCAGACCUCCACCGGAAAUCUUGAAAAUCAACACUGAUGGUGCCUUCCUGAAGGAAUCAAAUUCUGGAGGUUGGGGCUUUGUUAUCAAGAACAAUUCUGGUACGGUAAUAGCAGCUGGGGCAGGGAAUUUGGAGCAAGUCUCGGAUGCCCUUCAUUCGGAGGCGUUGGCAAUGUUGCAUGCUGUUAACACAGCCAUCCAGAUGGGUUGCCAUCGAGUGAUUGUCGAAACUAACUCUGUGCAACUGAAGAUAGCGGUGAGCAAUGAAGACUAUGAUCUUUCUGCAUUAGGAGCUAUCUUCAAAGAUAUUAAGUUUCAACUGAGAGUGGGUUUCAAUGAUGUAACUGUUGUAUCUUGUCCUCGGACUUGUAAUUUAGUUGCGCAUUGUUUAGCUGCGUAUGGUACUAAAUUAGAAGCUGGAAAAUGCGAGAUUUGGCUCGGCUAGUACCCAGAACUUGUAAAGGAUGUUGUUGCUAGCGACUUGUCCAGCCCUUGUACUUAAUGGAAUGCAUCGUGUUCCUUUCAAAAAAAAUAACGUGUAAUGCACGUUUUCUCAAAAUGUAUCCAAAGUUGUGGUCGGACAAACGAUUUGUGAAAAUAUUUGCACCGGAUAAAAGAGUACAUAGGGAUAGGUUGUGUGAUCAUCCUUUGUAAUCCCUCUUUUUGUUAUGGGUCCAUGUAUUUUCAAACAUAAUUGAUACUCUCUGCGUAAACUAAUGUAAGAUGAUUCAUACAAAUAUUCAAUUCAUCUCCGAGCUCAUCUACACCCUGUAAACAGUAAUUCAAAUAAAAUACUAGACAAAUUCAAAAAAAUGGUGAAAAAUGUUGAGUGCAUGAUAACCAAGCCAAAUUUCAGCUCAUUCAGACAUCUGAGUAGUUCUCAGGAAAAAAAUUAGCUCCAAACAGUGCAAAAUAGUAAACUUUUUUACAAACCUCGAAUUUGUCUUUUUUUGCUGAGAGCUCAUCAGAUGUUCAAAUACGUUGAAUUUUUAUAGGGACGUCACGAACUCACGCAUCUUUCAUCACAAAAAAAUGGAAUUUUUUUAAUUUUUGUAUUUUUAAAGAUAUUUACAUCUCUAAGUAUUUUCCUCCCAUUAAGAUCAUCUCUCUUAGAAACGAUAUUAUGAAUUUUAAGCAACUUGAUCAUGAGCAUAUUGCACAAUCUUGAGAGAGGAUGAAAUUGAUGAUACGUAAUUUCCCUACACCUGGUUUGAAUUUGUUUAUGAUUAUACAAAAAAUUAUGCCGGAAUGAAUUUUGCUUCUACAAAUCUUUUAGAUUCGGCCGCAGGAGGCACUUUUAUUAAAUUACUUUAGGAGAGGCUACUAAGCUCCUAGAUAAUAUCACGGUUAAUUAUUCUCAAUGGCACACCGAAAGAUCCAUUGGUAAAAAGGUUAAUGCGAUUGAAGAGAUUAAUGUUUUGAGUGGAAAGAUGGAUGAACUUAUGAAAUUAUUUGCUAAUAAGAAUAUUUCUUCUGAUCCUAAUGAUAUGCCUUUGUCCACUUUGACUGAGAAUAAUAAUGAAUCUAUGGAUGUGAAUUUUGUUGGUAGGAAUUUUGGUAACAACGCGUAUAGAGACAAUUUUAAUCCUAGGUCGUUCCCUAGUAAUUCCUAUAAUAAUUAUGGUAAUUCCUACAACAAUUCUUAUGCAAAUUUUAAUAAGACGCCCUCUGAUUUUGAGAAUAGUGUUAAAGAAUUUACGAGUUUGCAAAAGAAUUUUAAUGCUUUGAUUGAAGAAAAAAUUCUCAAGAUUGGUGAUUUGGCUAGGAACGUGGAUAGAAUUUCUCUUGAUGUUGAUUCUUUGAAACUUAGAUCUAUCCCACCUUAGCAUGAUAUUAAUGAGUCUCUCAAGGCCAUGAGAAUUUCCACUGAUGAGUGCAAAGAAAGAACCGCUAAGAUGCGUGCUAAAAAGAUUGGUUUGUAAAAGCGUGUUCUUCUAGUUUCCAUGAUAAUAAUUAUGAAGAUCUAAAAGUUAUUAAUGUGACUCCUAUUGAAUCUUUGUUUUCUAAAAUUAAUCUUGAUAAAGAUGGGACUGGAGAUGAGUCAGCUUUAGUUAAAAGGCGUCCCAAUGAUUCGGAGUUUUUAGAUCUAGAUGCAAAAAUUGAUAAAAGUGGGAUUGGAGAGGUCUGCUUUUGUCUCUGGAUGUCAAAUGCCCCUUCACGGGCAAGCGGGAGGCUCUCGAAAAGACUUUAAUUAGCAAUGAACCCACUCUUUUGGGUUUCAAGGAAUUAAAUUAUGAUAAUUGUUCUUUAAUAGAUUGUAUUUCCUUGUUGCAAUCCAUGUUAAAUUCUCCUCGUGCUUAUAGUCAAAACAAAGCUUUUACUAAACAUAUCGUUGAUGCUAUGAUGCAAUCUUUUGAAGAAAAGCUUGAAUUAGAAGUUUCUAUCCCUAGAAAACUUUAUGAUGAGUGGGAACCUACUAUUAAGAUUAAGAUUAAAGAUUAUGAAUGCCAUGCUUUGUGUGAUUUGGGUGCUAGUGUUUCCACAAUUCCAAAAAUUUGUGUGAUGUAUUAGGUUUCCGUGAAUUUGAUGAUUGUUCUUCAAAUUUGCAUCUUGUGUCCACUAUUAAGAAACCUAUGGGAAGGAUUAAUGAUGUUCUUAUUGUUGCAAAUAAGAAUUAUGUGCCCGUAGAUUUCAUUGUUCUUGAUAUAGAUUGCAAUCCUACAUGUCCUAUUAUUCUUGGUAGACCUUUCCUUAGAACGAUUGGUGCAAUUAUUGAUAUGAAAGAAGGAAACAUUAGAUUCCUUUCCAUUAAGGAAAGGCAUGGAACACUUUCCUAGGAAGAAAAUUCAAUUGCCAUAUGAAUCUAUCAUGAGAGCCACUUAUGGAUUGCAUACCAAAGAUGUCAAUACCUAGACCUAUUCGUGUUUUUAUGCCUAGCUAAGGGCGUUAAAUAAUAGCGCUUGUUGGGAGGCAACCCAAUUUUAUUUGUGUUCUUUGCUUUUUGUUCCUGUUUAGUAAUAAAUAAUUUAUCUAGACUCUGUUUAGAUGUGGUUUUAUGUUUUAGUUAGUGUUUGUGCCAAGUUAAACCUUUAGGAUAACUUACGGUGACAGUUGUGUUUAUCCUGCUGAAAAUCAGAAACUUUUGCGCACAGUAAAUUAGUUUUCAAAAUUCACAGAAACGUGAUUUUGAUCUGACUCUUUUUAUAUGGAUUGGUACACAAAUUUAUCAGGUUUCCUAAUUUGGCUGGAUUGUUGUAGUUACAUAAGUAUUCGAGAGUUAUAGAUUACUACAGACUGUUCUGUUUUUGACAGAUUCUGUCUUCCGCGUAUUGUUUGCUUAUUUUGAUGAAUCUAUGGGUAUUAUCGGGAGGUAUGAACCAUGGAAAAGUUGGAAUACAGUAGAUAUUACACCAAUAUAAAUAAAGAAUGAGUUUGCAAUAGUACCUUAAAGUGGUGAUUUAUUUUCUUAUACUAACGAAGUUCAUGAGAUUUUUUGUUGAGUUUUGUGUUGUGAAGUUUUCAAGUUUUGGGUAAGGAUUUGAUGGAAUAUGGAAUAAGGAGUGGCAAGAGCCUAAGCUUGGGGAUGCCCAAGGCACCCCAAGGUAAUAUUCAAGGACAACCAAAAGCCUAAGUUUGGGGAUGCCCCGGAAGACAUCUCCUCUUUCGUCUUCGUCUAUCGGUAACGUUACUUGAGGCUAUAUUUUUAUUCACCACAUGAUAUGUGUUUUGCUUGGAGCAUCUUGUGUGAUUUGAGUAUUUGCUUUUUAGUUUACCACAAUCAUACUUGUUGUACACACCUUUUGGGAGAGACACGCAUGAUUCGUGAUUUAAUAGAAUAUUUUAUGUGCUUCACUUAUAUCUUUUGACCUAGGCAAUAUUGCUCUAGUAAUUCACUUAUAUCUUUUUAGAGCACGGCGGUGGCUUUAUUUUAUAGAAAUCAAUGAACUCUCAUGCUUCACUUAUAUUAUUUUGAGAGUCUUUUAGAACAACAUGGUAAUUUGCUUUGGUUAUAAAAUUAGUCCUAAUAUGAUGGGCAUCCAAGGGGGGUAUAAUAAAAACUUUCAUAAAAAGUGCAUUGGAUACUAUGAGAAGUUUGAUUGUUUAUGAUUGUUUUGAGAUAUGAAGAUGGUGAUAUUAGAGUCAUGCUAGUGGAGUAAUUGUGAAUUUGAUAAAUACUUGUGUUGAGGUUUGUGAGUCCCGUAGCAUGCACGUAUGGUGAACCGUUAUGUAACGAAGUUGGAGCAUGAAGUAUUUUUUUAUUGUCAUCCUUUGUGUGGAGGUCGGGAUCGUGUGAUGGUUAACUCCUACCAACCCUUCCCGUAGGAGCAUGCACGUAGUGCUUGGUUUCGAUGACUUAUAGAUUUUUGCAAUAAGUAUGUGAGUUCUUUAUGACUAAUGUUGAGUCCAUGGAUUAUACGCACUCUCACCCUUCCACCAUUGCUAGCCUCUCUUGUGUCGUGCAACUUUCGCCGGUACCAUACACCCAUCAUAUACCUUCCUCAAAACAGCCACCAUACCUACCUAUUAUGGCAUUUCCAUAGCCAUUCCGAGAUAUAUUGCCAUGCAACUUUCCACCGUUCCAUUGACACAUUUCAUCAUUGUCAUAUUUCUUUGCAUGAUCAUGUAGUUGACAUCGUAUUUGUGGCAAAGCUACCUUUCAUAAUUCUUUCAUACAUGUCACUCUUAAUUCAUUGUGAAGGAAAUAUGCCCUAGAGGCAAUAAUAAAGUUAUUAUUUAUUUCCUUAUAUCAUGAUAAAUGUUUAUUAUUCAUGCUAUAAUUGUAUUAACCGGAAACAUAAUACAUGUGUGAAUACAUAGACAAACAUAGUGUCACUAGUAUGCCUCUACUUGACUAGUUCGUUGAUCAAAGAUGGUUGUGUUUCCUGACCAUAGACAUGAGUUGUCAUUUGAUUAACGGGAUCACAUCAUUAGGAGAAUGAUGUGAUUGACUUGACCCAUUCCGUUAGCUUAACACUUGAUCGUUUAGUAUGUUGCUAUUGCUUUCUUCAUGACUUAUAAAUGUUCCUACAACUAUGAGAUUAUGCAACUCCCGUUUACCGGAGGAACACUUUGUGUGCUACCAAACGUCACAACGUAACUGGGUGAUUAUAAAGGAGCUCUACAGGUGUCUCCAAAGGUACAUGUUGAGUUGGCGUAUUUCGAAAUUAGGUUUUGUCACUCCAAUUGUCGGAGAGGUAUCUCUGGGCCCCCUCAGAAAUGCACAUCACUAUAAGCCUUGCAAGCAAUGUAACUAAUGAGUUAGUUAUGGAAUGAUGCAUUACAUAACGAGUAAAGAGACAUGCCGGUAAUGAGAUUGAACUAGGUAUUGAGAUACUGAUGAUCGAAUCUCGGGCAAGUAACAUACCGAUGACAAAGGGAACAACGUAUGUUGUUAUGUAGUUUGACCGAUAAAGAUCUUCGUAGAAUAUGUAGGAGCCAAUAUGAGAAUCCAGGUUCCGCUAUUGGUUAUUGACCGGAGACGUGUCUUGGUCAUGUCUACAUAGUUCUCGAACCCGCAGGGUCCGCACGCUUAAAGUUAGAUGACCAUUAUAUUAUGAGUUCAUGUGUUUUGAUGUACUGAAGAUAGUUUGGAGUCCCGGAUAUGAUCACGGACAUGACGAGGAGUCUCUAAAUGGUCGAGACAUGAAGAUUGAUAUAUUGGACGACUAUAUUCGGACACCAGAAUGGUUCCGAGGGUUAUCGGAUAUAUAUCGAAGUACCNNNNNNNNNNNNNNNNNNNNNNNNNNNNNNNNNNNNNNNNNNNNNNNNNNNNNNNNNNNNNNNNNNNNNNNNNNNNNNNNNNNNNNNNNNNNNNNNNNNNNNNNNNNNNNNNNNNNNNNNNNNNNNNNNNNNNNNNNNNNNNNNNNNNNNNNNNNNNNNNNNNNNNNNNNNNNNNNNNNNNNNNNNNNNNNNNNNNNNNNNNNNNNNNNNNNNNNNNNNNNNNNNNNNNNNNNNNCGCCCUCUCACCCUCUAGUCCGAAUAGGACAAGGAGGGGGGGGGGGCGGCGCCCCCCUUUCCUUCCUCCCAUCUCUCCCUUCCCCCCCUCUCCUACUUGGACAAGGAAAGGAGGGAGUAGGACUCCUCCUGGCGUGCCCCCUCCCCCUUGCUCCUUUAUAUAUGGGGGCAGGGGCACCUCUAGACACAACAACAAUUGAUCCUUGAGAUCUAUUAGCCGUGUGCGGUGCCCCCCUCCACCAUAUUCCACCUCGAUAAUAUCGUAGCGGUGCUUAGGCGAAGCCCUGCGUCGGUAGAGCAUCAUCAUCGUCACCACGCCUUCGUGCUGACGGAACUCUCCUUCGACACUCGGCUGGAUCGGAGUUCGAGGGACGUCAUCGAGCUGAACGUGUGCAUGAACUCGAAGAUGCCGUGUUUUCGGUGCUUGAUCGGUCGGGCCGUGAAGAUGUACGACUACAUCAACCGCGUUGUGCUAACACUUCCGCUUUCAGUCUACGAGGGUACGUGGGCAACACUCUCCCCUCUCGUUGUUAUGCAUCACCAUGAUCUUGCAUGUGCGUAGGAAUUUUUUUGAAAUUACUAUGUUCCCCAACAAUGGCAUCCGAGCCUGGUUUUAUGCGUAGAUGUUAUAUGCACGAGUAGAACACAAGUGAGUUGUGGGUGAUACAAGUCAUACUGCUUACCAGCAUGUCAUACUUUGGUUCGACGGUAUUGUUGGAUGAAGCAGCCUGGACUGACAUUGCGCGUACGCUUACGCGAGACUGGUUCUACCGACGUGCUUUGCACAUAGGUGGCUGGCGGGUGUCAGUUUCUCCAACUUUAGUUGAAUCGAGUGUGGCUACACCCGGUCCUUGAGAAGGUUAAAACAUCACUAACUUGACGAACUAUCGUUGUGGUUUUGAUGCGUAGGUAAGAACGGUUCUUGCUCAGCCCGUAGCAGCCACGUAAAACUUGCAACAACAAAGUAGAGAACGUCUAACUUGUUUUUGCAGGGCAUGUUGUGAUGUGAUAUGGUCAAGACGUGAUGCUAUAUUUUAUUGUAUGAGAUGGUCAUGUUUUGUAACCGAGUUAUCGGCAACUGGCAGGAGCCACAUGGUUGUUGCUUUAUUGUAUGCAAUGCAAUUGCCCUGUAAUUGCUUUACUUUAUCACUAAGCGGUAGCGAUAGUCGUAGAAGCAAUAGGUGGCAAAACGACAACGAUGCUACGAUGAAGAUCAAGGUGUCGCGCCGGUGACGAUGGUGAUCAUGACGGUGCUUCAGAGAUGGAGAUCACAAGCAUAAGAUGAUGAUGGCCAUAUCAUAUCACUUAUAUUGAUUGCAUGUGAUGUUUAUCCUUUAUGCAUCUUAUUUUUCUUUUAUUGACGGUAGCAUUAUAAGAUGAUCUCUCACUAAAUUUCAAGGUAUAAGUGUGCUCCCUGAGUAUGCACCAUUGCAAAAGUUCUUUGUGCUAAGACACCACGUAAUGAUCGGGUGUGAUAGGCUCUACGUUCAAAUACAACGGGUGCAAAACAGUUGCACACGCGGAAUACUCAGGUUAAACUUGACGAGCCUAGCAUAUACAGAUAUGGCCUCGGAACACUGAGACCGAAAGGUUGAGCGUGAAUCAUAUAGUAGAUAUGAUCAACAUAGUGAUGUUCACAAUUGAAAACUACUCCAUCUCACGUGAUGAUCGGACAUGGUUUAGUUGAUUUGGAUCACGUGAUCACUUAGAUGAUUAGAGGGAUGUCUAUCUAAGUGGGAGUUCUUAAGUAAUAUGAUUAAUUGAACUUAAAUUUAUCAUGAACUUAGUACCUGAUAGUAUUUUGCUUGUCUAUGUUCAUUGUAGAUAGAUGGCUCGUGCUGUUGUUCCGUUGAAUUUUAAUGCGUUCCUUGAGAAAGCUAAGUUGAAAGAUGAUGGUAGCAAUUACACUGACUGGGUCCAUAACUUGAGGAUUAUCCUCAUUGCUGCACAGAAGAAUUGUGUCCUAGAAGCACCGCUGGGUGCCAGGCCUGCUGUAGAUGCCACUGAUGACGUUAAGAACGUCUGGCAGAGCAAAGCUGAUGACUACUCGAUAGUUCAGUGUGCCAUGCUUUAUGGCUUAGAAUCGGGACUUCAACGACGUUUUGAACAUCAUGGAGCAUAUGAGAUGUUCCAGGAGUUGAAGUUAAUAUUUCAAGAAAAUGCCCAGAUUGAGAGAUAUGAAGUCUCCAAUAAGUUCUAUAGCUGCAAGAUGGAAGAGAAUAGUUUUGUCAGUGAAUAUAUACUCAAAAUGUCUGGGUAUAAUAAUCACUUGAUUCAACUGGGAGUUAAUCUUCCUGAUGAUAGUGUCAUUGACAGGAUUCUUCAAUCACUGCCACCAAGCUACAAGAGCUUCGUGAUGAACUAUAAUAUGCAAGGGAUGGACAAGACUAUUCCCGAGCUCUUCGCAAUGCUAAAAUCUGCGGAGGUAGAAAUCAAAAAGGAGCAUCAAGUGUUGAUGGUCAAUAAGACCACCAGUUUCAAGAAAAAGGGUAAAGGGAAGAAGAAGGGGAACUUCAAGAAUAACUUCAAAUUAGUUGUUGCUCAAGAGAAGAAACCCAAAUCUGGACCUAGGCCUGAGACUGAGUGCUUCUACUGCAAGCUGACUGGUCACUGGAAGCGGAACUGCCCCAAGUAUUUGGUGGAUAAGAAGGAUGGCAAGAUGAACAAAGGUAUAUGUGAUAUACAUGUUAUUGAUGUGUACCUUAUUAAUGCUCGCAGUAGCACCUGGGUAUUUGAUACUAGUUCUAUUGCUAAUAUUUGCAAGUCGAAAUAGGUACUACGGAUUAAGUGAAGAUUGGCUAAGGACGAGGUGACGAUGCGCGUGGGAAAUGGUUCCAAAGUCGAUGUGAUCGCGGUCGGCACGCUACCUCUACAUCUACCUUCGGGAUUAGUUUUAGACCUAAAUAAUUGUUAUUUGGUGCCAACGUUGAGCAUGAACAUUAUAUCUGGAUCUUGUUUGAUGCGAGACGGUUAUUCAUUUAAAUCAGAGAAUAAUGGUUGUUCUAUUUAUAUGAGUAAUAUCUUUUAUGGUCAUGCACCCUUGAAGAGUGGUCUAUUUUUAUUGAAUCUCGAUAGUAGUGAUACACAUAUUCAUAAUGUUGAAGUCAAAAGAUGCAGAGUUGAUAAUGAUAGUGCAACUUAUUUGUGGCACUGCCGUUUGGGUCAUAUUGGUGUAAAGCGCAUGAAGAAACUCCAUACUAAUGGACUUCUGGAAUCACUCGAUUACGAAUCACUUGGUACUUGCGAACCGUGCCUCAUGGGCAAGAUGACUAAAAUGCCGUUCUCCGGAACUAUGGAGCGAGCAAUAGAUUUGUUGGAAAUCAUACAUACUGAUGUAUGUGGUCCAAUGAACAUUGAUGCUCGCGGCGGGUAUCGUUAUUUUCUCACCUUCACAGAUGAUUUGAGCAGAUAUGGAUAUAUCUACUUAAUGAAACAUAAGUCUGAAACAUUUGAAAAGUUCAAAGAAUUUCAGAGUGAAGUAGAAAAUCAUCGUAACAAGAAAGUAAAGUUUCUACAAUCCGAUCGUGGAGGAGAAUAUUUGAGUUACGAGUUUGGUUUGCAUUUGAAUUAAUGCGGAAUAAUUUCGCAACUCACGCCACCCGGAACACCACAACAUAAUGGUGUGUCCGAACGUCGUAAUCGGACUUUACUAGAUAUGGUGCGAUCUAUGAUGUCUCUUACUGAUUUACCACUAUCGUUUUGGGGUUAUGCUUUAGAGACAGUCGCAUUCACGUUAAAUAGGGCACCAUCAAAAUCCGUUGAGACGACGCCUUAUGAAUAAUGGUUUGGCAAGAAACCAAAGUUGUCGUUUCUUAAAGUUUGUGGGUGCGAUGCUUAUGUGAAGAAACUUCAACCAGAUAAGCUCGAACCCAAAUCGGAGAAAUGUGUCUUCAUAGGAUAUCCAAAAGAGACUAUUGGGUACACCUUCUAUCAUAGAUUUGAAGGCAAGACUUUUGUUGCUAAAUUUGGAUCCUUUCUAGAGAAGGAGUUUCUCUUGAAAGAAGUGAGUUGGAGGAAAGUAGAACUUGAUGAGGUAACUGUACCUGCUCCCUUAUUGGAAAAAAGUUCAUCACAUAAAACAGUUCCUGUGACGACUACACCAAUCAGUGAGGAAGCUAAUGAUAUUGAGCAUGAAACUUUAGAUCAAGUUACUACCGAACCUCGUAGGUCAACCAGUGUAAGAUCCGCACCAGAGUGGUAUGGUAAUCCUAUUCUGGAAGUCAUGUUACUUGACCAUGGCGAACCUACGAACUAUGAGGAAGCGAUGAUGAGCCCAGAUUCCGCAAAAUGGUUUGAGGCCCUGAAAUCUGAGAUGGGAUCCAUGUAUGAGAACAAAGUAUGGACUUUGGUUGACUUGCGCGAUGAUCGGCAAGCCAUCGAGAAUAAAUGGAUCUUCAAGAAGAAGACUGACGCUGAUGGUAAUGUUACUAUCUACAAAGCUCGACUUGUUGCGAAAGGUUUUCAACAAGUUCAAGGAGUUGACCACGAUGAGACUUUCUCACCCGUAGCGAUGCUUAAGUCUGUCCGAAUCAUGUUAGCAAUUGCCGCAUUUUAUGAUCAUGAAAUAUGGCAAAUGGAUGUCAAAACUACAUUCCUGAAUGGAUUUCUGGAAGAAGAGUUGUAUAUGAUACAACCAGAAGGUUUUGUCGAUCCAAAAGGUGCUAACAAAGUGUGCAAGCUCCAGCGAUCCAUUUAUGGACUGGUGCAAGCCUCUCGGAGUUGGAAUAAACACUUUGAUAGUGUGAUCAAAGCAUAUGGUUUUAUACAGACUUUUGGAGAAGCCUGUAUUUACAAGAAAGUGAGUGGGAGCUCUGUAGCAUUUCUGAUAUUAUAUGUAGACGACAUAUUAUUAAUUGGAAAUGAUAUAGAAUUUCUGGAUAACAUAAAAGGAUACUUGAAUAAAAGUAUUUCAAUGAAAGACCUCGGUGAAGCUGCUUACAUAUUAGGCAUCAAGAUCUAUAGAGAUAGAUCAAGACGCUUAAUUGGACUUUCACAAAGCACAUACCUUGAUAAAGUUUUGAAAAAGUUCAAAAUGGAUCAAGCAAAGAAAGGGUUCUUGCCUAUAUUACAAGGUGUGAAGUUGAGUCAGACUCAAUGCCCGACCACAACAGAAGAUAAAGAGAAAAUGAAAGAUGUUCCCUAUGCUUCAGCCAUAGGCUCUAUCAUGUAUGCAAUGUUGUGUACCAGACAUGAUGUAUGCUUAGCAAUAAGUUUAGCAGGGAGGUGCCAAAGUAAUCCAGGAGUGGAUCACUGGACAGCGGUCAAGAAUAUCCUGAAAUACCUGAAAAGGACUAAGGAUAUGUUUCUCGUUUAUGGAGGUGACAAAGAGCUAGUCGUAAAUGGUUAUGUCGAUGCAAGCUUUGACACUGAUCCGGACGAUUCUAAAUCGCAAAUCGGAUACGUGUUUAUAUUGAGCGGUGGAGCUGUCAGUUGGUGCAGUUCUAAACAAAGCGUCAUGGCGGGAUCUACAUGUGAAGAAGAGUACAUAGCUGCUUCGGAAGCAGCAAAUGAAGGAGUUCAUAUCCGAUCUAGGUGUCAUACCUAGUGCAUCGGGACCAAUGAAAAUCUUCUGUGACAAUACUGGUGCAAUUGCCUUGGCAAAGGAAUCCAGAUUUCACAAGAGGACCAAGCACAUCAAGAGACGCUUCAAUUCCACCCGGGAGCAAGUCCAGGCGGGAGACAUAGAGAUUUGCAAGAUACAUACGGAUCUGAAUGUUUCAGACCCGUUGACUAAGCCUCUUCCACGAGCAAAACAUAAUCAACACCAAGGCUCCAUGGGUGUUAGAAUCAUUACUGUGUAAUCUAGAUUAUUGACUCUAGUGCAAGUGGGAGACUGAAGGAAAUAUGCCCUAGAGGCAAUAAUAAAGUUAUUAUUUAUUUCCUUAUAUCAUGAUAAAUGUUUAUUAUUCAUGCUAGAAUUGUAUUAACCGGAAACAUAAUACAUGUGUGAAUACAUAGACAAACAUAGUGUCACUAGUAUGCCUCUACUUGACUAGUUCGUUGAUCAAAGUUGGUUGUGUUUCCUGACCAUAGACAUGAGUUGUCAUUUGAUUAACGGGAUCACAUCAUUAGGAGAAUGAUGUGAUUGACUUGACUCAUUCCGUUAGCUUAGCAAUUGAUCAUUUAGUAUGUUGCUAUUGCUUUCUUCAUGACUUGUACAUGUUCCUACAACUAUGAGAUUAUGCAACUCCCGUUUACCGGAGGAACACUUUGUGUGCUACCAAAUGUCACAACGUAACUGGGUAUUAUAAAGGAGCUCUACAGGUGUCUCCAAAGGUACAUGUUGAGUUGGCGUAUUUCGAGAUUAGGUUUUGUCACUCCGAUUGUUAGAGAGGUAUCUCUGGGCCCUCUCAGAAAUGCAUAUCACUAUAAGCCUUGCAAGCAAUGUAACUAAUGAGUUAGUUACGGAAUGAUGCAUUACAUAACGAGUAAAUAGACUUGCCUGGUAACGAUAUUGAACUAGGUAUUGAGAUACCUACGAUCGAAUCUCGGGCAAGUAACAUACCGAUGACAAAGGGAACAACGUAUGUUGUUAUGUGGUUUGACCGAUAAAGGUCUUCAUAGAAUAUGUAGGAGCCAAUAUGAGCAUCCAGGUUCCGCUAUUGGUUAUUGACCGGAGACGUGUCUCGGUCAUGUCUACAUAGUUCUCGAACACGUAGGGUCCGCACGCUUAAAGUUAGAUGACCGUUAUAUUAUGAGUUCAUGUGUUUUGAUGUACCAAAGAUAGUUCGGAAUCCCGGAUAUGAUCACGGACAUGACGAGGAGUCUCGAAAUGGUCGAGACAUGAAGAUUGAUAUAUUGGACGACUAUAUUCGGACACCGGAAUGGUUCAAGGGGUUAUCGGAUAUAUACCGGAGUACCGGGGGGUUACUGGAACCCCCCCGGGGGUUAAUGGGCCUCAUGGGCCCAAAGUGGAGAAGAGGAGGGGUGACCAGGGCAGGACAAGCACCCCUCCCCCUCUAGUACAAAUAGGACAAGGAGGGGGGGCGCCCCCUGAUACGUCUCCAACGUAUCUAUAGUUUUUGAUUGCUCCAUGCUACUUUAUCUACUGUUUUGGACUAUAUUGGGCUUUAUUUUCCACUUUUAUAUUAUUUUUGGGACUAACCUAUUAACCGGAGGCCCAGCCCAGAAUUGUUGUUUUUUGCCUUUUUCAGUGUUUCGAAGAAACAGAAUAUGAAAUGAAGUCCAAACGGAAUGAAACCUUCGGGAACAUGAUUUUCUCAUCAGAUCAGAUCCAGGAGACUUGGACCCUCCGUCAAGAAAGCCACGAGGCGGUCACGAGGGUGGAGGGCGCGCCCCUGCCCCCUGGGCGCGCCCCCUACCUCGUGGGCCCCUCGGAGCUCCACCGUCGUACUCCUUCCUCCUAUAUAUACCUAUGUAUCCCCGUAUGAUCCUAGGAGAGCCAAAAACCUAAUUCCACCGCCGUAACCUUCUGUAUCCACGAGAUCCCAUCUUGGGGCCUAUUCCGAAGCUCCGCCGGAGGGGGCAUCCACCAUGGAGGGCUUCUACAUCAUCACCAUGGCCCCUCCGAUGAAGUGUGAGUAGUUUACUUCAGACCUUCGGGUCCAUAGUUAGUAGCUAGAUGACCUUUUCUCUCUUUUUAGAUCUCAAUACAAUGUUCUCCCUCUCUCUUGUGGAGAUCUAUUCGAUGUAAUCUUCUUUUUGUGGUGUGUUUGUUGAGAACGAUGAAUUGUGGGUUUAUGAUCCAGUAUUAUCUAUGGAAAAUAUUUGAUUCUUCUCUAAAUUCUUUUAUGUAUGAUUGAGUUAUCUUUGCAAGUCUCUUCGAAUUAUCCGUUUGGUUUGGCCAACUAGAUUUGUAGUUCUUGCAAUGGGAGAAGUGCAUGGCUUUGGGUUCAAUCUUGCGGUGUCCUUACUCAGUGACAGAAAGAGUUGCAAGGCACGUAUUGUAUUGUUGCCAUCGAGGAUAACAAGAUGGGUUUUUUAUCAUAUUGCAUGAAUUUAUCCCUCUACAUCAUGUCAUCUUGCUUAAGGCGUUACUCUGUUUUUACUUAAUACUCGAGAUGCAUGUUCGAUAGCGGUCGAUGAGUGGAGUAAUAGUAGUAGAUGCAGAAUCGUUUCGAUCUACUUGUUUUGGACGUGAUGCCUAUAUACAUGAUCGUUGCCUAGAUAUACUCAUAACUAUGCUCAAUUCUGUCAAUUGCUCAACAGUAAUUUGUUCACCCACCGUAGAAUACUUAUGCUCUCGAGAGAAGCCACUAGUGAAACCUAUGGCCCCCGGGUCUAUUCUCAUCAUAUCAAUCUAUAUCACUUUAUUUACUUGCUUUGUUUUUACUUUAACUUUACUUUUUACUUUGCAUCUAUCUAUCAAAAAUACCAAAAAUAUUAUCUCUAUCAGAUCUCACUCUCGUAAGUGAUCGUGAAGGGAUUGACAACCCCUAAGCGUUGGUUGCGAGUUGCUAUCAUGUUGUGCAGGUACGAGGGACUUGCGCGUGACCUCCUACUGGAUUGAUACCUUGGUUCUCAAAAACUGAGGGAAAUAUUUACGCUACUGUGCUGCAUCAUCCUCUCCUCUUUGGGGAAAACCAAUGCAAGCUCGAGACGUAGCAAGAAGAAUUUCUGGCGCCGUUGCCGGGGAGGCUUACGCAUAAGUCAACAUACCAAGUACCCAUCACAAUCCCUUUCUCUCGCAUUACAUUAUAUGCCAUUUGCCUCUCAUUUUCCUCUUCCCCACUUCACCCUUGCUGUUUUAUUUGCCCUCUCUUUCCCAAUCUCCUCCUCUAUUUCCUGUUUGCCUUUUUCCCGUCCUUUUGUUUGCUCGUGUGUUAGUUUGCCUAUUUGUUGCGAUGGCUCUACCUAGAUUUGGUGACCUUCACCUUAAAAGGCUAGAGGAGAUUGAAAGCAAUGCUAGAAAGUUUAUGGUUUUGCAAUUUGAGCACAAUAAUUUCUUUAGAAACGAACUUAAGGAACAAAAAAGUUUUAUGAGCUAUAUGAAUAAAGAACUCGAUGAUAUGUCUAGAGAAUUUGAUGGUAUAAGGGCCCAAAUUGCUCGUCUUGAAAAGAUGACCGCUGAAAUUUCGGAUAUGCAAGCUACCUUAGUCAAUAAGAUGGCUGCUAAACCAAAUUCCUAUGAAAAUCAAGAUGAAGAUCUAAAAGUUAUUGAUGUGUCCCCCAUUAAGUCUUUGUUUUGCAAUAUGAAUCUUGAUGAAACUGAAUAUGAUCUUCCUUUACCUAGAAGGCAUUCUAAGAAUUCAGAGUUUCUAUAUCUUGAUGAUGAAAUUGAUGAAAGUGGGAUUGCAAUAAAUAAAAACCGUGAUGUUGCUAAACCCACUAUUCCGGAUCUCAAGGAAUUUAAUUAUGAAAAUUGCUCUUUGAUUGGUUGUAUUUCCUUGUUGCAAUUCGUGCUAGAAUCUCCUCAUACUUAUAGUCAAAAUAAGGCCUUUACCGAACACAUUGUUGAUGCCUUGAUGCAAUCUUAUGAAGAAAAACUUGAGUUGAAAGUUUCUAUCCCUAGAAAACUCUAUGAUGAGUGGGAACCUACGAUUAAAAUUAAAAUUAAAGACUUUGAGUUUCAUGCUUUAUGUGAUUUGGGUGCUAGUGUCUCUACUAUUCCCAAAACUUUAUGUGAUUUGCUAGAUUUCCGUGAUUUUGAUGAUUGCUCUCUAAACUUGCAUCUUGUGGAUUCCACUAUUAAAAAGCCUAUGGAAAGAAUUAAUGAUGUUCUUAUUGUUGCAAAUAGGAAUUAUGUGCCCGUAGAUUUUAUCGUUCUUGAUAUAGAUUGCAAUCCUUCAUGCCCUAUUAUUCUUGUUAGACCUUUCCUUAGAACGAUUGGUGCAAUUAUUGAUAUGAAGGAAGGGAAUAUUAGAUUCCAAUUUCCCUUAAAGAAGGGUAUGGAAUACUUCCCUAGAAAGAAAAUAAAAUUACCAUAUGAAUCUAUCAUGAGAGCCACUUAUGGAUUGCCUACCAAAGAUGGCAAUACCUAGAUCUAUCCUUGCUUUUAUGCCUAGCUAAGGGCGUUAAACGAUAGCGCUUGUUGGGAGGCAACCCAAUUUUAUUUUUUGUUUUUUGUUUUUGCUUCUGUUUAGGAAUAAAUAAUCCAUCUACCUUUUGUUUGGAUGUGGUUUUAUAUUUCAAUUAGUGUUUGUGCCAAGUAGGACCUAUAGGAUAACCUACGAUGAUAGUUGAUUUGAUUCUGCUGAAAAAUAGAAACUUUAGCGCUCAUGAGAUUAGCUGCCAUUUUUUACUGGAGAGUGAUUUUGCGUUGAUUCUUUUUGAUGCUGAUCAAUAAACAAAUUUUCCAGGACUUCCUAUUUUUGUAGAAUUUUUAGAGUUCCAGAAGUUUGCGUUAGUUACAGAUUACUACAGACUGUUCUGUUUUUGACAGAUUCUGUUUUUCGUGUGUUGUUUGCUUAUUUUGAUGAAUCUAUGGCUAGUAAAUUAGUUUAUAAACCAUAGAGAAGUUGGAAUACAGUAGUUUUAACACAAAAAUAAAUAAAGAAUGAGUUCAUUACAGUACCUUGAAGUAGUCUUUUGUUUUCUUUCUCUAACGGAGCUCACGAGAUUUCUGUUGAGUUUUGUGUUGUGAAGUUUUCAAGUUUUGGGUGAAUUCUUUUGAUGGAUUAUGGAACAAGGAUUGGCAAGAGCCUAAGCUUGGGGAUGCCCAUGGCACCCCCAAGAUAAUCCAAGGACACCAAAAAGUCAAAGCUUGGGGAUGCCCCGGAAGGCAUCCCCUCUUUCGUCCACUUCCAUCGGUAAUUUACUUGGAGCUAUAUUUUUAUUCACCAACAUGAUUUGUGUUUUGCUUGGAGCGUCUUGUAUUAUUUGCUUCUUUGCUUGUUAGUUUACCACAAUCAUCCUUGCUGUACACACCUUUUGAGAGAUCCAUACAUGAAUUGAAAUUUGCUAGAAUACUCUAUGUGCUUCACUUAUAUCUUUUGAGCUUGAUAGUUUUGCUCAUAGUGCUUCACUUAUAUCUUUUGAGUGUGAUAAUUUUUGCUCUAGUGCUUCACUUAGAUCUUUUUGAGAACGGUGGUGGAUUUGUUUUAAAGAAACUUGAUCUCUCAUGCUUCACUUAGAUUAUUUUGAGAGUCGUCAAUAGCAUGGUAAUUUGCUUAAUGUUAAUAUACUUGGUAUUCAAGAUAUGUGAAACUUUAUUUUGAGUGAAUUUAAUACUAAAAGUUUGAUGCUUGAUAAUUGUUUUGAGAUAUGGAGGUGAUAAUAUCAUAGUCGUGCUAGUUGGGUGAUUAUGAAUUUGAGAAAUACUUGUGUUGAAGUUUGCAAAUCCCGUAGCAUGCACGUAUGGUUAAAGUUAUGUAACAAAUUUGAAACAUGAAGUGUACUUGGUUUGUGCAUCCUUAUGAGUGGCGGUCGUGGACGAGCGAUGGUCUUUUCCUACCAAUCUAUCCCCCUAGGAGCAUGCGCGUAGUAUUUGAAUUUUUGGCGACUUCUAAAUUUUUGCGACAAGUAUAUGAGUUCUUUUGACUAAUGUUGAGUCCGUGGAUUAUACGCACUUUUGCCUUUCCGCCUUUGCUAGCCUCUUCGGUACCGUGCAUUGCCCUUUCUCACAUUGAGAGUUGGCGCAAACUUCGCCGGUGCAUCCAAACCCCGUGAUACGAUACGCUCUAUCACACAUAAACCUCCUUACAUCUUCCUCAAAACAGCCACCAUACCUACCUAUUAUGGCAUUUCCAUAGCCAUUCCAAGAUAUAUUGCCAUGCAACUUCCAUCAUCAUCAUCGUGACAUGCAUUACUUUUGUCAUAUUGCCAUUGCAUGAUCUUAUAGUUGACAUCGUAUUUGUGGUAAAGCCACCUUGCAUUAUUUUCCAUACAUGUAACUCUUGAUUCAUUGCACCAUCCCGGUACACCGCCGAAGGCAUUCAUAUAGAGUCAUAUCUUGUUCUAAGUUUCGAGUUGUAAUCCUUAUGUUGUAAUCAAUAGAAGUGUGAUGAUCAUCAUUAUUAGAGCAUUGCCCCCAAAAAAGAGAAAGGAAAAAAUAAAAAAAGGAAAGGCCCAAAAAAAAGAAAAUAAAAAAGGGCAAUGCUACUAUCUCUUUUUCCACACUUGUGCUUCAAAGUAGCACCUUGUUCUUCAUCUAGGGAGUCUCAUAUAUUGUGUUUCAAAGUAGCACCUUGUUCCUCAUGUAGUGAGUCUCAUAAGUUGUCUUUUCAUACUAGUGGGAAUUUUUCAUUAUAGAACUUGGCUUGUAUAUUCGUACGAUGGGCUUCCUCAAAUGCCCUAGGUCUUCGUGAGCAAGCAAGUUGGAUGCACACCCACUAGUUUUCUUUUGUUGAGCAUUCAUAGCUCUAGUGCAUCCGUUGCAUGGCAAUCCCUACUCCUCAUGUUGACAUCAAUUGAUGGGCAUCUCCAUAGCCCGUUGAUUAGCCUCAUCAACGUGAGACUUUCUCCUGUUUGUCUUCUCCACACAAUCCCCAUCAUCAUAUUCUAUUCCACCCAUAGUGCUAUAUCCAUGGCUCACACUCAUGUAUUGUGUGAAGGUUGAAAAAGUUUGAGAUUAUUUCAGUAUGAAACAAUUGCAUGGCUUAUCAUCGGGGGUAUAGAAGUUGGAACAUCUUUGUGUGACGAAAAUGAAGCAUAACCUAACUAUAUGAUUUUGUAGGGAUGAACUUUCUUUUGCCAUGUUAUUUUGAGAAGACAUGGUUGCUUUGAUUAGUAUGCUUGAAGUAUUAUUAUUUCUUUGUCAAUAUGAACUUUUGUCUUGAAUCUUUCAGAUCUGAAUAUUCAUAUCACAAUUAAGAAGAUUUACAUUGAAAUUAUGCCAAAGUAUCACUCCGCAUCAAAAAUUCUUUUUUAUCAUUUACCUACUCGAGGACGAGUAGGAAUUAAGCUUGGGGAUGCUUGAUACGUCUCCAACGUAUCUAUAAUUUUUGAUUGCUCCAUGCUACUUUAUCUACUGUUUUGGACUAUAUUGGGCUUUAUUUUUCACUUUUAUAUUAUUUUUGGGACUAACCUAUUAACCGGAGGCCCAACCCAGAAUUGUUGUUUUUUGCCUUUUUCAGUGUUUCGAAGAAACAAAAUAUCAAACGAAGUCCAAACGGAAUGAAACCUUCGGGAACAUGAUUUUCUCAUUAGAUAAGAUCCAGGAGACUUGGACCCUCCGUCAAGAAAGCCACGAGGCGAUCACGAGGGUGGAGGGUGCGCCCCUGCCCCCUGGGCGCGCCCCCUACCUCGUGGGCCCCUCGGAGCUCCACCGACGUACUCCUUCCUCCUAUAUAUACCUACGUAUCCCCGUAUGAUCCUAGGAGAGCCAAAAACCUAAUUCCACCGCCGCAACCUUCUGUAUCCACGAGAUCCCAUCUUGGGGCCUGUUCUGGAGCUCCACCGGAGGGGGGCAUCCACCAUGGAGGGCUUCUACAUCAUCACCAUGGCCCCUCCGAUGAAGUGUGAGUAGUUUACUUUAGACCUUCGGGUCCAUAGCUAGUAGCUAGAUGGCUUCUUCUCUCUUUUUGGACCUCAAUACAAUGUUCUCCCCCUCUCUUGUGGAGAUCUAUUCGAUGUAAUCUUCUUUUUGCGGUGUGUUUGUUGAGACCGAUGAAUUGUGGGUUUAUGAUCCAGUAUUAUCUAUGGAAAAUAUUUGAUUCUUCUCUAAAUUCUUUUAUGUAUGAUUGAGUUAUCUUUGCAAGUCUCUUCAAAUUAUCCGUUUGGUUUGGCCAACUAGAUUGGUAGUUCUUGCAAUGGGAGAAGUGCAUGGCUUUGGGUUCAAUCUUGCGGUGUCCUUACUCAGUGACAGAAAGAGUUGCAAGGCACAUAUUGUAUUGUUGCCAUCGAGGAUAACAAGAUGGGGUCUUUAUCAUAUUGCAUGAAUUUAUCCCUCUACAUCAUGUCAUCUUGCUUAAGGCGUUACUCUGUUUUUACUUAAUACUCUAGAUGCAUGCUGGAUAUCGGUCGAUGAGUGGAGUAAUAGUAAUAGAUGUAGAAUCGUUUCGAUCUACUUGUUUUGGACGUGAUGCCUAUAUACAUGAUCAUUGCCUAGAUAUACUCACAACUAUGCUCAAUUUUGUCAAUUGCUCAACAGUAAUUUGUUCACCCACCGUAGAAUACUUAUGCUCUCGAGAGAAGCCACUAGUGAAACCUAUGGCCCCCGGGUCUAUUCUCAUCAUAUCAAUCUAUAUUACUUUAUUUACUUGCUUUGUUUUUACUUUACCUUUACUUUUUACUUUGCAUCUAUCUAUCAAAAAUACCAAAAGUAUUAUCUCUAUCAGAUCUCACUCUCGUAAGUGACCGUGAAGGGAUUGACAACCCCUAAGCGUUGGUUGCAAGUUGCUAUCGUGUUGUGGAGGUACGAGGGACUUGCGCGUGACCUCCUACUGGAUUGAUAUCUUGGUUCUCAAAAACUGAGGGAAAUACUUACGCUACUGUGUUGCAUCAUCCUCUCCUCUUCGGGGAAAACCAACGCAAGCUCGAGACGUAGCACCCCCCUUUCCUUCCCCCCUCUCUCCCUUCCUUUCCCCUCUCCUACUUGGACAAGGAAAGGAGGGAGUCCUACUCCCGGUGGGAGUAGGACUCCUCCUGGCGCGCCCCCUCCUGGUUGGCCGCCCCCUCCCCCUUGCUCCUUUAUAUAGGGCAGGGGCACCUCUAGACAUAACAAUUAUUGAUCCUUGAGAUCUAUUAGCCGUGUGCGGUGCCCCCCUCCAUCACAUUCCACCUCGAUAAUAUCGUAGCGGUGCUUAGGGGAAGCCCUGCGUCGGUAGAGCAUCAUCAUCGUCACCAUGCCGUCGUGCUGACAGAACUCUCCUUCGACACUCGGCUGGAUCGGAGUUCGAGGUACGUCAUCGAGGUGAAGUGUGCAAGAACUUGGAGGUGCCGUGUUUUUGGUGCUUGAUCGGUUGGGCCGUGAAGAUGUACGACUACAUCAACCGCGUUGUGCUAAUGCUUCCUCUUUCGGUCUACGAGGGUACGUGGACAACACUCUCCCCUCUUGUUGCUAUGCAUCACCAUGAUCUUGCGUGUGCGCAUGAUUUUUUUUGAAAUUACUAUGUUCCCCAACACAUUGCACAUCCUGGUACACCGCCGGAGGCAUUCACAUAGAGUCAUAUUUUGUUCUAAGCAUUGAGUUGUAAUUUUUCGAGUUGUAAGUAAAUAGAAGUGUGAUGAUCAUCAUUAUUAGAGCGUUGUCCCAUGUGAGGAAAUAAAGAAAAGAAGAAGAAAAAAAGAGGCCAAAGAAGCAAAGAAAAAAAAGAAAAGAAAAAAAUGAGAGAAAAAGAGAGAAGGGGCAAUGUUACUAUCCCUUUUCCACACUUGUGCUUCAAAGUAGCACCAUGAUCUUCAUGAUAGAGAGUCUCUUAUUUUCUCACUUUCAUAUACUAGUGGGAAUUUUUCAUUAUAGAACUUGGCUUGUAUAUUCCAACGAUGGUCCUCCUCAAAUGCCCUAGGUCUUCAUGAGCAAGCAAGUUGGAUGCACACCCACUUAGUUUCUUUUUUGAGCUUUCAUACACUUAUAGCUCUAGUGCAUCCGUUGCAUGGCAAUCCCUACUCACUCACAUUGAUAUAUAUUGAUGGGCAUCUCCAUAGCCCAUUGACACGCCUAGUUGAUGUGAUACUAUCUCCCUCCUUUUGUCUUCUCCACCACCACCAUUCUAUUCCACCUAUAGUGAUAUGUCCAUGGCUCACGCUCAUGUAUUCGUGAAAGUUGAAAAGUUUGAGAAUACUAAAGUAUGAAACAAUUGCUUGGCUGAAACCGGGGUUGUGCAUGAUUUGAGUAUUUUGUGUGAUGAAGAUGGAGCAUAGCCAGACUAUAUGAUUUUGUAGGGAUAAGCUAUAGUGACCAGACCUCAAACAGUCUGAUCUCUGUGCAUGAGUGCCAUCCCUGGAUCGGUAAUGCUUACAUGCAUAGUACUUGAAGGAUUUAUAACAGAGUAGCAAUCACACACUUAUUACAUCGAAUGUCUCAAACGAGAACUUAUUACAAUAAAUAUGGCUUAAGGCCAUCUAAAUAUGAUAACAACGGAAGGCUUGGAAGAUAAAGCGAGUCCAUCAACUCCAACGACAUCACUGAGUGAAAGAUCACGACCUAAGGCACCUUACUCGUUGUCUGAAAAGUCUGCAACAUGAACAUUGCAGCCCGAAAACGGGCCAACACAUGGAAUAUGCUGGCAAUGUAAAACAUAGAGAGUAAUGAACAGAAUAAUGCUAUCACUACAUGCAUAUAUGGCUGGUGGAAAGCUCUAUGGUUACAGUUUUGCAUAAAGCCAAUUUUCCCCUACAACAAAGGAAUAAAUUUUAUUUAACUAUCAUGGUGGUUGUUAAACAUUGAGAAGGUUCACCCAACUCAAUUCCAAUUAAGCAUCAACAUUAAACCCAACAAAUUAAAUUAAGUAACAUGACGAGAUUCACAUGAUAAUCCAAGAAACUAGAUACUCAAAACAUCCAUAACCGGGGACACGGCUAACCAUGAUUAGUUUGUACACUCUGCAGAGGUUUGCACACUUUUCCCCACAAGACUCGAUCUCCUCCGUUGGAUUUCUCGCACUACAUGGUGUUUGAAAAACGGAUGACCGAGACAUAGUCUUCAGAAGCAUUAGCACCUUACGAUGGGUAGACAGUACCACCUACAUCCCCUACAUCUGCUAGUCUACCACUAUAAGAGUUCACACGACUUAAUUAACUAUGCUAGAGCCCGUAGUAGCUUGCGGCUGCACACAUAAGUUUCUAGCAUGAAUAAUCUCAUGAUCCCAUUGAGCCUGGGUGGUGGUCCAUAGGAGAAUCACAUGGUACCCCGGGAUUUCCAAAAAUACAGGCAACACUAGGUUCCCCAGGUGCCUCAAUCCACGAGAUGUGUAUUUAAGUGGCCACCUUAAGUUGAACCAUUAAUUAACAAACUCACAUCUGUCAUGGAUACACUCUCCCAAUCCACGUCUACGAGCAUAACAUAGCAAUAUAAGCAACGUAAAAGUAACUGAUACGUCUCCAACGUAUCUAUAAUUUUUUAUUGUUCCAUACUAUUAUAUUACCCUUUUGGAUGUUUAUGGGCUUUAUUUUACACAUUUAUAUCAUUUUUGGGACUAACCUACUAACCGGAGGCCCAGCCCAUAUUGCUGUUUUUUUUGCCUAUUUCAGUAUUUCGAAGAAAAGGAAUAUCAAACGGAGUCCAAAUGGAAUGAAACCUUCGGGAGCGUGAUUUUUGGAACGAACGUGAUUUGAAAAGCUUGGAGUGCAAGUCAAGAAGCUUCCGAGGGCCCCACGAGAUAGGGGGCCAUGCCCCCCUGUAGGGCGUGCCCCCUGUCUCGUGGGCCCCUCGGGCGGCCAUCGACGUACUUCUUCCUCCUAUAUAUACCUACGUACCCCGAAAACAUCCAGGAGCACCACGAAACACAAUUUCCACCGCCGUAACCUUCUGUAUCUGCGAGAUCUCAUCUUGGAGCCUUCGCCGGCACUCUACCGGAGGGGGAAUCGACCAUGGAGGGCUUCUACAUCAACAUCCUUGCCCCUCCGAUGAGUUGUGAGUAGUUUACCACAGACCUACGGGUCCAUAGUUAUUAGCUAGAUGGCUUCUUCUCUCUUUUUGGAUCUCAAUACAAUGUUCUCCCCCUCUCUUGUGGAGAUCUAUUCGAUGUAAACUCUUUUUGCGGUGUGUUUGUCGAGAUCCGAUGAAUUGUGGGUUUAUGAUCAAAGUUUAUCUAUGAAUAAUAUUUGAAUCUUCUCUGAAUUCUUUUAUGUAUGAUUGAGUUAUCUUUGCAAGUCUCUUCGAAUUAUCAGUUUGGUUUGGCCUACUAGAUUGAUCUAUCUUGCCAUGGGAGAAGUGCUUAGCUUUGGGUUCAAUCUUGCGGUGUCCUUACCCAGUGACAGAAAGGGUUGCAAGGCACGUAUUGUAUUUUUGCCAUCGAGGAUAACAAGAUGGGGUUUAUAUCAUAUUGCAUGAGUUUAUCCCUCUACAUCAUGUCAUCUUGCUUAAUGCGUUACUCUGUUCUUAUGAACUUAGUACUCUAGAUGCAGGCAGGAGUCGGUCGAUGUGUGGAGUAAUAGUAGUAGAUGCAGGCAGGAGUCGGUCUACUUGUUAUGGACGUGAUGCCUAUAUACAUGAUCAUGCCUAGAUAAUCUCAUAACUAUGCGCUUUUCUAUCAAUUGCUCGACAGUAAUUUGUUCACCCACCGUAAUACUUAUGCUAUCUUGAGAGAAGCCUCUAGUGAAACCUAUGGCCCCCGGGUCUAUCUCUUAUCAUAUUUGCUUUCAAUCUACUUUUAUUUGCAUCUUUACUUUUUGCAUCUAUAUUACAAAAUACCAAAUAUAUAUUUAUCUUAUCAUACUAUCUUUAUUAGAUCUCACUUUCGCAAGUGGCCGUGAAGGGAUUGACAACCCCUUUAUUGUGUUGGUUGCGAGUUCUCAGUUUGUUUGUGUACGUGCGUGGGACUUUUGAGGAGUCUCCUACUGGAUUGAUACCUUGGUUCUCAAAACUGAGGGAAAUACUUACGCUACACUUUGCUGCAUCACCCUCUCCUCUUCGAGGAAAACCAACGCAAGCUCAAGACGUAGCAAGAAGGAUUUCUGGCGCCGUUGCCGGGGAGGUCUUCGCUCAAGUCAAGACAUACCAAGUACCCAUCACAAACGCAUCUCCCUCGCAUUUACAUUAUUUGCCAUUUGCCUCUUGUUUUCCUCUCCCCCACUUCACCCUUGCCGUUUUAUUCGCCCUCUCUUUCCCAAUCUCCUCCUCUCUUUUCGCUUGCCAUUUUUCUAUUUGCUUAUGUGUUGGAUUACUUGUUGCCAUGGCGCAAGAUAAUACCAAAAUGUGUGAUUUCUCGAAUACCAAUAAUAAUGAUUUCCUUAGUACUCCGAUUGCUCUUCUUAAUGAUGUUGAGUCUUGUGAAAUCAAUACCGCUUUGCUGAAUCUUGUUAUGAAAGAUCAAUUCGCCGACCUUCCUAGUGAAGAUGCCGCUACUCAUCUAAACAAUUUUGUUGAUUUGUGUGAUAUGCAAAAGAAGAAAGAUACGGAUAACAAUAUUGUCAAAUUGAAGUUAUUUCCAUUUUCACUUAGAGAUCGUGCUAAAGUUUGGUUUUCGUCUUUGCCUAAAAAUAGUAUUGAUUCUUGGAACAAGUGCAAAGAUGCUUUUAUCUCUAAGUAUUUUCCUCCCGCUAAGAUCAUCACUCUUAGAAACGAUAUUAUGAAUUUUAAACAACUUGAUCAUGAGCAUGUUGCCCAAUCUUGGGAAAGAAUGAAAUUGAUGCUUUGCAAUUGCCCUACUCAUGGUUUGAAUUUAUGGAUGAUCAUACAAAAAUUUUAUACCGGUUUGAACUUUGCUUCUAGAAAUCUCUUAGAUUCGGCCGUGGGAGGCACGUUUAUGGAAAUCACAUUAGGAGAUGCUACAAAAUUGCUUGAUAAUAUUAUGGCCAAUUACUCUCAGUGGCACACCGAAAGAUCCUCUAGUAAAAAAAGUGCAUGCUAUAGAAGAAAUCAAUGUUUUGAGUGGAAAGAUGGAUGAACUUAUGAAGAUGUUUGCUAUUAAAAAUACUCCUCUUGAUCCUAAUGAUAUGCCUUUGUCUUCCUUGAUUGAGAAUAAUAAUGAAUCUAUGGAUGUGAAUUUUGUUGGUAGGAAUAGUUUUGGAAACAAUGCUUAUAGAGGAAAUUUUAAUGCUAGACCGUUCCCUAGUAAUCCCUCUAAUAAUUAUGGAAAAUUCCUACAAUAAUUCUUAUGGUAAUUUUAAUAAGAUGCCCUCUGAUUUUGAGAAUAGUGUGAAAGAAUUUAUGAUUUCUCAAAAGAAUUUUAAUGCUUUGCUUGAAGAAAAAUUGCUCAAAGUUGAUGAUUUGGCUAGGAACAUUGAUAGACUUUUGCUUGAUGUUGAUUCUCUGAAAAUUAGAUCUUAUCCUCCUAAGCAUGAUAUCAAUGAGUCUCUCAAAGUAAUGAGAAUUUCCAUUGACGAGUGCAAGGAAAGAACCGCUAGAUUGCGUGCUAAAAAAGAAAGCUUUAUAAAAGCGUGUUCUUCUAGUUUCCAUGAAAACAAUGAUGAGGAUCUUAAAGUUAUUGAUGCAACUCCGAUUAGAUCUAUGUUUUCCAAUAGGAAUUUUUAUGAUUAUGGGAGUGAUGAUGAAUCAACUUUGCCUAGAAGGCAUCCCAAAAAUUCAGAGUCUUUAGAUCUUAAUGUUAAAUUUGGUAAAAGUGAGAUUGGAGAAUCUUCAACUUCUAAUAAUAUUGAACCUACUGUCUCGGAUUUCAAGGAAUUUGAUUAUGAUAAUUGCUCUUUAAAAGGUUGUAUUUCCUUGUUGCAAUCCAUUGUUAAUUCUCCUCAUGCUUAUAGUCAAAACAUAGCUUUUACCAAGCAUAUUGUUGAUGCCUUGAUGCAAUCUUAUGAUGAAAAACUUAAUUUAGAAGUUUCUAUACCUAGAAAACUUAAUGAUGAGUGGGAACCUACUAUGAAGAUUAGAAUUAAAGAUCAUGAGUGUUUUGCUUUGAAUGAUUUGGGUGCUAGUGUUUCCACGAUUUCGAAAACUUUAUGUGAUAUUCUAGGUUUCCACGAUCUUGAUGAGUGCUCUUUAAAUUUGCACCUUGCGGAUUCCACCAUUAAAAAGCCUAUGGGAAGAAUCAAUGAUGUUCUUAUUGUUGCAAAUAGAAAUUUGGUGCCCGUAGAUUUUAUCGUUCUUGAUAUAGAUUGCAAUCCUUCUUGCCCUACUAUUCUUGGUAGACCUUUCUUUAAAACGAUUGGUGCGAUUAUUGAUAUGAAGGAAGGGAAUAUUAGAUUACAAUUUCCCUUAAAGAAAGGCAUGGAGCACUUUCAAGAAAGAAACUCAAAUUACCUUAUGAAUCUAUCAUGCGUGCUACUUAUGAAUUUAGUGCCAAAGAUGGCACUCGUUAGAUCUAUCUUUGCUUUUAUGCCUAGCUAGGGGCGUUAAACGAUAGCUCUAGUUGGGAGGCAACCCAAUUUUCUUUAUGUUUUUGUUUUUGCUCCUGUUUAGUAAUAAAUCUUGCAUCCACCUUAUGUUUAUAUGUGUUUUUAUCUUUUAAUUAGUGUUUGUGCCAAGUAGAACCUAUAGGAUAACCUACGAUGAUAGUUGAUUUGAUUCUGCUGAAAAACAGAAACUUUGUGCGCACGAAUAUAAUUUUGUUAAAUCACAGGAACGUGCUUUUGCAUUGAUUCUUUUUGAUGCUGUUCAAUAAACAAAUUUUCCAGGACUUCCUAUUUUGGUAGGAUUUUUAGAGUUCUAUAAGUUUGCGUUAGUUACAGAUUGCUACAAAUUGUUCUGUUUUUGACAGAUUCUGUUUUUCGUGUGUUGUUUGCUUAUUUCAAUGCAUCUAUGGCUAGUAAUUCAAUCUAUGAACCAUAAAGAAGUUGGAAUACAGUAGGUUUAACACCAAAUUAAAUUAAGAAUGAGUUCAUUGCAGUACCUUAUGUGGUGGUUUUGUUUUCUUUCACUAACGGAGCUUAUAAGAUUUCCUGUUGAGUUUUGUGUUGUGAAGUUUUCAAGUUUUGGGUAAAGCUUUUAUGGACUAUGAAAUAAAGGGUGGCAAGAGCCUAAGCUUGGGGAUGCCCAUGGCACCCCAAGAUAUUCAAGAAUAGCCAAAAGCCUAAGCUUGGGGAUGCCUCGGGAAGGCAUCCCCUCUUUCGUCUUCGUUCAUUGGUAACUUUACUUGGAGCUAUAUUUUUAUUCGCUACAUGUUAUGUGUUUUGCUUGAAGCGUCGUGUAUUAUAUUAGUCUUUGCUUUUUAGUUUACCACAAUCAUCCUUGCUGCACACACCUUUUGGGAGAAGCCUAUUUGAUUAGAAUUUGUUAGAAUACUCUAUGUGCUUCACUUAUAUCUUUUAAGCUUGAUAGUUUUUGCUCUAGUGCUUCACUUAUAUCUUUUAGAGCACGCUGGUGUCUUAACUUUGAAGAAAUUGCUAGUCUCUCAUCCUUCACUUAUAUUAUUUUGAGAGUCUUUUAGAACAACAUGGUAUUUGCUAUGGUCAUAAAGUUGGUCCUAGAAUGAUGAGCAUCCAAGUUGGGUAUAAUAAAAACUAUCAUAUGAAGUGAAUUGGAUGCUACGAUCAAUUUGAUGCUUGAUAAUUGUUUUGAGAUAUGGAGGUAGUGAUAUUAAAGUCAUGCUAGUUGGGUGAUUAUGAAUUCAAAGAAUGCUUGUGUUGAAGUUAGCAAAUCCCGUAGCAUGCACGUAUGGUUAAAGUUGUGUAACAAAUUUGAAACAUGAAGUGUACCUGGCUUGUGCAUCCUUAUGAGUGGCAGUCGAGGACGAGCGAUGGACUUUUCCUACCAAUCUAUCCCCCUAGGAGCAUGCGCGUAGUACUUGGUUUUUGAUGACUUCUAAAUUUUUGCAAUAAGUAUAUGAGUUCUUUUGACUAAUGUUGAGUCCAUGGAUUAUACGCACUUUUACCUUUCCGCCUUUGCUAGCCUCUUCGGUACCGUGCAUUGCCCUUUCUCACCUUGAGAGUUGGUGCAAACUUCGCCGGUGCAUCCAAACCCCGUGAUAUGAUACGCUCUAUCACACAUAAACCUCCUUAUAUCUUCCUCAAAACAGCCACCAUACCUACCUAUUAUGGCAUUUCCAUAGCCAUUCCGAGAUAUAUUGCCAUGCAAUUUUCAACUGUUCCGCUCAUCAUUAUCAUGACAUACUUUACUUUUGUCAUAUUGCCAUUGCAUGAUCAUGUAGUUGACAUCGUAUUUGUGGCAAAGCCACCAUGCAUUAUUUUUCAUACAUGUCACUCUUGAUUCAUUGCACCAUCCCGGUACACCGCCGGAGGCAUUCAUAUAGAGUCAUAUUUUGUUCUAGUUUCGAGUUGUAAUUCUUAUGUUGUAAUCCAUAGAAGUGUGAUGAUCAUCAUUAUUAGAACAUUGCCCAAAGAAAAAAAAAGAAAGGCCAAAAAGAAAAAAAGGAAGGCCUCCAAAAAAAGAAGAAAAGAAAAAAAGAAAAAAAGAAAAAAAAAGAAAAAGGAAAUAAAUAAAAAGGGCAAUGUUACUAUCUCUUUUUCCACACUUGUGCUUCAAAGUAGCACCUUGUUCUUCAUGUAGUGAGUCUCAUAUAUUGUGCUUCAAAGUAGCACCAUGUUUUUCAUAUAGUGAGUCUCAUAAGUUGUCUUUUUCAUACUAGUGGGAAUUUUUCAUUAUAGAACUUGGCUUGUAUAUUCCUACGAUGGUCUUCCUCAAAUGACCUAGGUCUUCGUGAGCAAGCAAGUUGGAUGCACACCCACUAGUUUUCUUUUGUUGAGCAUUCAUCUAUAGCUCCAGUGCAUCCGUUGCAUGGCAAUCCCUACUCCUCAUGUUGACAUCAAUUUAUGGGCAUCCCAUAUUCCGUGGAUUAUCCUCGUUAAUGUGAGACUUUCUCCUUUUUUGUCUUCUCCCCGUCAUCAUAUUCUAUUCCACCCAUAGUGCUAUAUCCAUGGCUCACGCUCAUGUAUUGCGUGAAGAUUGAAAAAGUUUGAGAUUAUUUAAGUAUGAAACAAUUGCUUGGCUUGUCAUCAGGGGUAUAGAAGUUGGGAACAUCUUUUGUUGACAAAAAUGAAGCAUAGCCUAACUAUAUGAUUUUGUAGGGAUGAACUUUCUUUUGCCAUGUUAUUUUGAGAAGACAUGAUUACUUUGAUUAGUAUGCUUGAAGUGUUACUAUUUCUUUUAUCAGUAUGAACUUUUAUUUUGUAUUCAUUUGGAUCUGAACAUUCAUGCCACAAUAAAGAAAAUUACAUUAUAAAUUAUUCUAGGUAGCAUUCCACAUCAAAAAUUCUCUUUUUAUCAUUUACCUACUCGAGGACGAGCAGGAAUUAAGCUUGGGGAUGCUUGAUACGUCUCCAACGUAUCUAUAAUUUUUGAUUGUUCCAUGCUAUUAUGUUACCCCUUUUGGAUGUUUAUGGGCUUUAUUUUACACAUUUAUAUCAUUUUUGGGACUAACCUACCAACCGGAGGCCAAGCCCAUAUUGCUGUUUUUUUUGCCUAUUUCAGUAUUUCGAAGAAAAGGAAUAUGAAAUAGAGUCCAAACGGAAUGAAACCUUCGGGAGCGUGAUUUUUGGAACGAACGUGCUCCGGAGAGCUUGGAGUGCAAGUCAAGAAGCUUCCGAGGGCUCCACAAGAUAGGGGGCCGCGCCCCCCUUGUAGGGCGCCCCCCUGUCUCAUGGGCCCCUCGAGCGGCCACCGACGUACUUCUUCCUCCUACAUAUACCUACGUACCCCGAAAACACCCAGGAGCACCACGAAACACAAUUUCCACCACCGUAACCUUCUGUAUCCGUGAGAUCUCAUCUUGGAGCCUCUGUCGGCACUCUGCCGGAGGGGGAACCGACCACGGAGGGCUUCUACAUCAACAUCCUUGCCCCUCCGAUGAGGUGUGAGUAGUUUACCACAGACCUACGGGUCCAUAGUUAUUAGCUAGAUGGCUUCUUCUCUCUUUUUGGAUCUCAAUACAAUGUUCUCCCCCUCUCUUGUUGAGAUCUAUUUGAUGUAAACUCUUUUUGCGGUGUGUUUGUCGAGAUCCGAUGAAUAGUGGGUUUAUGAUCAAAGUUUAUCUAUGAAUAAUAUUUGAAUCUUCUCUGAAUUCUUUUAUGUAUGAUUGAGUUAUCUUUGCAAGUCUCUUCGAAUUAUCAGUUUGGUUUGGCCUACUAGAUUGAUCUUUCUUGCCAUGGGAGAAGUGCUUAGCUUUGGGUUCAAUCUUGCGGUGUCCUUACCCAGUGACAGAAAGGGUUGCAAGGCACGUAUUGUAUUGUUGCCAUCAAGGAUAACAAGAUGGGGUUUAUAUCAUAUUGCAUGAGUUUAUCCCUCUACAUCAUGUCAUCUUGCUUAAUGCGUUACUCUGUUCUUAUGAACUUAAUACUCUAGAUGCAGGCAGGAGUCGGUCGAUGUGUGGAGUAAUAGUAGUAGAUGCAGGCAGGAGUCGGUCUACUUGUUAUGGACAUGAUGCCUAUAUACAUGAUCAUGCCUAGAUAAUCUCAUAACUAUGCGCUUUUCUAUCAAUUGCUCGACAGUAAUUUGUUCACCCACCGUAAUACUUAUGCUAUCUUGAGAGAAGCCUCUAGUGAAACCUAUGGCCCCCGGGUCUUUCUCUUAUCAUAUUUGCUUUCAAUCUACUUUUAUUUGCAUCUUUAAUUUUUGCAUCUAUAUUACAAAAUACCAAAAAUAUAUUUAUCUUAUCAUACUAUCUUUAUUAGAUCUCACUUUCGCGAGUGGCUGUGAAGGGAUUGACAACCCCUUUAUUGCGUUGGUUGCGAGUUCUCAGUUUGUUUGUGUAGGUGCGUGGGACUUUUGAGGAGCCUCCUACUGGAUUGAUACCUUGGUUCUCAAAACUGAGGGAAAUACUUACGCUACACUUUGCUGCAUCACCCACUCCUCUUCGAGGAAAACCAACGCAAGCUCAAGACGUAGCAGUAACUCAAACAGGACAUAGGUACUACCUCAUCUAUUUCCCAAAGCCCACAUAUUUAUCAGAUCCUAACCAUGAAAUUGUUUGAGGAUUGAUCUAAUGCAAUAAAACUGGGUAGUAAAGAGGUAUGAUCAAAGUGUUACUUGCCUUGCUGAUGAUCCGUGAAACCUAGAGACUCGUAGUAGCACGCUGCACUCUUCGGGUACUAUAUCACAAACAAACAAGCAUACAAUAAGCACUCAGCUAAUGCACGGGUAAAACUCAAAUAAGAGAUCUAACCAGAAAGUCCAAAUUAAGAACUCCGGUUUGCAAAAAGAAUCAAAUCAAAUGAAGCAACGAAACUCAAACGGCGAAAGAAACAAGCUUCGUUUACUAAUUUGGACCUAAGUCAAAUUUUAUAGUAGCAAAAACUUGUUUAAGUUGGUUAAAUGGAAAGAGGGUUUCGAGACGAAACUCUAGGCUCUUGAAUUUCUUGAUUCCGAUAAACGAGCGAAAAGAUAAACUAAAACAAAAAUCGGAUCAGAGAUCAUGAUCGAAAUAAUCGCGAAAAACCCGAGAUAAAGAAAAACUGACGAACAGGCUAACGAGCGAACGUUCGCUGUCUGCGGCUAAAGGUGAAAACCGUUCGUUAAAACAAAUGUGCGGACGAACAUCCGCUAAGUACCUAAACCGAAAAAAAAACAACGAACCGAAACUAAAAAAACGGAUCUAGGGUUUUAAAAAAACCGAACGAUUUUUAUAAAAAAAAACCGGCGGCGGCUACCUNNNNNNNNNNNNNNNNNNNNNNNNNNNNNNNNNNNNNNNNNNNNNNNNNNNNNNNNNNNNNNNNNNNNNNNNNNNNNNNNNNNNNNNNNNNNNNNNNNNNNNNNNNNNNNNNNNNNNNNNNNNNNNNNNNNNNNNNNNNNNNNNNNNNNNNNNNNNNNNNNNNNNNNNNNNNNNNNNNNNNNNNNNNNNNNNNNNNNNNNNNNNNNNNNNNNNNNNNNNNNNNNNNNNNNNNNNNNNNNNNNNNNNNNNNNNNNNNNNNNNNNNNNNNNNNNNNNNNNNNNNNNNNNNNNNNNNNNNNNNNNNNNNNNNNNNNNNNNNNNNNNNNNNNNNNNNNNNNNNNNNNNNNNNNNNNNNNNNNNNNNNNNNNNNNNNNNNNNNNNNNNNNNNNNNNNNNNNNNNNNNNNNNNNNNNNNNNNNNNNNNNNNNNNNNNNNNNNNNNNNNNNNNNNNNNNNNNNNNNNNNNNNNNNNNNNNNNCGCGGCGGCGGCGGCGAAGUCGGCGACGGCGGCUAGGGUUUCGCGGGGGCGCGGCUGGGCUGCGGGGUCGCGGCCUCAGGCUUUAAAGGCCGGCCGGGCGAGGUCUCCUGGCCGGGUACGGCCCGAAGUCGGUUUUACUUUUUUUAAAUAAUUCCGACGUGUAGAAAAAGAAAGAAAAGAAAUACUAAACGGACUCCAAAAAUCCCGAAAUAAAUUUUCCCCGUCCUCUAAAAAUAAGUCGGACAAGGUGAACAAUUAUUUGGGCCUAUAAUGCAAUUUUGGAAAACACGCAUUUUUCCUAAUUCAAAUAAAAUAGCGACAAAACUCCGAAAUAAAAUCUUAUUUGAUUUUAUUAUUAAAUCUCCAAUAUUUCUUUAUUUUGGGAAAGUCACUGUAUUCCCUCUCUCUUAUUUUUAUAUAAGAAAUAUACAAAGAUAAAAUAAUUAAAAUCAAAUGAUCCUAUUUUCAAAAAUUUGAGAAAACUCAAAUAUGAAAAUAACGAAAUCCCCAACUCUCUCUGUGGGUCCUUGAGUUGCGUAGAAUUUCUAGGAUCAAGCCAAAAUGCAAUAAAAUAUGAUAUGCAAUGAUGAUCUAAUGUAUAACAUUCCAAAUUGAAAAUUUGGGAUGUUACAAACCUACCCCCCGUUAAGAUGAAUCUCAGCCUCGAGAUUCUGGUUGGCUAGAAAAUAGGUGAGGGUGGUCCUUCAGUAGGUCUGCCUCUCGCUCCCAGGUGGGUUCAUCCUUGGUAUGGUGGCUCCACUGAACUUUGCAAAACUUGAUAACCUUGUUGCUUGUGACUCGGCUGGCAAACUCGAGAAUCUUCACUAGUUUCUCCUCGUAGGUCAAAUUGCUAUCCAACUGAAUCGCUUCCGAUGGCACUGUAUCUCUCAGAGGAAUAUCGGCCAUCUCUGCGUGGCACUUCUUCAACUGGGAAACGUGGAACACAUCGUGAACUCCUGACAAUCCUUCGGGCAAUUCCAACUUGUAAGCAACUUCUCCCAUACGCUCCAAAACUUUGUAUGGUCCCACAAAACGUGGUGCUAACUUUCCUUAACUCCAAAACGCUUAACUCCUCGAAGUGGGGACACUCGAAGAUAAACUCUGUCUCCGACUUCGUAAACUGUCUCCUUGCAUUUAAAAUCCGCAUAACUCUUCUGCCUGGACUGGGCUACCUUGAGCCUAUCGCGAAUCAAGUUAACCUUCUCCUCAGACUCUUUAACAAGUCUGGUCCAAACAACUGACAGUCUCCAACUUCGUCCCACAACAACGGUGUCCUACACCUCCUUCCGUACAAAGCUUCGAAAGGGGCCAUCUUCAAACUAGAUUGAUAACCGUUGUUGUAAGAGAACUCUGCAUAAGGUAAAUUGUCGUCCCAACUAGAUCCAUAAUCUACCGUACAAGCUCUCAACAUGUCCUCCAGAAUCUGAUUGACUCUCUCGGUUUGUCCAUCUGUCUGUGGAUGAAAGGCUGUACUGAACUCUUGCCUGGUACCCAAAGUUUCGUGCAACUGAUUCCAGAACUUUGAGGUAAACUGGGUUCCUCUAUCUGAUACAAUGGUCCUAGGAACUCUGUGCAGACAUACGAUCCUGGUCAUGUAUAUCUUUGCCAACUUAGCACUUGUAUAAGUGGUCUUCGCUGGGAUGAAAUGAGCUACCUUUGUCAAACGAUCAACUACAACCCAUAUCGAGCCAUAGCCUGAAGGAGUCCUGGGCAAUCCUAUGAUAAAAUCCAUGCCUAGCUUAUCCCAUUUCCAUUCGGGUAUCGGCAAUGGCUGUAGCAAUCCUGCUGGCUUUUGAUGCUCUGCCUUUACUCUCUAACAUACAUCACAAACUGAUACAUACUCUGCAAUAUCCUUCUUCAUUCUGGUCCACCAGAAAGUGUCCUUCAAAUCCACAUACAUCUUGGUAUUUCCUGGGUGAAUCGAAUACGGUGAAUCAUGGGCCUCCUGCAGAAUCAACUUCCUGAUCUCCGGGUCAUUAGGCACAUAUACACGGUCCUCAAACCAUAGGGUAUCGUGCUCAUCCUCACGAAAUCCCUUAGCUUUUCCUUUGCUCAUCUUCUCCUUUAUCUCGGCAAUAUCCUUGUCAGUCUUUUGAGCUUCUCUGGUCUUAUCCAUCAAAGUAGACUAAAUCUCCAAUGCUGCUACAUAGCCUCUUGGAACUAUCUCCAAACAUAGCUCGUGAAGAUCCUCGGCUAACUCCUUUGGUAACUCUUCGGUCAUGAGUGUGUUGACAUGGCUCUUGCGUCUCAACGCAUCGGCUACUACGUUAGCCUUUUCGGGGUGAUAAUGCAAUCUCAUAUCAUAAUCCUUAAUGAGCUCCAACCAUCUCCUUUGCCUGAGAUUGAACUCCUUCUGCAUGAAGAUAUACUUCAAACUCUUGUGAUCCGUGUAUACCUCACAAUGGUUUCCGAUGAGAAAAUGUCUCCAUGUCUUCAAUGCAUGCACUACGGCUGCUAACUCCAAAUCAUGUGUAGCAUAAUUCAACUCAUGGGGCUUAAGUUGUCGUGAGGCAUAACAAACAACUCUUCCCUCCUGCAUAAGCACUGCUCCAAGUCCUCGACGAGAAGCAUCGCAAUAUACUUCAUAAUCCUUGCGCUGAUCUGGCAGAAUCAACACCGGUGAUGUAACCAAACGUUUCUUCAACUCCUGGAAACUGGCCUCACAUUCCUUAGUCCAUUUGAAUUUGGUGUCCUUCUUCAACAACUCCGUCAUGGGUUUGGCAAUCUUCGAGAAAUUCUCAAUGAACCUCCGGUAGUAUCCCGCGAGUCAAAGAAAACUCCGGAUCUCUCCAACUGACGUGGGUGCUUCCCAAUUUGUCACAGUGACAACUUUGGUGGGGUCUACUGCUAUUCCUUCUUCGGAUAUAACAUGUCCGAGGAAUCCAACUUCCUUCAACCAAAACUCGCACUUGCUGAAUUUGGCAUAUAACUGAUGUUCUCUGAGCUUCCCAAGUACCAAACACAAAUGCUCCUUAUGCUCCUCUUCAUUCUUCGAGUAGACCAAAAUAUCAUCAAUGAACACCAUGACGAACUUAUCCAAAAACUCCAUAAACACCUUGUUCAUCAUGUUCAUAAAAUAGGCAGGUGUGUUAGUCAGACCAAUGACAUAAUGAUAUACUCAUAUAGCCCGUACCUGGUGGUAAAAGCUGUCUUAGGUAUAUCAUGCUCUCGAAUCUUCAGCUGGUGGUAUCCUGAUUACAGAUCGAUCUUGGAAAAUACCUUAGCUCCUUGCAACUGGUCAAACAGAUCAUUGAUCAUCGACAGUGGGUACUUGUUCUUGAUUGUCACUUCGUUCAAUCCUCGAUAAUCAACAACCAUCCUCAAUGAUCCAUCUUUCUUCUCAACUAGAAGUACUGGUGAUCCCCAAGGUGACGAACUUGGGCGAAUAUAGCCUUUAUCCAGCAACUCCUUAAUCUGCUUCUUAAUUUCCUCUAAAUCCUUUGAGGGCAUCCUGUACGGUCUCUUAGAUAUUGGCCAUGUGCCUGGCAAAAGCUCAAUCAAAAACUCAAUGUCUAUAUCUGGUGGCAUGCCUGGCAACUCUUCUAGAAAUACGUCAGGGAAAUCCUUCACCACUGGUACUUCCUCCUGUACAACUCCUGAUAAGGAAUUCACUUGAGUCCUCUUCGGCACAUGUCGGGAUACAUACUUGAUCCUUCUUCCUUCUAGGGUUGUAAGCAAAAUCGACUUACUGGCGCAUUCAAUGUUCCCUCCAUACUUUGAUAACCAAUCCAUGCCUAAUAUCACAUCCAGUCCUUGCAACUCCAAUACUAUUAGGUCUAAGGGAAACACGUAGUUACCAAUCCUCAAUGGUAACCGAUCACACCAUAGACUAGCCAUAUACUCUGCUCCUGGAGAGGUUACUAACAUGGGUGACCUAAGGGCUUAGGUUGGCAGUUUAUACUUAUCCACAAAUCCCCUUGAUAUGUAUGAAUGCGAUGCACCAAUAUCAAAAAGAACGAUUGCAGUAAAUGACUUAACCAAAAACUUACCUAUUACUGCAUCUGGCUGGGCUUCAACCUCCUCCACACUAACGUGGUUCACCUGUCCCCUGUUGAAAGGGUUAGGCUUCUUCCCAGAGCUUCCAUUGCCAUUUCCAUUCUUAGGUUUAGGACAUUCAUUGGCAUAAUGUCCAGUCUUCUGGCACUUGUAGCAAGUAACGUGGCUCAAAUCCUUCUUGGCUAGGGUGGCUGGGUUGGUACGGUUCUGACCGUUGCUUCCUCCAUUCCCAUUGCCAUUCUUGGGGCCACUAUGGUUGUGCGAACUCCCUCCAUUGUGAUUGUGACCUCCAUGGGUAUGCUAAAAAGGUCCUCCUGAGUUCGGGGUAAAACGAGGCUUCUGCUGAGCUCUAGAAUUGUACUUCCCUUGUCCAUACUUCCUCUUGCGACUGUCAAUCUGUUGCUGCUUCCCUUCAAUCAUAAGAGCUCGGUCUACCAACUCCUGGUAGUUGUUGAAGGUUGCCACCAUCAACUGCAUGCUCAGCUGAUCAUUUAGUCCUUCCAGAAACUUCUCCUGCUUAGUUGCAUCCGUAGCAACAUCAUCUGGGGCAUAACGUGCUAGCUUACUAAAGUCAUCCACAUACUGGCCAACUGUACGUCCUCCUUGGCGCAAGUUGUGAAACUCACGCUUCUUCAUGGCCAUAGCUCCUGCUGAAACAUGGGCAGUACGGAAAGCCUGCUGAAACUGAUCCCAUGUGACAGUGUCGAUGGGGUAAGUGGCUGUGAAAUUCUCCCACCAUGAUGCUGCGGGUCCAUCAAGCUGAUGUGCGGCAAAGCGCACUCUCUCCGCAUCUAUGCAUCCUGUAGUGGCCAACUCCCUUCCAAUCUUGCGGAGCCAAUCAUCCGCAACUAUCGGCUCGGUGCUACUAGAGAACACCGACGGAUUAAGCCUCAAGAAACGGGUUAAGUGAUCAACAGGUGGUGGUGGUGGCGGGUUGUUGUUGUUGUUGUUGUUGUUGUUGUUGUUGUUCCCCUGAUUCUGAUUCUGAACUAGUAUCUGCAUCAAUGCAUUCUGCUGUUGGAUCAACUGAGUGAGCUCCGGUGGGAAAGCAAAUCCAUUGUCAUGUCUCAGAGGCAUCUGAGGGUUUAGAAUGGAUGAGAAUACAUAAUAGAAUGAGGUCUAGAGAGAAAACACUACCCAUAUGCACAUGAGACAAACACAAACAUAUCACUUCAAUCAAUUCAAACAAGGGCAUACAACGGUCUAACUAUCGUUACAAAAGUGCUCGGACUAUACUAUAUACAUGGGGGAAUACUACUACUGUUAUGGUGGUCGACUAGAAAAAUUGAUCGGUCGAAGACUCCAUGAUAUCUGCUCUAGCUUCAUCAACAUAGUCAUCAUCGCUAUCAUUAGGGUUUGAGUCGGUGUCGUCAAUGAUGAUGUAGUUCUCUGGGCAAGUGCAAUCGUCAUCAUCUCCUCUUGGCGCGGGGUAUCCCAUAAAUACUUUUAGCUUCUUCUUUAGAUCAUCAUUCUUCUCCACAAGUGUUGUCAUUUCCUCCUCAUAUCCCUUGUGGGUAGACUUGAGUUCUUCUUCCAGCUCUGUGAUCCUGGUCAUAGCUUUCUUCAGAUCUAUCAUGCCUGCGCACAUCUGGUUCUCCUGGCGUCAAAUGUGCUGGUUUAACUCCUGGAUGAAUAUUGCAAUGCAUCUAUCCUUCCUGGUGCUGAUCAUCUCCCAUUGCUCAUCUCGGUGCCCACAAUUUUGGUAGAUAGUAUCCUUGAGAUCCUUGUGGUAAAGUUCUCCAAUGCGUCCCAUGGUGAUGUGAGCUGCCAUGCUCUUUCCUAGACUCCAGGUUGGUGCAUCAAGGAAAACUCUAUGGGCUCAGUGACUGGCAUGAACGUCCUUCCUGGAACUUGAACUUGGAUCAUCCAACGCUUCUCUUCUAGUGAAGUGGCGAUGUAGGUCCCGGUGAAGCUUGGUACUCCGAUAUUCAGGUAUCUAGUGACUUCCUUCAAGUGGCGUCCAAAAGGUGUAUCUUCAUCCGGUUGUGUGAACUUGUUCCUUGCAUCUGCCAUCCUAAAGAGUAGAGAAGGGAGAGGAGUUAUAAAUGAGAAGAGAGUAGUGAUCUAGGGCUUUAGCUUAGUGGUCGUGUCCUACAGUCAGCGUGUACUCUGAUACCAUCUUGUAGCGACCAGACCUCAAACAGUCUGAUCUCUGUGCAUCAAUGCCAUCCCUGGAUCGGUAAUGCUGACACGCACAGUACUUGAAGGAUUUAUAAUAGAGUAGCAAUCACACACUUAUUACAUCGAAUGUCUCAAACGAGAACUUAUUACAAUAAAUAUGGCUUAAGGCCAUCUAAAUACGAUAACAGCGGAAGGCUUGGAAGAUAAAGCGAGUCCAUCAACUCCAACGACAUCACUGAGUGAAAGAUCACGACCUAAGGCACCUUAUUCGUUGUCUGAAAAGUCUGCAACAUGAACAUUGCAGCCCGAAAACGGGUCAGCACAUGGAAUAUGCUGGCAAUGUAACACAUAGAGAGUAAUGAAUAGAAUAAUGCUAUCACUACAUGCAUAUAUGGCUGGUGGAAAGCUCUAUGGUUACAGUUUUGCAUAAAGCCAAUUUUCCCCUACAACAAAGGAAUAAAUUUUAUUUAACUAUCACGGUGGUUGUUAAACAUUGAGAAGGUUCACCCAACUCAAUUCCAAUUAAGCAUCAACAUUAAACCCAAGAAAUUAAAUUAAGUAACAUGAUGAGAUUCACAUGAUAAUCCAAGAAACUAGAUACUCAAAACGUCCAUAACCGGGGGACACGGCUAACCAUGAUUUGUUUGUACACUCUGCAGAGGUUUGCACACUUUUCCCCACAAGACUCGAUCUCCUCCGUUGGAUUUCUCGCACUACAUGGUGUUUGAGAAACGGAUGACCGAGACAUAGUCUUUUAGAAGCGUUAGCACCUUACGAUGGGUAGACAGUACCACCUACAUCCCCUACAUUUGCUAGUCUACCACUGUAAGAGUUCACACGACUUAAUCAACUAUGCUAGAGCCCAUAGUAGCUUGCGGCUGCACACGUAUGUUUCUAGCAUGAAUAAUCUCAUGAUCCCUUUGAGCCUAGGUGGCGGUCCAUAGGAGAAUCACACGGUACCCCGGGAUUUCAAAAAAUACAGGAAACACUGGGUUCCCCAGGUGCCUCAGUCCACCCAGAUGUGUAUUUAAGUAGCCACCUUAAGUUGAACCAUUAAUUAACAAACUCACAUCUGUCAUGGAUACACUCACCCAAUCCACGUCUAUGAGUAAAGCAUAGCAAUAUAAGCAACGUAGAAGUAACUCCCAAUGGUUUGAUAAUAAACAUGACAUAGGUACUACCUCAUCUACUUCCCAAAACCCACAUAUUAAUCAGAUCCUAACCAUGCAAUUGUCUGAGGAUUGAUCUAAUGCAAUAAAACUGGGUAGUAAAGAUGUAUGAUCAAAGUGUUACUUGCCUUGCUGAUGAUCCGUGAAACCUAGAGACUCGUAGUAGCACGCUGCGCACUCCAGGUACUCUAUCGCAAACAAACAAGCAUACAAUAAGCACUCAUCUAAUGCACGGGUAAAACUCAAAUAAGAGAUCUAACCAGAAAGUCCAACUUAAGAACUCCGGUUUGCAAAAAGAAUCAAAUCAAACGAAGCAACGAAACUCAAACGACGAAAGAAACAAGCUUCAUUUACUAAUCUGGACCUAAGUCAAAUUUUACAGUAGCAAAAACUUGUUUAAGUUGGUUAAACGGAAAGAGGGUUUCGAGACGAAACUCUAGGCGCUUGAAUCGCCUGAUUCUGAUAAACAAGCGAAAAGAUAAACUAAAACGAAAAUCGGAUCAGUAAUCAUGAUCGAAAUAAUCGCGAAAACCCGAGAAAAAGAAAAACUGAUGAACAGGCUAACGAGCGAACAUUCGCUGUCUGCGGCUAAACCAUGAAAACCGUUCAUUUAAACGAACGUAUGGACAAACCUCCGCUAAGUACCUAAACCGAAAUAAAACUGACGAACCGAAACUAAAAAAACGGAUCUAGGGUUUUAAAAAAAUUGAACGGUUUUUAUAAAAAAAACCCAGCGGCGGCUACCUCGGGUCCGGCGGGAUUCCGGCAAGGCGGCGAGGCGGCGACGGGCUCCGGCGGGCAGCUACGGGCGGCGGCUGGCGCGGGACUGCGCGGCGGUGGCGGCUAGGGUUUCGCGGGGGCGCAUAUGGGUGCAGGGUCGCGGUCUCGGGCUUUAAAGGCCGGCCGGGCGAGGUCUCGUGGCCGGGUACGGCCUGAAGUCGGUUUGACUUAAAAAAAUUUCUGGCGUGCAGAAAAAGAAAGAAAAGAAAUACUAAACGGACUCCAAAAAUCCCGAAAUAAAUUUUCCCUGUCCUCUAAAAAUAAACUGGACAAGCUGAACAUUUAUUUGGGCCUAUAAUGCAAUUUUGAAAAACGCGCAUUUUUCCUAAUUCAAAUAAAAUAGCGAUAAAACUCCGAAAUAAAAUCUUAUUUGGUUUAUUAUUAAAUCUCCAAUAUUUCUUUAUUUUGGGAAAGUCAUUUUAUUCCCUCUCUCUUAUUUUUAUAUAAGAAAUAUACAAAGAUAAAAUAAUUAAAAUCAAAUGAUCUUUUUUAAAAAAAUUUGAGGAAACUCAAAUAUGAAAAUAACGAAAUCCCCAACUCUCUCUGUGGGUCCUUGAAUUGCGCAGAAUUUCUAGGAUCAAGCCAAGAUGCAAUAAAAUAUGAUAUGCAAUGAUGAUCUAAUGUAUAACAUUUCAAAUUGAAAAUUUGGGAUGUUACAUAAGCUUUCUUUGGCCAUGUUAUUUUGAGAAGACAUAAUUGCAUUGUUAGUAUGCUUGAAAUAUUAUUGUUUUUAUGUCAAUAUUAAACUUUUGUUUUGAAUCUUUUGGAUGUGAGCAUUCAUGCCACAAUAAAGAGAAUUACAUGGAUAAAAUAUGUUAGGUAGCAUUUCACAUCAACAUUUUUGUUUUUAUCAUUUACCUACUCGAGGACGAGCAGGAAUUAAGCUUGGGGAUGCUUGAUAUGUCUCCAACAUAUCUAUAAUUUUUGAUUGUUCCAUGCUAUUAUAUUAUCUGUUUUGGAUGUUUAAUAUGCAUUUAUCUGCUAUUUUAUAUUAUUUUCUAGGACUAACUAUUAACCUAGAGCCCAGUGCCAAUUUCUGUUUUUUUGCCUAUUUUAGAGUUUCACACAAAAGGAAUACCAAACGGAGUCCAAGCGGAAUGAAAUUUCCGCGAUGAUCUUUCUUGGACCAGAAGCAAACCAGGAGAGUUGGAGAUGAAGUCGGAGAUGCAACGACGCAGCCACGGGGGUGGAGGGCGCGCCCCUACCUCCUGAGCCCCUUGUGGGUCUCCUGACCUAGUUCCCUCUCAUAUAUAUACUCGUAUACCCUAAAAACAUCGAGGGAAGCCAUGAAACCACUUUUCCACUGCCGCAACCUUCUGUACCCGUGAGAUCCCAUCUAGGGACCUUUUCCGGCGUCCUGUCGGAGGGGGAUUCGAUCAUGGAGGGCUUCUACAUCAACACCAUUCCUCUCUGAUGAAGCGUGAGUAGUUUACCACAGACCUAUGGGUCCAUAGCUAGUAUCUAGAUGGCUUCUUCUCUCUCUUUGAUUCUCAAUACCAUGUUCUCCUCGAUGUUCUUGGAGAUCUAUUCGAUGUGAUAUUCUUUUGCGGUGUGUUUGUCGAGAUCCGAUGAAUUGUGGAUUUAUAAUCAGAUUAUCUAUGAAUAUUAUUUGGUUCUUCUCUGAAUCCCUAUAUGCAUGAUUUGAUAUCUUUGCAAGUCUCUUUGAAUUAUCGGUUUAGUUUGGCCUAUUAGAUUGGUUUUUCUUGCAAUGGGAGAAGUGCUUAGCUUUGGGUUCAAUCUUGCGGUGUCCUUUCCCAGUACAGUAGGGGCAGCAAGGCACGUAUUGUAUUGUUGCCAUUGAGGAUAAAAAGAUGGGGUUUUCAUCAUAUUGCUUGAGUUAAUUCCUCUACAUCAUGUGAUCUUACUUAAUGCGUUACUCCGUUCUUUAUGAACUUAAUACUAUAGAUGCAUGUUGGAUAGCGGUUGAUGUGUGGAGUAAUAGUACUAGAUGCAGAAUCGAUUCGGUCUACUUGACACGGACAUGAUGCCUAUGUUCAUGAUCAUUGCCUUAGAUAUCGUCAUAACUUUACGCUUUUCUAUCAAUUGCUCAACAGUAAUUUGUUUACCCACUGUAAUAUUUGCUAUCUUGAGAGAAGCCACUAGUGAAAUCUAGGGCCCCUGGGUCUCUUUUCCAUUAUAUUGAAUCUCUUUUACAUCAUACUAGUUUCCGAUCUACUAUUUUGCAAUAUUUUACUUUCCGAUCUAUAAACCAAAAAUACAAAAAAUAUUUACUUUGCCGUUUAUAUAUCUCUAUCAUAUCUCACUUUUGCAAGUAACCGUGAAGGGAUUGACAACUCCUUUAUCGCAUUGGGUGCAAGUUGUUGAUUGCUUGUGCAGGUAUUCGGUGACUUGUGCGUUGUUUCCUACUCGAUUGAUACCUUGGUUCUCAAACUGAGGGAAAUACUUACUCUACUUUGCUGCAUCAGCCUUUCCUCUUCAAGGGAGAAACCAAUGCAAGCUCAAGAGGUAGCAAUAAUAAACAUUCAAUAUUGACACUAUAAUAGCAUGGGACAAUAAAAAAUUAUAGAUACGUUGGAGACGUAUCAAUGGGUGUGCAUCCAACUUGCUUGCUCAUGAAGACCUCGGGCAUCUGAGGAAGCCCAUCAUCGGAGUAUACAAGCCAAGUUCUAUAAUAAAAAAUUCCCACUAAUAUUUGAAAAUGGAAGCAUAGGAGACUCUCUAUAUGAAAAACAUGGUGCUACUUUGAAGCACAAGUGUGGAAACAGAUAGUAACAUUGUCCCUUUUCUCUUUUUCUCUCAUUUUUUGGUGGGAUCUUUUUGGCUUCUUUUUUCUUGGGCUCUUUUUGGCCUCUCUAUUUAUUUUAUUUCCCCACUGGGACAAUGCUCUAAUAGUUAAUAAUGAUGAUCAUCAUACUUCUAUUUACUUACAGCUCAAAAUUGUAACUCGAUACUAGAACAAAAUAUGACUCUAUAUGAAUGCCUCUGGCAGUGUACCAGGAUGUACAAUGAUCUAGCAUAACAGGUAUAAAAAUGAUGAACGGUGGCCAAGCCACAAAUACUAUGUCAACUAUAUGACAAUGCAAAGCAAUAUGAUAAUGAUGAUGUGUGUCAUAAAACAGAAUGGUGCAAGUUGCAUGGCAAUAUAUCUCAGAAUGGCUAUGAAAAUGCCAUAAUAGGUAGGUGCGGUGGAUGUUUUGAGGAAGAUAUAAGGAGGCUUAUGUGUGAUAGAGCAUAUCAUAUCACGGGGUUUGUAUGCACCGGCGAAGUUUACACCAACUCUCGAGGUGAGAAAGGGCAAUGCAUGGUACCGAAGAGUCUAGAAAAUUGCGGAAAGGUGAGAGUGUGUAUAAUCCAUGGACUCACACUAGUCAUAGAGAACUCAUAUACUUAUUGCGGAAGUUUAUUAGCCCUCGAAGCAAAGUACUAGUACACAUGUUCCUAGGGGGAUAGAUUGGUAGGAAAAGACCAUCGCUUGUCCCCACCGCCACUCAUAAGGAAGACAAUCAAUAAUAAAACAUGCUCCAACUUCUUAGCAUAACAAGAGACCACACGUGCAUGCUUCGGGAAUCACAAACCUUAGCACCAAUAUUCAGACUAAACCACAAUAAUUCACUAGUACCUCCCAUAUAUUACCAUCUUAAUAUCGCAAAAUUAUUGCAAGGAAUAAAACUUAUCAUAUUCAGUGAUCUACAUGAAAGUUUUUAUUAUAUCCCUCUUCAAUACCUAUCAUAUUAGGACAAAUUCAUAACCCGUGCAUAUUACCAUUACUAUUUAUCAAACUCUCAAAAUGAUACAAGUGAAGCAUGAGAGGUGAAACUUUUUCUUUCAAAUAUAACCACUGUUGUGCUCUAAAAAUAUAAGUGAAGCACUAGAGUAACUGCCUAGCUCAAAAGAUAUAAGCGAAGCACAAAAAGUAUUCUUACCAAUCAUGAAUGAGUGUGUAUCCCUCUCCAAAGGUGUCCAACAAAGAUGAUUGUGACAAACUAAAAAGCAACAAAGCAAAGAUUAAUAUUAUACACGACACUCCAACCAAAACUCAUAUGAUGUGAUGAGUAAAAAAUAGCUCCAAGUAAUUUACUGAUGGUUGUAGACGAAAAAGGGGACGCCACCCGGGGCAUCCCCAAGAUUAGAUGCUUGGGUCUCUCUGGAUAUUACCUUGGGGUGCCUUGGGAAUCCCCAAGCUUAGGAUCUUGCCACUCUCUAUUCCUUCAUCUGUCCUGGUCUUACUCAAAACUUGAAAACUUCAGCACAUAAAACUCAACAAAAACCUUCGUGAGAUCCAUUAGUAUACCAAUCAAAUCACAAACUGUAGGUACUAUUAUGAACCCAUUAAUUUUUUAUUAUUGCAUAAUAUACAUACUAUAUUCCAACUUCUCCAUGACUUAUACCCGCGAUACAAGCCAUAGAUUUAUCAAAACAAGCAAACUAUGCAACAAAAAUAGAUUCUGUCCAAAAUAGAAUAGUUUGUAACAAUCUGAAUAAUGACUAUACUUCUAGAACUCUAAAAAUUCUGAAGUAUUAGGACAAUGUGGGAAAUUUUUAAAUCAAUCAUGUGUAAAAAAAUCAGAUAAAAAACACAUUCUAGUGAUUUUUGAAAAUUCACGGAGUGAGCGCAAAAGUUUCUGUUUUUUCACAUAAUCGAAUCAACUAUCAACCAAGUCAUCUCAAAGGCUUUACUUGGCACAAACACUAAUUAAAACACAAAAACACAACCAUAACAGUAGCAUAAUUGUGUGCACACUCAAAAGCAGAAAAGAUAAAUAUUGGUUUCUCUCCUAACAAGCUCUUUCUUUGUAGCCAUUGAGAUAGGUGCUACCUCUUGAGCUUGCGUUGGUUUUUCCAUUGAAGAGGAAAUGGUGAUGCAACAAAGUAGCGUAAGUAUUUCCCUCAGUUUUGAGAACCAAGGUAUCAAUCCAGUAGGAGACAGCGCACAAGUCACCUAGUACCUGCACAAACAAUCAAGAACCUUGCAACCAACGCGAUAAAGGGGUUGUCAAUCCCUUCACGGUCACUCGCAAAAGUGAGAUCUAAUGGGGAUAAUAAAGUAAAUAUUUUUGGUAUUUUUGUUGUAUAGAUUGGAAAGUAAAGAUUGCAAAAUAGUAAACGAGAUUCGAUAAUAUGGAAAAGAGAUGCAAUAUAGUGGAAAAGAGACCCGGGGGCCAUAGGAUUCACUAGUGGCUUCUCUCAAGAUAGCAUGUAUUACUGUUGGUGAACAAAUUACUGCCAAGCAAUUGAUAGAAAAGUGCAUAAUUAUGAAAAUAUCUAAGGCAAUGAUCAUGAACAUAGGCAUCACGUCCAUGUCAAGUAGACCGAACCUAUUAUGCAUCUACUACUAUUACUCCACACAUCGAUCGCUAUCCAGCAUGCAUCUAGAGUAUUAAGUUCAUAAGAACGGAGUAACGCAUUAAGCAAGAUGACAUGAUGUAGAGGGAUAAACUCAAGCAAUAUGAUAUAAACCCCAUCUUUUUAUCCUCGAUGGCAACAAUAAAAUACGUGCCUUGCUGCCCCUACUGUCACUGGGAAAGGACACCGCAAGAUUGAACCCAAAGCUAAGCACUUGUCCCAUUGCAAGAAAGAUCAAUCUAGUAGGCCAAACUAAACCAAUAAUUCGAAGAGACUUGCAAAGAUAUCAAAUCAUGCAUAUAAGAAUUCAGAUAAGAACCAAAUAAUAUUCAUAGAUAAUCUUGUUCAUAAAUCCACAUUUCAUCGGAUCUCGGCAAACACACCGCAAAAGAGUAUUACAUCGAAUAGAUCUCCAAGAACAACGAGGAGAACUUUGUAUUGAGAAUCAAAGAGAGAGAAGAAGCCGUCUAGCUAAUAACUAUGAACCCAAAGGUUUGUGGUAAACUACCCACGCUUCAUUUGAGAGGCAAUGUUGUUGAUGUAGAAGCCCCCCGUGAUUGAUUCACCCUCCGGCAGAUCGCCGAAAAAGGCCCCAAGAUGGGAUCUCACGGGUACAGAAGGUUGCAGCGGUGGAAAAGUGGUUUUGUGGCUCCCCGUGGUGUUUCUAGGGUAUAAGAGUAUAUAUAGGCGAAAGAAGUACGUCGGUGGAGCUACGAGGGGCCCAUAAGGGUGGGGGGCACGCCUACCCCCUAGAUGCGCCCUCUUGCCUCGUGGACGCCUCGUGGCGUUUCUGACUUCAACUGCAAGUCUUCUGGUUUGCUUUCGGUCCAAGAAAGAUCAUUGCGAAGGUUUCAUUCCUUUUGGACUCCGUUUGAUAUUCCUUUUCUGCAGAACUCUGAAAUAGGCAAAAAAAACAGAAACUGGCACUAGGCCUCCAGUUAAUAGGUUAGUCCCAAAAAUAAUAUAAAAGAGCAUAUUAAAGCCCAUUAAACAUCUAAAACAGAUAAUAUAAUUGCAUGGAACAAUCAAAAAUUAUAGAUACGUUGGAGACGUAUCAAGCAUCCCCAGGCUUAAUUCCUGCUCGUCCUCGAGUAGGUAAAUGAUAAAAACAGAAUUUUUGAUGUGGAAUGCUACCUAACAUAUUUAUCAAUGUAAUUUUAUUUAUUGUGGCAUGAAUGUUCAGAUCCAAAAUAUUCAAGAUAAAAGUUUAAUAUUGACAUAAAAACAAUAAUACUUCAAGCAUACUAACAAACCAAUCAUGUCUUCUUAAAAUAACAUGGCCAAAGAAAGCUAUCCCUACAAAAUCAUAUAGUCUGGUUAUGCUCUAUCUUCAUCACACAAAGUAUUUAAUCAUGCACAACCCCGAUGACAAGCCAAGCAAUUGUUUCAUACUUUUGAUGUUCUCAAACUUUUUCAAUCUUCACGCAAUACAUGAGUGUGAGCCAUGGACAUAGCACUAUAGGUGGAAUAGAAUGGUGGAUGUGGAGAAGGCAAAAAGGAGAAGAUAGUCUCACAUCAACUAGGUGUAUCAACGGGCUAUGGAGAUGCCCAUCAAUAGAUAUCAAUGUGAGUGAGUAGGGAUUGCCAUGCAACGGAUGCACUAGAGCUAUAAGUGUAUGAAAGCUCAACCAAAGAAACUAAGUGGGUGUGCAUCCAACUUGCUUGCUCACGAAGACCUAUGGCACUUUGAGGAAGCCCAUCAUUGGAAUAUACAAGUCAAGUUCUAUAAUGAAAAAUUCCCACUAGUAUAUGAAAGUGACAACAUAGGAGACUCUCUAUUAUGAAGAUCAUGGUGCUACUUUGAAGCACAAGUAUGGUAAAAGGAUAGUAGCAUUGACUCUUCUCUAUUUUUCUCUCAUUUUUUUAUUUGGGCCUUUUUUCUCUCUCUUUUUAUGGCCUCUUUUUUUUAGUCCGGAGUCUCAUCCCGACUUGUGGGGGAAUCAUAGUCUCCAUCAUCCUUUCCUCACUGGGACAAUGCUCUAAUAAUGAAGAUCAUCACACUUUUAUUUACUUACAACUCAAGAAUUACAACUCAAUACUUAGAACAAAAUAUUACUCUAUGUGAAUGCCUCCAGCGGUGUACCGGGAUGUGCAAUGAUUCAAGAGUGACAUGUAUGAAAAAUUAUGAAUGGUGGAUUUUCCACAAAUACGAUGUCAACUUCAUGAUCAUGCAAGGCAAUAUGACAGUGAUGGAGCGUGUCAUAAUAAAUGGAACGGUGGAAAGUUGCAUGACAAUACAUCUCGGAAUGGCUAUGGAAAUGCCAUAAUAGGUAGGUAUGGUGGAUGUUUUGAGGAAGGUAUAUGGUGGGUGUAUGGUACCAGCAAAAGUUGCGCGGUACUAAAGAGGCUAGCAAUGGUGGAAGGGUGAGAGUGCGUAUAAUCCAUGGACUCAACAUUAGUCAUAAAGAACUCACAUACUUAUUGUAAAAAUUUAUUAGUUAUCAAAACGAAGUACUACGCACAUGCUCCUAUGGGGAUAGAUUGGUAGGAAAAGACCAUCGCUCGUCCCCGACCGCCACUCAUAAGGAAGACAAUCGAUAAAUAAAUUAUGCUCCAACUUCAUCACAUAACGGUUCAGCAUACGUGCAUGCUAUGAGAAUCACAAACUUUAACACAAGUAUUACUCAAAUUCACAACUACUCAACUAGCAUGUCUCUAAUAUCACCAUCUUCAUAUCUCAAAACAAUCAUAAAGAAUCAAACUUCUCAUAGUAUGCAAUGCACUUUAUAUGGAAGUUUUUAUUAUACCCACCUUGGAUGCCCAUCAUAUUAGGACUAAUUUUAUAACCAAAGCAAAUUACCAUGCUGUUCUAAAGACUCUCAAAAUAAUAUAAGUGAAGCAUGAGAGAUUAACAAUUUCUAUAAAAUAAAACCACCACCGUGCUCUAAAAAGAUAUAAGUGAAGCACUAGAGCAAUAUUGUCUAGCUCAAAAGAUAUAAGUGAAGCACAUAGAGUAUUCUAAUAAAUUCCGACUCAUGCGUGUCUCUCCCAAAAGGUGUGUACAGCAAGUAUGAUUGUGGUAAACUAAAAAGAAAAGACUCAAAUCAUACAAGACACUCCAAGCAAAACACAUAUCAUGUGGUGAAUAAAAAUAUAGCCUCAAGUGAAGUUACCAAUAGACAAAGACGAAAGAGGGGAUGCCUUCUGGGGCAUCCCCAAGCUUAGGCUUUUGGCUGUCCUUGAAUUUUACCUUGGGGUGCCUUGGGCAUCCCCAAGCUUAGACUGUUGCCACUCCUUAUUCCAAAAUCCAUCAAAUCUUUACCCAAAACUUGAGAACUUCACAACACAAAACUUCAACAAAAAAUCUCAUGAGCUCUGUUAGUAUAAGAAAAUAAACCACCACUUUAAGGUAAUGUAAUGAACUCAUCCUUUAUUUAUAUUGGUGUUAAAACUACUGUAUUCCAACUUCUCUAUGGUUCAUACCCACCGAUACUACUCAUAGAUUCAUCAAAAUAAGCAUACAACACAUGAAAAACAGAAUCUGUCAAAAACAGAACAGUCUGUAGCAAUCUGUAACUUUCUAAUACUUCUGUAACUCUAAAAAUUCUGAAAUAAAUUGGUGGACGUGAGGAAUUUUUCUAUUAAUCAUCUGCAAAAAUAAUCAACCUAAAAUCACUCUUCUGUAAAAAAUGACAGCUAUUCUCGUGAGUGCAAAAGUUUUUGUUUUUUACAGCAAGAACUCAAAGACUUCACCCAAGUCUUCCCAAAGGUUCUACUUGGCACAAACACUAAUUAAAACAUAAAACCACAUAUAAACAGAGGCUAGAUGAAUUAUUUAUUACUAAACAGGAGCAAAAAGCAAAGAACAAAAAUAAAAAAUUGGGUUGCCUCCCAACAAGCGCUGUCAUUUAACGCCCCUAGCUAGGCAUAAAAACAUGAAUAGAUCUAGGUAUUGCCAUAAUAAUGAUAGGGAAAAUCGCAAAAACUCAUCUCGUACUCCCUACGUUCAGCAGCAAUUUUUCUUUGUGGCAAGCAAAAGUAAUCAAAAGGGCUAAAUUUAAUGGGACAAUAGUCCCCAAGAUCAAGCUCGGGAGGAAUUGGUUCCUCCUUUGGCCCUUCAUAUUGCACAACCGAUUCAUCAUUAUAAGCAUUCUUUUGGCAAAAAGUCAUGAGCCUUUGUUCAAGAGGAAAACCUAACCCAUUGUUCUGAAUAGAAAAAUUAUCAUUAAGUUCAGAAAUCCUAUCAACUAGAACAUCGGUAGGAACCCUUUUUCGAAGGUUUUCAUUAUAAGCAACAUGAUCUAAAGAUAGUAAACGCAUUAUGUCUUCUUGAUUAAAAAGAUUCGCUUCUAUGGGAGGACGACCAGCAUCCAUCCUAUAAUGCGCAAAAAUUUCAUUGGCCUCUUUCAUUAUAAAUUUGAAUUGCUAGAAAGAUGGUAGCCCCUCGCUUAAUAGAAGAAUGCUCAAUAUUAGAAAACUCUAGAAAAAUCCUUUGUAUGCAAGGAUGCAUGUGGAUAAAUUGUCUUUCAAGUUCAACUACGAGCAAAGAUAUAACAUCCACAAGACUACUAGUUCUAUGAAGAAUAGACCCGCCCAUAAUGGGCAAAGCACCGACACAAGUAAAAAAAUCUUGAAUAACUCCUUUUCCAAUAAUAUUACCACUACCAAUCCAAAACUUUUUAGUGUGUAAAAUAGUAGGUUCUUCAUGAGGAUUAUCAAAAGCAUCAAAGUUUCCCCCAUCGUUACUACUAUCUUUUUCAAUGAUAACCUUCCCAGUUUCAGACAUGAUGGAAACAAACCGCACACACAAGAAGCAAGCGAAAAGAGACGAAUGGAAGAGGGGCGAAGAAAAGGCAAAGGUUUUCGAAAAUCGUUUUAGAAGUGGGGGAGAGGAAAACAAGAGGCGAAUGGCAAAUAAUGUAAUGCGAGGGAGAAGAGUUUAUGAUGGGUACUUGGUAUGGCUUGACUUGGUGUAGAUCUCCCCGGCAACGGCGCCAGAAAUCCUUCUUGCUACCUCUUGAGCCUGCGUUGGUUUUUCCCUUGAAUAGGAAAGGGUGAUGCAACAAAGUAGCGUAAGUAUUUCCCUCGGUUUUGAGAACCAAGGUAUCAAUCCAGUAGGAGACUAAAGGAAAUAUGCCCUAGAGGCAAUAAUAAAGUUAUUAUUUGAUUCCUUAUAUCAUGAUAAAUGUUUAUUAUUCAUGCUAGAAUUAUAUUAACCGGAAACAUGAUACAUGUGUGAAUACAUAGACAAACUUAAUGUCACUAGUAUGCCUCUACUUGACUAGCUCAUUAAUCAAAGAUGGUUAUGUUUCCUAACCAUAGACAUGAGUUGCCAUUUGAUUAACGGGAUCACAUCAUUAGGAGAAUGAUGUGAUUGACAUGACCCAUUCCAUUAGCUUAGCACUUGAUCGUUUAGUAUGUUGCUAUUGCUUUCUUCCUGACUUAUACAUGUUCCUACAACUAUGAGAUUAUGCAACUCCCAUUUACCAGAGGAACACUUUGUGUGCUACCAAAUGUCACAACGUAACUGGGUGAUUAUAAAGGAGCUCUACAGGUGUCUCCAAAGGUAUAUGUUGAGUUGGCAUAUUUCGAGAUUAGGUUUUGUCACUCCGAUUGUCAGAGAGGUAUCUCUGGGCCCUCUCGGUAAUGCACAUCACUAUAAGCCUUGCAAGCAAUGUAGCUAAUGAGUUAGUUACAGGAUGAUGCAUUACGUAAUGAGUAAAGAUACUUGCUGGUAACGAGAUUGAACUAGGUAUUGGGAUACCAACGAUCGAAUCUCGGGCAAGUAACAUACCGAUGACAAAGGGAACAACGUAUGUUGUUAUGCGGUUUGAUCGAUAAAGAUCUUCAUAGAAUAUGUAGGAGCCAAUAUGGGCAUCCAGGUUCCGCUAUUGGUUAUUGGCCAGAGAGAUGUCUCAGUCAUGUCUACAUAGUUCUCGAACCCGUAGGGUCCACACGCUUAACGUUCGUUGACGAUAUAGUAUUAUAUGAGUUAUGUAUGUUGGUAACCGAAUGUUGUUCGGAGUCCCGAAUGAGAUCACGGACAUGACGAGGAACUCCAGAAUGGUCUGGAGAUGAAGUUUAAUAUAUGGGACAAUGUUGUUUGGUCUCCGGAAGGGGUUCCGGAUGUUUCCCGAAAUGUUUGGGGUACGAGAACACGUUAUUUGGGCCAAAGGGGAAAGCCCACAAGGUUUUUGGAAAGCGCAAAAGGAAGUUUUGCAGAGUCCAGGGGCCAGACGCCAGGGUCCCUGGCAUCUGGGUCCAGACUCCGGGGACCCUGGCGUCUGGCCCUGGAGUCCAAGAAGGACUCUUGCCUUUCGGGUGAAACCGACUUUGUGGAGGCUUUUACUCCAAGUUUCGACCCCAAGGCACAACAUAUAAAUAGAGGGGCAGGGAUAGCACCAAGAACACAUCAAGAAACACCAAGCCGUGUGCCGGCAACCCCGUCCCCUCUAGCUUAUCCUCCAUCAUAGUUUUCGUAGUGCUUAGGCGAAGCCCUGCGGAGAUGGUUCUUCACCAACACCAUCACCACGCCGUUGUGCUACCGGAACUCAUCUACUACUUCGCUCGUGUUGCUGGAUCGAGAAGGCGAAGACGUCAUCAAGCUGAACGUGUGUAGAACUCGAAGGUGCCAUGCGUUCGGUACUUGGAUCAGUCGGAUCGUGAAGACGUACGACUACAUCAACUGUGUUGAUAAACGCUUUCGCUUAGCGAUCUUCAAGGGUAUGAAGAUACACUCUCCCUCUCAUUGCUAUGCAUCACCAUGAUCUUGCGUGUGCGUAGGAUUUUUUUUGAAAUUACUACGUUCUCCAACAGUGGCAUCCGAGCCAGGUUUUAUGCGUAGAUGUUAUAUGAACGAGUAGAACAUAAGUGAGUUGUGGGCGAUACAAGUUAUACUGCUUACCAGCAUGUCAUACUUUGGUUCGGCGGUAUUGUUGGAUGAAGCGGCCUAGACCAACAUUACGCAUACGCUUGCGCGAGACUGGUUCUACCGACGUGCUUUGCACACAGGUGGCUGCCGGGUGUUAGUUUCUCCAACUUUAGUUGAACCAAGUGUAGCUACGCCCGGUCCUUGAGAAGGUUAAAACAACACUAACUUGACGAACUAUCGUUGUGGUUUUGAUGCGUAGGUAAGAACGGUUCUUGCUGAGCCCAUAACAGCCACGUAAAAUUUGCAACAACAAAGUAGAGGAUGUCUAACUUGUUUUUGCAGGGCAUGUUGUGAUGUGAUAUGGUCAAGAAGUGAUGCUAUAUUUUAUUGUAUGAGAUGAUCAUGUUUUGUAACCGAGUUAUCGGCAACUGGCAGGAGCCAUAUGGUUGUCGCUUUAUUGUAUGAAAUGCAAGCGGUAGUGAUAGUCGUAGAAGCAAUAGAUGGCGAAAUGAUAACGAUGCUACGAUGGAGAUCAAGGUGUUACGCCGGUGAUGAUGGUGAUCACAACGGUGCUUCGGAGAUGGAGAUCACAAGCACAAGAUGAUGAUGGCCAUAUCAUAUCACUUAUAUUGAUUGCAUGUGAUGUUUAUCCUUUAUGCAUCUUAUCUUGCUUUGAUUGACGGUAGCAUUUUAAGAUGAUCUCUCACUAAUUAUCAAGAAGUGUUCUCCCUGAGUAUGCACCAUUGCGAAAGUUCUUCGUGUUGAGACACCACGUGAUGAUUGGGUGUGAUAGGCUCUAUGUUCAAAUACAACGGGUGCAAAACAGUUGCACGCGCGGAAUAUUCAAGUUAAACUUGACGAGCCUAGCAUAUACAAAUAUGACCUCAGAACAUGGAGACCGAAAGGCCGAACGUGAAUCAUAUAGUAGAUAUGAUGAACAUAGUGAUGUUCACCAUUGAAAACUACUCCAUCUCACGUGAUGAUCGGACAUGGUUUAGUUGAUUUGGAUCACGUGAUCACUUAGAUGACUAGAGAGAUGUCUGUCUAAGUGGGAGUUCUUUAGUAAUAUGAUUAAUUGAACUUAAAUUUAUCAUGAACUUAGUACCUGAUAGUAUUUUGCUUGUCUAUGUUUGUUGUAGAUAGAUGGCUCGUGCUGUUGUUCCGUUGAAUUUUAAUGCGUUCCUUGAGAAAGCAAAGUUGAAAGAUGAUGGUAGCAAUUACACGGACUGGGUCCGUAACUUGAGGAUUAUCCUCAUUGCUGCACAGAAGAAUUAUGUCCUGGAAGCAUCGCUAGGUGCCAAACCUGCUACAGGAGCAACACCAGAUGUUAUGAACAUCUGGCAGAGCAAAGCUGAUGACUACUUGAUAGGUCAGUGUGCCAUGCUUUACGGCUUAGAACCGGUACUUCAACGACGUUUUGAACAUCAUGGGGCAUAUGAGAUGUUCCAGGAGUUGAAGUUAAUAUUUCAAGCAAAUGCCCGGAUUGAGAGAUAUGAAGUCUCCAAUAAGUUCUACAACUGCAAGAUGGAGGAGAAUAGUUCUGUUAGUGAGCAUAUACUCAGAAUGUCUGGGUAUAAUAAUCACUUGAUUCAACUGGGAGUUAAUCUUCUAGAUGAUAGCGUCAUUGACAGAAUUCUUCAAUCACUGCCACCAAGCUACAAGAGCUUCGUGAUGAACUAUAAUAUGCAAGGGAUGGAUAAGACAAUUCCCGAGCUCUUCGCAAUGCUAAAGGCUGCGGAGGUAGAAAUCAAAAAGGAGCAUCAAGUGUUGAUGGUCAAUAAGACCUCUAGUUUCAAGAAGAAGGGCAAAGGGAAAAAGAAGGGGAACUUCAAGAAGAACAGCAAACAAGUUGCUGCUUAAGAGAAGAAACCCAAGUCUGGACCUAAGCCUGAGACUGAGUGCUUCUACUGCAAGCGGACUGGUCACUGGAAGCGGAACUGCCCCAAGUAUUUGGCAGAUAAGAAGGAUGGCAAGGUGAACAAAGGUAUAUGUGAUAUACAUGUUAUUGAUGUGUACCUUACUAAUGCUCGCAGUAGCACCUGGGUAUUUGAUACUGGUUCUAUUGCUAAUAUUUGCAACUCGAAAUAGGGACUAUGGAUUAAGCGAAGAUUGGAUAAGGACGAUGUGACGAUGCGUGUGGGAAAUGGUUCGAAAGUCGAUGUGAUCGUGGUCGGCACGCUACCUCUACAUCUACCUUCGGGAUUAGUUUUAUACAUGAAUAAUUGUUAUUUGGUGCCAGCAUUCAGCAUGAACAUUAUAUCUGGAUAUUGUUUGAUGCGAGAUGGUUAUUCAUUUAAAUCAGAGAAUAAUGGUUGUUCUAUUUAUAUGAGUAAUAUCUUUUAUGGUCAUGCACCCUUGAAGAGUGGUCUAUUUUCAUUAAAUCUCGAUAGUAGUGAUAAACACAUUCAUAAUGUUGAAGCCAAAAGAUGCAGAGUUGAUAAUGAUAGUGCAACUUAUUUGUGGCACUACCGUUUGGGUCAUAUUGGUGUAAAGCGCAUGAAGAAACUCAAUACAUAUGGACUUCUGGAAUCACUUGGUACUUGCGAACCGUGCCUCAUGGGCAAGAUGACUAAAACGCUGUUCUCCGGAACUAUGGAGCGAGUAACUGAUUUGUUGGAAAUCAUACAUACCGAUGUGUGUGGUCCAAUGAAUGUUGAGGCUUGCGGCGGGUAUUGUUAUUUUCUCACCUUCCCAGAUGAUUUGAGCAGAUAUGGGUAUAUCUACUUAAUGAAACACAAGUCUGAAACAUUUGAAAAGUUCAAAGAAUUUCAGAGUGAAGUGGAAAAUCAUCGUAACAAGAAAAUAAAGUUUCUACGAUCUGAUCGUGGAGGAGAAUAUUUGAGUUACGAGUUUGGUUUACAUUUGAAACAAUGCGGAAUAGUUUCGCAACUCACGCCACCCGGAACACCACAGCAUAAUGGUGUGUCCGAACAUCGUAAUCAUACUUUAUUAGAUAUGGUGCGAUCUAUGAUGUCUCUUACUGAUUUACUGCUAUCGUUUUGGGGUUAUGCUUUAGAGACGGCCGCAUUCACGUUAAAUAGGGCACCAUCAAAAUCCGUCGAGACGACGCCUUAUGAACUGUGGUUUGGCAAGAAACCAAAGUUGUCGUUUCUUUAAGUUUGGGGCUGUGAUGCUUAUGUGAAGAAACUUCAACCAGUUAAGCUCAAACCCAAAUCGGAGAAAUGUGUCUUCAGGAUACCCAAAAGAGACUAUUGGGUAAACCUUCUAUCACAGAUCUGAAGGCAAGACUUUUGUUGCUAAAUUCGAAUCCUUUCUAGAGAAGGAGUUUCUCUCGAAAGAAGUGAGUGGGAGGAAAGUAGAACUUGAUGAGGUAACUAUACCUGCUCCCUCAUUGGAAAGUAGUUCAUCACAGAAACCGGUUCCUGUGACAACUACACCAAUUAGUGAGGAAGCUAAUGAUAUUGAUCAUGAAACUCAGACCAAGUUACUACCGAACCUCGUAGGUCAACCAGAGUAAGAUCCGCACCAGAGUGGUAUGGUAAUCCUAUUCUGGAGGUCAUGUUACUUGACCAUGGCGAACCUACGAACUAUGAGGAAGUGAUGAUGAGCCUAGAUUCCGCAAAAUGGCUUGAGGCCAUGAAAUCUGAGAUGGGAUCCAUGUAUGAGAACAAAGUAUGGACUUUGGUAGACUUUCCCGAUGAUCGGCAAGCCACCGAGAAUAAAUGGAUCUUCAAGAAGAAGACUGAAGCUGAUGGUAAUGUAACUGUCUACAAAGCUCGACUUGUUGCAAAAGGUUUUCGACAAGUUCAAGGGGUUGACUAUGAUGCGACUUUCUCACCUGUAGCGAUGCUUAAGUCUGUCCGAAUCAUGUUAGCAAUUGCCGCAUUUUAUGAUUAUGAAAUAUGGUAAAUGGAUGUCAAAACUGUGUUCCUGAAUGGGUUUCUGGAAGAAGAGUUGUAUAUGAUGCAACUAGAAGGUUUUAUCGAUCCAAAAGGUGCUAACAAAGUGUGCAAGCUCCAGUGAUCCAUUUAUGGACUGGUGCAAGCCUCUCGGAGUUGGAAUAAACGCUUUGAUAGUGUGAUCAAAGCAUAUGGUUUUAUACAGACUUUUGGAGAAGCUUGUAUUUACAAGAAAGUGAGUGGGAGCUCUGUAGCAUUUCUGAUAUUAUAUGUAGAUGAGAUAUUAUUAAUUGGAAAUGAUAUAGAAUUUCUGGAUAGCAUAAAGGGAUACUUAAAUAAAAGUUUUUCGAUGAAAGACCUCGGUGAAGCUGCUUACAUAUUGGGCAUCAAGAUCUAUAGAGAUAGAUCAAGACGCUUAAUUGGACUUUUACAAAGCACAUACCUUGAUAAAGUUUUGAAAAAGUUCAAAAUGGAUCAGGCAAAGAAAGGGUUCUUGCCUAUAUUACAAGGUGUGAAGUUGAGUCAGACUCAAUGCCCGACCACAGCAGAAGAUAGAGAGAAAAUGAAACAUGUUCCCUAUGCUUCAGCAAUAGGCUCUAUCAUGUAUGCAAUGCUAUGUACCAGACCUGACGUAUGCUUAGCAAUAAGUUUGGCAGGGAGGUACCAAAGUAAUCCAGGAGUGGAUCACUAGACAGCGGUCAAGAACAUCCUGAAAUACCUGAAAAGGACUAAGGAUAUGUUUCUAGUUUAUGGAGGUGACAAAGAGCUAGUCGUAAAUGGUUACGUCGAUGCAAGCUUUGACACUGAUCCGGAUGAUUCUAAAUCGCAAACCGGAUACAUGUUUAUAUUGAACGGUGGAGCUAUUAGUUGGUGCAGUUCUAAACAAAGCAUCGUGGCGGGAUCUACAUGUGAAGCGGAGUACAUAGCUGCUUCGGUAGCAGCAAAUGAAGGAGUCUAGAUGAAGGAGUUCAUAUCCGAUCUAGGUGUUGUACCUAGUGCAUCGGGUCCAAUGAAAAUCUUUUGUGACAAUACUGGUGCAAUUUCCUUGGCAAAGGAAUCCAGAUUUCACAAGAGAACCAAGCACAUCAAGAGACGCUUCAACUCCAUCCGGGACCAAGUCCCGGUGGGAGACAUAGAGAUUUGCAAGAUACAUACGGAUCUGAAUGUUGCAGACCCGUUGACUAAGCCUCUUCCACGAGCAAAACAUGAUCAGCACCAAGGCUCCAUGGGUGUUAGAAUCAUUACUGUGUAAUCUAGAUUAUUGACUCUAGUGCAAGUGGGAGACUGAAGGAAAUAUGCCCUAGAGGCAAUAAUAAAGUUAUUAUUUAUUUCCUUAUAUCAUGAUAAAUGUUUAUUAUUCAUGCUAUAAUUGUAUUAACCAGAAACAUGAUACAUGUGUGAAUACAUAGACAAACUUAAUGUCACUAGUAUGCCUCUACUUGACUAGCUCAUUAAUCAAAGAUGGUCAUGUUUCCUAACCAUAGACAUGAGUUGUCAUUUGAUUAACGGGAUCACAUCAUUAGGAGAAUGAUGUGAUUGACAUGACCCAUUCCGUUAGCUUAACACUUGAUCUUUAGUAUGUUGCUAUUGCUUUCUUCAUGACUUAUACAUGUUCCUACAACUAUGAGAUUAUGCAACUCCCAUUUUCCGGAGGAACACUUUGUGUGCUACCAACGUCACAACGUAACUGUGUGAUUAUAAAGGAGCCCUACAUGUGCUUCCAAAGGUAUAUGUUGAGUUGGCAUAUUUCGAGAUUAGGUUUUGUCACUCCGGUUGUCGUAGAGGUAUCUCUGGGCCCUCUCGGUAAUGCACAUCACUAUAAGCCUUGCAAGCAAUGUAGCUAAUGAGUUAGUUACGGGAUGAUGCAUUACGUAACGAGUAAAGAGACUUGCGGGUAACGAGAUUGAACUAGGUAUUGGGAUACCGACGAUCGAAUCUCGGGCAAGUAACAUACCGAUGACAAAGGAAACAACGUAUGUUGUUAUGCGGUUUGACCGAUAAAGAUCUUCGUAGAAUAUGUAGGAGCCAAUAUGGGCAUCCAGGUUCCGCUAUUGGUUAUUGACCAGAGAGAUGUCUCAGUAUGUCUACAUAGUUCUCGAACCCGUUGGGUCCGCACGCUUUACGUUCGUUGCCGAUAUAGUAUUAUAUGAGUUAUGUAUGUUGGUAACCGAAUGUUGUUCGUAGUCCCGAAUGAGAUCACAGACAUGACGAGGAACUCCGAAAUGGUCCGUAAAUGAAGUUUAAUAUAUGGGAUAAUGUUGUUUGGUCUCCGAAAGGGUUCCAGAAUUCACCGGAAGGGGUUCCGGAUGUUUCUCGUAAGGUACGAGAACACGUUAUUUGGGCCAAAGGGGAAAGCGCACAAGGUUUUUGGAAAGCGCAAAAGGAAGUUUUGCGGAGUCCACCGGCCAGACGCCAGGGUCCUUGGCGUCUGGCCCUGGAGUCCGAGAAGUACUCUUGCCUUUCGGGUGAAACCGACUUUGUGGAGGCUUUUACUCCAAGUUUCGACCCCAAGGCUCAACAUAUAAAUAGAGGGGCAGGGCUAGCACCAAGAACACAUCAAGAAACACCAAGCCUUGUGCCGGCAACCCCGUCCCCUCUAGUUUAUCCUCCGUCAUAGUUUUCAUAGUGCUUAGGCAAAGCCCUGCGGAGAUUGUUCUGCACCAACACCGUCACCACACCGUCAUGCUGCCGAAACUCAUCUACUACUUCGCCCGUCUUGCUGGAUCGAGAAGGCGAGGACGUCAUCGAGCUGAACAUGUGCAGAACUCGGAGGUACUUGGAUCGGUCGGAUUGUGAAGACGUACGACUACAUCAACCGCGUUGAUAAACGCUUCCGCUUAGCAAUCUUCAAGGGUAUGAAGAUACACUCUCCCUCUCAUUGGUAUGCAUCACCAUGAUCUUGCGUGUGCGUAGGAUUUUUUUUUAAAUUACUACGUUCCCCAACAGAGACGACGACAAGUCACCUAGUACCUGCACAAACAAUCAAGAACCUUGCAACCAACGCGAUAAAGGGGUUGUCAAUCCCUUCACGGUCACUCGCAAAAGUGAGAUCUAAUAGAGAUAAUAAAGUAAAUAUUUUUGGUAUUUUUGUUGUAUAGAUUGGAAAGUAAAGAUUGCAAAAUAGUAAACGAGAUUCGAUAAUAUGGAAAAGAGAUGCAAUAUAAUGGAAAAGAGACCCCGGGGCCAUAGGUUUCACUAGUGGAUUCUCUCGAGAUAGCAUGUAUUACUAUAGGUGAACAAAUUACUGUCGAGCAAUUGAUAGAAAAGCGCAUAAUUAUGAAGAUAUCUAAGGCAAUGAUCAUGAACAUAGGCAUCACGUCCGUGUCAAGUAGAGCGAAAGGAUUCUGCAUCUACUACUUUACUCCACACAUUGACCGUUAUCCAGCAUGCAUCUAGAGUAUUAAGUUCAUGAGAACGGAGUAAUGCAUUAUGCAAGAUGACAUGAUGUAGAGGGAUAAACUCAAGCAAUAUGAUAUAAACCCCAUCUUUUUUAUCCUCGAUGGCAACAAUACAAUAUGUGCCUUGAUACCCCUACUGUCACUGGGAAAGGACACCGCAAGAUUGAACCAAAAGCUAAGCACUUCUCCCAUUGCAAGAAAGAUCAAUCUAGUAGGCCAAACUAAACUGAUAAUUCAAAGAGACUUGCAAAGAUAUCAAAUCAUGCAUAUAAGAAUUCAGAGAAGAACCGAAUAAUAUUCAUAGAUAAUCUUGUUCAUAAAUCCACAAUUCAUCGGAUCUCGGCAAACACAUCGCAAAAGAGUAUUACAUCGAAUAGAUCUCCAAGAACAACGAGGAAUACUUUGUAUUGAGAAUCAAAGAGAGAGAAGAAGCCAUCUAUAGCUAAUAACUAUGGACCCGAAGGUUGAUAACCCACAAGUAUAGGGGAUCACAAUAGUUUUCGAGGGUAAUUAUUUAGGGUCAUUUGCAUUUCUGUCCCUAACUCGAACCACCUACUCAGAUAUGCCCCUAACUUCGAAGCCUGCUCAAAUUUGCCCCUCCGCCGUUAAGUGACCUUACAAAAAUGCCCUUCCGUUCCGUUUCCGUCCGGUCAAAGGGGUUUGACCGUCUCUGAGACGUUUGUUUGACAUUUUUACCCCUGGAAAAAAUAAAACACAAAUUAAAGAGAAGAAAGAGAGUGCUUACCUUUUGGCCCAAGUUCAAUGUGCACUUUGGCCCAUGUGCAUAGCACCAGGCCCACCCAUCUCCCCCAGUCAUCGUCUUCCUCAUCGACUACACGCGCCGGCGCGCGCCACCGUUGCCGCUGUUCGACAACUCUCUGUCGUAGUAGCUCGGGUAGGGUUACUUAAUGACGCCUGCAGGCCCAUGACAACCCUAGAUAACUUUCCCUCCGUUCCCCCGCUCGCUCUCCUCCCCUGCGGCCGGAUCGACCAUCUUCCUCGUCUGCGGAUCGCCGGAGUGCCAUCGUCGAUUCGCCAGCCCUAUGCCGCUAAACCACAAAUUAAUGUCUCAGUCAUGUUCGUGGUUCCCCUAAGAUGUCGCCCAGCCCCCUAAACCAGUGGAUCCAUGGCCGCCUUCUCGAAUCCGUCGAGCACCGCCGUCGGCCGCCGCCUAGCUCAUUGUUGCGGUCAAUUCCGACCACCCCUGCAUGCUCUGUUGGUACCACUGGACGCGCCUCAGCGCACUCGUCCGAACUGUACUCUCCGCCAACAAGUUUGUCACCGGAGUUGUGACUUCGUCCAUCGUUGCCGGAGUUGUGACUUCGUCCAUCAUCGUCACUGGAGCUCGCCGCCAGUCGAGGGCGCAGUCUAGGGAGAGGGAGGGAGAGGAAGGGAGGAAGAGAGGAAGGGAGAGGGAGGAUAGAAUGGAGGGAGGGCUGCGGCGUGUGGGGAGCUGGUGCCGACGUCGCACAUGCAGGGCCGUCGGCGCUCGCCGGAGGUGAGACAGAGAGAGGGUGAGAGAGGUGGGAGGGAUUUUUUUAUUUCUCUAUUUUGUUUGGGGGCCCACAAGUAAGUGUGUCAGAGAGAGGGUGAGAGAGAGAGUUUUUCCUUUUUAUUUAUGUUUUGACUGGGUCCCACGUGUAAGUGGCACAUGGAGGCAGGGGCAAAAUGUCCAAUAAACGCCCAGUAGAUGGUCAAACCCCUUUGACCAGACGGAAACGGGACGGAAGGGCAUUUCUGUAAGGGCACCUAACGGCGGAGGGGCAUUUUUGAGCAGGCUUUCGAAUUAGGGGCAAAUGUGAGUAGUGGGUUCGAGUUAGGGACACAGAUGUAAAAGACCCAAUUAUUUAACCCAAAUUUAUAGAUUCGACACAAGGGGAGUCAAAGAAUAUUUGAAGGUAUUAGCAGCCGAGUUGUCAAUUCAACCACACUUGGGGAUUAAUUAUCUGCAGCAAAGUGAUUAGUAGCAAAGUAGUUUGAUAGUUUUAAUAGUAGUGACAACAGCAACGGUAACAGUAACAGUGAUAGCAGUGAUAUUGUAGCAAUAACAAUAACAGUAGCAACAAUAGUAACUUAGCAAGAACAAUAUAAGAUAAAUUCGUAGGCAUUGGAUCGGUGACUUGUUUGAUGAUAUUUAUCAUGUGACAGUUAUAACCUAGGGCGAUACGGCACUAGCUCCAGUUCAUCGAUAUAAUGUAGGCAUGUAUUCCGUAAAUAGUCAUACGUGCUUUAUUAAAAGAACUUGCAUGACAUCUUUUAUCCUACCCUCCCAUGGCAGCGGGGUCCAUAUUGGAAACUGUGUGAUAUUAAGGCCUCCUUUUAAUAGAGAAUCGGAACAAAGCAUUAACACAUAGUGAAUACAUGAACUCCUUAAACUACGGUCAUCACCGAGAGUGGACCCGGUUGUUGUCACUCCGGGGUUAUCGGAUCAUAACUGUAGUAGGUGACUAUAACUUGCAAGAUCGGAUCUAAAACAUGGAUAUAAUUAUGAAUUCAUAAACGGUUCAGAUCCGAGUUCAUGGCACCCCGGCCCAAAGUGACAAGCAUUAAGCAUAGCAAAGUCAUAGCAACAUCAAUCUAAGAACAUAGUGGAUACUAGGGAUCAGGCCCUAACAAAACUAACUCGAUUACAUGAUGAAUCUCAUCCAACUCCUCACUGACCCACGAGCCUACGAAGGAAUUACUCACUCCUGGUGUGGAGCAUCAUGGAAUUGGUGAUGGAGAUGGGUUGGUGAUGAUGAAGAACGAAGAUCCCCCUCUCUGGAGCCCCAAAUGGACUCCAGAUCCCCUCCCAAGGAAGAACAUGGCUUGGCAGCGGCUCCAUCUAGUGGAUCGCGAUAAUUCUUUCUCCCUGAUUAUUUUCUGGAAAUAUGUGAUUUUAUAGUAUCAAGGGGUCGUUUGCGGGGCCACUAGGUGGGUACAACCCACCUGGGCGCGCCAGGAGACGGGGGCGCGCCUUGGUGGGUUGUGCCCACCCAGGUGGCCCUCUCUGCAGGUCUUGGCUCUAGAAAUUCUUAUUCUUGAUAUGAAAAAUCCUCGCAAAGCUUCGCUCCAUUCCAAGAACUUUUAUUUCUGCGCAAAAACAACACCAUGGUAGUUCUCCUGAAAACAUCGUCGGUCCGGGGUUAGUUUCAUUCAAAUGAUGCAAAUUAGAGUCCAAAACAAGAGGAAGAGCGUGAGAAAAAGUCGAUACGUUGGAGAGGUAUCAACUCCCCCAAGCUUAAACCUUUACUUGUCCUCAAGCAAUUCAGUUGAUAAACUGAAAGUGAGAAAGAAAAACUUUUACGAACUCUUUUGCUCUUGUUUGCAUAAAUAAGCUUAAACAACACCUAGGUUUUUAGCCAAGAUUAUAACUAACCAUGUCAACAAUAACAUUUAAAGAUUAUAAUGACUCAUAUCAAUGACAUAAUCAGCUAGCGAGCAAUAAUAAAAUAUCGCAAACAACAACGCGUUGUCAAAACAACCAUGAUAUAAUAUGACAAUAGUGGUAUCUCGCUAGCCCUUUCUGAGACCGCAAAACAUAAAUGUAGAGCACCUCCAAAGUUCAAGCAGCAACUAAACAUUGUAAUUCAUGGUAGAAAAGAUCCAAUCAUGAUGCACCCAACAUUAGCUACACAUAAUGCAUAAAUCAUGGCAGUUGUGCUCUACUCAGUUUCUGGCACUUGUUUUAGAAGGUGGUGACACAACAUAAAAGUAAAUAGAAAGUCCCUUCGCAAAGGGAAGCAGUGAUUUGCAGAGGUGCCAGAGCUCAGUUUUUAAAACAAAGAUCAAUGAUAUUUUGAGACAUGCACCCUUCUUAUUCACUUCACGACCAUCAAUUAUCAAUAUCUUCCAUGCUAAGCACGCUAGUGGCGGUUCCUAAGUGAUAAAAAUAAAGGUUUAUUCCCCCUCCACCAUCAAUCACACUCCACGGCUUGUCCGAAACAACAGGUGUCGUCCAUACCAACAUCAGUCCCGGGGGAGUUUUGUUUAAUUAUUUGCAUUUUUUAGUUCGGGACCAGGAAUCCCUAUCACCGCCCAUUUUCUUGUGUGAUGGCGAGUGAAUAAACACUCGACCUGAGAAUAACCCGCUUAGCAUGGAAUAUACCGACCACCUCCUAUCAUUCCAUGAAUGAUCCAGGCACACUUAAAGGAUAAUUUUUUGAAGUUUUUAGAGGUGGCACAUGCAAAUUUUCUUAGGACGGCAGGGUAAUACUGCAUAUAGGUAGGUAUGGUGGACUCAUCUGGAAUAACUUUGGGUUCAAUGUUUUUGGAUAUACAAGCAGAGUUCCCACUUAGUAUAGGCGAAGGCUGGCAAUUAAGAUUGAGAAGCGGCUAGCUAGAGAGCAACAAUGAUCAUAACCAUGCAUUAUGCGUAAGUAACAUUGGACACUAGCACGAGUAGGAUAUGGACACCAUGAACAUAAACAUCAUAGAGGCUAUGUUGGUUUUGAUUCAACUACAUGCAUGAACAUGUGCCAAGUCAAGCCACUCGAACAUUCAGAGGAGGAUACAAUAUCAUCAUACUACAUCACAAUCAUUUUAACGCUAUGUUGAUAUCCAAGAUAAAUCAUUAUCAACUCCCAGCUACUUAUGCAUGGCAUGAGAAACUAUAAUCUCUAAUUGUCAUUGCAAACAUGUUUAAUCAUAAUGGGAUGAAUCAUGGAUACUAGGUUAAACAUAUUUACAAAAACAAAACAAGUCGAGUCCAUACCAGUUUCUCCCUGCCACGGCCAACUCAUCGGAUGUCGUCAUUAUUGCCUUUCACUUGCACGACCGAAUGAUAUGAAAAUAAUAAUAGUGCUAGAGUGCCAUGGACUAAGCUGGAAUCUGCAAGACAUUUUAUUCAACAGGAGAAGACAGGGUAAAAUGUGCUCUUUAUUAGUUCAACAAUUAUUCAUAUGAGAGCCACUCAACAUUUUCAUCGGGGUCUUUUCCUUGCUAAGACUCGAAUAAAAAGAAAAGAAGUUUAGAGAAACACAUUGAAGUAUUUUUGGAGUUUUUGAUUUUCUUGAACGGGCAAAUAAAAGGGAAAAGAACAAACGAGAAAAACUAUUUACACGGGAAAGCUCCCAACAAGCAAAAGAAGAACAAGGAAAACUUUUUGGAUUUUCUUUUUAAUACUACUACUAGGUAUGCAAAGAAAGUAAAUUACUGCAACAGUUUUUUUUGUUUUUCUAAAGUUUUUAAAACACACAAGAAGAAAGCAAGAAAAUAAAUCUAAGCAUGGAUGAUACAAUGAAAAAGUGUGAACACCGACUAAUGAAGUAUGUGGACAUGAAUGUAAGGUCGGUGGAAACACGUACUCCCCCAAGCUUAGGCUUUUGGCCUAAAAGUCGAUCAGUAGCCUGGAGGGUAGAAGAGCUAUUGAGGAGCAGGCAUCCACUCAUCCCACUGCUGAGGCUCCUCCUGUGAUGCCUGCACAUCAGCCUGAGUGUUCCGGUAGGCAAUGAUGUCUGCAGGCAUAAUCCUAUAUCCACCCCUGGCAACAGGAUCAAACAAAGCAGGAGCAGGCAACGGAAUAAUAUCAUGAGUCUUUACACUAAAAACCAGGUUAUAUAGAAUAGGGAUGUUAGGAGAUCUGUCAUCAGUAAAAUGGUGGUGAUCCAUGGCUGCUCGGUCUAGGUAAACCCUGGUCAGAGGGUAGUCAUGAGGGCGUAUCUCAACCUCGAAGUGAGCCGCCAAACGAGUAGCAAAAAUCCCACCAUGUAUUUGACCCUGAGAUUUAUUAAGAUGCAGGCGACGAGCCACAAUAGCUCCCAAGCUAUAAGUGUUGUCACCCUCCAGUGCCCGGCGUAAAACAACAAAGUCUGGUGCGCUGAGAGCGCCUACUUUCUUUCUAGCAAGUAGACACUUAGCAACAAAUAAAGCAAAAUAAUGUACGACAGGAAAGUGUAAGCUAGCAGCUGUGGUGGCUGACACUCCUCUCUUAUCCCCCACCGUCAAAGUGCGAUAAAAGGCCUCAAACUCGGCCGGCCUAGGCUCAGCCAAGCUCCCAUCAGAAGGGAUCAUGCAUUUGUUACAAAAUUCAGUGAGUGGUAUCUGAUGAUUUUCAACAUAUAAAUCAAAGCUCACUUCAGGAGGAUUAUUCCUAGGCAGGAAAGUAAAACUUUGAACAAAGAUGCUUGUGAGGAUUUGGUGCUGAUCGCACUCAUCUGCGAUGAAGUCGGUGAGGCCGGCAUUAGCAAUAUAUUGCAUGAACUCCUCAAAAAUUCCAGCCUCUUGUAGGAACGGAAUGUGCGGCCAUUCACACGGCCGUACUUCCGCCAACCUCCAAGGAUGGAGAUCACUGUCAGAAGACUCCCCAAUAACACCCUUGGAGUUCUUCCUUGAGCCAAACUUCCUGAAGAUAUUCAUGUUCGCGUACAAUAUCUGAAAAAUAAAAAUUUUGAGGUGACAAAAAUUUGUCAACAAAACUUCACAAGAGUAGCUAAUUAUUUAAAGUUUAAACCACUAAAACAAAAACUAAUUGGACAAAUGGUGGAGUCACAUACCAAGCAACAAUCCCCCGAAGCAGUUUUGGAAACGGAGCUUCGAGCUAAGGGAUCGAAAUCCACGGGUUUGAGCUCAAGAACACGGGAGAGAGAGUAGUGGGGAUUUUUCUUUCUAGAGGUAAGUGAUGAUGUGGGCUAAAGAGGUAAGUGAGGGGGGCACAUGGGGACCACAACCCACCAUGGCACGUCUGGGGGUCCUGGCGCGCCCAGGUGGGUUGUGCCCACCGGGUGCACCUCCCUUUGGUAUUAUUUGCACCAAAAAUUCUUAAUUAUUCAGAAAAAAAUCAUAUCAGGUUUUCAGAGCAUUCUAAGAACUUUUAUUUUUGGGUCAUUUUUUAUUGCAUGGGAAAUUCAUAAAACAGACAAAACAUGGCAUUUUAUUUUAUUUAGCUAGUAAAAAUAGAAAAUAAAUGGUAGGGACAGAAGUUAGUGCUUACUAAAUUCAUCAGCUUCAUACUGUUCAAAAAUGAUUCAUGAAUAAGGUUGAUCAGGUCUUAUUAACAACCACUUUCGAUUAUCUUGAAACCGAAGAACUUUUGUAAAUCACUAUGUUACCUCGAUGGGGAUAUGCAUUUCCCCAACAAUAAGCAUUUCAUAUUUCUUUUUGACAGUAGGUAGAGGUAUUUGAAAACUUCCAAUCGUGAUUGUCGGAGAUUUUUCAAUAACAUUAAUACCAUUCACUUGGAAUUGUUUCUUCGGAAAGUGCACCGUAUGCUCAUUACCAUUAAUAUGAAAAGUGACCUUGCUUUUAUUGCAAUCAAUAAUAGCCCCUGCGGUAUUCAAGAAGGGUCUACCAAGGAUAAUUGACAUGUUGUCAUCCUCGGGCAUCUCAAGUAUAACAAAGUCAGUCAAAAUAGUAACAUUAGCAACAACAAUGGGCACAUCCUCACAGAUACCGAUAGAUAUGGCAGUUGAUUUAUCAUCCAUUUGCAAAGAUAUUUUAGUAGGUGUGAGUUUAUUCAAGUCAAGUCUUUUAUAUAAAGAAAAAGGCAUAACACUAACACCAGCUCCUAAAUCACACAAAACAAUUUUCACAUAAUUCUUUUUGAUAGAGCAAGGUAUAGUUGGUAUACCCGGAUCUCCAAGUUUUUUAGGUACUCCAUCUUUAAAAGUAUAGUUAGAAAGCAUAGUGGAGAUUUCAGCUUCCAGUAUUUUUCUCUUAUUUGUGAUGAUGUCUUUCAUAUACUUUGCAUAAGGAGGCAUUUUUAAGAUGCCAGUCAAGCGAGUACGCAAAAAGACUGGCCUCAGCAUUUCAGCAAAGCGUUUAAAUUCUUCAUCAUCUUUCUUUUUAGUUAACUUGGGUGGAAAAGCCAUAGGUUUUUGAACCCACAAUUCUUGUUCUUUACCGUGUUUUCUAGCAACAAAGUCUCUUUUAUCAUAUCUUUUAUUCUUAGGUUGUGGGUUAUUAAGAUCAAUAGGUGGUUGAUAUGUCUCCAAUGUAUCUACUUUUCCAAACACUUUUGCCCUUGUUUUGGACUCUAACUUGCAUGAUUUGAAUGAAACUAACCUGGACUAACGCUGUUUUCAGCAGAACUACCAUGAUGUUGUUUUAUGUGUAGAAAACAAAAGUUCUCGGAAUGUCCUGAAAAUCCACGGAGGCACUUUUUGGAAAAUAUAAAAAAUAUUGGAGAAAGAAUCAAGACUAGGGGCCCACACCCUGUCCACGAGGGUGGGGGGCGCGCCCCUGUCUUGUGGCCCCCCUGGAGCUCCGCCAACCUCAACUCCAACUCCAUAUAUUCCGUUUCGCGGAGAAAAAAAUCAGAGAGAAAGUUUCAUCACGUUUUACAAUUUGGAGCCGCCGCCAAGCCCUAAUCUCUCUCGGGAGGGCUGAUUUGGAGUCCGUUUGGGGCUCCGGAGAUGGGGAUUCGUCGCUGUGUUCAUCAUCAACCAUCCUCCAUCACCCAUUUCAUGAUGCUCACCACCGUGUGUGAGUAAUUCCAUUGUAGGCUUGCUGGACGGUGAUGGGUUGGAUGAGAUUUACCAUGUAAUCAAGUUAGUUUUGUUAGGGUUUGAUCCCUAGUAUCCACUAUGUUCUCAGAUUGAUGUUGCUAUGACUUUGCUAUGCUUAAUGCUUGUCACUAGGACCCGAGGGCCAUGAUUUCAGAUCUGAACCUAUUAUGUUUUCAUGAAUAUAUGUGUGUUCUUGAUCCCAUCUUGCAAGUCUAUAGUCACCUAUUAUGUGUUAUGAUCCGACAACCCCGAAGUGACAAUAAUUGGGAUACUUCUCGGUGAUGACCGUAGUUUGAGGAGUUCAUGUAUUCACUAUGUGCUAAUGCUUUGUUCCGGUUCUCUAUUAAAAGGAGGCCUUAAUAUCCCUUAGUUUCCGCUAGGAGCCCGUUGCCAUGGGAGGGUAGGACAAAAGAUGUCAUGCAAGUUCUUUUCCAUAAGCACGUAUGACUAUUUACGGAAUACAUGCCUACAUUACAUUGAUGAACUGGAGCUAGUUCUGUGUCACCCUAUGUUAUAGCUAUUAUAUGAGGAAUCGCAUCCGACAUAAUUAUCCAUCACUGAUCCAUUGCCUACGAGCUUUUCACAUAUUGUUCUUCGCUUAUUUACUUUUCCGCUGCUACUGUUACAAUCACUACAAAACCCAAAAAUAUUACUCUUGCUACCGUUACCUUUAUUAUCAUACUACUUUGCUACUAAAUACUUUGCUGCAGAUACUAAGUUAUCUGGGUGUGGUUGAAUUGACAACUCAACUGCUAAUACUCAAUAAUAUUCUUUGGAUCACCUUGUGUCGAAUCAAUAAAUUGGGUUGAAUACUUUACCCUUGAAAGCUGUUGCGAUCCCCUACACUUGUGGGUUAUCAAGACUAAUUUCUGGCGCUGUUGCCAGGGAGCAUAGGUCUAUUCUCUGAGUCACUUGGGAUUUAUAUCUGUUGAUCACUAUGAGGAACUUGAAAGAAGAAAGAACCAAGAUUUUUCCCUCAACUACGAGGGGAGGUAAGGAACUGCCAUCUAGCUCUGCACUAGAUUCUCCUUCUGUUAUUAGUAAACUUGCGACACCUAAACCUACUACUGCUAUGAACUCUGAUAUGUCGCAUGUUAUUGAUGAUGCCACUUCUGCUAUGCAUGAUACUUAUGAUGAAACUACUUCUGUGCGUGAUACUACUUUGCCAUUAGGUGAAUUUCUUGAUGAACAACUUGCUAGGGCUAGAGAGAAUGCAAUUAUUGAAGAUGCUAUUAUUGAUGAUAGUGAUAAUGAAAGUUCUCCGAAUGAUUAUGAAUUGCCUGUUGUUCCUGAGGGUUAUGUUAUGAAAGAGGAAGCUGCUAGAACUAUCUUUGCCUGUAAAGAUAGAUAUGAUCUUAAGAAAUUAUUAGCUAAAUGGAAGCAACAGUCUCUUAAUGCUAGAAUGAAACCUGACCCUGCUUUUGCUACUUCACCAAUUUGUGUUACUGAUAAGGAUUAUGAAUUCUCUGUUGAUCAUGAAAUAAUUACUUUGGUCGAAUCUGAUCCUUUUUAUGGCCUUGAAUCUGAAACUGUUGUGGCACAUCUUACCAAGUUGAAUGAUAUAGCCACCUUGUUUGCUAAUGAUGAGAAGUCUCGCUAUUAUUAUAUCCUUAACAUAUUUCCGUUCUCAUUAAAGGGUGAUGCUAAGACUUGGUUUAAUUCUCUUGCUCCUGGUUGUGUGCGUAGUCCCCAGGAUAUGAUUUAUUACUUCUCUGCUAAAUAUUUCCCUGCUCAUAAGAAACAAGCUGCCUUGCGGGAAAUAUAUAAUUUUGUGCAAAUCGAGGAAGAGAGUCUCCCACAAGCUUGGGGGAGGCUUCUCCGAUUACUAAAUGCUUUGCCUGAUCAUCCUCUCAAGAAAAAUGAAAUACUUGAUAUCUUUUAUAAUGGACUAAUCGAUGCUUCCAAGGACUACUUGGAUAGUUGUGCUGGUUGUGUUUUCAGGGAAAGAAUAGUCGACGAAGCUGAAUUACUAUUGAAUAAUAUGUUGACUAAUGAAAAUAAUUGGACUCUUCCUGAGCCAAUUCCUGAGGAAAUUCCUGAACCAAUUGAGCCAACUCCUGAGCCUAUUCCUAAAACCACUCCGAAGAAGAGAGGUGUUUUAUUUCUCAGUCCUGAAGAUAUGCAAGAGACAAAGAAAUCAAUGAAAGAAAAAGGUAUUAAAGCUGAAGAUGUUAAGAAUUUACCACUUAUUGAAGAAAUACAUGGUCUUAAUAUACCGCCUGUUGAAGAACCACAUUGUCUUGAUAACCCGACACAGGUAGUAAAGGUAAAUUCUCUCUAUAGAUAUGAUAAAGUUGAAAUUCCCUCUACUAAAUUUCAUAGCCCAUGCUUAGAUGAAUUUGAUGAGUUUAUGGCUAGACAAGAAAGUUUUAAUGCUUAUGUUGGUAGAGAGUUAAAGAAUAAUGCUUUCAAGAUAGGACGCGUGAGCGAUAAUAUGGCUAGAGUUAAAGGUGAACUCAUACUCAUUAGCAAAUAUGCUUCUAUGGUUGCUACUCAAGCUGAGCAAGUACUUAAAGCUCAAAAUGAUUUGCUUGAUGAGUUAAAUAAUAAAAAUGACUUUGCUGUUAAAGUGGCUACUAGAACUGGUAGAAUGACUCAGGAACCUUUGUAUCCUGAAGGCCACCCUAAGAGAAUCGAGCAAGAUUCUCAGAGAAAUAAUUUAGAGGCACCUAGUUCUUCUAAAAAGAAGAAAAAGAAAAACGAUAGAACUUUGCAUGCUUCUAGUGAACCUGUUGUAGACACACCUGAGAAUCCCAAUGAUAUUUCUAUUUCUGAUGCUGAAACACAAUCAUGUGAUGAACAUGAACCUAGUGAUAAUGUUAAAGAUAAUGUUCAUGUUGAUGCUCAACCUAGCAAAAACAAUGAAGUAGAGAUUGAACCUGCUAUUGAUCUUGAUAACCCACAAUCAAAGAAUCAACGUUAUGAUAAGAGAGAUUUUGUUGCUAGGAGGCACAGUAAAGAAAGAGAACCAUGUGUUCAGAAACCCAUGCCCUUUCCUCCUAAACCAUCCAAGACAAAGGAUGAUGAGGAUUUUGAGAGCUUUGGUGAAAUGAUUAGACCUAUUUUCUUACGUAUGCGCUUAAUCGAUAUGCUUAAAGUAAAUUCUUAUGCUAAGUAUAUGAAGGAUACCAUUACAAAUAAAAGAAAGAUACCGGAAGCUGAAAUUUCCACCAUGCUUGCUAAUUGCACUUUUAAGGGUGGAAUACCCAAGAAACUUGGAGAUCCAGGGGUACCAACUAUACCAUGCUCCAUUAAAAGAAAUUAUGUUAGAACUGCUUUAUGUGAUCUUGGAGCCGGUGUUAGUGUUAUGCCUCUUUCUUUAUAUCAUAGACUUGAAUUGAAUAAGUUGACACCUACUGAAAUAUCUUUGCAAAUGGUUGAUAAAUCAACUGCCAUACCUAUUGGUAUUUGUGAGAAUGUGCCUGUUGUGGUUGCAAAUGUCACUAUGUUAACGGACUUUGUUAUUCUUGAUAUUCCCGAGGACGAUAGUAUGUCGAUCAUCCUUGGUAGACCCUUUUUGAAUACUACAGGGGAUAUUAUUGAUUGCAACAAAGGCAAUGUCACUUUGCAUGUUAAUGUUAAUGAGCAUACGGUACACUUUCCGAGGAAACAAUCUCAAGUUCAUAGCAUCAAUUCAAUUGAAAAAAGUCCAACUAUCAUUAUUGGAGGUUGUAAGUGCAUCUAGUGCCACCCCUAGUUGGUUUUGGAGUAUUGACGACAAACCUGGUUGAGGGACUAAUGUGUUUGUGAGAAUUGCAGGAUAACACAGGUAGUAGUCCCUCAUUGAUUCGGUUUACCUACCGGAGAUGACCCCUAAAAAUGUGUGAAGACAUUGAAGACAAUGGUGGUCUGUGAAGCCAUUCACGUUGAAGACUAUGACUCGAAAAGACACUAAGUGAAGACUAUGGAGCGCAAAGACUUAGUUGUUUUGUUGUUUCCUUUUCUUCUUCAUUGAGUCAUAGGAACCACCGCACUGUUAAGUGGGGUCCAAGUGAACAAAGUCAGAGUGACUGAAGUGAUGCUCAACCAAAUCCUAUGUCUUCGAGCGAAGACAAUGAGAGCAAAUCUUAUCUAGAGUCGGAUGAGUCAGCUUGACUUGUAGCCAAGUCAAGCUGCUGCGUGUGUUUGAAAUCUGACCGUUGCGACACGUGUCAGUUCCUUAGUGACCCAGGGUCAUUUCAGACAAAUUAGGUUGGGUUGCCAAGUGGCUAUAAAUAGCCCACCCCCUACACCAUAAAUUGGUGGCUGCUUAGAGUUAGUACACGGCUUUUGUCGUUUUGAGAGCAACCCACCUCCGAAGCCUUUGAGAGAGAAUCCUUGCGAGGACAAAGCCCAAACCACCCAGAGCCCAAGAGAGUUUGGCAUCACUGAAGUCUUUCUGUCCAUGUGAUCUGAAGACUUGUUACACUUGAGGACUGUGAAUCCUCCAGCCGGUUAGGCGUCAUGUUCUGAGCAUCCAAGAGUCAUUGUGGUUUGCCGGUGAAUGAAGUCUGUGAAGGUUCAGAAGUCUACCUUGAAGACUUACCAGAGUGAUUGGGCGGGGACUAAGUGUCCUUGGCUCAAGGGGAAUAAGGUGAAGACGAGGUCUUCUGAGUUGAAUCUCAGCCUCCGUAACCAGACGUACAGUUGUCACAACAACUGGAACUGGUCAAACAAAUCCAUGUCCUUCUGAAGCCACUGGUUCUAUCUCUUACUUCUCUUUACAUACAAUUUGUCUUCGUGAUGUCAAUGCCUGCUUGCAUUAUCUGUUUGACUUCACUGUGUGACUACCUGUUCUGAUUGGCUUCGCACUAUCUUCCAUCCUGAUCUUUACUACCUAGCUGCUAUUAGUCUUUGUGCUUUCACUUCAUUGAAUACUUGACUAUGGCUUGUCUAGUGUAGUCUACCUUCUGCUGCAUACGUAUAGUGUCGGUUUUGUUAUUUGUCUUCGAAACUCCCAUGUUUUGAAGACUUUCAUAAAAAUCGCCUAUUCACCCCCCUCUAGUCGAUAACUAGCCCUUUCAAUUGGUAUCAGAGCAAGGUACUCCCUUGUUCUGUGUGAUUCGGUUUAACCACCUGGAGUUUAGCUUUGUCGACUGUAGGGAUAAUCAAAGUCUCCGCUGUGUCCCCCAUCUUCGAUGGCACCGAAUAUCCCUACUGGAAGAAUAGGAUGCGCAUGCAUCUUGAAGCCAUUGAUGUCGAUCUAUGGUAUGUCGUCAAGAACGACGUUCCCAAGACUGGUGAAGGUGUCACCCCUGCUGAUGUCAAGAAGUUUAUUCAACUGGACUCUACCGCCAAGAACAUCAUCUGUGGUCACCUUACCAAAGGACAAUAUGGACGUGUGAGUGCUCUGGAAACGUCGAAGCUAGUCUGGGACUGGCUCUCCAAGGUCAAUGAAGGCGUCUCAACUCAGCAAGAUCAACGUAUCAGUACUCUCCGCAACCUCUUCAACCGCUUCAAGAGACACGACAACGAGAAUGUCCAGCCCACGUUUGAUCGCCUCACUGAUAUCACAAAUGAGCUCCAAGCACUCAGCGCCACUGAGAUCAUGAAGCAUGAGAUAGUGAAGACACUACUGAGAUCUCUUGACAGCUCAUUUGAUACCUUAGCCCUGAUGAUACAAGAACACCCUGAUUUCAAGUCUCUCGAUCCGUCUAACAUACUUGAGAGGCUCAACACACAUGAGUACCAGCUGUCUGAGAAACGAGAUAUCUGUGGCCCCAACUAUGGCCGAACUCGAGCUUUGAAGGCAAAGGCCGCUGCUUCCUCAUCUGAAGAAGAAUCUGACUGCAGUUCUGGUGAUCCUGAAGACAUUGGAAAGGAGCUUGCUAUGCUUGUGAAUAAGUUCUAGAAAUUCACAAAAAGAAAGGCUUCAGAAAGUCUUCACGAUCCAGCUCAAGGAAUGAUGAAGCUUCUGCCUAUGAUCACAAGAAGAGAACCUGCCACAAGUGCAAGAAACCUGGGCACUACAUCUCUGAGUGUCCACAGUGGGAUAAUGAGAAGAAGAAGAAGAAGAGCAAAGAAUAUGAUUCUGAUGACAAGAAGAAGAAGAAAUCCUCAAAGUCUUCUUCCAAGUCUACUUCCAAGUCUUCAUCACACAAGAAGAGCUCAUCUGGCAAGGCCCGUGCUUUUGUUGGCAAGGAAAUGGAUUCAGAGGAGGAGUCAACUUCUAAGGAGGUGGAGGUGGAGUCUAAGGAGGAGUCUGAAUCUGGUGUUAUGAGUCUGGCUCUAACUACUGCCUACGUUGCCAAGUCCAUCUUCAACACCGAAGACAAUGGCUCCGUCACCAACGCUGAUGAUAAUGACAAGGACGACUCGCCUCCCAUCUACUGCUUCAUGGCACGUGGUGCCAAGGUAAAAUCACGCGAUGCUUACUUUCAAACAUCACGUGAAGAUGACUCUGAUGGUGAAUCCAAACGUAGUUACAAAAUACUUGCUAAAAUUGCAACUGAACAACAGAAAGCUAUGGAACAUACUCAAAAACUGUUAGAGAAAAGCGAUGACCUGUUGGACGCGGAAAUGACCAAGUCUUAGUCCUUAAUUGAAGACAUAAAAAAUCUUCAUAUUAAGUACCAGGAACUUGAAGGUUGACAUGAAUCGCUCUCAAUUUCUCAUGAAAAGCUUUCCUACGAUUAUCUUCAAAGGAAGCAGGAGCUUGAGAAACUGAGAUCGGAUCAUGAAGAUCUUCAAAAGGAGAAUGAGUCACUUCGCGCUCAACAGAUCAGUCCCGCUUAGGAAGGAUUUGAACCACCAUGCCUAAAAUGCAUUGAGCGUGAUAACGCCGCUUCUGUUGCUGAAUGUUCUACUGCUGCUACUAUUGCAAUAUCUUCAACUACUAUUGUGGUAAAUAACCCUUCCGCUGAGGAUACCACUACUAUUGCUGAUGAGAAUGCUAGGUUGAAGACACUGCUUGAGACAGGGAUGUACAAAAGUCUCAAAGGGCAUCAGACAUUAUGUGAUGUCCUCAAAAAACAGAUUCUGAACCGAAACCCUAGGAAAGAGGGUGUUGGGUACGAGAGGAAAAUGAAUGUUGAUGGGUCGUACUGGAAUCCUGAGAAGUACCCCAAAACCACAUGGGUUGCUGCAAAGGAACCUUUAGUAGAUCCAUCCACCUUGUCUAGUUUCACUUGUGCUAACCCCAUUAUCAUUGAUGAAUCCUUUGACGCAAACUAUAAACUAUUUAAGAAUCAGAAUGGUGAAGUGUUUGCCAGGUAUAUUGGUACUAACUGCAGGAAUGGACCACCUAUGAAGAAGAUAUGGGUUCCCAAAAGUUGUCUUGCGAAUCUUCCAGUGAAUGUCAUCAUGACACCACCUGUGAAGAAUACAAACCCCAUACCAAAGGCUUCAUAUGGUCCUAAAGCUUCAUAUAGACCGUGGACUCAUCUGAGUCACCCUAAAAUCAAUGUUUUGCAGGGAAAUCAUACUCAGACCCAUGAAUAUGAGCGUGUUUCAUCAAACCACUAUGUUCAUAGAACUAAGAACUUUUCUGCUUAUUCAUAUGAGUAUUAUUCACCCCCUGCAAGGCUAUUUACUAGGGCUCCAAAGCCGAAGUUCUCAGAUGCUACACUUAGACUCAUUUCUUCUAAGCCACCCCCUGAAAAUGUGGGUGGUUAAGAAGACUUAACUCUCUUUUGCAGGGAAAGGUCUCCAGCCGGAAAUCAAAGGCAUCCAAAACUAAUGCUGGGGACCUUAAACAUCUUGUGGGGCACAAGAUAAAAUGCCCAAAUGGUCUUACUAUGUACUUUGUUCUGGGAUUCCUUGACACUCAUCCUAUCUAUCCUAACCAAGAUCUGAAUUUCCAUGUUCCACUUGUUCGUCAAAUGUUUUUGCUUCACAACUUGCUUGGUGAAGCCUAUCCCCCAAACUGCACUGUAGGCUAUGACACCUCGUACUUCAGAAUGGAUUAUGGACAGUGGAUGCACUAAUCACAUGACCGAUGAUCGAAGUCUUCUGAUGGAUUCAACGCUACGUCCAUCAGACAAAAGUCACAUCACAUUUGCUGACACUAGUAAAAGCAAGGUAUUGGGUCUAGGUAGAGUUGCACUAUCAAGGGAUCAGCACAUGGAUAAAGUGAUGCUUGUUGAAUCCCUUGGUUUCAACUUAAUGUCUGUCUCAAUGCUUUGUGACUUAAACAUGAUUGUGCUAUUUGGAAAAUAUCGAUGCCUUGUGCUAAUGGAAUCUGACAAGUCUCUAGUCUUUGAAGGAUAUCGGAAAGAUGAUCUGUAUAUGGUAGAUUUCUCAGCAGGACCACAGAUGGCCGUAUGUCUUCUAGCAAAGGCUUCAGAAUGCUGGCUUUGGCAUUGAAGGCUAGGACAUGCCGGCAUGAAGAACUUGCACACUCUCACGAAGAAGAAGCAUGUCGUGGGCAUCGAAGGCCUUUAGUUCAAGAAGGACCAUCUAUGUGGCGCCUGCGAAGCUGGAAAGAUGACCAGGGCCAAGCAUCCCUCGAAGACAAUCAUGACUACAUCUCAACCUUUCGAGCUGCUUCACAUGGACCUAUUCGACCCUACUCACUACUCUACUCUCAAUACUACUACUUGUCUCUAUGGCUUUGUCAUUGUUGAUGAUUACUCUCGAUAUACUUGGGUGCAUAUAAUCCUAUACAAGACUGAAGUGCAGGAUGUCUUCAGACGCUUCGCCAAUCAUGCCAUGACGAACUAUGGCAUCAAGAUCAAGCACAUCAGAAGCGACAACGGCACUGAGUUCAAGAACACCGGCCUCGACCUGUAUCUGGAUACCCUGGGUAUCACUCAUGAGUUCUCUGCUCCCUAUACACCUCAGGAGAAUGGCAUCGCAGAGCGCAAGAACAGAACUCUCAUUGAGAUGGCUCGAACGAUGGUUGAUGAGUACAAGACUCCACGGAAGUUGUGGCCUGAAGCCAUUGACACUGCUUGCCACAUCAUCAACCGUGUCUAUCUUCACAAGCUUCUGAAGAAAACACCUUAUGAACUCCUAACUGGUAAGAAGCCAAAUGUAAGCUACUUCAGAGUAUUUGGUGCUAGGUGCUGGAUCAAGGAUCCACAUCACACGUCAAAAUUUGCACCGAAAGCACAUGAAGGUUUUAUGCUUGGUUAUGGAAAGGAUUCGCACUCCUACAGAGUCUUCAACCUCUUUCACUAUAAAGUGGUUAAAACUGUGGAUGUGCAGUUUGAUGAGACUAACGGCUCGCAAAGAGAGCACCUGGCAAAUGUGCUAGAUGAAGUACCUCCAAGUGAAUCAAUUAAGCAGAUGGGAAUUGGAGAAAGUAUACCCUUUGAGAAUUAGACUGAAGAAGAGCUUAUCAUUUCUACGCCUAAUCAACCUAAAGACAAUGCUCAGCCUGAAGACAAUCCCCCAAAUGAUGACAUUGAUCAGCAAGAGCAGAAUCUUUGUCCUGUUCAUCCUCGUGUUGCAAAAUAAGUUCAGAUUGAGAAGAUAAUUGACAGCUUGAAUGCACCUGGUCCACUCACUCGUUCAAAAGCAACUCAAAGAGAAACACAACUAACUAAUUUCUGUGGGCAUUUUGCAUUCGUCUCAAUCUCUGAACCCAAGAAAGUCGAUGAAGUUUUCAUGGAACCUAAAUGGAUUCAAGCUAUGCAAGAAGAGCUUCAACAGUUCGAGCUGAAUAAUGUGUGGGAAUUGGUCAAGCGUCUUGAUCCUCGAAAGCACAAUAUCAUUGGCACCAAAUGGAUAUAUCGCAACAAGCAAGAUGAGCAUGGUCAAGUGGUUAGAACAAGGCUUGUCUCAUUGCACAAGGUUACACUCAAGUGGAAGGAAUUGACUUCGAUGAAACAUUUGCUCCGGUGGCAAGGCUUGAAGCCAUUCGCAUACUGCUAGCCUAUGCAAAUCAUCACAACAUCCUUCUGUAUCAAAUGGAUGUGAAGAGUGCUUUUCUCAAUGGAAAGAUAGAAGAAGAAGUAUAUGUCGCACAACCUCCUGGCUUUGAAGAUCCAAAACAUCCUGAUAUGGUAUACAAGCUCAACAAGGCACUGUAUGGCCUCAAACAAGCCCCUCGUGCCUGGUAUGAUACGCUCAAAGACUUCCUGAAGAGCAAAGGCUUCAAACCUGGUUCACUAGAUCCUACACUCUUCAUGAAGAGAUACGAUGGUGAACUGUUUGUGUGCCAAAUCUAUGUGGAUGACAUUAUCUUCGGCUGCACCAACAAGAAAUAUAGUGAUGAGUUUGGUCACAUGAUGCAAGAGCAAUAUUAGAUGUCCAUGAUGGGCAAGCUGAAGUUCUUUCUGGGUCUCCAAAUCCUUCAGCAACGCAACGACAUCUUCAUAUCUAAAAAAAUACCUCAAGGAUUGCCUGAAGAAGUUUGGCAUGCAAGACUGCAAAGGAUACACGACGCCAAUGCCAACCAAAAGUCAUAUAGGUCCCGAUGACAAUGGUAAAGAGUUCGAUCAAAAGGUAUACCGCUCCAUGAUUGGUUCUUUGCUUUACUUAUGUGCAUCUAGGCCAGAUAUAAUGCUUAGUGUUUGCAUGUGUGCCCGAUUCCAAGCGGCACCAAACGAAUAGCAUCACUUAGCAGUGAAGCGAAUUCUUCGAUAUUUGGCUUACACCCCAACAUUAGGAUUAUGGUAUCCAAAGGGCUCAGAGUUUGAUCUAGUUGGAUUCUCAGAUGCUGAUUAUGCUGGUGACAAGGUUGAUCGCAAGUCCACAUUAGGUACAUGUCACUUUCUGGGAUGAUCUCUUGUCUGUUGGUCUUCAAAGAAGCAGAACUUUGUAUCUCUCUCCACUGUUGAAUCCGACUACAUUGCUGCUGGAUCUUCCUGUGCUCAGCUUCUCUGGAUGAAGCAAAAUCUCAAGGACUAUGGUAUCCAUCUAAAGAAUGUGCCUCUCUACUGCGACAAUGAGAGUGCCAUCAAGAUUGCCAACAACCCAGUUCAGCACUUGAAGACAAAGCACAUUGAAAUUCAUCAUCACUUUCUUAGAGAUCAUAUUAUGAAGGAAGAUAUUGAUAUCAUUCAUGUCAAGACAGAAGAGCAGUUGGCUGAUAUCUUCACAAAGCCCUUGGAUGAGAAAAGGUUUUGCAAGUUGCGGUGUGAGCUAAAUAUCUUGGAAUCCUCAAAUGUCCUGUGAUUAGGCACACAUCCUAACACUUAUGCAUUUUGAUGACUUAGAUGUGCAACACAUGAAGUAAUGUAUAUCUUCAAUCAAUGAAGACAUACACUCUAAGUGUGAAUACAUUAAUGAGGAAUUUGACUUCGGAGCGCCACAAUAAUUGUGCAUCGUGUCUGGGUCUAAUACUUCCUAUACGGUGGGUAACACCACCACCAAACUUUUGUUUGAAGUGUUUCUCUUGGCGCUAUGUUUGCAAAGUCUUCAUAUUUGAUUUAUAUCCAUCCUUGGCUUAUAUUCAAGUUUAUCUUCAUUUGGUUGAUUUGGCCUUAUACUAGUUAUAUACUUAUUUGUGUUCUAUCCUCUACAACGUUCACUUAUAGCUAUUGCUUCAUGUUGAAUCUUUUGAACUAAGUGAAUGUGAUUGGACCCUAACUUAUCUAUGCUUCUACCCAACUCUAUCUGUCCAAAUCAUAUGCAUUCUAUUGAAAACUGUCGAUUGUCUUCACUGAGACCUUAUCAGCUGAAGUCAAUCUGACAAACAUUUAUAUCUGUUUCUAAUACUAUAGCCUUUGUGCCUGAAAAUUGGAGAAUUCAGAACGACCACCCCGACAAUCCAGGCGUGCGUGGGAACAUGGAACAACUUCCAAGGUGUUGCAUGCUUGCCACAUGUCCUUCAGAUGUGAACCACCAGGGGCACCUGCGUAAUUGCGCUAUGCCGUCCCUUUCCUUAUAAAUACCCGUCACAUCUCGGUCAAAAACUCUUCUUCCACCUCGCCACCUCUCGCAAACCCUAGCGCCUCUGCUAGCUCUCGACGAUGCCGGCGACGAAGUGCUUAGCUGCCGCAACUUCUCCGACACUGUCCUCACGCCGGCCGUGGACCACGUCCUCUCCGCUGUCGCCGCAGGUGUCCUCCGUCACCAAGUUAGGGCACGGAAGAUCGAACUGCUCGGCCUCCAACUUCGCUCCGUCUAGCAGUUCUUUGUGUGGUAAUUAAAAUUCACUUUUUACCGUCUUUUUGAUCUGAUAGAUUCAUCCUCCUUUACCAAAAGUGGGUUUAAGAUCUCCAAAGUUGAAUCUAUCUCAUUCUGCAUCUCAUACUUGGCCUAGUCUAUUCACCCAUGCUUCGUUACAAGUUAGAUUCCUCACUUGUACUUAUUCUUGGAUUUGUGCAACUCUGGAACCAACUCUCAUCAAAUAAGUGAAUGUCUUCGUGUUAUGAGGUCAAUGUCUUCAAACUGAUUUAUCUUCAAAAUCUUCUGAGAAUGCAUAUGACCUCUUCCCCUUCCCUCACACCUCUAAUGCUGUCACAGGUACAUGUCCAUGGGAUAAUCCCUUGGUUCUCAUAGUCUGCAUUUGUUUUCAAAAUUCUUACAGAGUCACAUCAAUUCACCUAAAGCCAGUUCUUGUCUGACCAGCCGUCUGAAGCCCUUGCAAGUACUGAAGCCUUUCAGAUUAAGCUUCAUGGCCAAUGAGAAGUCAGCAAGAAAGGGAACACUUCCAAGGAUUUGCCUCCAGAUUUGCAUGAGCUGUACAGAACAGACCCAGAGGAAACCUAUAUAGGACAAAAGAAUCGAAUCCAGUGGAUUCGAAGAUAUUGGGCAGAAGAAUGGUUCAAGUAUCGUUUCGUCACAGAAGAGUAUGUAGAGAAGAAUGCCAUCAAAGGACCCUAGGGAGAUAUUGAAUACAAAAAUCUUCAACCCUAGUCCUGUUCUGAAGCCAUUCAAUGAGAAUUCUAUCCAUGCAUGAUUCGCGGACCGCAGCCAGAGAAUGCUGACCCUUCUUCUCUGCUGUGGUGCCGUGAAGACCAUCUAUUCAAAUGCAACUACCAGUUCACCAAAGACUCUGUUGCGAAGAACAAGAAGGCAUUAGGACUUGACUUCAACCCUGGUCCUUCUUCACCUCGGGAAGAUGGCACCCGUGAAGCCAAUGAGAACAGGAUCGGCCCCUUCUACAACCUUGCAGGCCUCAUCACACACAUUGCUGUCCAAGGUGCAAAAGUGGAUCAUUCUGAUGAUGAUGCUGACACUGAUGAUGCUCAAGCUCCUCCUCCUAAGCCGCGGAAGCAAAAGAAAGCUAGGGCUUCAAAACCAACUGCUGCACCAAAAGCUUCUCGAGUGAAGCCAUUGGCAACUGGCCCUCCUGCUCCCAGUAACACGCCUGAAGAUCUCUCUCGCAUCUCCAAGAAGCACGAGAUGCCUCGGAAGAGAACUGCUCAGAAAUCCAGUCAAGCACUGACACCAGCUGCCGUUCUAAGAAAUGAAUCUGAAGCUAUUGAUAUGUCAUCAGAUGACGAGUUUGGUGAGGAUGCUCUUGAGCAGCUGAUAAAGAGCAAGCAAGAGGCGGAGAUCUUCAAUGAUCUGCCCCUCUUCCAUGUGAACAUUUUGGACAAUUUCAUUGAUGAGUGGUUCGACAAUCAAGAUCUCAAUUUUGAUGAUCUUCAACUCCCCAUUGGCAUCAGCGUCGCCUUCCAAGGCGCAAUUGCUCCUGAGCUGGCUCUGGCUCAACGAAUUGUUGAAUUGAAGAACAAGGUUGACUUUGAGAAAGAGCAAUUCAAGAAGCAUGUGGCCAAGCUUAGUGUGGCUGAUGUUCAGAAAUUCAAGUUGAUGCUGAAUGACCUCAAGGAAGCAUUUCGCAAGAAGCGAGAAGAAGCCAAAGUUUCAAGAGAGCGCAUGAAGAAUCUUGCUGCCAAGUGUGUUCAAGCUUACAAUGAAGCUGAAAAGCGCAAGGCUCUUAGGCGUCCAGGCAUUGACCCCAAGAUGGCUGCCAAGAAGAAGUCUGCUGUGGCCCAACUGAAGCUCCACGACGGGAAGAACCUCACAUUGUCUUCCCUGCCAGCAUGACAGGCUCGAAGCCUAAGGUCCCCAGAGCAGCUUCAGAACAGAAGAAAACCAGGGCAGCUGAAGCCUAAGCCAGAAAGCGUAAAACCAAGAACACCACUGAUGAUGCACCAUCCCCCAAGAAGAGGAAAACCAAGAAGAGAGAUCGGGCUGCUCCCAAAGAGCCCCUUGUUGUCGAGCCCAUUGCUUUUGCUCCCCCUCCAUCUAAAAAUCAAGAGCUUUAGUUGAUUGUUCAUGCGCCUGCUUUCACAGAGGCUCCUGAAGCUCAAGAAGUUCCAGCCGUUGACCCCAUCACGACUGAAGACAUUGGUCCCCAAGACAAUGUAGAAGAUGAUUAAGUCCUUCCUCAGAUCCAGCGCCCCACGGUAUCAUCGCCUGUUCACACGAACAAUGAACCCAUCAGUAUUGGUCGUCCUUUGAUGCCAAUCUCUCAAGAUGCCUCAUGGGCUGAUCGCCCCCAACCAGCAACCCCAGUUCAAGGCUCACCAAGUACACCCUGUCCCUCACCAACGCAAGGUCCUAGUCCAAUUGUCAAUGAUGACAAUUACAUGGAGACCACACCAUCACCGAAAGCGUCGCCCAUGUUUCAACGGCUUCGCAAAGGCCAGAGGCCAUCGGUCUCCAUGACAACCAUCACAGAAGAGGAUUCACAUCAGUCCAGCUCAGUGGCACGUCAAGUGUUCCCUGAAGACAAUCCUUCUGUGACGGUUCCGGUGUCCGAAGCUAAUGCUUCUGAAGAGAUUCUGGCUGCAGCAGCCGAUGAAAGACAAGAAGAAAAUCGUGUUACUACACCCCCCACCAACCAAGAAGAAGAUAUUCUCGAGGAGAAUGUGUCUGUGCCCGACCCUCCAGCUACUCAAGUGGAGGUUGAGAAUACUGAGGCGGCCACCAACAACGCCACCGAAGCCAAUGACGUUGUCAUGACUGAAGCUAAUGUGGAGCCUCAAGUCAACACUGUGAAUGAAGCCAAUGCUGCACCUGCAACCAAUGUGCAGCCUGACGCCUCUACUAAUGCCUCUGCUCCUGUACCGCCACCAAGGCCACACACUAUUGAGCAUGCAUUCUAUCAAGGCGAACUUGUUCCUGUCAGAUGGCCUAUUCUGAUUCCUCCGCCUGCUCCUGAUCCCCAGUUUGAUUAUCAUGUGGAGCACAGGCCUCAGGUUCAGAAGCCAAAGCCAAGGUUGCCAAGGUUUCCAGGUACUGCAUCUGCACCAGGAUCAUUCAAUGUAAAUGGCUUCAUUGCACACAACACCUUCUUUGAUAGUGCCAAGAACCCAUAUUCCAAGCCAAGAAUAUCAUCUGAUCGGUUCUGGAGCUAUCAACAACGAAGCUAUUACUCCUGCAUGCUAUACAACCAAGAGCGCAUAUUCCCUCAUAUGCGCCUGGAUUCCGAAGCCAUUGUUGGCCUGCCCUGCUUAGAAGAAGCACUUGACUGUUUUCGAGAUGCAGGCCUACUACAGUUUGUCACUGAUAUCUCCGUCGUAUCUACUUUUCCAAACACUUUUGCCCUUGUUUUGGACUCUAACUUGUAUGAUUUGAAUGGAACUAACCCGGACUGACGCUGUUUUCAGCAGAAUUGCCAUGAUGUUGUUUUUUGUGCAGAAAACAAAAGUUCUCAGAAUGACCUGAAACUCCACGGAAUAUCUUAGAAUAAAUAAUAAAAAAAUCCUCUCCAAAGAUGAAGACCAGGGGGCCCACACCCUGUCCAUGAGGGUGGAGGGCGCGCCCCCUCCUAGGCGUGCCCCCCUACCUCAUGCCCCCCCUGGAGACCCUCCGACGCCAACUCCAACUCCAUAUAUUGGCUUUCAGGGAGAAAAAAACGAGGGAGAAGAAAUCAUCGUGUAUUACGAUACGGAGCCGCCGCCAAGCCCUAAUCUCUUCGGGAGGGCUGAUCUGGGGUCCGUUCGGGGCUCCAGAGAGGGGGAUUCGUCGCCGUUGUCAUCAUCAACCAUCCUCCAUCACCAAUUUCAUGAUGCUCACCACCGUGCGUGAGUAAUUCCAUCGUAGGCUUGCUGGACGGUGAUGGGUUGGAUGAGAUUUAUCAUGUAAUAAAGUUAGAUUUGUUAGGAUUUGAUCCCUAGUAUCCACUAUGUUCUGAGAUUGAUGUUGCUAUGACUUUGCUAUGCUUAAUGCUUGUCACUAGGGCCCGAGUGCCAUGAUUUCAGAUCUGAACCUAGUAUGUUUUCAUGAAUAUAGGUGUGUUCUUGAUACUAUCUUGCAAGUCUAUAGUCACCUACUAUGUGUUAUGAUCCGGCAACCCCGAAGUGACAAUAAUCGGGACCACUCCCGGUGAUGACCAUAGUUUGAGGAGUUCAUGUAUUCACUAUGUGCUAAUGCUCUGUUCCGGUUCUCUAUUAAAAGGAGGCCUUAAUAUCCCUUAGUUUCCAAUAGAACCCCGCUGCCACGGGAGGGUAUGACAAAAGAUGUCAUGGAAGUUCUUUUCCAUAAGCACAUAUGACUAUAUUCGGAAUACAUGCCUACAUUACAUUGAUGAAUUGGAGCUAGUUCUGUGUCACCCUAUGUUAUGACUGUUACAUGACGAACCGCAUCCGGCAUAAUUAUCCAUCACUGUUCCGGUGCCUAUGAGUUUUCCAUAUACUGGUUCUCACUUAUUUACUUUUCCGUUGCUACUGUUACAAUCACUACAAAAAUACCAAAAACAUUGCUUUUGCUGUCUUUACUUUUGUUACCGUUACCACCACUAUCAUAUUACUUUUCUACUAAACACUUUGCUGCAGAUACUAAGUUUCCAGGUGUGGUUGAAUUGACAACUCAGCUGCUAAUACUUGAGAAUAUUCUUUGGCUCCCCUUGUGUCGAAUCAAUAAAUUUGGGUUGUAUACUCUACCCUCGAAAACUGUUGCGAUCCCCUAUACUUGUGGGUUAUCAAGACCUUUUUCUAGCGCCGUUGCCGGGGAGCAUAGCUCUAUUCUUUGAGUCACUUGGGAUUUAUAUCUGCUGGACACUAUGAAGAACUUGAAAGACGCUAAGACAACAAUUUAUUCCUCAACUACGAGGGGAGGUAAGGAACUGCCAUCUAGCUCUGCACUUGAUUCACCUUCUGUUAUGAGUAAGAUAGCGACACCUAAACCUGCUUCUGCUAUUCGUUCCGAUAUAUGUCGCAUGUUAUUGAUGAUGCCACUUCUGCUAUGCAUGAUACUUAUGAUGAAACUACCUCUAUGCUUGAUACUACUGUGCCCCUUGGUGAAUUUCGAGGUGAGCAAAUUUCUAGGUCUAGAGAAAGAGAAAUUAUUGAAUCUGAAUACAAUGAUGAAAGUGAUGAUGAAGAUAUGCCUACUAUUCCUAAGGGUUAUCUUUUUGAUGCGGAAUCUUAUGCAGCUAUUUUUGCCUGCCAGGAUAGAUAUGAACUUAAGAGGCUGCUAAUUAAAUGGAGUAAAGAAUCUCUUAGAGAUAGAAUGAAACCCGACCCUGCUUUUGCUACUUCACCUAUCUGUGUUCCUGAUAAGGAUUAUUAUGAAUUUUCUAUUGAUCCAGAUAUAAUUACAUUGGUUGAAUCAGAUCCUUUUUAUGGCUAUGAAUCCGAAACUGUUGUGGCACAUCUUACUAAGUUAAAUGAUAUGGCCGCCCUGUUUACUAAUGAUGAGAGAUCGCGCUACUUUUAUAUACUCAAAAUAUUUCCGUUCUCAUUAAAGGGUGAUGCUAAGAUAUGGUUUAAUUCUCUUGAUCCUGGUUGUGUGCAUAGUCCCCAGGAUAUGAUUUAUUACUUCUCUGCUAAAUAUUUCCCUGCUCAUAAGAAACAAGCUGCUUUGAGGGAAAUAUACAACUUCGUGCAAAUUAAAGAAGAGAGUCUCCCACAAGCUUGGGGGAGGCUUCUCAAGUUACUUAAUGCUUUGCCUGAUCAUCCUCUUAAGAAACCUGACAUACUUGAUAUAUUUUAUAAUGGACUAACCGAUGCUUCCAGAGAUUAUCUGGAUAGUUGUGCUAGCUCUCUUUUCAGGGAAAGAACACCAGAUGAAGCUGAAAUUCUAUUGAAUAAUAUGUUGACAAAUGAAAAUAAUUGGACACCUCCUGAGCCAGCUCCAAAGCCAAUUACUGAGCCUAUUCCUAAACCAACUCCGAAGAAGAGAGGUGUUCUAUUUCUCAGUCCCGAAGAUAUGCAAGAGGCAAAGAAAUCUAUGAAAGAAAAAGGUAUUAAAGCUAAAGAUGUUAAGAAUUUACCUCCUAUUGAAGAAAUACAUGGUCUAAAUUCACCGCCUGUUGAAGAAGUAUAUGAUCUCAAUCCUUUAUUCACUGAAGAACCUCCUGAUCCCGAUAUCCCGACACAGGUAGUAAAGGUAAAUUCUCUCUAUAGAUAUGAUAAAGCUGAAGUCCCUCCUACUAAAAUUGCUAGUCAGUGCUUGGAUGAGUUUGAUAACUUUAUGUUUAAGCAAGAUGACUUUAAUGCUUAUUUUGGUAGACAAUUAAAACAAUAUGCUUAUAUGAUUAAACGCUUGGGUGAUUAUAUGACUAAUAUUAGAGGUGAACUUAAACUUGUUAGCAAACAUGAUUCUAUGGUUACCACUCAAGUAGAACAAGUACUUAAAGCUCAAAAAGAAGUGCUUGAUGAAAUGAAUAGUAAGAAAAAUGAUUAUGCUGUUAGAGCUGGUAGAAUGACUCAGGAACCUUUGUAUCCUGAAGGCCACCCUAAGAGAAUCGAGCAAGAUUCUCAGAGAAAUAAUAUUGAUGUACCUCGUUCUUCUAAAAGGAAGAAAAAGAAAAAUGAUAGGACUUUGCAAACUUCUAGUGAACCUAUUGCUGAACCACCAGAGAAUCCAAAUGAUAUCUCUAUGUCUGAUGCUGAAACACAAUCUGGUAAUGAACAUGAACCUAGUGAAAAUGUUAAUGAUGAUGUUCAUGAUGAUGCUAAACCUAGUAAUGAUAAUGAUGUAGAAGUUGAACCUGCUGUUGAUCUUGAGAACCCACAAUCAAAGAAUCAAUGUUAUGAUAAAAGAGACUUCGUUGCUAGGAAACAUGGUAAAGAAAGGGAACCAUGGGUUUAGAAACCCAUGCCUUUUCCUCUAAAACCAUCCAAGAAAAAGGAUGAUGAGAAUUUUGAGCGCUUUGCUGAAAUGAUCAGACCUAUCUUUUUGCAUAUGCGAUUAACUGAUGUGCUCAAAACAAAUCCUUAUGCUAAGUAUAUGAAGGAUAUCAUUACAAAUAAAAGAAAGAUAUCGGAAGCUGAAAUUUCCACCAUGCUUGCUAAUUAUACUUUUAAGGGUGGAAUACCAAAGAAACUUGGAGAUCCCGGAGUACCUACUAUACCAUGCUCCAUUAAGAGAAAUUAUGUUAAAACUGCUUUAUGUGAUCUUGGAGCCGGUGUUAGUGUUAUGCCUCUCUCUUUAUAUCGUAGACUUGACUUGAAUAAGUUGACACCUACUGAAAUAUCUUUGCAAAUGACUGAUAAAUCAACUGCUAUACCUGUCGGUAUUUGUGAGGAUGUGCCUGUUGUGGUUGCAAACGUUACUAUUUUAACGGACUUUGUUAUUCUUGAUAUUCCCGAGGAUGAUAGUAUGUCUAUUAUUCUUGGAAGUCCUUUCCUUAAUACUGCAGGGGCUGUUAUUGAUUGCAACAAAGGCAAUAUCACUUUUCAUGUUAAUGGUAACGAGCAUACGGUACACUUUUGUAACACCCCAAAAAUUUAACCAGGUUUUAGUUAUUAAAAUUUUGCCAAGAGUUAAAUUUUUUGCCUGCAAGAAUAUUUCUGUUGAUUUCAAAGCCUUUCUUUUAAUACUAAGGAUUUAUUUUUUCCCAAGUGGAUCCUUCCAAAACAUAUUGAACUUCUAUGCCAUCUCAUUAAAACAAUUUCCUAAUCAGUAGGAUUAUUUAUUAAAUUAUUUCACCCUGAGCUAUAUUCAUUAAAAUGACUUGUUUUAAGUUUUGGAGCUCUUUUUGAACUACAACCAUUUGAUAAAUUUAACUAAAAAUUCCACCAAAAUUUGGAGUUGUCCUGUGAUGCCUCUAAAUCACUUUUGUGUAAUAUAUUUAUUUCAUUGCAUAUUUUGAGUAUUACACAUGUUUUUCUUCUAUGGUCCAGUGGACAAUUUUUGCACUACAACUCUUUUAAAUAUUUGUUUCUAGCUUCCACCAAAAUUAUGGGAUGUCAGUAGGAGCAUAUGAUUCCAUUAUAUGCAAAAAUCCAGGGAUGUUCCUUGAAAUUUUUGAGUGAAUCAACCUCAUCUCCAUUCUGGUCCAACAUGAUGGUUUGUACAACAACCAUAUUCUUGCUUGCUCUUUGGCCCUUGAUUCUUGCUCCUACUUGUAGUCCUCCAUGCUAAACCCCUAAGUCCAGGAGCAUGCAACCAUUGGCAUAUUUUUGGUUCAUGAAAUAAUGCCAUUCACAUCCAGUCCAGAUUUGAAGUUCUGCAAAACUUGCACUAGCAAGUUUGUGCUUUUCACCAACUAACCUCACCACCCUCUUAUGCAUCCAAAGAGACUUCAAUCUGGAAGAUUUGGCCACUCCAAGAAAAGCCUAAGUGCCUGUGGCAUUUUGUCAAACACCUGGAGUGCAUGAGCAGGUUUGACAUGUAUUGUUGUUGGCAUUGUGAACUUGGUCUCCUGACCAAACUACCUUGUCCCCUGAGCUUCAAUCUAUCAACAACCUAGCUCUGUUGCUUGCCAACCUCACCUGUGACCUGUAGCAUGCCAAGGCAUUUUACCGAACACCUUCCGUGCGUGCACUAGACGCGCCCAGAGCGCGCGUAUUGCACGAACCGCGCCCGAGCUGACACACUGGCCCCCUGGUUUUGGCCCGCUCUGCAGCGCCACGCCACGCACUAACCUCCUCACAGCAACGCGCCAAGCCGCCCUGGCAGCCAACAGCGCUACCGACAGAGCUUUUGGCGGCAUGCCAGCGUCCGCAGCACGCCUCUGCCACGGUCGGCACCGCCAAAGCCACCCCGGCUUGCCACCUGUCCCUGGAAUAGUGCGAGGUCAUCCGCAGCCUCGUCCUCUAGCGCUCGUCGCCGCCACGUCGUCCAAGCUACAGGGAGGCGGUUCGCCGUCGUCCUUAUCACCGGCCGCCCCAGAACCGACCUCCACCGCGUAUAUAAGGACCCCAGAGCUCAAACAAGACCUCGAGCAACCUCAUAUGAUCCUCCUGGUGUGCCUUGGCCAGCAGUCGAGCAAGGGAAGGCCUUCUUCCCCGAGUUCGGCUGGUUCGGUCGCCGCCAAGCCCCGGCCGAUUCCAUCACCACCAGUACCUCUCCCUCUCCACUCUCUCCACCAAGAACUCUCCCUCCCUCUCGCGAGCACAACCCCGCGCUCAAUUUUGGCAGGAGACCACCGCAGCCCCAAACUCACUAUCCACCCGAAUGCCUCCUUCGCCGCGAAGCUCGUCGUCGGCGACUCCGUUCACCUCGGCGACCAUGGCGGGUACCCACAGACUCGUCUCGACCCCCUGAGCACAGCCAUGUCCUCAGAUCACCAAGGGACGCCCCCGUUCACCGGCAAAUCCUCGCCGGAGCUCCGCCUCUAUUCGGUCGGAGGGAGACGACGCGCGCGUGGCCGGUCAAACCUGACCACUGGGCCAGGCGGGCCCACCGUCAGUGACCCAGCGCCUGUCCAUGCAGGAGUAAGUGGAAGCGCCUUCCCCGAAUAUGCUUUCGACGUGUACACGUUUUAUUUGAAACGUUUUUCUUUUCUGUUUUAUUUUAAAUAUCAGAUUUGGACCAAAACUUUGACCUGCUGUAUCUUUGUAAAUAUAACUCCAAAUGAAUUAAUUCUUUUUCCUACCUCUCUCAAAUAUUGUCUAGUUUAUUUUAAGAUUUAUUUGAAAAAUUUUCAAAACAACUUUUUGUGCUGUUUUUAAUCUGUGUGUUAAUUCUUUUAUAUUUCGAAAAUAGGAUUUUUGGAGAGAGGAGAAGUAUUUCAAGAGUUUGAAAUGCGCCCUGCCUUCCCAUGACCUGAAGGCAAGCAUUCUGAACCACGGCAUAAAUAUUUUUGUAUGUUUGAUGACUCGUUUAUAACAUCACCUCACUUUGGAGAAACUUGUUAUUUCAUGUGAUAUGAUCAUAUGCAUGGGUGCAUGUUAGUGAUUUCCAUGCUGUUGGAAAAGAUCACACUUGUGAUAAUAACCAUCCUCAUGUGCCUUGCAUGCAUACCGGCAGGAACCCGGGAAAACCUCUGCCUUGGGUAGGCAUGAGUUUGUCGCCGGUCUCCGUCGGGACGGUUAUGUCUGGUAUGGCAUGGUAAGGUAAUAUGAGCGGUGACUCUGUUGGUUGAAAUAUAUUCGUUAUGCUAAUCCUGCAGGGAAUACUUAAACCUCCUGAGUCGACCAUAGAUCGAGUCUUGUUCCAGUAACCCCCAUACUUGUUUCGUACUACCACUCGUCUCUACAACAAGUAGAGUACGGUUCAGUAAGUUGUCAACCUCUUCCUAGCACACACCAUACAGAGAGGCCAGGGUGGAAGAUAUCGGUUGUAGCUGGUAGGCAGGCCACCUGGUCCGGGGGCAUGGGUGUUUCCGGUUGAGACCGAGAGGGGAGGCCACCCCUUAGAGCGCGCAAUAUAAAUUUGAUCCCAUGCUACGCGAGGUUGUAGCCUCCCAACUUAGAGUUUGCUUGACAGGUGUCGUGGGUGAUUCUAGACACGUGUGAGUUAAGCUGGUGUGUGCAAGUUAGGUGUGUUUUCAACAAAAAGACCGUAGACGGAAUUAGUCCCGAUGGACUAAACAAAUCCGUUACUCGUGGGUAAAGAGUACACCCUCUGCAGAUAUUAAACCUAUUCGAAUAGCCGUGUCCAUGGUUAAGGAUUACAGUCUGGGAUGGGUCGAGUGUCGGUCUUAGUGUCAGUCUUCGGAGGUGAAAUUAUUAAAUCAGAACUGGUAUCACGACUUGUGACAUGUGAUGAUGAUGAUUAUUUUGUUAUGGACUAACCCAUGCUAUUAUUGGUAUUAUCGGAUAUCCCUGGGACGGUUCUACCUCCUGGAUAUUCACCAUGAUUGUUAUUCUUCAAAAGCCCUUUAUGUGGUGUCGCUCAGAUGCCCGACUGUGGCAUUUCUUUUAAAGCCCUUUAUGUGGUAUCGCUCAGACGCCCGACUGUGGCAUUUCUUUUAAAGCCCUUUAUGUGGUGUCGCUCAGACGCCCGACUGUGGCAUUUCUUUUAAAGCCCUNNNNNNNNNNNNNNNNNNNNNNNNNNNNNNNNNNNNNNNNNNNNNNNNNNNNNNNNNNNNNNNNNNNNNNNNNNNNNNNNNNNNNNNNNNNNNNNNNNNNNNNNNNNNNNNNNNNNNNNNNNNNNNNNNNNNNNNNNNNNNNNNNNNNNNNNNNNNNNNNNNNNNNNNNNNNNNNNNNNNNNNNNNNNNNNNNNNNNNNNNNNNNNNNNNNNNNNNNNNNNNNNNNNNNNNNNNNNNNNNNNNNNNNNNNNNNNNNNNNNNNNNNNNNNNNNNNNNNNNNNNNNNNNNNNNNNNNNNNNNNNNUGUCGCUCAGACGCCCGAUUGUGGCAUUUCUUUUAAAGCCCUUUAUGUGGUGUCGCCCAGACGCCCGACUGUGGCAUUUCUUUUAAAGCCCUUUAUGUGGUGUCGCUAAGAUGCCCGACUGUUGCAUAUUUGUUAUUUAUUUCAUAAUUUUAAUACUGCUAUGUUAUUGCAUUUUCAUAAAUAACCUGCUUACAUGCAUCAGAGAUUUAUUUUUGUGACUGACGUCAUGAGCAUUUAUAUUUCGAAACAUCGUUGUUAUAUUAUACCCGUGUUCAUAAUGUUUGCGUGUACAUUCAAAGUACUCACUGGCUUGUCCCUGGCUAUUGUCUUGGCCAGAUUUCUUGCACGGAGAGGAGCGACGUGAUGACAGCCCCAGAACCUAAGAAAUAGUGAUAGCAGCCUCGCGAAGAUAGGAGUUAACCUGGUCAGCUGUUCCCGUGGGAAAUGGAGUCCCAUAGACACUGAUGAUUCACAAACCGCUUUCGCCAUCAACCACUAGAAACCAUUUGUUGUACUCACAGACCAGAAUGGUCUUGUACUUCAUAUUUUAUGUUUUGCUUGGAAUUUCUGUAUCAAGUUGGUGCCUCAUCAGCUAACAGUUAUCCUGGGGCUGGUGAGCACAAGGGCCAUUUUCUAGGAAUUAAUACCCGGAGAACUGGUCCCCACAGACUUGGUAUCAGAGCCAGGUUGUCCAUUGGCUAAUCCUAUCUUAGCCAGGUCGGAAAAACUUAGGCAAACCAACCCACCAGACCUUAACCAAACCCCAGCCGAGCUUCUCAUGCAAGAUAGCCACACAGUGACCCUGACACAUUUGGCAAUCGGUGCCCAACCUAUCAACCUAGCCUGUCAAUCACGUGCCAGUGACCAGCACCCAAGAUGUCUCCUCCACAAGUGUGCGAAGGAAGACUCCGUCCCCUUUUUCUAUAAAAAGGGCACGCUAGCUCCAACCCAGCACAACCUCUACCCCAAACCGAGCCAUAAUGCCAGGCCCCGUCGUGCACAAUGAGACCACAGCAACCAACCUUGGAGGUUUUGUGACCAUACUCGCAAACCUCACCCGUCGUGCCUAUGUGUUAGAAGAGCCUCCAGAAUAUGUUGUGUACCAAGGGUCCAUGAGCGGUGAGAGCCGUCAAUUCUGGGCCACUGUGCACAUCUACGAUAGGGGUCUAUCUCCAGAACGCCCCUACAGGUUCACUGGAAGAACAACUUCCUUCGAGCCACAAGCCAUCCAGCUAGCUGCUCGAGAGGCUAUAGUUCAACUUCGGCAGUUGUCGCCCAGAGUUAACUGUCGCUCGUUCUACUACUACCCCAGGCGUGAAGGGUAUGGUGGACCACCCCAAGUUGCCAACAGAGAUCACGAGACGGAUCCCGCAUUGUUGCACCUAGUGCGCUAUGUAAGUGCACUAGAGGCACUGUUCGACCAGAUCACCAUUGAUCUAAUCGCAGCUCGAGGAGAGGUGGUUCGUCGAGCCCCAGCAAGAAGAGAAGACGAGCCUGACGCCGACAACCCAGUUGUGCUGUUCGGAUACCCGAUCGAGACCCUGAGGUCAGCCCCAGCCAUCAUCCAAGAUACUGUGAUGACCCCAGAAGUGCUUCGUCGCCUUUUGGGAGCACACUCCAACGGGAUUGUGGCUAACAAUCCCCGCGAUGGUCAUCAUCUCUACCCCGACCCUGCAGUUCCUCCGCCAUCACCGACUAAUCCCGACAGUGAGACACGUGGAGAAGCCUCGUCAUCCACCAGGCACGCCCGUUUAGACGUAAACGAGGUAGACUAAGCCGUAUGAGUAGUACCGAGUUUCAGUGUAUCCUCACUUUGUAAUCGUGCGACCUUGUGUGUAAACGCAGCCUGCCGUUGUGCCUCUGUUUUAAUGGUAGACUUGCGUAUUUUGUCAGCGCCUAGUUGCACAUUUUCAGGGCACAGCUACCAAAACCAACCCCGACGACAACCACAGUAACACGUCUCUCUAUGAGAUAUGUGUGUCUCUGACACUGACCCGACCUUUGGAGCUAAGCUGGUAAAUUUAUUACCUUUCACCACGGUGAAAUAACCCAACUCCUUUGCUAUAUAAAGGCCACCUCGUGAUCUUACCCAGCACCCCACACCUUGUGCACCACCCUCACAACCUUUUCCUGUCAUGCCGAGCCCCAGUAUUCAUCUGAGAACCCCAGAUGCAACCCCAGGUAGCUUUGUCAAAAUAUUGUGGGAGUUUACCCGCAGUACUAUGGGUUCUACCCAGCCAUCCCAGUACGAGCUGUUCAAAUCGAGAAUCACCUUUUCCACCUCGGAAUAUUGGGCUGCAGUACACAUCCCUCCCGUAGACUCCAAUCAAGAUCCAACGGAAGUUUCCUUCGUGGGGAAAUCUGUGCCAACCCCACACCUGGACAUAGAAGCUGCUGCGAAAGAAGCGAUUGCUCGCCUUCGAUCCGCAGUGCCCUAUGCCCGCGAACGAGGAUAUUAUUACUUUCCGAGCCGUGCAACGCCCGAGGAAGUAACAUCUUUUCCCGGUGGACGGAUUGAGAGAGACCCAGUGCUAGCCAACCUUAUCCAGUACAUCAUCGCUCAAGAGCAUUUGAACCAACGAGUGAUGGAUUAUCUCCAGAGUCUCACUGAUUUGAAUCCUCAGAUUGCAAUCGGCAAACCACUGAGGCCCGACCCGGAGAGACGCAUACAUCGACUGGUCAAUCCACUUCCUCCAAUUGAAGAGGAGUGUAUACCUUUACCAGAGACAUUUUACCAGGACCCCGUCCAGUUACCGUUUUCAUUUUAGACGUCACUGCUGUGUUUGGUAUUUCAGCAUUUAUUGUUACGUUGUAACUUAUGCUUGGUACCUCGAAUGUGUGCGACGAGUCGAUUAUUUAGUUUCUACUAGUAUGAGUAGUUUUCUUCGUGAUUAACUAGUGUAACCGCGAAAAAUCCUAGAAUGAGAUUUCUUUUCCCUGAGUUACUGCAACGUUUAUCCCCUCACUGCCUGGAAUAUUUUUAUUCACGCAGCACCACGGCAGCAGACUCACAACCGCUCGGGCACUUAUGGAGCAUUUGUUUUCACAACGGCUCUUAGCAAAUCUCGAGGACGAGAUUUUUCUUAAGGGGGGUAGUAAUUGUAACACCCCAAAAAUUUAACCAGGUUUUAGUUAUUAAAAUUUUGCCAAGAGUUAAAUUUUUUGCCUGCAAGAAUAUUUCUGUUGAUUUCAAAACCUUUCUUUUAAUAUUAAGGAUUUACUUUUCCCAAGUGGAUCCUUCCAAAACAUAUUGAACUUCUAUGCCAUCUCAUUAAAACAAUUUCCUAAUUAGUAGGAUUAUUUAUUAAAUUAUUUCACCCUGAGCUAUAUUCAUUAAAAUGACUUGUUUUAAGUUUUGGAGCUCUUUUUGAACUACAACCAUUUGAUAAAUUUAACUGAAAAUUCCACCAAAAUUUGGAGAUGUCCUGUGAUGCCUCUAAAUCACUUUUGUGCAUUAAUAUAUUUAUUUCAUUGCAUAUUUUGAGUAUUACACAUGUUUUUCUUCUCUGGUCCAGUGGACAAUUUUUGCACCACAACCCUUUUAAAUAUUUGUUUCUAGCUUCCACCAAAAUUAUGGGAUGUCAGUAGGAGCAUAUGAUUCCAUUAUAUGCAAAAAUCCAGGGAUGUUCCUUGAAAUUUUUGAGUGAAUCAACCUCAUCUCCAUUCUGGUCCAACAUGAUGGUUUGUACAGCAACCAUAUUCUUGCUUGCUCUUUGGCCCUUGAUUCUUGCUCCUACUUGUAGUCCUCCAUGCUAAACCCCUAAGUCCAAGAGCAUGCAACCAUUGGCAUAUUUUUGGUUCAUGAAAUAAUGCCAUUCACAUCCUGUCCAGAUUUGAAGUUCUGCAAAACUUACACUAGCAAGUUUGUGCUUUUCACCAACUAACCUCACCACCCUCUUAUGCAUCCAAAGAGACUUCAAUCUAGAAGAUUUGGCCACUCCAAGAAAAGCCUAAGUGCCUGUGGCAUUUUGUCAAACACCUGGAGUGCAUGAGCAGGUUUGACAUGUAUUGUUGUUGGCAUUGUGAACUUGGUCUCCUGACCAAACUACCUUGUCCCCUGAGCUUCACUCUAUCAACAACCUAGCUCUGUUGCUUGCCAACCUCACCUGUGACCUGUAGCAUGCCACGGCAUUUUACCGAACACCUUCCGUGCGUGCACUGGACGCGCCCAGAGUGCGUGUAUUGCACGAACCGCGCCCAAGCCGACACACUGGCCCCCCUGGUUUUGGCCCGCUCUGCAGCGCCACGCCACGCACUAACCUCCUCACAGCAACGGGCCAAGCUGCCCUGGCAGCCAACAGCGCCGCCAACAGAGCUUUUGGUGGCAUGCCGGCGUCCGCAGCGCGCCUCUGCCACGGUCGGCGCCGACAAAGCCACCCCGGCUUGCCACCUGCCCCUGGAACAGUGCGAGCUCAUCCGCAGCCUCGUCCUCUAGCGCUCGUCGCCGCCACGUCGCCCAAGCUACAGGGAGGCGGUUCGCCGUCGUCCUUAUCGCUGGCCGCCCCGGAACCGACCUCCACCGCGUAUAUAAGGACCCCGGAGCUCAAACGAGACCUCGAGCAACCUCAUAUGAUCCUCCUGGUGUGCCUUGGCCAAUAGUCGAGCAAGGGAAGGCCUUCUUCCCCGAGUCCGGCCGAUUCGGUCGCCGCCAAGCCCCGGCCGAUUACAUCGCCACCAGUACCUCUCCCUUUCCACUCUCUCCACCAAGAACUCUCCCUCCCUCUCGCGAGCACAACCCCGUGCUCAAUUUUGGCCGGAGACCACCGCAGCCCCAAACUCACUAUCCACCCGAACGCCUCCUCCGCCGCGAAGCUUGUCGUCGGCGACUCCGUUCACCUCGGUGACCAUGGCGGGUACCCACAGACUCGUCUCGACCCCCUGAGCACACCCAUGUCCUCAGAUCACCAAGGGACGCCCCCGUUCGCCGGCAAAUCCUCGCCGGAGCUCCGCCUCUGUUCGGUCGGAGGGAGACGACGCGCGCGUGGCCGGUCAAACCUGACCAGUGGGCCAGGCGGGCCCACCGUCAGUGACCCAGCGCCUGUCCACGCAGGAGUAAGUGGAAGCGCCUUUCCCGAAUACGCUUUCGACGUGUACACGUUUUAUUUGAAACGUUUUUCUUUUCUGUUUUAUUUUAAAUAUCAGGUUUGGACCAAAACUUUGACCUACUGUGUCUUUUUAAAUAUAACUCCAAAUGAAUUAAUUCUUUUUCCUACCUCUCUCAAAUAUUGUCUAGUUUAUUUUAAGAUUUAUUUGAAAAUUUUUCAAAACAACUUUUUGUGUUGUUUUUAAUUUGUGUGUUAAUUCUUUUAUAUUUCUAAAAUAGGAUUUUUGGAGAGAGGAGAAGUAUUUCAAGAGUUUGAAAUGCACCCUGCCUUCCCAUGACUUGAAGGCAAGCAUUCUGAACCCCGGCAUAAAUAUUUUUGUAUGUUUGAUGACACGUUUAUAACAUCACCUCACUUUGGAGAAACUUGUUAUUUCAUGUGAUAUGAUCAUAUGCAUGGGUGCAUGUUAGUGAUUUCCAUGCUGUUGGAAAAGAUCACACUUGUGAUAAUAACCAUCCUCAUGUGCCUUGCAUGCAUACCGGCAGGAACCCGGGAAAACCUCUGCCUUGGGUAGGCAUGAGUUUGUCGCCGGUCACCGUCGGGACGGUUAUGUCUGGUAUGGCAUGGUAAGGUAAUAUGAGCGGUGACUCUGUUGGUUGAAAUAUAUUCAUUAUGCUAAUCCUGCAGGGAAUACUUAAACCUCCUGAGUCGACCAUAGAUUGAGUCUUGUUCCAGUAACCCCCAUACUUGUUUCGUACUACCACUCGUCUCUACAACAAGUAGAGUACGGUUCAGUAAGUUGUCAACCUCUUCCUAGCACACACCAUACAGAGAGGCCAGGGUGGAAGAUAUCGGUUGUAGCUGGUAGGCAGGCCACCUGGUCCGGGGGCAUGGGUGUUUCCGGUUGAGACCGAGAGGGGAGGCCACCCCUUAGAGCGCGCAAUAUAAAUUUGAUCCCAUGCUACGCGAGGUUGUAGCCUCCCCACUUAGAGUUUGCUUGACAGGUGUCGUGGGUGAUUCCAGACACGUGUGAGUUAAGCUGGUGUGUGCAAGUUAGGUGUGUUUUCAACAAAAAGACCGUAGACGGAAUUAGUCCCGAUGGACUAAAGAAAUCCGUUACUCGUGGGUAAAGAGUACACCCUCUGCAGAGAUUAAACCUAUUCAAAUAGCCGUGUCCACGGUUAAAGAUUACAGUCUGGGAUGGGUCGAGUGUCGGUCUUAGUGUCGGUCUUCGGAGGUGAAAUUAUUAAAUCAGAACUGGUAUCACGACUUGUGACAUGUGAUGAUGAUGAUUAUUUUGUUAUGGACUAACACAUGAUAUUAUUGGUAUUAUCGGAUAUCCCUGGGACGGUUCUACCUCCUGGAUAUUCACCAUGAUUGUUAUUCUUCAAAAGCCCUUUAUGUGGUGUCGCUCAGACGCCCGACUGUGGCAUUUCUUUUAAAGCCCUUUAUGUGGUGUCGCUCAGACGCCCGACUGUGGCAUUUCUUUUAUAGCCCAUGUGGUGUCGCUCAGACGCCCGACUGUGGCAUUUCUUUUAAAGCCCUUUAUGUGGUGUCGCUCAGACGCCCGACUGUGGCAUUUCUCUUAAAGCCCUUUAUGUGGUGUCGCUCAGACGCCNNNNNNNNNNNNNNNNNNNNNNNNNNNNNNNNNNNNNNNNNNNNNNNNNNNNNNNNNNNNNNNNNNNNNNNNNNNNNNNNNNNNNNNNNNNNNNNNNNNNNNNNNNNNNNNNNNNNNNNNNNNNNNNNNNNNNNNNNNNNNNNNNNNNNNNNNNNNNNNNNNNNNNNNNNNNNNNNNNNNNNNNNNNNNNNNNNNNNNNNNNNNNNNNNNNNNNNNNNNNNNNNNNNNNNNNNNNNNNNNNNNNNNNNNNNNNNNNNNNNNNNNNNNGGAAUUUCUCUUAAAGCCCUUUAUGUGGUGUCGCUCAGACGCCCGACUGUGGCAUUUCUUUUAAAGCCCUUUAUGUGGUGUCGCCCAGACGCCCGACUGUGGCAUUUCUUUUAAAGCCCUUUAUGUGGUGUCGCUAAGACGCCCGACUGUGGCAUAUUUGUUAUUUAUUUCAUAAUUUUAAUACUGCUAUGUUAUUGCAUUUUCAUAAAUAACCUGCUUACAUGCAUCAGAGAUUUAUUUUUGUGACUGACGUCAUGAGCAUUAAUAUUUCGAAACAACGUUGUUAUAUUAUACCCGUGUUCAUAAUGUUUGCGAGUACAUUCAAAGUACUCAGUGGCUUGUCCCUGGCUAUUGUCUUGGCCAGAUUUCUUGCACGGAGAGGAGCGACGUGAUGACAGCCCCGAAACCUAAGCAACAGUGAUAGCAGCCUCGCAAAGAUAGGAGUUAACCUGGUCAGUUGUUCCCGUGGGAAAUGGAGUCCCAUAGACACUGAUGAUUCACAAACCGCUUCCGCCAUCAACCACUAGAAACUAUUUGUUGUACUCACAGACCAGAAUGGUCUUGUACUUCAUAUUUUAUGUUUUGCUUGGAAUUUCUGUAUCAAGUUGGUGCCUCAUCAGCUAACAGUUAUCCUGGGGCUGGUGAGCACAAGGGCCAUUUUCUGGGAAUUAAUACCCGGAGAACCGGUCCCCACAACUUUCCAAGGAAACAACCUCAAGUUUAUAGUAUCAACUCUAUUGGAAAAAUUCCAUCGAUUAUAUUUGGAGGUUUUGAAUUUCCUCUCCGUACUGUCAAGAAGAAAUAUGAUAUACUUAUUAUUGGGGAUGUCCAUAUCCCCGUUGAGGUAACAUAGUGUUAUUCGAAAUUUCUCUGGUUCCAUGUUAAUCGGAAUGAGUUUGUUAACAAGACUUGAUCAACCUUGUUAGUGGAUUCUUUUUGAUGAACAUGAGAUGGAUGAAACUAGAAGCACAACCUUCUGUACCCUCUUUAUAUUUUUUGUUAUUUAGUAGAAAUAAAGUAAAAUAGUAUUUUUUUUCUGUCUGUUUCCUGAUUUACCCGUGCAAUAUAAAAAUAUCCCUAAAAUAAAAGUCCUCAGAAUGCCAUGCCAAUUUAAUAUGAAUUUUCGGGAAUAUUUGAGGAUUUACUGUGCAAAAAUUACCGCGGGGAGAGCUGCCACCUGGCCACGAGGGUGGAGGGCGCGCCCCCUGCCUCGUGGGCCCACGGUGGCCCUCCUCCACUUAUCCCUGCACCCAUCUUCUCCUCUGCCUCACACAAACACGACAAACCAACUCAAGCACGAGUUCCAGCCCCUGUUGCUGUGAUUUUCGAUCUCCUUGCUCAAAGCACCUCUCGCAAAACUGCUUGGGGAGAUUGUUCCUUGGUAUGUGACUCCUCCAUUGGUCCAAUUAGUUUUUGUUCUAGUGUUCUAUUCAUUGCAAAUUUAUGCUGCAUAGGUGACCAUGUUCUUGAGCUUGCAUGUCAAAUUUAUAUGGUUCCAAGUAGUUCUAAUGCUUGAUAUAGGCUCUAGGCACUUGCGGGAGUAGUUGCUAUCAAUUUUAUUGAAGUUGGUUCACUUUUAUUUUAAGUUACUAAAAAUUUCAGAAAUUUUUCAGAGGAAACAAUAUGUUUAGGAGGAUGUUCCAAGGUGGUUCUUCAAGGAAGCAAGGUCCCAGGCUUGCAAUGCAUGAUGCCGACGAGGAACCACCAAGAGACGCUCCUAUGAGGCCCUGUGAAUGGCCUUGGGAAAUUUUAUGGAUCAAGCGGGAAUCCAAGAAGAAUUCAACACAUAUAUACGCAAUGCCGGUCUUGAGGAAUUUGAAGCUGACAAAUGCCCCCAGUAUCAUGAUCUCACAAGUUCAUUUGUGAGGAGGUUUGAGUUUUCAUCUUCGCGCAAUUCUCCUUCAGUCAUGUUUGACCUUUAUGACAAAUCUUAUACCAUGAACUUAGAGGAUUUCACUUUUGCUUGCAAACUUCCAUCUUGGGGUAGUGUCAGGGAUCCCCCUAAAUCUGAAUAUAGAGACUUUCUUGCUAAAAUAACUAUGGGGGAAUCUAGAGAUAUAACACAAGCCACUAUAGGGAGCAUUCACUUUCCUGCUAUACAUUAUUUUGCUCUCUUUAUAGGUAGAUGCAUUAAUGCUAAGGAUGAAGCAUGUCACAUGUGUGCCCCCGAUCUCAGCAUUCUCAGAAGUGCUGUGUUAGGAGACCAAUCUUAUCAUAUGGGAGCCAUUGUAGCUCGCAGGUUGCAUCAUAAUAGACAUAACGAAGAUUUCUUUGGAGGAAUUUAUGCAACCCGCUUAGCUAAUUUUCUUGAGAUAGACAUUCGUGAGGGUGAUAUGGAGUUACCCCCUACUUAUUUAGAUUUUGAUUCUAUGGUUUCCCACCAGUUUGUUGAGAGGACUGAACCACCUCUCCAGUAUUGACUAAUCUUUAACAAACACAUGUAGUCCAUAUUACUCUUCCUGCUCCUGCCUUCUUUGAUUCUCAGACAAAAGGAAGAUAUAUUAUUACUAGAGAGGAGGAAGAGGAGUAUGAGAGAAAAGCGGAGGCUGCUCGACGCCACGCUGCAACUCAUGAGGCGAUAGCCGUUGCAUCGCAGUACGACCCCAGCUACACCUACGGGUAUCCGCCAGGCUAUCCCUGGCAAUAGACCAACUUAGGCCAAAAGCCUAAGCUUGGGGGAGUACGUAUUUCCCACCGACAUUACAUUCAUGUUCACACACACUCAUUGCCAGAUGUCGGUGCUCAUACUCUUUCACUGUAAUAUCCAUGCUAGUUUAUUUUCUUUUUCUUGCUUUCUUCUUGUGUGUUUAAUAAACCUUAAGAAAAAAAAAUAGUAGUAGUUUAUUUCUUGGCUAUAGUAAUAAAAAAAGAAAACCCAAAAAUAUUUCCCGUUCUUCUUUUGCUUGUUGGGAGCUUUCCCGUGUAAAUAGUUUUUAUUUCUUUUCUUUUCUUUGGGGGUCAGUAGGAAAAGACCAUGAUUAAAUUGUUGAAGUGGCCCUUAUAUGCAUCAUUGUAGAUUUAACCAAGAGCCCAUAUUGCCUUGUCUUCUCCUGUUUAUUGAAUGCUCGCAGAUUCCAGCUUAGUCCAAUGCAUGUGCACUCUUAUUAUUAUUCACACGGUUCGGUCGUGCAAGUGAAAGGCAAUUAUGAUGAUAUAUGAUGGACUGACUGAGAUGGAAAAGCUGGUAUGAACUCGACCUCUCUUGUUUUUGUAAAUAUGAUGAGUUCAUCAUUCUUGAUUCAGCUUAUUAUGAAUAAACAUGUUUGCAAUGACAAUUAGAGAUCAUAGUUGCUCGUACCAUGCUUGAUUAGCUAUGAGUUAUAAUGAUUUACCUUGCGUGCCAACAUGCUAUUAAAAUGGUUGUGAUGUGGUAUGAUGGGGUGGUAUCCUCCUUUGAAUGAUUUAAGUGACUUGACUUGGCACAUGUUCACGCAUGUAGUUGAAACAAAUCAACAUAGCCUUCAUGAUAUUUAUGUUCAUGGUGGAUUAUAUCCUACUCAUGCUUGUAUUCAAUGUUUAUUAAUUUUAAUGCAUGUUCAUGACUGUUGUCGCUCUCUAGUUGGUUGCUUCCCAGUCUUUUGCUAGCCUUCACUUGUACUAAGCGGGAAUACUGCUUGUGCAUCCAAUCCCUUAAACCCCAAAGUUAUUCCAUAUGAGUCCACUAUACCUUCCUAUAUGCGGUAUCUACCUGCCAUUUCAAGUAAAUUUGUAUGUGCCAAACUCUAAACCUUCAAAUAAUCAUUCUAUUUUGCAUGCACGAAUAGCUCAUAUAUCAACUAGGGCUGCCCUUAUCUUCCGUGUUAGGCGGGUUAUUCUCAAGAGGAGUGGACUCCGCUCCUCAUUCACGAGAAAAUGGCUGGUCACCGGGAUGCCCAGUCCCAUGCUUUAUGCAAACUAAAUCAAAAAUAAUUGCAAACAAAACUCCCCCUGGGACCCGUUGAAUGUUGGAGGCACUCGUUGUUUCAAGCAAGCCAUGGAUUGAUGCUUGUGGAGGAGGGGGAGUAUAAACUUUACCAUUCUGUUUGGGAACCGCCUAUAAUUUGUUUAACAUGGAAGAUAUCGUCAUCUCUUAGUUGUUAUGUUGACAGUGAAAGUAUGCCGCUCAAAAUAUAAUUUACCUCUAUUUCAAAACCGAGCUCUGGCACCUCUACAAAUCCCUGCUUUCCUCUGCGAAGGGCCUAUAUAUUUACUUUUAUGCUGAGUCAUCACCCUCUUAUUAAAAGCACUAGCUGGAGAGCACAACUGUCAUUUGCAUUCAUUACUGUUAAUUUAUAUCGGGUAUGACUAUGAUUGGAUCUCUUUUACCAUGAAUUACAAUGUCUAGUCAGUCCUUGAUCUUUGAAGGUGCUCUGCAUUUAUGUUUUGCGGUCUCAGAAAGGGCUAGCGAGAUACCAUCUUGUUAUAUCAUAUUAUGAUUGUUUUAAGAAAGUGUUGUCAUCCGAGAUUUAUUAUUAUGGCUUGCUAGCUGCUUAUGUUAUUGAUAUGAGUAAACAUGAGACCUAGGGGUUAUUGCAAAUGUGGUUAGUUAUGAUCUUUGCUGAAAACUUAAAUGCUGGCUUGACAUAGUUACAACAACAAGAGCAAACAGAGUUUGUAAAAGUUUUUCUUUUUCUCUUUCAGUUUCUCAACUGAAUUGCUUGAGGACAAGCAAGGGUUUAAGCUUGGGGGAGUUGAUACAUCUCCAUUGUAUCUACUUUUCCAAACACUUUUGCCCUUGUUUUGGACUCUAACAUGUAUGAUUUGAAUGGAACUAACCCGGACUGACGCUGUUUUCAGCAGAAUUGCCAUGAUGUUGUUUUUUGUGCAGAAAACAAAAGUUCUCGGAAUGACCUGAAACUCCACGGAAUAUCUUAGAAUAAAUAAUAAAAAAAUCCUCGCCAAAGAUGAAGACCAGGGGGCCCACACCUUGUCCAUGAGGGUUGGGGGCGCCCCCCCCUCUUGGGCGUGCCCCCCUACCUCGUGGGCCCCCUGGAGACCCUCCGACGCCAACUCCAACUCCAUAUAUUGGCUUUCGGGGAGAAAAAAAUGAGGGAGAAGAAAUCAUCGCGUUUUACGAUAUGGAGCCGCCGCCAAGCCCUAAUCUCUCUCGGGAGGGCUGAUCUGGAGUCCGUUCGGGGCUCCGGAGAGGGGGAUUCAUCGCCGUCGUCAUCAUCAACCAUCCUACAUCACCAAUUUCAUGAUGCUCACUGCCGUGCGUGAGUAAUACCAUCGUAGGCUUGCUGGACGGUGAUGGGUUGGAUGAGAUUUAUCAUGUAAUUGAGUUAGCUUUGUUACGGUUUGAUCCCUAGUAUCCACUAUGUUCUGAGAUUGAUGUUGCUAUGACUUUGCUAUGCUUAAUGCUUGUCACUAGGGCCCGAGUGCCAUGAUUUUAGAUAUGAACCUAUUAUGUUUUCAUGAAUAUAUGUGUGUUCUUGAUCCUAUCUUGCAAGUCUAUAGUCACUUACUAUGUGUUAUGAUCCGGCAACCCCGAAGUGACAAUAAUCGGGACCACUCCCGGUGAUGACCAUAGUUUGAGGAGUUCAUGUAUUCACUAUGUGCUAAUGCUUUGUUCCGGUUCUCUAUUAAAAGGAGGCCUUAAUAUCCCUUAGUUUCCAAUAGGACCCUACUGCCAUGGGAGGGUAGGACAAAAGAUGUCAUGCAAGUUCUUUUCCAUAAGCACGUAUGACUAUAUUCGGAAUACAUGCCUACAUUACAUUGAUAAAUUGGACCUAGUUCUGUGUCACCCUAUGUUAUGACUGUUACAUGAUGAACAACAUCUGGCAUAAUUAUCCAACACUGAUCCGGUGCCUACGAGUUUUCCAUAUACUGGUUCUCGCUCAUUUACUUUUCCGUUGCUACUGUUACAAUCACUACAAAAAUACCAAAAACAUUGGUUUUGAUGUCUUUACUUUUGUUACCGUUACCACCACUAUCAUAUUACUUUGCUACUAAACACUUUGCUGCAGAUACUAAGUUUCUAGGUGUGGUUGAAUUGACAACUCAACUGCUAAUACUUGAGAAUAUUCUUUGGCUCCCCUUGUGUCAAAUCAAUAAAUUUGGGUUGAAUACUCUACCCUCGAAAACUGUUGCAAUCCCCUAUACUUGUGGGUUAUCAGUCACUGAUAAGGAGCAUUGGAAUGAAGAGUUUUUGCUCCAGUUUUAUGCCACUCUCCACAUUCGCGGCUACAACAGGGAUCCGAAGACAUGGGUCCUUGAGUGGAUGACAGGCAAUGUCCAUCAUGAAGCCAAAGCCUUUGAGCUCACUGAGCUUACCGGCCUGUCCACUUCAGGUGAAUUCUAUGAACCUGGUUGUCAGCUUCACCGCAAUGCAUUGGAAAGCAUCUUUCAGAAGCCUGAGCCCAACAUGAGCCAAAUGCUGAGCAUGAUGAAGCCACUGCCACAUGACGCUGAAUAUCCAAAGGAAUUCUUUGUUGAAGACCUAGAGUAUCUGCCCCGAACCAUCUAUCAUAUCAUAAGGCGAAUUCUAUGGCCCAUCAAAGGGCAUUCCUCUUCAGCAAAACUUGAAGGUGCAAUGAAGACAUUGGUAUUCCACAUUCUCAAUGGCAAAAGCUUCAAUGCUCAGGAUUUCUUGAUUUGCCAAUUUGCUGCAUCUGGCUCUGAUAUCUUUGGUCUGAAAUUCUAUGCUCCUUGGAUUAUGCGUCUGAUCAAGCUUCACUCUGCCAUUGACUAUCAGCCCUCUUCACGUAACCAUCUCAUAUUUCUACCAUAGGUUGAUAUGUCCAUUGAAGCCAUUUACCCUGAGCCUGCCAAGGAAGCUCUAUAUCUUCACAAUGCAGAUCGUCGGAGCUUUUCCCAGCAUGUUGAAGGUGUUCAGGUUGCUUCUCGUGUUUAUCCUCUGGCCGGUAACACUCGCCGUGCACGCACUGAAGCCACAGAAAGCACUAUUGCUCCAAGGCCUCGGAAGCGAUCUCGUGUGCUCAAUGACCCAAGAGCUUCUCGUGGCCUUGCAUUAGAAACAUGACAGUCAUCAUUACUGGAUGAAGCGUCAAAUGCAAAGCCUCUUGGUGGAUGUCAAUCGCAUUCGCAAUCUUGCCACCAAGAAUGCCUUUGUCACUCAUGAAACCUGUCGGAGGUCCUGGAAGAGUCUGACAUUGCUAAGUGCUGAAGCUGAUCUUCAAGACAAUGGCUUCACUGAGAGAUUCAAGUUCGACUCCACUCCUCCCAGGAAUGCUGUCUUGCGUCGAACCCCAUCUCUUGAAGAUUCAGAGUACUCCUCCUCCGCAGCAACUGUAAAUGCCAGAGUCCUGGAUGAUGCAGAUGAUGCUACCUCACCACCUCCAACCUCAGCACGUAUCGACACUACACCAAGCUCUUCUGCACCACCAAACUUCAACAACGACCCCGCUGCUUCACCUACUCCUCAUGGGAACGAGUAGCGACUAUGUCUUCAAACCUUUUUGGUCCUUACUGAGAAAAGGGGGAGAAGCAUAUGUUGAUAGUCUUCAAGCGGGUCAUAUGGGUGGUUGAUAUACUUUUGCCUAGUGCUUACAACUCUUGCUUUUGAUACAUUUGGUUCUUUGAGUUGUAACACAUGAACUUGAUGGUCGUCUGCUACUUUUUCUGCUAUUCUGUGUGAUGCGACGAUAAAUUCCCCAUGUGCGAUGAUAAAUCCCGCAUGAAGUCAUUGGCAGACGUCCAUUUUUCAUUAUGCAUGUCAUUAUUCCUGUAUAUCUGUUCAUGCAUAAUGUAUUGUCUUCAUAUGGUGAAGAGGAUCUCCACAAGUACAACUUGCCAUUUGCAUUUGCGUUCCAAUGCAAAACAUUUAUAUGCACAUCUUCAGGGGGAGGCUUUUUGCCAUCUAUGAAGAAGUAUCUUAAUCCUUUACAAUUUCACAUACUUUUAUCCCCGUUGAAAACUUCAACCAGUUUGUCAUUGCUACGUCUUGAGCUUGCGUUGGUUUUCCUCGAAGAGGAGAGGGUGAUGCAGCAAAGUGUAGCGUAAGUAUUUCCCUCAGUUUUGAGAACCAAGGUAUCAAUCCAGUAGGAGGCUCCUCAAAAGUCCCACGCACAUACACAAACAAACUGAGAACUCACAACCAACGCAAUAAAGGGGUUGUCAAUCCCUUCACGGCCACUUGCGAAAGUGAGAUCUAAUAAAGAUAGAAUGAUAAGAUAAAUAUUUUUUUGGUAUUUUGUAAUAUAGAUGCAAAAAGUAAAGAUGCAAAUAAAAGUAGAUUGAAAGCAAAUAUGAUAAGAGAUAGACCCGGGGGCCAUAGGUUUCACUAGAGGCUUCUCUCAAGAUAGCAUAAGUAUUACGGUGGGUGAACAAAUUACUGUCGAGCAAUUGAUAGAAAAGUGCAUAGUUAUGAGAUUAUCUAGGCAUGAUCAUGUAUAUAGGCAUCACGUCCAUAACAAGUAGACCGACUCCAGCCUGCAUCUACUACUAUUACUCCACACAUCAACCGACUCCUGCCUGCAUCUAGAGUAUUGAGUUCAUAAGAACAGAGUAACGCAUUAAGCAAGAUGACAUGAUGUAGAGGGAUAAACUCAUGCAAUAUGAUAUGAACCCCAUCUUGUUAUCCUCGAUGGCAACAAUACAAUACGUGCCUUGCAACCCUUUCUGUCACUUGGUAAGGACACCGCAAGAUUGAACCCAAAGCUAAGCUCUUCUCCCAUGGCAAGAAAGACCAAUCUAGUAGGCCAAACCAAACUGAUAAUUCGAAGAGACUUGCAAAGAUAACUCAAUCAUACAUAAAAGAGUUCAGAGAAGAUUCAAAUAUUAUUCAUAGAUAAACUUGAUCAUAAACCUGCAAUUCAUCGGAUCUCGACAAACACACCACAAAAAGUGUUUACAUCGAAUAGAUCUCCACAAGAGAGGGGGAGAACAUUGUAUUGAGAUCCAAAAAGACAGAAGAAGCCAUCUAGCUAAUAACUAUGGACCCGUAGGUCUGUGGUAAACUACUCACAACUCAUCGGAGGGGCAAGGAUGAUGAUGUAGAAGCCCUCCAUGGUCGAUUCCCCCUCCGACAAAGUGCCGGCGAAGGCUCCAAGAUGAGAUCUCACGGAUAACGAAGGUUACGGUGGUGGAAAUUAUGUUUCGUGGUGCUCCUGGAUGUUUUCGGGGUACGUAGGUAUAUAUAGGAGGAAGAAGUACGUCGGUGGCCGCCUGAGAGGCCCACGAGACAGGGGGGCGUGCCCUACAGGGGGGCACGGCCCCCUAUCUCAUGGGGCCCUCGGAAGCUUCUUGACUUGCACUCCAAGGUCUCCGGAUCACGUUCGUUCCAAAAAUCACGCUCCCGAAGGUUUCAUUCCGUUUGGACUCCGUUUGAUAUUCCUUUUCUUUGAAAUACUGAAAUAGGCAAAAAAAACAACAAUAUGGGUUGGGCCUCCAGUUAGUAGGUUAGUCCCAAAAAUGAUAUAAAUAUGUAAAAUAAAGCCCAUAAACAUCCAAAAGGGGUAAUAUAAUAGCAUGGAACAAUAAAAAAUUAUAGAUACGUUGGAGACGUAUCAAGCAUCCCCAAGCUUAAUUCCUGCUCGUCCUCGAGUAGGUAAAUGAUAAAAAGAGAAUUUUUGACGUGGAAUGCUACCUAGCAUAAUUCAUAAUGUAAUUUUCUUUAUUGUGGCAUGAAUGUUCAGAUCCAAAUGAAUACAAAAUAAAAGUUCAUAUUGAUAAAAGAAAUAGUAACACUUCAUGCAUACUAAUCAUAGUAAUCAUGUCUUCUCAAAAUAACAUGGCAAAAGAAAGUUCAUCCCUACAAAAUCAUAUAGUUAGACUAUGCUUCAUUUUCGUCACACAAAGAUGUUCCCAACUUCUAUACCCCCGAUGACAAGCCAAUAAAUUGUUUCAUACUUAAAUAAUCUCGAACUUUUUCAACCUUCACGCAAUACAUGAGCGUGAGCCAUGGAUAUAGCACUAUGGGUGGAAUAGAAUAUAUUGAUGGGUAUUGUGUGGAGAAGACAAAAAAGGAGAAAGUCUCACAUUGGCAAGGAUAAUCAACGGGCUAUGGAGAUACCCAUCAAUUGAUGUCAACAUGAGGAGUAGGGAUUGCCAUGCAACGGAUGCACUAGAGCUAUAGAUGAAUUCUCAACAAAAGAAAACUAGUGGGUGUGCAUCCAACUUGCUUGCUCAUGAAGACCUAGGGCAUUUGAGGAAGCCCAUCGUAGGAAUAUACAAGCCAAGUUCUAUAAUGAAAAAUUCCCACUAGUAUGAAAAAGACAACUUAUGAGACUCACUAUAUGAAAAACAAGGUGCUACUUUGAAGCACAAUAUAUGAGACUCACUACAUGAAGAACAAGGUGCUACUUUGAAGCACAAGUGUGGAAAAAGAGAUAGUAACAUUUUCCUUUUUAUUUUUUUAUUUUUUUUUAUUUUUUUUCAUUUCUUCUUUUUUUGGGCCUUCCUUUCUUUUUUGGCCUUUCUUAUUUUUGUUGGGCAAUGUUCUAAUAAUGAUGAUCAUCACACUUCUAUUGAUUACAACAUAAGAAUUACAACUCGAAACUAGAACAAAAUAUGACUCUAUAUGAAUGCCUCCGGUGGUGUACCGGGAUGGUGCAAUGAAUCAAGAGUGACAUGUAUGAAAAAUAAUGCAUGGUGGCUUUGCCAAAAAUACGAUGUCAACUACAUGAUCAUGCAAUGGCAAUAUGACAAAAUUAAAGUAUGUCAUGAUGAUGAUGAUGAGCGGAACGGUGAAAAGUUGCAUGGCAAUAUAUCUCGGAAUGGCUAUGGAAAUGCCAUAAUAGGUAGGUAUGGUGGCUGUUUUGAGGAAGAUAUAAUGAGGUUUAUGUGUGAUAGAGCAUAUCGUAUGACAGGGUUUGGAUGCACCGGCGAAGUUUCCACCAACUCUCAAGGUGAGAAAGGGCAAUGCACGGUACCGAAGAGGCUAGCAAAGGCGGAAAGGUAAAAGUGCGUAUAAUCCAUGGACUCAACAUUAGUCAAAAGAAAUCAUAUACUUAUUGCAAAAAUUUAGAAGUCAUCAAAAAUCAAGUACUACGCGCAUGCUCCUAGGGGGAUAGAUUGGUAGGAAAAGACCAUCGCUCAUCCCCGACCGCCACUCAUAAGGAUGCACAAGCCAGGUACACUUCAUGCUUCAAAUUUGUUACACAACUUUAACCAUACGUGCAUGCUACGGGAUUUGCUAACUUCAACACAAGCAUUCUUUGAAUUCAUAAUCACCCAACUAGCAUGACUUUAAUAUCACUACCUCCAUAUCUCAAAACAAUUAUCAAGCAUCAAAUUGAUCAUAGCAUCCAAUUCACUUCCUAUGAUAGUUUUUAUUAUACCCAGCUUGGAUGCUCAUCAUUCUAGGACCAACUUUAUGACCAUAGCAAAUACCAUGCUGUUCUAAAAGACUCUCAAAAUAAUAUAAGUGAAGCAUGAGAGACUAGCAAUUUCUUCAAAAUUAGGACACCACUGUGCUCUAAAAGAUAUAAGUGAAGCACUAGAGCAAAAACUAUCAAGCUCAAAAGAUAUAAGUGAAGCACAUAGAGUAUUCUAACAAAUUCUAAUCAAAUAGGCUUCUCCCAAAAGGUGUGUACAGCAAGGAUGAUUGUGGUAAACUAAAAAGCAAAGACUAAUAUAAUACACGACGCUCCAAGCAAAACACAUAUCAUGUGGCGAAUAAAAAUAUAGCUCCAAGUAAAGUUACCAAUGAACGAAGACGAAAGAGGGGAUGCCUUCCCGGGGAAUCCCCAAGCUUAGGCUUUUGGCUAUUCUUGAAUAUCUUGGGGUGCCAUGGGCACCCCCAAGCUUAGGCUCUUGCCACCCUUUAUUCCAUAGUCCAUAAAAGCUUUACCCAAAACUUGAAAACUUCACAACACAAAACUCAAUAAGAAAUGUUAUAAGCUCUGUUAGUGAAAGAAAACAAAACCACCACAUAAGGUACUGCAAUGAACUCAUUCUUUAUUUAAUUUGGUGUUAAACCUACUGUAUUCCAACUUCUUUAUGGUUCAGUGACUAAUUUACUAGCCAUAGAUGCAUUGAAAUAAGCAAACAACACACGAAAAACAGAAUCUGUCAAAAACAGAACAGUCUGUAGCAAUCUGUAACUAACGCAAACUUCUGGAACUCUAAAAUCCUACGAAAAUAGGAAGUCCUGAAUUUUUUUUAUUGAACAGCAUCAAAAAGAAUCAUAGCAAAAUCACGUUCCUGUGAUUUAACAAAAUUAUAUUCAUGCGUGCGAAGUUUCUGUUUUUCAGCAGAAUCAAAUCAACUAUCAUCGUAGGUUAUCCUAUAGGUUCUACUUGGCACAAACACUAAUUAAAAGAUAAAAACACAUCUAAACAGAAGGUAGAUGCAAUGUUUAUUAGUAAACAGAAACAAAAACAAAAAACACAAAUAAAUUAGGUUGCCUCCCAACUAGCAUUGAUAAUUUUAAUGAUGCUCACAUGACAGACAAGAAUUGAAGCACUAAGAGAGCAUCAUGAAACACGUGACAAACACAUCUAAGUCUAACAUACUUCCUAUGCAUAGGCAUAUUGUAAGCAAACAAAUUUGCAAGGCAAGGAAAAACUAGCAUAUGCAAGGAAGAAGAAAGAGAGGAUAGCAAUCUCAACAUGACGAGAGGUAAAGUAGUAAGAUAAAAACUUCUACGACCAUAUUUCCUCUCUCAUAAUAAUUACAUGUAGGAUCAUAUGCAAAUUCAACAAAAUAGCUAUCACAUAAAAUAUUCUCAACAUGAUCCACAUGCAUGCAAAGUUGACACUCUUCCAAAAUAGUGGGAUUAUCAUUAACUAAAGUCAUGACCUCUCCAAACCCACUUUUAUCAAAAAUACCAUAAGAUUGAACAUUCUCGAAAUAUGUGGGAUCUAAAGUUGACACUCUUCCAAACCCAGUUUCAAUAUUAUUGCAAACACUAUUAUCGAUCUUAUAUUCGUCAUGGGGCUUAAAUAAACUUUCAAGAUCAUAAGAAGAAUCAUCCCAAUCAUGAUCAUUGCAACAAGCAGUAGACAUAGCAAAACUAGCAUCCCCAAGCUUACGGUUUUGCAUAUUAUUAGCACAAUUGACAUCAAGAGAAUUUAUAGUAAAAUCAUUGCAAUCAUGCUUUUUAUUCAAAGAUCUAUCGUGAAUCACUUCAUAAAGUAUUUCAUCACAAUUCUCGGAUUCACGGAUUUCAAGCAAAACUUUAUAAAGAUAAUCUAGUGCACAAAACUCACUAGCAAUAGGUUCAUCAUAAUUGGAUCUCUUAAAGAGAUUAGCAAGUGUAUGAGGAUCCAUAAACUUUUAGCAAGCAAAGAUGCAAGCAAAAAUAAGGUACAUGGAGGCACAAGCAAACAAGAAGGCAAGCAAAAGAGAGAGGAGACUGGGAAAGAGAGGGCGAGUAAAACGGCAAGGGUGAAGUGUGGGAGAGGAAAACAAGAGGCAAAUGGCAAAUAAUGUAAAUGCGAGGGAGAUGAGUUUGUGAUGGGUACUUGGUAUGUCUUGACUUGAGCAAAGACCUCCCAGGCAACGGCACCAGAAAUCCUUCUUGCUACGUCUUGAGCUUGCGUUGGUUUUCCUCGAAGAGGAGAGGGUGAUGCAGCAAAGUGUAGCGUAAGUAUUUCCCUCUGUUUUGAGAACCAAGGUAUCAAUCUAGUAGGAGGCUCCUCAAAAGUCCCACGCACCUACACAAACAAACUGAGCACUCGCAACCAACGCAAUAAAGGGGUUGUCAAUCCCUUCACGGCCACUUGCGAAAGUGAGAUCUAAUAAAGAUAGAGCGAUAAGAUAAAUAUAUUUUUGGUAUUUUGUAAUAUAGAUGCAAAAAGUAAAGAUGCAAAUAAAAGUAGAUUGAAAGCAAAUAUGAUAAGAGAUAGACCCGGGGGCCAUAGGUUUCACUAGAGGCUUCUCUCAAGAUAGCAUAAGUAUUACGGUGUGUCGGUGUACUAGAAUAGGGGUAUCCUAGUACCCCGAACUUGUGCACGGGCAGUUGCAGCACCCCGCGGCAAGGCUUGCCGGGCGAACGCCAAGAUCCUCCGUGGUUCCCUUGGAGCCAUUCAAGAACAAAGUAUUUAAGCUCAGGAGACAAGGCCCCGGCAAGAGGAGCUUGCCGGGAAGGCCAACCAAAGCACUCCAAGGAACUUGCCGUGACGCGCCACGUGCUCCGGCAAGGCAACAAGGCCCCGGCAAGAGGAGCUUGCCAGGAAGACCAACCAAGGUACCUCGAGGCCCGGUGAGCGACAAGCUUCCGGACCCGACAAGAUAACAGCAGCGGCAAGGCGCUUGCCGUGGCAGGCGGCCACUCUGUUCCCACGCUCCAGCGCAUCCACCAAUGUGUCGCUCUGGGGGCCUCUCCAGGCGCGCGUGGCGGGAGGCUGUGCAGCCAGCGGUGCGCAGUGGCAUGCGAAGCUGACAAGAUCGCCAUCGUGGCGAACGGUGGCACCCCUAAUGGUCCUUUCCUGCACUGUUUGGGCGAUUCAGAUGGGCAUUUAAUGCCCUUGUCCCCUGCCGUCAGGGUUAGGUAGGGUGCAUUGUACAAGUAACUAUACCAACCACCUCACUUUUUACAUUUGUACCCUUCUCUGCGUUGCCACCUGUCGGUGACCCCUUUAGCGUAUAAAAGGAGGCCCAUGCGCAACGAAAGGGGGUUGGUGGUCGGACUGAUUGAGGUUCGCGAGGUUCGACUGGUUUGGAACCCAGAAAAACGCUACGCUCUCUCUCUAGAGCAAGAACACCAGAUAAUCAAACAAGCAGCAGUAGGAGUGUUAUCUCUCCGGAGAGCUCCGAAGCUGGGUAAACUGCUCGUGUGCUUCGCCUCGAUCUGCUCUUCGUGUGAUCUCCGCCCUCCGACGAACCAAAAGGGGCUCGGUCCGCCGGCCCCAUAGGUGUUCGUGGAUCAGUUUCCCCGACAUCUUUGGCGCGCCAGGUAGGGGGCGUCGAGAUUGUGUGAACCUGAUCCGGCGUUCACACGAGCUAGAUCUUCAUUCCCUUCAUCAACAUGCCACCGAAGAAGAAGACUUCGGCGGCAGCCGCUCCGUCCACGUCACUUCCGCCACCGUUGGAGCAAACGGGUGGUGGAAUGGACGCCGGCGGAAGAAUGGAUGUCGACGAGGAAGCUUAUGAUGCUGCCAGGUCCAAGGACAAGGCUGCACAAACCUCGGCGACUGUACAUGUUCCGCGCCACUCUCAGGAGGCGCAAGACCAACAGCGUCAUGACACUCGUAGUGCCAUACGCAUGAUAGGCCAAGACCAAGCUGGUGGAUCUUGGGGCGCUCAAGACCAGCAUGCACGCCAGCGUGCUGGCACGAGCGGGGCACGGUCGCCUGGACGGGAUACUGCUCCUUCAAACAUCUUUAGAAGUCCGAGCACGUCCCGCUCCUCGCGCCGCCCGCCACUGCCACCCACCACUCCAGCAGAAGCUUUGGCGCGAGCUCAACUGCUCCUAGAUUACCCUCUGAUGUCGGACAAGAUCGACAAAUGGAGGGCCACCAUUCAGAGUCUCAUCGGCUACGCCAACGGCGACACUCCAUGGCGGCCGAGCGCGUCGCCGCCGCGGCAGGGUUGCCGGGCGCGAGCCGGUGGCGACGAAACGGGUGGAGGUGCAACUACCAUGCAAUCACCACCUCGAAGGCCAAGAUCGCCGACUCGCCGGAUCCACCUCGACAGCGACUCCACCGCAUCAUUGGAUCCACGAGAUCAUCGCGAUCAGUGCCAAGUUCUUCAUGAUCGACAACAAGAAGACGCUCAAACUCGCAUCGAGCGCCGAAGAGAAGCGCGAUGUCAAUCCGACAAGCGCGCUGAGCCCUCUAUUGACGUGCAUGCGCCAGGGGAACCAGGCGAUCUGCCGUACACGGUAGGUUGCCUUGCGUUCACUCGUGAGCUGCGGCAAGUCCAGUGGCCCAGCACGAAGAACUUCAAGCCAGACGUACCGGAGAAGUACGACGGCAAGACGCAUCCGUCGGAGUUCCUCAGCAUCUACACCAUUGCGGUGCAGGCUGCCGGGGGACGGGAUGACAAUAUCCUUGCCAACUACUUCCCGCUGGUGCUCAAGCCCAACGUCAGAUCCUGGCUCAUGCACUUGCCGGACAACUCCAUAUCCUCUUGGACUGAUCUGUGCCAUCAGUUUGUCGGCGCCUUCACAGGCGGACACAAGCCUCAUGGCCAGGAGAGUGAUCUUCAUCUGCUCGCCCAGAAGGAAGGAGAGCCCCUGCGCAAGUACAUUUAGAGAUUCAGCAGUGUGCAACAUAACAUCCCAGACGUCCACCCUGCCGCGAUGAUCAGCGCGUUCCAUCAGAACGUGCGAAACCGCAGGAUGCGGGAGGAAAUGGCGAUGUGCAAGAUCAGGGACGUCAGUGAGUUAUAUUCACUGGCCGACAAGUGCGCACGUGCUGAGGAAGGGAGGAGACUCCCCGGAGAGAAUGUAGGAGCGGGAGGAUCUGACAGUGAAGAUGCUGCCCCGGCAAGGAAAAACCAGCGGCGGAACAACAGGAAGAGGAAAGGUAAAGUGGUGCUAGUUGUUGAGCAGUCCGACAAUGGUGGUGGCGCCAAGGAAGCCAAAGCUGGUGACUCCGGCAAGGAGGUUGCCGCGGAGGUGGCGGCCGCCGACAAGCAGGACGGCACCAACAAGCAGUGUUGCAAGAUCCACCGCACCAAGGACCAUGAUCUCCAGAACUGUAAGAAAGUCGAGCAGCUUGUUGAGCAACAGAAAGCUGAAUACGAGCGGCGCGACAAGGAGAAGGCCCAGGAAGGUGUUGGGGGAUCCGGCAAGAAACGUCCCGGCCGAGGAGGAUGCCGCGGCAAGGCCAAGCAGCGGCAAGGAGACAGACCUCCUCGCGGCCGCGACAAGGAUGGAGAUGACGACGACGAUGAAGACAUGGAUGAUGAGGAGACUGAUGAGCAAGAGUUCCAGAAAGCCACAGAGGUCCUGUGCAUUGACGGUGGUGCUUCUCUGCAUACCUCGCACCGUCAGCUCAAGCAGUGGGUGCGGGAAGUUAAUGCAGCAGAACCACCCAUCGAGUCACGCAAGCCUCUGAAAUGGUCCAGCACGCCUAUCAUCUUUGAUAUUGAGGACCACCCUGAUCGCAUAACUGCGGUUGGGUGCUUGCCGAUGUUGGUUUCACCAACAAUCCGCAACCUCAAGGUCACUAAGAUGCUAGUUGACGGCGGGGCUGGCUUGAACCUGAUCUCCUCCGCGGUGCUCUAGAAACUCCAGAUCCCUGACAGCGAGCUCGAAGAGACCGGUACAUUUCAAGGAAUCAACCCGAGAAGGAGGAAGCCGAAGGGAAAGAUCACGUUGCCGGUAACAUUUGGCAGCGAGCUGAACUUCAGGACUGAGAGGGUCACGUUUGAUGUUGCUGACUUUCCAUUACCUUACAAUGGAAUCCUUGGCCGUCUAGCACUCGCCAAGUUCAUGGCAGCCUCUCACUAUGCGUACAACAUACUGAAAAUGCCAGGCCCGAUAAGUGUCAUCUCUGUCCCUGGCGACAAGAAGGAUGCUCUUAUCUGUGCCGACAAGAUCUACCGGGAAGCAGCAGCCGUAGCAGAACGCAAGGUUCUUGCCGCUGAAGCUCCCGGGGGGAAGAAGAAGACCAAGUCCGGCAAGAGCUCUGAUGCCCACUCCGGCAAGCGCACCUCUUUGGAGUGUUGCGCUACCGUCGAGGACGCACCAUCGAGCUCCACCGGCAAGUGUAAGAAGGCAAUGGCAGCUCCACCUGAGACCAAGAAGGUGUCCACCAAGGAGGACGGCACUGGUGGUACCUUCACCAUCAGCGCCACUCUUGACCCCAAAUAGGAAAGCACGCUCGUUGCUUUCCUGCGGGCGAAUGUCGACGUGUUUGCGUGGCAACCGUCUGAUAUCCCUGGUGUUCCCAGGAAAGUAAUUGAGCACCACCUUGCCGUCUGUCCUCAUGCGCGGCCCGUCAAGCAGAAAGUCAGGAAACAGGAAGUGGAGCGCCAAGAAUUCAUUGCAGAAGAAAUCAAGAAGUUGGAAGCAGCAGGCCUUGUCAGAGGAGUGCUCCAUCCCACGUGGUUGGCCAAUCCUGUUGUCGUGCGCAAGGCUAACGGGAAAUGGAGGCUUUGUAUUGACUUCACUGAUGUUAAUAAAGCUUGUCCCAAAGACCCAUUUCCCUUGCCGCGCAUUGACCAGAUUGUUGACUCCACAGCCGGAUGUGAUUUGCUUUCAUUUCUUGAUGCAUACUCAGGAUACCAUCAGAUCUUCAUGGCAAAAGACGAUGAAGAGAAAACCGCAUUUAUCACCCCGUGUGGCACGUACUGCUUCGUACGGAUGCCUUUCGGUUUGAAGAAUGCUGGUUCAACAUUCGCAAGGGUAGUCCACCAUGCUUUUGAGCCGCAGAUGCACAGAAAUGUGGAAGCCUACAUGGAUGACAUAGUGGUCAAAAGCAAGAACAGGGCGACCCUGAUUCAAGAUUUAGACGAGACAUUUGCAAAUCUAUGCAAAAUCAACCUCAAGCUUAACCCCGAGAAGUGCGUGUUUGGAGUCCCUUCCGGCAAGCUUCUCGGGUUCUUCGUGUCUCAGCGGGGAAUUGAAGCCAAUCCCGACAAGAUCAAGGCCAUUGAGCAGAUCGAAGCACCAAAGCGCGUCAAGGAUGUACAAAGGCUCACCGGUUGCGUGGCUGCUCUCAGCAGGUUUAUCUCUAGAUCUGCUGAGCGCGCCCUGCCAUUUUUCAAAAUUUUGAAAAAGGCAGGUCCAAUAAAAUGGACUCCGGAGGCGGAGGCUGCGCUGCAGGGCUUAAAGAGAUACCUGUUCUCCACUCCAACACUUGUCGCACCUAAGCCGCAAGAGAAGUUGCUGUUGUAUAUAGCGGCAACCAAUCAAGUGGUUAGUGCUGCGUUAGUGGCGGAGAGGGAGGCAGAUGAUGAUCCAGCAACUACGGCAGAUGCAUCCAGCGACAAGCAGGGGGCUUCGCCGACAAGCUCUGGUACCGACAGAGAUGGAUCUGCGCAGGAGCAUGAUAAGAUGCAGAAGAGAAUGGUGCAGCAUCCAGUUUACUUUGUCAGUUCCCUUCUACAGGGGGCUAGAUCAAGGUACUCUGGUGUACAAAAGUUGCUUUUCUGCCUCCUCAUGGCCUUGAGAAAGCUGCGCCAUUACUUCCAAGCACAUGAGAUCACAGUCGUCACUCGCUUUCCGCUGAAGAGGAUACUGCAAAAUCCGGAAGCGACAGGCAGGAUUGUCGAGUGGGCGCUGGAACUGUCAAGCUUUGGCCUCAAAUUUGAGAGCACUUCAACUAUCCAAAGCAGAGCAUUGGCAGGGUUCAUAGCAGAAUGGACGCCAACACCAGAUGAAGAAAUUCCAGAGACGAGCAUCCCCGUCAAAGAGGCAAGCAAAGAGUGGUUGAUGUACUUUGAUGGUUCCUUCUCGCUGCAAGGCGCCGGUGCGGGCGUGCUGCUUGUCGCGCCCACCGGAGAGCACCUCAAGUACGUAGUCCAGAUGCACUUUCCCAAGGAGCAAGCAACCAACAAUACUGCAGAGUAUGAAGGAUUGCUUGCCGGUCUCGGAAUCGCAGCAGACCUUGGGAUUAAGAAGCUCAUUGUCAGGGGUGACUCACAGCUUGUCGUCCGCCAAGUGAACAAGAACUACCAGAGUCCAUUGAUGGAAGCAUAUGUCGAUGAAGUGAGGAAGCUAGAAGAGCUCAGAAUGACAAUGCUGAUGGAGCAUAUCCCAAGAGCUCAGAAUGACAUUGCUGAUGGCCUGUCAAAGUGCGCCGCACUAAAGUUACCUGUGGAACCAGGGAUCUUUGUGCUCAAGUUGACUCAACCAUCCGUAACACCAUCAACUGGACAAAGCAAAAAGAGGAAGUUGGUUUCUGGUGACUACUUUCCGGCAGAGCUCCUCGAAGCCGCCGCCAAGAAAGUCCCCAAGAUCAACACCAAGGAUGCUGAGGGGCAGUCUGCUCCGGCAAGCCUUAUGGUUUGUUCCGUUGAAGCAGACGCUCCCGACAAGUUUUGCUCCGGCAAGCUUGCCGGGGAACAUCAAGCUCCGGCAGGGCCGCAAGUCCUUGCCGUAGAAGCGGAUGUUCCCGCAGCAGCAGAUGUGCCUUUAGUCCUUGUUGUCGAGCCACAAGCUCUAGCUUGGGCACAGCAGAUUGUCCAUUUCCUUCAGACAUGAGAACUUCCCGAAGAGCAAGAAGAAGCGGAAAAAGUAGCCCGGCAGUUAAGUAUGUACCAGUUUGUCGAUAGCAUACUGUACAGAAGAAGACUCAACAGUGUGAAAUUGAAGUGUAUUUGCCGAGAAGAUGGACAAAAGCUGUUGGCAGAGAUACAUGGAGGCAUAUGUGGCCACCACAUUGGCGCAAGAGCACUUGCCGGCAAAGCUUUCCGGCAAGGUUUCUGUUGGCCGACAGCCCUCCAGGAUACAACUGCACAAGUAACCAAGUGUGAAGCGUGCUAGUUCCACUCCAAACAGAUAAACCAGCCAGCUCAAGCUCUCCAGACGAUCCCUUUAUCCUGGCCAUUUUCGGUCUGGGGGCUCGAUAUCCUCGGCCCUUUCCCCCGAGCUGUCGGGGGCUUUGAGUACUUGUACGUUGCAAUCGACAAGUUCACAAAGUGGCCGGAAGUGCAGCCAGUGAGGAAGGUGACAGCAUAGUCAGCAGUCAAGUUCUUCAGGUCAAUUGUUUGCCGUUUCGGGAUCCCUAACAGGAUCAUCACCGACAACGGCACGCAAUUCAUGAGCCGCACCUUCAUGCAGUACGUCCAAGACCUUGGCGCCAAGGUCUGCUUCGCUUCUGUUGCUCAUCCGAGAAGCAACGGUCAAGCAGAGAGGGCAAAUGCUGAAGUGCUGCGCGGGCUCAAGACCAGAACUUUCGACAGGCUGCACAAGUGCGGAAGAAACUGGAUCGAGGAGCUGCCGGUGGUUCUUUGGUCGAUCAAAACGACGCCAAAUCGAGCCACUGGCCAGACGCCUUUCGCUCUAGUCUAUGGAGCAGAGGCAGUUCUCCCCACGGAACUCGUAUACGGAUCGCCUCGAGUGCUCGCUUAUGACGAGCUUGAGCAAGAACAGCUGCGACAAGACGACGCGCUGCUCCUUGAGGAAGAUCAUCUUCAGGCUGCUGUACGAGCUGCUCGAUACCAGCAAGCUUUGCGCCGCUACCAUAGCCGCAAAGUUAAGGCCAGAAGCUUCGAGGAAGGCGACCUUGUUCUUCGGCGCGUUCAGUCCGCCAAGAAUUCCAACAAGUUGACGCCAAAGUGGGAAGGCCCUUAUCGGGUGAAACGAGUCACAAGGCCCGACGCUGUCCGCCUUGAGACCGAAGAUGGCAUUCCGGUGAGCAACUCCUGGAACAUGGAACAUCUUCGUAAGUUUUUCCCGUAGGGCGCGGUUGCCGGAACCCGUUCCGGCAACCACCUUUUGUACAAGUCUUGCCGCUGUUGCAUGUAAUCCUUUGUACAAAGCCGGGCGCAGAUCCCGUGCAUAAAUAGAACCCCAUGUGCUCCGCACAACUUGUCCAUUUCAUGCAUUAGUUUCUUUCUUGCAUGCGUUAUCUGACACUUUGUGCAGCACCUACAUCCGGUAAGUAAUAACGAGCUGAAGGGCUCCAUAUCUUUAUUUUCUCUUCUUUCUUCUUUUCAACAAAGGAAAAGAAGGUUCCCUCGCACACAAGUUUGCCGGGGGGGAAGGAGAAGAUUGUGGUAUGGACCAGGCGUCGUUCAAGCAAAGUUUUGCCUUGCCGGGAAGCAAACGAUAGUAAAGCUAAGUUGCGAAAGUUUGAGCAAUCAGUUUUAAAAUUUUUGAGUUAUCUUCCUCGAACGACCCUGCUUUGUAUGGAAAACCUGUGCGCGGAGGAACCAACUCGUGGCUAGUUGCGCCCUUACUUUGUUUCGAGUCCGCUCAACAACUUAAGUGUGCUGCAUCUAGUCGCGACAAGGUUUCUUGUCGGAAGCAGCGCCGCCAGCAGGCUGCUGACGUUCCGCACUCAGCGCUCGUGGCUCGGGUGCCUGCGCCGACAAGUUCCCUAGAAGCGUAGGGUAAAAACAUACAAAGGAAGGAAUCUAGUACAGGAAAUAACAUAGCAAUUGAUAAUAGAAAUAAAUUUAUAUUACAAGAUAACUUGUCACAUCUCUAACAGACUGUUUUCAUAACGUGAUUAGCAGCGAUAAGGGAAAAGAAGAAAUGGGCGGCCUAGUCUACGCGAUCGCCCUCAACCCUCUUGAUCUCGCUCACCUUGUCCACAAUGGGUGCGACAAGGGCCUUGAGUGCAUCCCAAUCGGCGUCUGGCGGCAAGGACUUGAGGACGUUGGUGAAGUUGGCGACAAGGGCCUUGAGUGCAUCCUCACCGGCGGUCUCAUCAGCACCGGCCCCUUCCUCGCCGGCGCCCUCUGUCUCCAUUGGCUCAGCAGCAGAUGGGUCUGAAGAAUGAAGAAGGGAGAAAAAUCAAUCAAAAAUCAGAAGAAGAAGAACCCAAGGGAAAGUUUUUGGACAAGUGAAUUACCUGUGCCAAGAUCUGCAGUUGCGGUCUCGGCCGCCGCAGGAUCGACGGUGCUGCCCCUUGCCGGAGAGUGCUCCCUUACCGGGAACUCCUCCCUUGGUGGCGUAGUCGAAGCAGAUGGCACUUCGGGACCAGCUUCCGGGCGCUCCUGAUAUGGCUGCUCUGCUCCUACACAAAUCAACAAGCAAGAUAUCAACAAAGGAAAAAGCACUCAUGCGCGCCUGACAGCAGAAAGCUAACUAUGAACUUACGCUAGGGGCUGCGCUGGGGGCUGCUUUGAGGAGUGGUUGCCGGGUCCGUCAAGGUGGUCUCGGACCCACCCCCUGCUGACACGGUGGGGUCAUCUUCGAUGACAAUCACCGCGGCCUUGGCCCUCUUCGCCGCUCUCUGGGCCAGCGUCCUGAAAAGGAAGGAGUCCAGAUUGAAGCAAGGCAGAUACAAGAUAAAAACAGCAAAAUUGAAGAACUACAAGAGCACCAAAGAAACUUACUCUUCUUCCUCCUCGUCGGAGCUGAGCGCGGAAAGAUCGAAGUCCGGCUCCCCUCCGGUUGGGCGAGGCGGAGGAGUAGGAUCCCUUGCCCGUUUGGCGGGGGCGGUGGCGGUGGCCCGGGAAGAUCCCGCUCUAGUUGCCGCUGCUGCGUGAGGCGCUCCCGCGGCAACAUUGCUCGCCGCGGUAGAGCGUGUCGCACGGCUCGGCGGCUGUUGACCUGGCUGCCGCCCUGCUACGUCUGCGCCCCUGCGAAGACGCCUUCUUGGCAGGGCCGGGGGCUCCGCCUGUGGCAAGCUUUCUGAAGGCUCGGGUUCUUCCUCGCCGGCCUCGCUCGGCUCAGCUUCAGAGCCGGCAGGCUCCUCCUCGCCAAUGAACUCCGAGCGCUCGGCGAGGUUUGCCGCCUCUGCCGCCUCCGCCUCCUCCACAGUGAACCCGAACGCGCCCGCGGCAGCUGCGGCCGCAACCUCUUCUGCCCUAGUGGCGAUGCGCUGCAGCUCCUCGUCGGUGGUGUCACGGGUGAGGCUCUUCUGCUCGUUAGCGCGGACCGGCACUUCUUCCAAAUUGUCGAAGAAUGCUUGCACGACGUCGUCCGCAGGCUCUUGCCAAGUUGGAACGAUUCCGUGUGAAUCGCACAACGGCAUCAUGGCGCGGAUCCGGUCAAGCGAAGAAUUACUGCACAAUGGAACGACGCCCCUCGCCAGCGUGAAUGGGUGCUGUGGAUCUCGUUUGAACAACUCCAGGAGCAUUGCAUCCAGCUCCAUGACGGUGAAGUUGUAGUUGAGGCCCGGCCACAGCCUCAUGAUGUCCGCCGAGUUCUUGAAUUCCCAGGCGGGCCUCCCCCUCUCCUGCAGGGGGGCGAUGCGGCGGCGGAGGAAAUCUGCGCCUACAGCGCCUACAGUGAGCCCGGCAAGCCUGAGGCGAAGGAUCCUAGUAAUGGCGAUCUUCAGCCUCUCGUCUUCCGGGGCCAUGUUGCUCCAGUCAUUGCCGCGCACUAUUGGAGCUUGGCGCACGGCGGUGAAGGGCUGCGGAUUCUCCUCGACGAUCCAGCACCACUCCGCUCUCCACUCCUCCCACUUGCUGCGGAGCUCACCCUCCAAGUACGCCUCCUUCUUGCCGACUCUCGAGAUCCAGGCGAUCCCUCCGGCAAGCGGCUCUCCUCUCUCUACCCGAGGUAUGAAGAAGUGGCGGAAAAGGGCAACAUUGGGGUGGACUCCGACAAAGUAUUCGCACAAAUGUGCGAAAACUGCCAUGGUCAGAACGACGUUGGGGGUGAAAUCAAGGAGGCGGAAGCCAUAGGUGUUCAUGACAUCGCAGAAGAACUCCGAGAAGGGCGGGCAGAGCCCGCAAUAGAAGAACAGCACGAAGAAUGGGUACCCAUUUGGAGCCAGUUCCGAAGCAGCGGCCGGGAGUACCCUCGUGCGCGGAUGCGCCCGCGUCUCCGUCGCCCAAAAGAGGUAGAAGUACUCCCUCAGCUCCUUCACGCCGAGCUGGGGGGAGAAGAUCGCUCGCUCCUUCCGCAGCGCCGCGAGCCGCUGCGCCUCGGCCGACUUCACGCCCUUUCCCUUGUCGGCUUUCGGAGCCAUGGCGGAGGUGGUGGGGGAGGUCGACGGCGUUGGUGAUGCUAGUGGCAAUGGGGGGCGGAGCGCUACUCUCUCGGCUUCGAGAAGAAGGGGGGAGCGGCGGAGGUUUGUGAAGAUGGAGUAGUAGCAACCAGCGAGGGGGAACGAACUGCCCCUGUUUCCUGUGCUUAUAAAGAGGGACGGGGCGGACGUUUCGCCCUUCCGAAUAAAGAACCACCCACGAUCUCUCCCACGACGCCGCAUUCGACGUGUGCCAUUAGGGGAGAGCGUGGUGGAUCCGGAGCGAGAUUCGGCAUGGCCCAGUCCGCGUGUGCCCGUGCCCUGUCUUGGGCCUGGCCCAACAGCGCUCGGCACCGUGUCUGGCCCAGGCCCGAGGGCUCCUGUCGGUGUACUAGAAUAGGGGUACCCUAGUACCCCGAACUUGUGCAUGGGCAGUUGCAGCACCCCGCGGCAAGGCUUGCCGGGCGAACGCCAAGAUCCUCCGUGGUUCCCUUGGAGCCAUUCAAGAACAAAGUAUUUAAGCUCAGGAGACAAGGCCCCGGCAAGACGAGCUUGCCGGGAAGGCCAACCAAAGCACUCCAAGGAACUUGCCGCGACGCGCCACGUGCUCCGGCAAGGCAACAAGGCCCCGGCAAGAGGAGCUUGCCAGGAAGACCAACCAAGGUACCUCGAGGCCCGGUGAGCGACAAGCUUCCGGACCCGACAAGAUAAUAGCAGCGGCAAGGCGCUUGCCGCGGCAGGCGGCCACUCUAUGCCCACGCUCCAGCGCAUCCACCAACGUGUCGCUCUGGGGGCCUCUCCAGGCGCACAUGGCGGGAGGCUGUGCAGCCAGCGGUGCCCAGUGGCAUGCGAAGCUGACAAGAUCGCCAUCGUGGCGAACGGUGGCACCCCUAACGGUCCUUUCCUGCACUGUUUGGGCGAUUCAGACGGGCAUUUAAUGCCCUUGUCCCCUGCCGUCAGGGUUAGGUAGGGUGCACUGUACAAGUAACUGUACCAACCACCUCACUUUUUACAUUUGUACCCUUCUCUGCGUUGCCACCUGUCGGUGACCCCUUUAGCGUAUAAAAGGAGGCCCAUGCGCAACGAAAGGGGGUUGGCGGUCGGAUUGAUUGAGGUUCGCGAGGUUCGACAGGUUCGGAACGCAGAAAAACACUAUGCUCUCUCUCUGGAGCAAGAACACCAGAUAAUCAAACAAGCAGCAGUAGGAGUGUUAUCUCUCCGGAGAGCUCCGAAGCUGGGUAAACUGCUCGUGUGCUUCGCCUCGAUUUGCUCUUCGUGUGAUCUCCGCCCCCCACCGAACCAAAAGGGGCUCGGUCCACCAGCCCCAUAGGUGUUCGUGGAUCAGUUUCCCCGACACGGUGGGUGAACAAAUUACUGUCGAGCAAUUGAUAGAAAAGUGCAUAGUUAUGAGAUUAUCUAGGCAUGAUCAUGUAUAUAGGCAUCACGUCCAUAACAAGUAGACCGACUCCUGCCUGCAUCUACUACUAUUACUCCACACAUCGACCAACUCCUGCCUACAUCUAGAGUAUUAAGUUCAUAAGAAUAGAGUAACGCAUUAAGCAAGAUGACAUGAUGUAGAUGGAUAAACUCAUGCAAUAUGAUAUGAACCCCAUCUUGUUAUCCUCGAUGGCAACAAUACAAUACGUGCCUUGCAACCCUUUCUGUCACUGGGUAAGGACACCGCAAGAUUGAACCCAAAGCUAAGCACUUCUCCCAUGGCAGGAAAGACCAAUCUAGUAGGCCAAACCAUACUGAUAAUUCGAAGAGACUUGCAAAGAUAACUCAAUCAUACAUAAAAGAGUUCAGAGAAGAUUCAAAUAUUAUUCAUAGAUAAACUUGAUCAUAAACCCACAAUUCAUCGGAUCUCGACAAACACACCGCAAAAAGAGUUUACAUCAAAUAGAUCUCCACAAGAGAGGGGGAGAACAUUGUAUUGAGAUCCAAAAAAAGAGAAGAAGCCAUCUAGAUAAUAACUAUGGACCCGUAGGUCUAUGGUAAACUACUCACAACUCAUCGGAGGGGCAAGUAUGUUGAUGUAGAAGCCCUCCAUGGUCGAUUCCCCCUUCGGCAGAGUGUCGGCGAAGGCUCCAAGAUGAGAUCUCGCGGAUACAGAAGGUUACGGCGGUGAAAAUUGUGUUGCGUGGUGCUCCUGGAUGUUUUCGGGGUACGUAGGUAUAUAUAGGAGGAAGAAGUAUGUCGGUGGCCGCCCGAGGGGCCCACGAGACAGGGGGCGCGCCCUACAGGGGGGGCACGGCCCCCUAUCUCGUGGGGCCCUCGGAAGCUUCUUGACUUGCACUCCAAGCUCUCCGGAUCACGUUCGUUCCAAAAAUCACGCUCCCGAAGGUUUCAUUCCAUUUGAACUCCGUUUGAUAUUCCUUUUCUUCGAAAUACUGAAAUAGGCAAAAAAACAGCAAUAUGGGCUGGGCCUCCGGUUAGUAGGUUAGUCCCAAAAAUGAUAUAAAUGUGUAAAAUAAAGCCCAUAAACAUCCAAACGGGGUAAUAUAAUAGCAUGGAACAAUCAAAAAUUAUAGAUACGUUGGAGACGUAUCAGUCAUCAAUCACCAAAAAGGGGGAGAUUGUAAGUGCAUCUAGUGCCACCCCUAGUUGGUUUUGGAGUAUUAACGACAAACCUGGUUGAGGGACUAAUGUGUUUGUGAGAAUCGCAGGAUAACACAGGUAGUAGUCCCUCAUUGAUUCGGUUUACCUACCGGAGAUGACCCCUAAAAAUGUGUGAAGACAUUGAAGACAAUGGUGGUCUGUGAAGCCAUUCAUGUUGAAGACUAUGACUCGAGAAGACAUUGAGUGAAGACUAUGGAGCGCGAAGACAUAGUUGUUUUGUUGUUUCCUUUUCUUCUUUAUUGACUCAUAGGAACCACAUCACUGUUAAGUGGGGUCCAAGUGAACAAAGUCAGAGUGACUGAAGUGAUACUCAACCAAAUCCUAUGUCUUCGAGCGAAGACAAUGAGAGCAAAUCUUAUCCAGAAUCAGAUGAGUCAGCUUGACUUGUAGCCCAAGUCAAGCUGUCGCGUGUGUUUGAAAUCUGACCUUUGCGACACGUGUCAGUUCCUUAGUGAACCAGGGUCAUUUCGAACAAAUCAGGUCAGGUUGCCCAGUGGCUAUAAAUAGCCCACCCCCUACACCAUAAGUUGGUGGCUGCUCAGAGUUAGUACACGACUUUUGUCGUUUUGAGAGCAACCCACCUGCAAAGCCUUUGAGAGAGAAUCCUUGCGAGGACAAAGCCCAAACCACCCAGAGCCCAAAGAGAGUUUGGCACCACUAAAGUCUUUCUGUCCGCCUGAUCUGAAGACUUGUUACACUUGAGGACCGUGAAUCCUCCAUACGGUUAGGCGUCACGUUCUGAGCAUCCAAGAGUCAUUGUGGAUUCCCGGUGAACGAAGUCUGUGAAGGUUCGGAAGUCUACCUUGAAGACUUACCUGAAUGAUUGGGCGGGGACUAAGUGUCCUUAGCUCAAGGGGAAUAAGGUGAAGACGAGGUCUUCUGAGUUGAAUCUCAGCCUCCCUAACCAGACAUACAGUUGUCACAACAACUGGAACUGGUCGAACAAAUCCCUGUCCUUCUGAAGCCACUGGUUCUGUCUCUUACUUCUCUUUACAUACAAUUUGUCUUCGUGAUGUCAUUGCCUGCUUGCAUUAUCUGUUUGACUUCACUGUGUGACUACCUGUUCUGAUUGGCUUCAUACUAUCUUCCAUCCUGAUCUUUACUACCUAGCUGCUAUUAGUCUUUGUGCUUUCACUUCAUUGAAUACUUGACUAUGGCUUGUCUAGUGUAGUCUACCUUCCGCUGCAUACAAAUAGUGUCGGUUCUGUUAUUUGUCUUUGAAACUCCCAUGUUUUGAAGACUUCCAUAAAAAUUGCCUAUUCACCCCCGUCUAGUCGAUAACUAGCCCUUUCAGAGGUUUUGAAUUUCCUCUUCCUACUGUCAAGAAAAAAUAUGAUAUUCUUAUUAUUGGGGAUGUUCAUAUCCCCAUUGAGGUAACUUAGUGUUAUUAGAAAUUUCUCCGGUUCCAUAUUAUUCAGAAUGAGUUUGUUAACAAGACUUGAUCAACCUUGUUAGUGGAUUCAUUUUGAUGAUCAUGAGAUGGACGAAACUAGAAGGCACAACCUUCUGUACCCUCUCUUUACUUUCUGUUAUUUAGAAUAAAUAAAGCAAAAAUAGUAUUAUCUGUCUAUUUUUUGAUUUACCUGUGCAAUAAAAAUAUCCCGAAAAUAAAAGUUCUCCAAAUGCCCUGCAAAUUGUAUGAUUUUUUAUGGAAUAUUUGAGGAUUUUAGGCAUUGAAAUCACUACAAGAGGGGCAAGCACCAGGCCACGAGAGUGGAGGGCGCACCCACCUACCCUGGGCGCGCCCCCAUGUCUCGUGGGCCCCUGGUGCCCCCCCUCCACUUAUGCCAGCACCCACACACUCCAUCUUCUUCCCAAAAAAAUCCCCAUGCAGCUCAAGCACGAGUUCUAGCUCAUUUUACUGUGAUUUUCGAUCUCCUUGCUCAAAUCUCCAUUCACAAAACUGCUUUGGGAGAUUGUUGCUUGGUAUGUGACAACUCCAUUGGUCCAAUUAGUUUAUGUUCUAGUGCUUUAUUCAUUGCAAUUUUUUGUUGCAUAGGUGACCAUGUUCUUGAGCUUGCAUGUUAAAUUUAUGAGGUCCCAAGCAAUUCUAAUGCAUGAUAUAGGCUCUAGGCACUUGUAGGAGUAAUUGCUAUCAAUCUUGUUUAGUUUUAUUCACUUUUAUUUUGAAGUUACUAAAAUUUCAGAAAUUUUCAGAAAAUGUUAAGGAGACUUUUGAGGGGCUCUUCUAGCCAAGGCUCUUAGGAAAAACAAGCUAAAGAGAAGGAAAAAAGCCAAGUAUAAUCUUCCUCGCGUAGCGGAAGUACGGCCGUGUGAAUGGCCAUGUGAUAAUUUCUUGAAACAAGCUGGAAUUCAUGAAGAUUUUUAUUCUUUGAUCGAGAAUGCAGACCUCACCAAUUUCCUCCACAACCGGAUUGAUCAGUAUCUCUUACUUACCAAUACUUUCGGGCAAAUUUUUUAUUAUUAUCCUAAGAAGUCACCACCUUCAAUAUCAUUUCAUUUAUAUGAUGAAUUCAGAGAAUGUCUUUACGUAAUUUUUGUGCGGUUUGUAGGAUACCCUUUGAGGGAGAAUUAGAGGAACCCCAUCAUAAAGAUGUGGAUGGCUUUGUUAACACUAUCACUGUAGAGGAUCCAAAGAAGGGUUCCGAUGCGAAAAUCUCUACCAUACACUUUCCUGUUUUACGCUACUUUGCCAUAUUUGCUAGUAGAUGCUUGAUUUGUCGUGGAAAUAGUGGAAACUUUAGUGUUCCUGAUAUUAUCAUUCUUCAACAUGCCUUGUUUGGAGAUAAUAGUUUUAGUAUGGGUGCCGUCAUUGCUAAACGGCUAAGCCUGAAUCGUACAAAAGGCUCCAUAUUUGGAGGUACCUAUGCUAGACAUUUUGAGAUACCUAUUAGGCACCAUGAGAAAGAGGAGACAAAAUUGCCUCCUUACAUUUUAGAUUACAAGAGCAUGGUAGCACACACGUUUAUUGUUGACAACAAAGAGAAGAUGCUCUUGUAUAACCUUAGAUUUAAUAAGAAACACAAUGAGACUAUUAUUUUGCCUGCGCCUCUGUUGUUUGAUUUGAUUGCAGAUAAUUUUCUUGUCACAUCGGAAGCGUUGUAUGCUCAUCGAGGCCAAGCAUCCACUCCAGAACCUGAACCUGAGCCGGAACCUGAACUGGACCCUUAUCAUGCAUCAUCUUACCAGUGGGACCCGGAGAUGGCCAGCCAGCGGUAUCCUGAUUACACCUCCCAGUACACCGGGGAGAGUAGCAGUGGUUGUUUGUAUUAGACCAACUUAGGCCAAAAGCCUAAGCUUGGGGGAGUACGUAUUUCUCACCGACUUUACAUGCAUGUUCACACACUAUUCUAGUCGUCGGUGCUCAUACUCUUUCAUUGUAUUAUCCAUGCUAGUUUAAUUUUCUUUUUCUAGCUUUCUUCUUGUGUGUUUGAUAAACCUUAAGAAAAACCAAAAAAAAUAGUUAGUUUAAUUUCCAUGCUUGUAGUAGAAUUAAAAUGAAAACCCAAAAAGAUUUCUCAUUCUUCUUCUUACUUGCUGGGAGCUUUCCUGUGUAAAUAGCUUUAUUUUCUUUUCUUUUCUUUGGGGAUCGAGAGUAGAAGACUAUAUUGAAAAUGUUUAAUGGCUCUCAUAUGCAUGAUUGUCUAUUUAACUUAGAGCCCAUAUUACCUUGUCUUCUCUCUCUUGAGUUGAAUGCUUGGAGAUUCCAGCUUAGUCCAAUGCACGUGCACUAUUAUUAUUAUACACAUCGUUCGGUCGUGCAAGUGAAAGGCAAUAAUGAUGAUAUAUGAUGGACUUAUUGAGAUGAGAAAAGUUGGUAUGAACUCGACCUCUCUUGUUUUUGUAAAUAUGAUGAGUUCAUCGUUCCUGGUUCAGCUUAUUAUGAAGUAAACAUAUUUGCAAUGACAUUUAGAGAUUAUAGUUGCUUGUGCCAUGCUUGAUUAGCUAUGAGUUAUAAUGGUUUACCUUGCGUGCCAACAUGCUAUUAGAAUGAUUAUGAUGUGGUAUGAUGGGAUGGUAUCCUCCUUUAAAUGAAUUGAGUGACUCGACUUGGCACAUGUUCACGCAUGUAGUUGAAACAAAUCAACAUAGCCUUCACGAUAUUUAUGUUCAUGGUAGAUUAUAUCCUACUCAUGCUUGUACUCGGUGUGAACUAAUUUUAAUGCAUGUUUAUGACUGUUGUCGCUCUCUCAGUUGGUCGCUUCCCAGUCUUUUGCUAGCCUUCACCUGUACUAAGUGGGAAUACUGCUUAUGCAUCCAAACUACUUAAACCCCAAAGUUAUUCCAUAUGAGUCCACCAUACAUACCUAUAGGCGGUAUUUACCUGCCGUUCCAAGUAAAUUUGUAUGUGCCAAACUCUAAACCUUCAAAUGAAAUUCUGUUUUGUAUGCUCGAACAACUCAUGUUUUAACUAGGGCUGCCUAUAUCUUCCAUGCUAGGUGGGUUAUUCUCAAGAGGAGUGAACUCCGCUCCUCAUUCACGAGAAAGGGCCGGUAACCGGAUGCCCAGUCCCAUGAUCCAAAAAGAUCAAAGCAAAUCAAAAUAAUUAAACAAAACUCCCCCAGGGCUGUUGUUAGUUAGAGGCACUCAUUGUUUUGAGCAAGCCAUGGAUUGAUGCUUGUUGGUGGUUGGGGAGUAUAAACCUUUACCAUUCUGUUUGGGAACUGCCUAUAAUGCAUGUAGUAUGGAAGAUACAGCCAUCUCAUAGUUAUCGCAUUGACAGCGAAAGUAUGCCGCUCAAAAUGUUAUUCAAUCUCUAUUUUAAACCAAGCUCUGGCAUCUCUACAAAUCCCUGCUUCCCUCUGUGAAGGCCUAUCUAUUUACAUUUAUAAUUGAGUCAUCACCCUUCUUAUUAAAAAGCACCCGCUGGAGAGCACACUGUCAUUUGCAUUCAUUAUUAUUAAGUUAUAUUGGGUAUGACUUGACUGGAUCUCUUUUACCAUGAAUUACAAUGUUUAGUCAGUCCUUGAUCUUUAAAGGUGCUCUACAUUUAUGUUUUGUAGUCUCAGAAAGGGCUAGCGAGAUACCAUUUUGUUAUAUCAUGUUAUGAUUGUUUUGAGAAAGUGUUGUCAUCUGAGUUUUAUUAUUAUGGCUCACUAGCUGAUUAUGCUAUUGAUAUGAGUAAUUGUGAGACCUAAGUGUUAUUUUGAGUACGGUCAGUUCAUAAUAUUUGCUGAAACUUGAAUGUUGGCUUUGCAUGUUUACAACAACAAGAGCAAACAGAGUUUGUAAAAGUUUUUCUUUAUCACUUUCAGUUUAUCAACUGAAUUGCUUGAGGACAAGCAAAGGUUUAAGCUUGGGGGAGUUGAUACGGCUCCAACGUAUCUACUUUUCCAAACACUUUUGCCCUUGUUUUGGACUCUAACUUGCAUGAUUUGAAUGAAACUAACCUGGACUGCCGCUAUUUUCAGCAGAACUGCCAUGAUGUUGUUUUAUGUGUAGAAAACAAAAGUGCUCAAAAUGUUCUGAAAAUCCACGGAGGCACUUUUUGGAAAAUAUAAAAAAUACUAGAGAAAGAAUCAAGAAUAGGGUGCCCACACCGUAUCCACGAGAGUGGGGGGCGUGCCCACCCCCUCUGGGUGCGCCCCCUAUCUCGUGCCCCCCCUGGAGCUCCGCCGACCUCAACUCCAACUCCAUAUAUUUCGUCUCACAGAGAGAAAAAUCAGAGAGAAAGUUUCAUCGCGUUUUACGAUACGGAGCCGCCGCCAAGCCCUAAUCUCUCUCGGGAGGGCGGAUCUGGAGUCUGUUCGGGGCUCCGGAGAGGGGGAUUCGUCGCCGUUGUCAUCAUCAACCAUCCUCCAUCACCAAUUUCAUGAUGCUCACCGCCGUGCGUGAGUAAUUCCAUCGUAGGCUCGCUGGACGAUGAUGGGUUGGAUGAGAUUUACCAUGUAAUCAAGUUAGUUUUGUUAGGGUUUGAUUCCUAGUAUCCACUAUGUUCUGAGAUUGAUGUUGUUAUGACUUUGCUAUGCUUAAUGCUUGUCACUAGGGCCCGAGUGCCAUGAUUUCAGAUCUGAACCUAUUAUGUUUUCAUGAAUAUAUGUGUGUUCUUGAUCCUAUCUUGCAAGUCUAUAGUCACCUAUUAUGUGUUAUGAUCCGACAACCCCAAAGUGACAAUAAUCAGGAUACUUCUCGGUGAUGACCGUAGUUUGAGGAGUUCAUGUAUUCACUAUGUGCUAAUGCUUUGUUCUGGUUCUCUAUUAAAAGGAGGCCUUAAUAUCCCUUAGUUUUUGCUAGGACCCCGCUGCCACGAGAGGGCAGGACAAAAGAUGUCAUGAAAGUUCUUUUCCAUAAGCACAUAUGACAAUUUACGGAAUACAUGCCUACAUUACAUUGAUGAACUGGAGCUAGUUCUGUGUCACCCUAUGUUAUAGCUAUUAUAUGAGGAAUCGCAUCCGACAUAAUUAUCCAUCACUGAUCCAUUGCCUAUGAGCUUUUCACAUAUUGUUCUUCGCUUAUUUACUUUUCCGCUGCUACUGUUACAAUCACUACAAAACCCAAAAAUAUUACUCUUGCUACCGUUACCUUUAUUAUCAUACUACUUUGCUACUAAAUACUUUGCUGCAGAUACUAAGUUAUCCAGGUGUGGUUGAAUUGACAACUCAACUGCUAAUACUCAAUAAUAUUCUUUGGCUCCCCUUGUGUCGAAUCAAUAAAUUUGGGUUGAAUACUUUACCCUCGAAAGCUUGUGGGUUAUCAGUGGUUCUAUCUCAACAUCAUUAUCUAGUUCUUUAUCAUUAUUUGGUUGAGUCUCUUCAUGAACCUCAUCAUUAUCGUUUUCAUUAUCACUAGGUGGAUGUUCAUUACCAGAUUGAGUUUUAGCAUCAGAGAUAGAAGUUUCAUUUUCAUUAUCAGGAGGUUUGUCUAUUUCAGGUUCACUAGAAGCAUGCAAAGUCCUAUUGUUUUUCUUUUUCUUUUUCUUUUUAGAAGGACUAGGUGCACUAGUGUUAUUUCUUUGUGAAUCUUGUUCAAUUCUUUUUGGGUGUCCCUCAGGAUAAAGUGGUUCCUGAGUCAUUUUACCUCCUCUAGUUGCAACUCUAACAGCAAAGUCAUGUAUAUCAUGAUUCAUUUCAGCAAGUAAUUCUCUUUGUGAUUUACCAACUUGUUCUAACUAGGUUUGAACCAUAGAAGCAUGUUUUUCAACACCUCUAACAUCAUUUGAUAUUCUAAAUAACAAGUCGCUCAAGCGAGCAAUCAUAUCAGAAUUAUAUUUCAAUUGUUUCAGAACAUUUGCAUUGAAGUGAUCUUGCUUUCUAAUGUAAUUGUCAAACUCAUAAAGGCAUUGGCUAGGAUGUUUAUUAUGAGGAUCAUCACUAUCAUCGAAUUUCGUUAAUGAUUUUACCUCUACCACCAUUGGUGGUGGUGGUGCUUCAAGCCCAUGUAUUUCUUCGAUAGGUGGUAAUUUUUUAACAUCCUCGGCCUUAAUACCUUUUUCCUUCAUAGAUUUCUUUGCCUCUUGCAUAUCUUCAGGACUGAGAUGUAAGAUACCCCUCUUCUUCGGAGUGAGUUUAGGCGGUGGUUCAGGAAUAGUCCAAUCAUCAUAAUUUUUCAAUAUGUUAUUCAAUAAUUCUUCAGCUUGAGCAAUAGUUCGUUCCCUGAAAACACAACCAGCACAACUAUCUAGGAAGUCCCUAUAAGCAUCGGUUAGUCCAUUAUAGAAGAUAUCAAGUAUUCCAUUUUUCUUAAGAGGAUGAUUAGGCAAAGCAUUUAAUAACUGGCAAAGCCUCCCCCAAGCUUGUGGGAGACUCUCUUGUUUAGUUUGAACAAAGUUAAAUAUUUCCUGUAAGGCAGCUUGUUUCUUAUGAGCAGGAAAAUAUUUUUCAGAGAAGUAGUAAAUCAUAUCCUGGGAACUAUGCACACAACCAGGAGCAAGAGUAUCGUACCAAGCCUUAGCAUCACCCUUUAAUGAGAAAGGAAAUAAUUUGAGAAUAAAGUAGUAACGAGUUUUCUCAUCAUGAGUAAAAAGGGUGGCUAUAUCAUUCAACUUAGUAAGAUGUGCCACAACAGUUUCAGUUUCAUAGCCAUGGAAAGGAUCAGAUUCAACCAAAGUAAUUAACUCUGGGUCGACAGAGAGUUCAUAAUCCUUAUCAGCAAUAGCAAUAGCUGAAGUAGCAAACUUAGGAUCACAUUUCAUUCUAGCAUUCAGAGAUUUUUCUUUAUACUUGUGUAAUAAUUUCUCUAGAUCAUCUCUAUCCUUACAAGCAAGAAUAUCUCUAGUUGCCUCUUCACUCAUAACAUAGCCUUUGGGUACCUUAGGCAAUUCAUAUCUAGGAGGGCUAGCUCUAGCAAGUGUUUCAGGAGUUUCAGUUUUAAGCUCAUCAUCAAAUUCAAUGACGUCAUGUUGUAUUACUAUAGCAAUUUGUUCAUCAAGAAAUUUACCAAGUGGCACAUCAUCAUUAUCAAGCAUGGUACUAGCAUCAUCAUAAACAUCAUUCAUAGUAGAAGUAGCAUCAUCGAUAAAUUGUGACAUAUCAGAAUUAACAGCAUGCGGUGGCUUUGCAAGUUUACUCAUAACAGAAGGUGAAUCUAAAGCAGAACUGGAUGGCAGUUCCUUACCUCCCCUCAUAUUUGAGGGAAAUAUCUUAGUCUUUGGAUCCUUCAGAUUCUUCAUAGUAAUAAUAUGAUAAUAAUCCCAAGUGACUCAACAAAUAUAGCUAUGUUUCGCGGCAACGACGCUAGAAAAAGGUCUUGAUAACCCACAAGUAUAGGGGAUCGCAAUAGUUUUUGAGGGUAAGUAUUUAACCCAAAUUUAUAGAUUCGACACAAGGGGAGCCAAAGAAUAUUUGAAUGUAUUACCAGUUGAGUUGUCCAUUCAACCACACCUAGAGAUUAAUUAUCUGCAGCAAAGUGAUCAGUAGAAAAGUAGUUUGAUAGUUUUAAUAGUAGUGACAACAGCAACGAUAACAGUAACAGUGAUAUGAGUGAUAUUGUAGCAGUAACGAUAGCAGUAGCAACAGUAUUAACUUAGCAAGAACAAUAUAAGAUAAAUUCGUAGGCAUUGGACCGGUGACUUGUUGGAUGAUAUUCAUCAUGUGACAGUUAUAACCUAGGGAGAUACGGCACUAGCUCCAGUUCAUCGAUAUAAUGUAGGCAUGUAUUCCGUAAAUAGUCAUACAUGCUUUCUUAAAAUAACUUGCAUGACAUCUUUUGUCCUACCCUCCCGUGGCAGCGGGGCCCAUAUUGGAAACUAAGGGAUAUUAAGGACUCCUUUUAAUAGAGAACCGGAACACAGCAUUAACACAUAGUGAAUACAUGAACUCCUCAAACUACGGUCAUCACCGAGAGUGGGCCCGGUUGUUGUCACUCUGGGGUUGUCAGAUCAUAACCGUAGUAGGUGACUAUAACUUGCAAGAUCGGAUCUAAAACAUGGAUAUAAUGAUGAAUUCAUAAACGGUUCAGAUCUGAGUUCAUGGCACCCCGGCCCAAAGUGACAAGCAUUAAGCAUAGCAAAGUCAUAGAAACAUCAAUCUAAGAACAUAGUGGAUACUAGGGAUUAGUCCCUAACAAAACUAACUCGAUUACAUGAUGAAUCUAAUCCAACUCCACACCGGCUAGCGAGCCUAUGAAGGAAUUACUCACUCCCGGUGGGGAGCACCAUGGAAUUGGCGAUGGAGAUGGGUUGGUGAUGACGAUGAACGAAGAUCCCCCUCUCCGGAGCCCCAAAUAGACUCCAGAUCUACCCUCCCGAGGAAGAAGAGGGCUUGGCGGCGGCUCCGUCUCGUGGACCGCGAUAAGUCUUUCUCCUAGAUUUUUUUCUGGAAAUAUGUGAUUUUAUAGUAUCAGGGGGGUCGUCUGCGGGGCCACCAGGUGGGUACAACCCACCUGGGCGUGCCAGGAUAGGGGGGCACACCCUGGUGGGUUGUGCCCACCCAGGUGCCCCUCUCCUACAGGUCUUGGCUCUAGAAAUUCUUAUUAUUGAUAUAAAAAAUCCUCGCAAAGUUUCUUUCCAUUCUGCGAACUUUAUUUCUGCACAAAAACAACACCAUGGUAGUUCUGCUGAAAACAACAUCAGUCCGGGGUUAAUUUCAUUCAAAUCAUGCAAAUUAGAGUCCAAAACAAGAGGAAAAGCGUGAGAAAAAGUCGAUACGUUGGAGACGUAUCGAAGGUAUGUGGUAAACUACUCACGCUUCAUCAAAGAGGCAAUGGUGUUGAUGUAGAAGCCCUCUGUAAUUGAUCCCCCCUCCAGCUGAUCGCCGGAAAAGGCCCCAAGAUGGGAUAUCACGGGUACAGAAGGUUGUGGCGGUGGAAAGUGGUUUCAUGGAUCCCCUGGUGUUUCUAGGGUAUAAGAGUAUAUAUAGGCGAAGAAGUACGUCGGUGGAGCUAUGAGGGGCCCACGAGGGUGGGGGCGCGCCUACCCCCCUGGGCGUGCCCUCCUUCCUCAUGGACGCCUUGUGGCGUUUCUGACUUCAACUCCCGGUCUUCUGGUUUUCUUUCGGUCCAAGAAAGAUCAUUGGGAAGGUUUCAUUCUGUUUGUACUCCAUUUGGUAUUCCUUUUCUGCAAAACUCUAAAAUAGGCAAAAAAUAGAAACUGGCACUAGGCCUCCGGUUAAUAGGUUAGUCCCAAAAAUAAUAUAAAAGAGCAUAUUAAAGCCCAUUAAACAUCCCAAACAGAUAAUAUAAUAGCAUGAAACAAUAAAAAAUUGUAGGUACAUUGGAGACGUAUCAAUAAGCUUGGGAUAUUAAUGAUGCUCAUAUAAAAGACAAGAAUUGAAGCACAAAGAUAGCAUCAUAAAACAUGUGACCAACACAUUUAAGUCUAACAUACUUCCUAUGCAUAGGCAUUUAUAGGAAAACAAAUUAUCAAUACAAGCAAUUUCUAGCAUAUGCAAAUAGGAAGGAAGCAUUAAUAAUUUCAGCACAAAGAGAGGUGAUUUAGUACCAUGAAAAAUUCUACAACCAUAUUUUCCUCUCUCAUAAUAAUUAAAUGUAUGAUAAUAAUCAAAUUCAACAAUAUUGCUAUCAUAAAUAAUAUUCUCUUUAUGAUCCAAAUGCAUAAUUUUUUUAUAAUCUUCUGAGAUAGUGGGAUUAACAUUAACUAAAGUUAUGGCCUCUCCAAACCCACUGUUAUCAAUAAUUGGAUUGAACACUCUUCAAAUAUGUGGCAAUAUUUUUUCCUAAAGUUGACACUCUUACAAACACACUUUCAAUAUUAUUGCAAACAUUAUUAUCAAUUUCAUAUUCAUCAUGAGGCUUAAAUAAAUUUUCAAGAUCAUAAGAAACAUCACCUCAAUCAUGAUCAUUAUAAUGAGUAGUUGAUAUAACAAAUCAUGAUCAUCAAGCUUGGGGUUUUUCAUAUCAUUAACACAAUUGACAUUAAUAGAAUUUAUAAUAACAUCAUUGCAAUCAUGCUUUUCAUUCAAGGAGCCAUCAUGAAUCACUUUAUAAAUUUCUUCUUUUAACACUUCAUCACAAUUUUCAGAUUCACGAAUUUCAAGCAAAACUUCAUAAAGAUAAUCUAGUGAACUCAACUCACUUGCAAUUAGUUCACCAUAAUUGGAUCUUUUAAAAAGAUUAGCAAGAGGAUGAGGAUCCAUCUUAUUUUUCUUAUUUCUUUUCUGUUCUUUUGAGUGUUGACAUGAAGGCAAAAAUCGAGCAAACAAGCAAAAAAGGCAAAUGGAAAAUAUAUUUUGUAUUUUUUCCAUAAAAUUGUUUUAGAAGUGGGGGAGAUGAAAACGAGAGGCAAAUGGAAAAUAAAGUAAAUUCAAGGAGAUGGAAGUUUAUGCGAUGGUACUUGAUAGGUUUUGGUUAUGUCUCCCUAGCAACGGCGCCAGAAAUUCUUCCUGCUACUUGUGAACUACGUUGGGAUUUUCUCGAAGAGGAGAGGAUGAUGCAGUACAGUAGAGAUAAUUAUUUCCCUCAGUUAAGAACCAAGGUUAUCAAUCUAGUAGAAGAACCACGCAAAACCUCGUGAAUAGCAACUACACACAAAAGAACAAAUACUCGCACCCAACGCAAACAAGGGGUUGUCAAUCCCUUGGCGGUUAAUUGCAACGAUCAAGUCUGAUAAUGGUAGAUAGAUAAACAAAAACAAAAAAUAAAAAUAGUAGUAAAUAAAUUGCAGCAAAAUAUUUUUAGGAUUUUAUAUACAUGAUAAAUAUAGACUCGGGGGCCAUAAUUUUCACUAGAGGCUUCUCUCUUGAACAUAGGUGGGUACACAAAUUACUGUUGGACAAUUGAUAGAAAAGCACAUAGUUAUGAAGAUAUUCAAGGCAAUGAUCAUGUAUAUAGGCAUCAUGUCCGAGACAAGUAGACCGACUCCUGCUUGCGUCUACUACUAUUACUCCACACAUAGACCGCUAUCCAACAUGUAUCUAGAGUAUUAAAUUCAUAAAGAAUGGAGUAACACCUUAAGCAAGAUGACAUGAUGUAGACAAAGUAAACUCAAUCAAUAUGAAUAAACCCCAUCUUUUUAUCCUUAAUGGCAAUGAUAAAAAUACGUGCCAUGUCCCUUUCUGUCACCGAGACCGAGCACCGCAAGAUCGAACCCAUCACAAAGCACCUUUCCCAUUGCAAGAAAAAUAAAUCUAGUUGGCCAAACCAAACCAAUAGAUCGGAGAGAAAUACAAAGCUAUAACAAUCAUGCAUAUAAGAAUUCAGAAAAGACUCAAAUAAUAUUUAUGAAUAAUCUGAUCAUAAACCCACAAUUCAUCCGAUCCCAACAAACACACCGCAAAGAAGGAUUACAUCGAAUAGAUCUCCAAGAACAUCGAGGAAAACAUUGUACUGAAGAUCAAAGAGAGAGAAGAAGCCAUCUAGCUACUAGCUAUGGACUCGUAGGUCUGUGGGAAACUACUCAUGCAUCAUUGCACUACAAAAAAAAGACACAUCCGUGACAUUUUGGGCCGAACGAAUUUUUUUGUCAUAGUUAUGACACUUCUAUGACGAUAAUUGUGACAAAACCCGGUAUCAUCAUAGAUGUGGUGGGCUCCUACUUCUAUGACAAAAAUUCAUGACAGAAAAUGGGCUUUUCGUCCUGGGGGGGCUGGAGAUGCAGCUGCAUGACAUUCUUUGGGCCGUCCAUGACAGAAAAAACCGUGGUAGAAGCGAGGGCGAGGAAAAUUUCGGGGAGUUCCCGGUUACGGUGGGUGGUCGGGGGCCAAGCGAUGCGCGUUUCUCUCAUACACUUACGCGCGUGUGUGCGAGGCGUUGGCUCUAACUGAACCCGAGCGAGGCGUUGGGCUCUAACAGAACCCGAGCGAUUGCACUGCAGGCUACGCGUUACCGAACCCGAGUGAUCGAUCGAUGGCUGUUAGUUGAACCCGAUCGAGCGAUUCCUUCGCUACUGUNNNNNNNNNNNNNNNNNNNNNNNNNNNNNNNNNNNNNNNNNNNNNNNNNNNNNNNNNNNNNNNNNNNNNNNNNNNNNNNNNNNNNNNNNNNNNNNNNNNNNNNNNNNNNNNNNNNNNNNNNNNNNNNNNNNNNNNNNNNNNNNNNNNNNNNNNNNNNNNNNNNNNNNNNNNNNNNNNNNNNNNNNNNNNNNNNNNNNNNNNNNNNNNNNNNNNNNNNNNNNNNNNNNNNNNNNNNNNNNNNNNNNNNNNNNNNNNNNNNNNNNNNNNNNNNNNNNNNNNNNNNNNNNNNNNNNNNNNNNNNNNNNNNNNNNNNNNNNNNNNNNNNNNNNNNNNNNNNNNNNNNNNNNNNNNNNNNNNNNNNNNNNNNNNNNNNNNNNNNNNNNNNGUGGCGUUGCCUCUGGAUGAAUAGGACCCCGAUCGAUCGAGCCGGUUGGGGCUGGAUGAACAGGACCCCGUGGAGGGCUGGAUGAAUAGGACGACCCCGUGGAGGGCUGGAUGAGCAGUAGACGGCGGAGGGGUGGAUGAACAGUAGCCCGUGGAGAGGGGUGGUUGAACAGUAGCCGGAGGAGUAGCGCGCGGUGGAGGCCGGAUGAACAGGAGGCCGUGGAUGAACAGUCGCAGGUGGAGGCUGGAGGAGGUCGACGGUGGAUGAACAGUAGCCCGUGGAGGCUGGAGGAGGUCGACGGUGGAGAUGAACAGUAUCCCGUGGAGUCCCAUUUUGCAGUAUGCCACACCCCUCCCGAUGAACAGGACCCCCGUUUUGACCGUAGCGCUCCAACACAAGUCCGUUUCGUCCAUUUUGCGGUACGCCACACCCGUCCCGAUCAACAGGACCCCCGUUUCGACCGUAGGAGGUCUGUUUCCUCCAUUUUGCGGUACGCCAAACCCCUCCCGAUGAACAGGAUCCCGUUUCGAACGUGGCCGGUCGAACACAAGGCCGUUUCCUCCGUUCUACGGUACGCCAGGCUGUAGCGACCCGACCUCAAACGGUCAAGUCUCUAUGCCUCAGUGUCAUCCCUGGAUCAGUAAUGCUGACACGCAUAGUACUCGAAUGAUUUAUUACAAAGUAGCAAUCACACACUGAUUACAUCGAAUGUCUCAAAAGAGAACUUAUUACAAUAAUAUGGCUUAAGGCCAUCUAAUGCGAUAACAGCGGAAGGCUUGGAAGAUAAAGUGAGUCCAUCAACUCCAACGGCAUAGCUGAGCUGCACGGCAAUGACCUAACGAACCUUACUCCUCGUCUGAAAAGUCCGCAACAUAAUACGUUGCAGCCCGAGAACGGGUCAGCACAUGGAAUAUGCUGGCAAUAUAACACAGUAGAGCAAGAACAGAAUAAUGCUAUCGCUACAUGCAUAUUUGGCUGGUGGAAAGCUCUAUGGUUAUAGUUUUGCGGAAAGCAAUUUUUUCCCUACAACAAAGGAAUAAAUUUAAUUUAACUAUCAUGGUGGUUGAAACAUUGAGAAGGUAUAACCCCAACUCAAUCCCAAAUUAAAGUAAUUAACAACCCGACAAUAUUAAUUAUGAGUGAUCAGAUACAUGUGAUAACCCAAGUACUAGAUACUCAACAAUUGUCCAUAACCGGGGACACGGCUAACCAUGAUUAGAUUGUACACUCUGCAGAGGUUUGCGCACUUUUCCCCACAAGACUUGAUCGCUUCCGUUGGAUUUCUCGCACUGCACGGUGUUUGAGAAACGGAUGACUAAGACAUAGUCUUUUAGAAACAUUAACUCCCUACUCCGGGUAGACCAUACCAAACCUACAAAACCCACUACCUGCUGAUCUACCUCUUCAAGAGCUUCACGUAACUUACUCAUCUAUGCUAGAGCCCAUAGUAGCUUGUGGCUGCACAUGGAAGUUUCUAGCAUGAAUCAUCUCAGUUCCCUUUAAGCCUGGGUGGCGGUCCAUAGGAAGAUCACAUGGGUACCCCGGGAUUUCCAAAAAUAUAGACAACAUUGGGUUCCCCAGGUGCCUCAAUCCACCCAGAUGUGUAUUAAAGUUGCCACCUUAAGUUGAACCAUUAAUUAACAAUCUCACAUCUGUCAUGGAUACACUCAAACCCAAUCCACGUCUACGAGCAUAGCAUGGCAAUAUAAACAACGCGUAGAAGUAACUCCUAAGGGUUUGAUAAUAACAGGGCAAUAGGUUCUACCUCAACAACUACUUCCCAAACCACAAGUUAAAGACAUUCUAAUCAUGCAAUGUUUGAGGAUUGAACUAAUGCAAUAAAAACCGGGGAUGAAAAUAGUAUGAUCAAUGUGUUACUUGCCUUGCUGACGAUCCGUGAAUCCUAGAGACUCGUAGUAACACGCUUCGCACUCCGGGAAUUCUAUCGCAAACAAACAAUAACAUACAUAAGCAACUAGCAAUGAUGCACAAGCAAAACUUCAAAUAAAAGCGAUUGACCAGAAAGUUCAACUUAAGAACUCUGGUUUGCAAAAAGAAUCAAAUCAAACGGAGCAACGAAACUCAAACGGCGAAAGAAAUAAGAUAUGUUUACUAAUCUGAAGUAAAGUCAAAUUUUACAGUAUCAAAAUCUUGCUUAAGUUGUUUAAACGGAAAGAGAAUCUCGAGACGAAACUCUAGGCGCUUGAAUCACCUGAUUCCAACUAACGAGCGAAAAGAUAAAGAGAAACUAAGAUUGGAUCAGAAAUCGCGACUGAAAAUAAUCGCAGAUAAAUCCGAUAAAAGAAAACUGAUGAAUAGGCUAAACAACGAGCGUUCGUUAUCUGUAACUAACGAAAGAAAAACCGUUCGUUAGACGAACAUACGGAUGAACGUCCGCUAAAUACAAGAACCGCGAAAAACCGGUGGACCGAAUCUAAAAAAAGAACUAGGGUUUCUAAAAAAACGAAUGUUUUUAAAAAAAACGGCAGCUCGGAUCGGCGUGGUACCUCCGGCGCGGUGGCUCCGGCGGGGCGGGGCUCGGCGGCNNNNNNNNNNNNNNNNNNNNNNNNNNNNNNNNNNNNNNNNNNNNNNNNNNNNNNNNNNNNNNNNNNNNNNNNNNNNNNNNNNNNNNNNNNNNNNNNNNNNNNNNNNNNNNNNNNNNNNNNNNNNNNNNNNNNNNNNNNNNNNNNNNNNNNNNNNNNNNNNNNNNNNNNNNNNNNNNNNNNNNNNNNNNNNNNNNNNNNNNNNNNNNNNNNNNNNNNNNNNNNNNNNNNNNNNNNNNNNNNNNNNNNNNNNNNNNNNNNNNNNNNNNNNNNNNNNNNNNNNNNNNNNNNNNNNNNNNNNNNNNNNNNNNNNNNNNNNNNNNNNNNNNNNNNNNNNNNNNNNNNNNNNNNNNGGGCGGCGGCGGCGGCUCGGACUCUCCCGAGUCCGGCGGCGGCACAGGACGGGGAGGCGGUGGCACGGUGGGCCGGCCUGGCUCGGCUGGGCUUUGGCCCAGUCGGGCACGGGGAAGUUUUUUUUAAAUAAUUUUGCCGACGGAAAUAAGAUCCUAGGAAAUAAAAUAAAAACCUAAAAAUACCAAAACAGAUUUUCACCGUCUAAAUAAAAUAUUUAGAACGAGAUGAACAUUUUCUUGGCCCCUAAAAUGCAAUUUCGAAAGCGUGAAUUUUUUUUUCUAAUGCAAAUAAAAUCCAAAUAAACUCAAAUAAAAUCCAACAAAUGAUUUUAACAUUUUUCCUCCAAUAUUUCAUUUAUUUUGGAGAAGUCAUUUUAUCUCCUCUCAUAUAUUUUUAUAAGAAAUUUUUUUCGGGAAGAAAAAUAAUUAAAACCAAAAAUCCUUGUUUCAUUAUUUGAUAGGAAUCAAAUAUGAAAACCGGGAAAAUCCCCAACUCUCUCCGAGGGUCCCUGAGUUGCUUAGGAUUUCAAGGAUUGCGGAGCGGAAAUGCAAUAAAAUAUGAUAUGCAUGGAUGACCUAUUUAUAACAUUCCAAAUUGAAAAUUUGGGAUGUUACAAACCUACCCCCCUUAAAAUGAAUUUCGCCCUCGAGAUUCGGGUUGGUCAGAAAAUAGGUGCGCGUGGUCCUUGCGAAAUCAUCCUCUCGUUCCCAGGUUGCUUCAUCCUCGAUAUGGUGGCUCCACUGAACUUUCCAAAACUUGAUAACCUUGCUGCGAGUGACUCGACUGGCAAACUCAAGAAUCUUCACUGGCUUCUCCUCAUAAGUCAAAUCACUAUCUAGCUGAAUUGCCUCCAAGGGUACUGUAUAUCUUAACGGUAUAUCGGCCAUCUCAGCAUGACACUUCUUCAGCUAUGAGACGUGGAACACAUCGUGAACUCCUGACAGUCCUUCAGGUAAUUCCAGCUUGUAGGCAACUUCUCCCAUCCGUUCCAAAACACGAUACGGUCCUACAAAUCUCGGAGCAAGUUUUCCCUUAAGUCCAAAAUGUUUCACUCCUCGCAAGGGUGAUACUCGCAGAUAUGCUCUAUCUCCAAUUUCAUAAGUUACCUCCUUGCGUUUCGAGUCUGCAUAACUUUUCUGCCUGGACUGAGAUACCUUCAGUCUAUCACGAAUCAACUUAACCUUCUCAUCAGACCCUUUGAUCAAGUCUGGUCCAAAUAGCUGUCGGUCUCCUACCUCAUCCCACAUCAAUGGUGUUCUACAUCUGCGUCCAUACAUAGCUUCGAAUGGUGCCAUCUUCAAACUGGCUUGGUAGCUAUUGUUGUAUGAAAACUCUGCAUAAGGCAAAUUGUCAUCCCAACUAGAUCCAUAAUCUAGCGCACAGGCUCUCAACAUAUCUUCCAGUAUCUGGUUGACUCUCUUGGUCUGUCCAUCUAUCUGAGGGUGGAAUGUUGUACUGAACUCCAAUCUCGUACCCAAGGUCUGGUGUAACUAAUGCCAAAACUUUGAAGUAAACUGUGUCCCUCUAUAUGAUACGAUGCUCCUCGGAACUCCAUGUAGACAUACAAUCCUGGACAUAUAUAUCUUGGCCAACUUUGCACUUGUAUAGGUGGUUUUCACUGGGAUAAAGUGAGCCACUUUAGUCAAACGAUCCAAUACUACCCAUAUUGAGUCAUAUCCUGCCUUGGUCCUGUAUAGCCCGGUGAUAAAAUCCAUGACAAGUUUAUCCCACUUCCAUCCGGGUAUUGGCAUAGGCUGUAAUAGUCCCGCUGGCUUCUGAUGCUCUGCCUUCACUCUCUGACAUACAUCACAUACGGCUACAUACUCGGCAAUAUCCUUCUUCAUACCAUUCCACCAGAAACGUGCCUUUAAAUCCAAAUACAUCUUGGUGUUUCCGGGGUGUAUCAAGUAUGGUGAGUCAUGAGCCUCCUGAAGUAUUAACUUCCUGAUCUCUGGGUUAUUGGGCACAUAAACUCGGUCCUCAAACCAUAAGGUAUCGUGCUCACCCUCACGAAAUCCUUUGGCCUUUCCUUUGCUCAUCUUCUCUUUUAUCUCAGCAAUCUCUUUGUCCUCCUUCUGAGCUUCUCAAAUUUUGUUCAACAAGGUCGACUGAACCUCCAUUGUUGCAACGAAACCUCUUGGAACAAUCUCCAAUCAAAGUUCCAUGAUAUCCUCGGCUAACUCCUUUGGCAAUCCCUUACUUUCAAGUAUAUUGGCAUAACUCUUCUGGCUCAAAGUGUCUGCUACAACAUUGGCCUUUCCCGGAUGAUAGUGUAACUUCAUAUCAUAAUCCUUUAUAAGUUCCAACCAUCUCCUCUAUCUAAGGUUCAGCUCCUUUUGCGUGAAAAUAUACUUCAAACUCUUAUGAUCCGUGUACACAUCACAACGGUUUCCAAUAAGGUAAUGUCUCCAAGUCUUUAAUGCAUGCACUACGGCUGCUAACUCCAAAUCAUGCAUGGCAUAGUUCAACUCGUGGGGCUUCAGUUGUCGUGAGGCAUACGAAACAACUUUUCCGUCCUACAUAAGCACAUAUCCCAGUCCCAAGCGCGAGGCGUCGCAAUAGACUUGAAACUCCUUGUGUAUAUCUGGCAAUGUUAGCACUGGGGCUGUAGUCAAACGUUUCUUCAACUCCUGAAAACUUGCCUCGGAAUCUUCUGUCCAUUUAAACUUAGUAUCCUUCUUCAAUAGUUCAGUCAUUGGCUUUGCAAGCUUGGAAAAAUUCUCAAUGAAUCUCCGAUAAUAUCCCACGAGUCCAAGGAAACUGCGGAUCUCGCCAACUGAAGUGGGUGCCAACCAUUCAGUGACUGACUGAACUUUGCUGGGGUCUACUUCUAUACCUUCUCCUGAUAUAACAUGCCCAAGAAAUCCAACUUCCUUCAACCAAAAUUCGCACUUGCUGAACUUGGCGUAUAACUGGUGUUCUCUGAGUUUCUCGAGAACUAAUCGCAAAUGAUCCUUGUGCUCCUCUGCAUUCUUCGAGUAUACCAUAAAUCAUCGAUAAACACCACGACGGAUUUGUCCAAAUACUCCAUGAACACUUUGUUCAUCAUACUCAUGAAAUAGGCAGGGGCGUUUGUUAGUCCAAACGACAUGACCGUAUACUCGUAUAAUCCAUACCGCGUAGUGAACAUUAUCUUUGGUAUAUCCUUCUCUCAGAUCUUCAACUGAUGGUAUUUUGGUCGUAGAUCAAUCUUCGAAAACACCUUAGCUCCUUGCAGCUGAUCGAAUAGAUCAUUGAUCAUUGGUAGUGUAUAAUUGUUCUUAAUCGUUACUUCAUUCAAGGCCCGAUAAUCAACAACCAUCCUUAGGGAUUUAUCCUUCUUCUCAACCAAAAGUACUGGGGCUCCCCAAGGUGAUGAACUCCUUUGAAUAUAACCUUUCUCCAACAACUCAUUGAUCUGUUUCUUAAUGUCCUCCAGAUCAUUUGCGGGCAUCCGAUAGGGUCUCUUGGAUAUUGGCCCUGUACCUGGCAAUAGCUCUAUCAAAAACUCAAUGUCUCGAUCUGGUGGCAUGCCUGGUAACUCUUCUGGAAAAACAUCUGGGUAAUCCUUUACUACAGGCACUUCCUCCUGCACAACUCCUGUGAGGGCAUUUACUUGGGUCCUCCUAGGCACAUGCCUCAAUACGUACUUAAUCUUUUUCCCCUCUGGGGGUGAGAUAAAUUGACUUACUAGCACAGUCAGUACUUCCUCCAUACUUUGACAUCCAGUCCAUACCUAAUAUCACAUCCAAUCCUUGUGACUCCAAGAUAAUUAGGUCAGACGGAAAAACAUGAGUCCCAAUGGUUAGGGGUAUCUGGUUGCACCAUCGGCUAGCCAUAUAUUCUGCUCCAUGCGAGCUCACUAAAAGAGGGGUCCUCGGGGUUUGGGUUGCUAGGUUAAACUUAUCCAUGCAUCCCCUUGAUAUGUAUGAAUGCGAUGCACCAGUAUCUAAAAGAAUAAGAGCGGUAAAUGACUUAACCAAAAACUUACCUAUUACCACGUCCGGCUGCUCUUCAACCUCCUCCACGUUAACGUGGUUCACUUGUCCUUUGUUGAAUGGAUUAGGCUUCUUCCCGGCGCUCCCAUUUCUGUUUCCAUUCCUUCCUUUAGGGCAAUCAUUGGCAUAGUGCCCAGUGUUCCCGCACUUAAAGCAAGUAACUUGACUUAGGUCUCUCUUGGCGGGUGUGGCUAGAUUGGAGCGAUUCUGAUUGUUGUUAGCUUCGUUCCCAUUUCCAUUCUUACCACCAUUGUGGUUAUGCGAUCCUCCUCCAGUGUGGGUGUGACCUCCAUGGUUAUGAACAAGUCCUCCCAAAUUCGGGUUUAGCGAGGCUUCUGCUGAGCUCCUGAGUUAUACUUCCCUUGUCCAUACUUCCUCUUACGGCUCUCAAUCUGCUGCUGCUUCCCUUCAAUCAUAAGAGCCUUAUCUACCAACUCCUGGUAGUUGUUGAAGGUUGCCACCAUCAACUGCAUACUCAUCUCAUCAUUCAACCCUUCCAUAAACUUCUCCUGCUUCGCGGCAUCUAUGGCCACAUCAUCAUGGGCAUAGCAUGAUAACUUGCUAAAAUCAUCCACAUACUGGCCAACAGUACGGUUCCCCUGGCGUAAAUUGUGAAACUCCCGCUUCUUCAUCUGCAUAGCUCUAGUGGAAACAUGGGCAGUACGAAAAGUCUGCUGAAACUGAGCCCAUGUGAUAGUGUCGAUAGGAUAGGUGGUUGUGAAAUUCUCCCACCAUGCUGCUACACGUCCAUCCAGUUGGUGUGCGGCAAAACGCACCUUCUCCGCAUCUGUGCAUCCUGCGGUGAUCAACUCCCUUCCAAUACGGCGUAGCCAAUCAUCAGCAACUAUAGGCUCGGUGCUACUGGAAAACACCGGCGGCUGUAACCUUAGAAAAUGGGCUAGGUUGUCCACUGGUGGCGGGUUGUUGUUGUUGUUGUUGUUGUUGUUGUUGUUGUUGUUGUUGUUGUUGUUGUUGUUGUUGUUGUUGUUGUUGUUGCCCUGAUUCUGAACUAACAAUUGCAUCAAGGCAUUCUGCUGCUGGAUCAACUGGGUGAGCUCCGGUGGGAAAGCAAAACCGGUGUCACGUCUCGGAGGCAUCUGAUGGGUUUAGAUGGAAGAUAUUAGAAUAGAAAAAAGGUCUAGUGAGAAAGCACUACCCAUAUGCACAUGAGACAAACACAAUCAUUUCACUCAAUCAAUCAAGCAAGGGCAUACAACGGUCUACAGCUAUCGCAAAAGUGCUCAACUACUACUAAAUACAUGGGGAAAAUACUACUAAUAUAUGGUGGUCAUCUAGAAAUUUUGAUCGGUGGAAGAUUCCGUAAUGUCUGCUCUAGCUUCGUCUUCAAAGUCAUCAUCACUAGGAUCAGAAUCAGUGUCAUCGAUGAUGAUGUAGUUGUCCGGGCAAGUGGGGUCGUCAUCUUCAUCUCCCGGUGCUGGUCCUCCCAAGAAUAUUCCGAUCUUCUUAACCAGGUCGUCGUUCUUCUCCAAUAGUGUCUUGAUUUCCUCGUCAUAUCCAUCACGUGUGAACUUGAGUUCUUCCUCCAGCUCGAUGAUCCUAGUCUUUGCCUUCUUCAAUUCCAUCAUGUCUGCGCACAUCUGGUUCUGCUGACAUCGAAUGUGCUGGUUUAGCUCCUGGAUAAAAGCUGCAAUGGAUCUAUCCUUCCUGGUGCUGAUCAUCUCCCAUUGCUCGUCUCGGCGCCCACAUAUUUGAUAGGUAGUGUCCUUGAGUUCCCUGUUGUAGACUUCUCCAAUGCGUCCUAUGCUAAUGUGGGCUGCCAUGCUCUUGCCUAGACUCCAGGUUGGUGCAUCGAAAGAAAAUUCUAUGGGUUUAGAAGUUGGCAAGAACGUCCUUCCUGGAACUUGUACUUGAAUCAUCCAGCGCUCCUCUUCUGGUAAGGUGGCAUUGUACUUCCCGGUGAAACCUGGUAUUCCAAUGUUCAAGUACCUAGUCACUUCCUUCAAGUGGCGUCCAAAAGGUGUAUCCUCAUCCGGUUGCGCGAACUUGUUCUUCAUCUCUGACAUCCUAAGGAGUGGAAAAAGGAGAGGAGUCGGAAAUGAGUAGAGAAGAGUGACCUAUGGUUUAUCUUAGUGGUCAUGUCCUACACUCAACGUGUGCUCUGAUACCAUCUUGUAGCGACCUGACCUCAAAUGGUCAAGUCUAUGUGCCUCAGUGUCAUCCCUGGAUCAGUAAUGCUGACACGCACAGUACUCGAAGGAUUUAUAACAGAGUAGCAAUCACACACUUAUUACAUCGAAUGUCUCAAAAGAGAACUUAUUACAAUAAUAUGGCUUAAGGCCAUCUAAUGCGAUAACAGCGGAAGGCUUGGAAGAUAAAGUGAGUCCAUCAACUCCAACGGCAUAGCUGAGCUGCACGGCAAUGACCUAACGAACCUUACUCCUCGUCUGAAAAGUCCGCAACAUAAUACGUUGCAGCCCGAGAAUGGGUCAGCACAUGGAAUAUGCUGGCAAUAUAACACAGUAGAGCAAGAACAGAAUAAUGCUAUCACUACAUGCAUAUUUGGCUGGUGGAAAGCUCUAUGGUUAUAGUUUUGCGGAAAGCAAUUUUUUCCCUACAACAAAGGAAUAAAUUUAAUUUAACUAUCAUGGUGGUUGAAACAUUGAGAAGGUACAACCCCAACUCAAUCCCAAAUUAAAGUAAUUAACAACCCGACAAUAUUAAUUAUGAGUGAUCAGAUACAUGUGAUAACCCAAGUACUAGAUACUCAACAAUUGUCCAUAACCGGGGACACGGCUAACCAUGAUUAGAUUGUACACUCUGCAGAGGUUUGUGCACUUUUCCCCACAAGACUUGAUCGCUUCCGUUGGAUUUCUCGCACUGCACGGUGUUUGAGAAACGGAUGACUGAGACAUAGUCUUUCAGAAACAUUAACUCCCUACUCCGGGUAGACCAUACCAAACCUACAAAACCCACUACCUGCUGAUCUACCUCUUCAAGAGCUUCACGUAACUUACUCAUCUAUGCUAGAGCCCAUAGUAGCUUGUGGCUGCACAUGGAAGUUUCUAGCAUGAAUCAUCUCAGUUCCCUUUAAGCCUGGGUGGUGGUCCAUAGGAAGAUCACAUGGGUACCCCGGGAUUUCCAAAAAUACAGACAACAUUGGGUUCCCCAGGUGCCUCAAUCCACCCAGAUGUGUAUUAAAGUUGCCACCUUAAGUUGAACCAUUAAUUAACAAUCUCACAUCUUUCAUGGAUACACUCAAACCCAAUCCACGUCUACGAGCAUAGCAUGGCAAUAUAAACAACGCGUAGAAGUAACUCCUAAGGGUUUGAUAAUAACAGGGCAAUAGGUUCUACCUCAACAACUACUUCCCAAACCACAAGUUAAAGACAUUCUAAUCAUGCAAUGUUUGAGGAUUGAACUAAUGCAAUAAAAACCGGGGAUGAAAAUAGUAUGAUCAAUGUGUUACUUGCCUUGCUGACGAUCCGUGAAUCCUAGAGACUCGUAGUAACACGCUUCGCACUCCGGGAAUUCUAUCACAAACAAACAAUAACAUACAUAAGCAACUAGCAACGAUGCACAACAAAAACUUCAAAUAAAAUUGAUUGACCAGAAAGUUCAACUUAAGAACUCCGGUUUGCAAAAAGAAUCAAAUCAAACGGAGCAACGAAACUCAAACGGCGAAAGAAACAAGAUCCGUUUACUAAUCUGAACUAAAGUCAAAUUUUACAGUAUCAAAAUCUUGUUUAAGUUGUUUAAACGGAAAGGGAAUCUCAAGAUGAAACUCUAGGCGUUUGAAUCACUUGAUUCCGACUAACGAGCGAAAAGAUAAAUAGAAACUAAGAUCGGAUCAUAAAUCGCGACUGAAAAUAAUCACAGAUAAAUCCGAUAAAAGAAAACGGAUGAACAACAUACGAAUGAGCGUUCGUUAUCUGUAACUAACGAAAGAAAAAACGUUCGUUAGACAAACGUACGGACGAACGUCCGCUAAAUAGAAGAAUCGCGAAAAACCGAUGGACCGAAUCUAAAAAACGAACUAGGGUUUCUAAAAAACCGAACGUUUUUUUUAAAACGGCGGCUCGGAUUGGCGCGGUACCUCCGGCGAGGUGGCUCCGGUGGGGCGGGGCUCGGUGGCAGGGCGGCGGCUCACGGGGCGGCGGGAAGCGGCGGCGGCGGCGGUGGCAGCGAGGCGCGCGGCAAGCGGNNNNNNNNNNNNNNNNNNNNNNNNNNNNNNNNNNNNNNNNNNNNNNNNNNNNNNNNNNNNNNNNNNNNNNNNNNNNNNNNNNNNNNNNNNNNNNNNNNNNNNNNNNNNNNNNNNNNNNNNNNNNNNNNNNNNNNNNNNNNNNNNNNNNNNNNNNNNNNNNNNNNNNNNNNNNNNNNNNNNNNNNNNNNNNNNNNNNNNNNNNNNNNNNNNNNNNNNNNNNNNNNNNNNNNNNNNNNNNNNNNNNNNNNNNNNNNNNNNNNNNNNNNNNNNNNNNNNNNNNNNNNNNNNNNNNNNNNNNNNNNNNNNNNNNNNNNNNNNNNNNNNNNNNNNNNNNNNNNNNNNNNNNNNNNNNNNNNNNNNNNNNNNNNNNNNNNNNNNNNNNNNNNNNNNNNNNNNNNNNNNNNNNNNNNNNNNNNNNNNNNNNNNNNNNNNNNNNNNNNNNGGGCGGCUGCAGGCGGCGGGUCGGGCGAGGGCUACGGCGGCGGCGACUUGGGGCUCCACGGGGGGCGGGGUGGUAUUUAAAGGGGGGGCGGGGGUGGCUCGGACUUGGGGAGGGGGUCGGGUGGCGGCGGCGGCUCGGACUCUCCCGAGUCCGGCGACGGCACGGGACGUGGAGGCGGUGGCUGGCGGGCCGGCCUGGCUCGGCUGGGCUUCGGCCCAGUCGGGCGUGGGGAAGUUUUUUUAAAUAAUUUUGCCGACGGAAAUAAAAUCCUAGAAAAUAAAAUAAAAACCUAAAAAUACCAAAACAAAUUUUCACCAUCUAAAUAAAAUAUUUAGAACGAGAUGAACAUUUUCUUGGAACCUAAAAUGGAAUUUCUAAAGCGUCCAAUUUUUUUCUAAUGCAAAUAAAAUCCAACAAAUGAUUUUAACAUUUUUCCUCCAAUAUUUCAUUUAUUUUGGAGAAGUCAUUUUAUCUCCUCUCAUAUAUUUUUAUAAGAAAUAUUUUUCGGGAAGAAAAAUAAUUAAAACCAAAAAUCCUCGUUUCAUUAUUUGAUAGGAAUCAAAUAUGAAAACCGGGAAAAUCCCCCACUCUCUCCGAGGGUCCUUGAGUUGCUUAGGAUUUCGAGGAUUGCGGAGCGGAAAUGCAAUAAAAUAUGAUAUGUGUGGAUGACCUAUGUAUACCAUUCCAAAUUGAAAAUUUGGGAUGUUACACAGGCCUUGUUUCCAUCGCCUGUUCCAUCCAAGCCCUCCCGAUGAACAUGAAAACGCAUUCCGUUUCAACCCAGCCGGUUGGCUCCCCAUGAACACGACGACAACACUGUUUCUCCAUUCCGACCCAGCCCUGGCUGUACGUAUGCGCGAGUAGGCGUUCGAGACCCUGCCCGUAUGUACACGUACCUGGCCGUAUUUUCUUUCUUGCACACUGACCGUUGUACAUACGUGUACAUGCUACAUGCGCACCUCUACUAUGACACGUGCGCGCCUCUACAUCCACCAGUAUGUACGUACACAUUGACGACCAGAAUGACUAUGGUACGUACACUUCGACUAGGUGGGUCCCGACUGUCAGUAGGGAUGGCACCCGCAGGGUUUGGGUACGGGUGGAGAUACCCCAUACCCUUACCCAUCCCCCUUGAGCUUACCCAUUACCCGUACCCACCCGUCAAUGGGUAUAAUUUUUUCCCAUACCCAUCACCCGGUAGGGUAAAUGGGUAUCCACGGGUAAAAAUACCCAUGUGUGCACACAUCAACCUAAGUAAGAAAUAAUCAUAAAGAACAGCACACAAUGCUCAUAUAUACGUACAUCAUAACAUGUCUACGUAUUGUCUAUAUACAAAAAAAAUCUUACUCAUCACAACAGCUAUAUACAACAUGUAUAGGCAAAAAUCAAUGCUUGUAUGGAUGGUGAGCACUAAAAUCACGACGCUCAUAUAUACAUUGUAACAUCACUGCGCAUCAUAUUCAUCACAUCUCCUAUAUACACCCUCCGUUCCAAAAUAGAUGACCCAACUUUGUACUAACUUAGUACAAAGUUGGGUCAUCUAUUUUGGAACGGAGGGAGUACAUCAUACCAUCACAUCAUCUAUACAUCUACGUACCAUCUAUGAAUGCAUCUCACCAUCUAUAUAAAAAACAAAAAUACAAGAUUAAUGCCCAUAUUCAUGAAAUCAUACACAAAAAUGAAAAUUACCAGGCCAAAAUAGCCUUGCUCUUGUUCUUGGUGAUAGAAGAGGAUCGACUAAGCGGGGUAAGGCAAGGUGGCCGGCUUGACGUGUUGUGACUGUGUUGUACCUUGGAUGCCGAGGCAGGAGGUACAUGUCCUUUACAUUGGCCAGGGGCUUGGCCUUUCCUAGUGGAUGGAGACGGAUGGCACCAUCAAACGACGGUGCUGCGCCGCGGUGGCCGCCCCCGUCCGACUUAUUAUGCAUGAGCGUGAGCUGCAUCUCCUCCCCGUCACUGUCCACGCUAAAGCUAUGGUCCUUAUCCCCAAGGUCCAUGGCUUCCAAGCGGCUGGCGCUGGCGACGGCAAGGCAGUGAGCAGCUGGAGCGUUGGCGGCGGCGACUAGCGAUCCUUAAGGAGGCAAGGAGAUGAGGAGAUGGGUAGGAUAUCAAUCUCCAUCCUAAAUAUGGAACACGAUCACAUAAUUAUUAUUUACCUAAGCGGCUAAGCCUAAUCACGUUAAUCAUGCAGAGAAAGAGAGAUAUGAGAUUCCUUCUAUCAUUCCAGCUAUGUUUUUUUUGAGCGAAAAUCAUUCCAUCUACGUGCGUGUGUGAGCAAGUCAUGUAUCUCGUCGGCUACAUAGAAUGAUUUACUGGCAAGUUAGAUUAGAUUAAUGAUUGGUGAAGGCCCACUUAACAGAUUUUACGUGGGUAUAUGGGUACACGGGUAUGGGUUAUGCUGUCCCGUACCCGUACCCACAAUACCCAACGGGUUUAAUAUUUUCCUCUUAAUAUACCCUUGGGUAAUUUUUUUAUCCCAUACCCUUACCCUAAUAGGGUUUUUACCCGUCAGGUACAUGGGUAAUGGGUACCCAUUGUCAUCCCUAACUGUCAGGCACUUCCUUGCAUGCGAAGAUAUAGCUGGUGGGUCCCAGCAGUCAGGGGGGCGAAUCAUUUUUUUUUGCCCGGACGCACUUCCUUGCAUGCGAACAUGUAGUUGGUGGGUCCCAACAGUCAGGGGGAAACAUUUUUUUCGCGAAAUACAGUGGCCCGUCCGAUGGGUCCUUGCUGUCAGGUGGAGGUAUCAUUAUUUUCCACGUAAUAAGGAGGCACUUCCUUGCUGCGGCCGUCGACCCAACUGUCAGCCUCUCCACGUACAGUCCAUGUCCAAUGGAAGUCGUUCCUUGACCAUGUUGACCAUGCCGCGCCGAGAGCACCAGGGCGGUGGACGACGGUGAGGCCUAGGAAGGGGAUGACGCGGAGUCGGGGAAGACGCGGCAGUGGAUGCCCACGCGUAGAGGAGUAUGAGGGUUCACUGGUUCGACUGCGGUGUUAGGCUGUCGUCGCCGUAGAAUAACAGGAGGUGUGGGUGAGUAGAGGGAUGGCCUGGCCAGCGGUGGGAGUAGUAGGGGGCGGUGAGGCCUCCGCGGCAUCACAGCUGGCCACGGGAGGCAGGAGCAUGUGGCACGAUCGGCGCUGCUUUGGGCGGCUGGAGCAAGAAGACCAGAGGUUGAAGAAGCACUAUGGCCAUUGGAUGGACAUCGUACGGUCACUAGAGCUAGAAUCGUUCAUAUUGACUAAGUUGACAAAGCCCUCCGUCCCCGUCAACUUAGUAGGCCCACAAGUCAGCCUCCCACCAAGGUGGGUCCCAGCUAGUAGGGGGAGUAUUCAUUUUUUUGUGCGUAAUAAGGAGGCACUUUCGAUGGGUCCAAGCUGACAACAGGGGGAAUGUUUUUUCCCGAAAUACGAUGGCCCGUCCGGUGGGUCCGAGCAGUCAGGGGGGAAAUGAUUUUUUUUCGCGAAAUACGGUGGCCCGUCCGGUGGGUCCCUGCUGUCAGGUGGAGGAAUCAUUAUUUUGCACGUAAUAAGGAGGCACUUCCUUGCGGCUGCUGUGGACCCAGCUGUCAGCCUCUCCACGUACAAUACUCUUCCGAUGGAAGUCGGUCAUUGACCACAUAGACCACGCCGCGUCGAGAGCACCACGGUGGUGGACGACAGCGAGGCCUAGGAAGGGGACGAUGCGGAGCUGGGGAAGACGCGACAGUGGAUGCCCACGCGGAGAGGAGUACGAGGGUUCACUGGUUCGGCUGCGGUGUGAGGCUGCCGUUGCCGUAGAAUAACAGGGGGAGUGGGUGAGUGGAGGGAUGGCCUGGCCAGCGGUGGGAGUAGUAUGGGGGCGGCGAGGCCUCCGCGGCAGCACAGCCGGCCACGGGAGGCAGGAGCAUGCGGCACGACCGGCGCUGCUUUGGGCGGCUGGAGCAAGAAUACCGGAGGUUGAAGAAGCACUACGGCCCUUGGAUCGACAUCGUACGGUCACUGGAGCUAGAAUCGUUCAUAUAUUGACUAAGUUGACAAAGCCCUCCAUCCCCAUCAACUUAGUAGGCCCACAAGUCAGCCUCCCACUAUGGUGGGUCCCAGCUGGCAGGGGGUAUUCAUUUUUUUUGUGCGCAAUAAGAAGGCACUUCCUUGUGUGCAAAGAUAUAGUUGGUGGGUCCGAUCUGUCAGCGGAGGGAACUUUUUUUCGUGAAAUACAGAGGUCCUUUCGACGGGUCCCACAUGUCAGGUGGAGGAAUCAUUAUUUUGCGCGUAAUAAGGAGGCAUUUCCUUGUGUGCGGCCGUGGGCCCAGCUGUCGGCAUCUCCACGUACAGUCCACUUCCGAUGGAUGUCGUUUGUUGACCAAGUUGACCACGCUGCACCAAGAGCACCAGGGAGAUGGAUGACGGCGAGGCCUACGAAGGGAACAACACAGAGCCGGGGAAGACACAACAGUGGCUGCCCACGCGGUAAAGAGUACAAGGGUUGACUGGUUCGGCUGCCGUGGCCAGAAAAUAACAGGAGGUGUGGGUGAGUAGAGGGAUAGAUAGGCCAGGGAUGCGAGUAUGAUGGGGCCGUGAGGCCUGCCCAGCAGCACAGCCAGCCACGAGAGGCAGGAUAGGCGGUUGUGACGGCGCUGGUUUGGGCGGCUGGGGCAGGAAGAUCAGAGACUGAAGAAGCACGAUUGCCGUUAGAUUGACAUUUAACGGUCUGACGCUGGUAGAAUCGAUUGUUGACUAAGUUUCUUUUUUGAGAAACCUUGUGUACGCAUGAACUUAGAACGCCCACAAGUCAGCUUCCAAAUCUGUUGCAGACAACAUAAAUCCCAUUUGCUAUUUUUUUAUAAUUUGCAGCCCAGUUGCUAAUUCUUAAGUAAUUUAUUAUAGCCCAUUUUCUGCCCAGGACCACGGUCAAAAAGUUCAACCUUAUUUUGUAUAUUUCGGUGGAGUCCGAACUGUUGCAAUCCCGAAAUGGUAAACAUUUUUUAAGAACUUAUUGAUUUGCCAAAAAAAUCAUUUUGUUUUUGUAAGCAAAUAAGACGUGGGACAAUUGAGUUGGUUUAAGGGAAAACUAGUGGUAAAAAAAUCAGCGCUGGAUGGGAAAAAACAACAAAAACAAGGAUGUAAAUAUGAAAAGGGAAUUUUAUGUGUUUUCGAUAUAAUGAUACGUGUAUAUGAACUAGUAAAACUAUAGGUAGAGAUUAGAAAACGGAUGUAGGACAUGCGUUUCAAGAGGAAAAUAGAACUGGGCUGUGUGUUUGAUUCAGUAAAAAAACUGUCUGCGGAUGUUGUAAGACAAAAUAUAACUAACGCUGGCGGGCCAAAGGCCAGUAGAUACCUGCUGGAUCUUUGUGCCCCGUUGUCGUCAUGGGUUGGGCCUGUUAAAAAUAAAACCAAGCCUGGGCAGUCUACAGCCCAGUUGAAACUUGCUCGACGUGAAAAAACAAUAUACGUGCUCAAUAAACGAGAGAAUUCUGCAACUACAGACUGAUAACUGGGAUGCAGCAGGGAUAUUGUUUUUUCAUCGUGAUAAUAAGUGCAUGCACUUGUUUCAAAAAAAUUGGAGAACUGGGAACUCGAACGGUAGGUGCUUACGCUACCCAUCAAAUAAAAAUCAGGUUCCUGAAAAUUCGCUUCGAAACAUUAUAUCCACGUUGACUCUCAACAUGAUGGUUGGAAGCAAAUGCAAGUUCAUACCAAAAGAUCGUUAACAACAAUACCAACUUGCUGAUGACAAGGUAGUACAACUACCAAUACGAAACUAACUUAUAAUCCUUUUACUCCUGGCCCUAGUGUUCGUCUGGUACAAAAUCUUGUAGAGGACCAGCUCCCGCUCCUUCUCUUGCUCCACGUCCCCAAGGUGGUACUGGUGCAUCACCCAGUUGGUCCUCUGCUAGUCGAAGUUCUUGUUGGUGUGCAGCACCAGAACCUUUUUGCUGCCCGUCUACCGGCCGUUGACCAUCACCGGCAAGGUAUUGCCGGUCUUGUGCCACAUCACGUGCAUGCCGCACUCUGACUGUAUCUUGCGACACGUCCACGUGCCCUUUUUGAACGCCCGUGAAUUCCGCUGGAAGAAAUGCUUCCUUAGGCCACUCAGUGUGAUACCUGCAGUAUUGUCGAAUACAUGUUUUAGUGUACGUAGUUGGCAUUUUCAUAACAUCUUUGGCAUGUUGCAGUCACUUGUUUCACUUUUUAUUAGCUGUCAAAUUGUAAUUGAUUCACCAGGUCUGCGUCUAAAAAGAAAAAUAGAGCUAUAAACAAAGGAAUAUGUUUGUGCAAGUAGACGGCCGAUCAAUGUCUUACCUGGAAGUUUCUCAGGUUGGGUGUAGCAUAUGUCGUGCUCGCUGUCGAUGGUUGGUAUGAAAAAAUCGAUGAGAGGGUGAGAUCUCGUGCUGUCAUCACUCACUUUGGCCUCAAGGUGCUCGAUCAGCUCCUGAUCCGUGGGAUCGAACUUGACGCCAGCUAGCAGCACCGGCCAAUCCUUCUUCGACUUGCAUCGGUAAUUCCAGUUAUAUGGUACUCAAUGUAUGAUCAAUCGACUAUUUUAAGUGAAUGAUGAAAGAUUUCGACAGAUAAGUGGUACUUCAAAUCUGAAGUCCAGAAUACCUGAACACGCCGCCGGGAUUCUUGUGUCACCUCACGCGCAGCGUGUUGUCAUGUCAAUUCAAUGUGUGGACAUGAUGAAUAACAUUUUUUGAAACUAGACAUGAUGAAUAUUUUGACCGACAUAUACUAGUAUUGCUACUGUACUACUUACUUGUCGUAUUUAGUGUCAUAAUUUAUACAUAGGUUUAACUAACAAAUACGCACUUGAAGCGCAAUUGAUAUAUAUAUAUAUAUAUGGGCUAUUCUGUUACGUGUAACAGAAUAUUAUUCUGUUAUCCUUUUUGAACUGACGGUUUCAGAUGGUUGUACUAAUGUUUUUGAAGAGUUGAACUGAUGCUUUCAGUUGUGUUUAACAUAUCGUCUUCUUUAGUUCAAAAACUUUUUGUAAUUUUUUUGUCAGAAUGGGGCGUGUAAUAUAUCGUUGGAAAGCUCUUGACAACCAUAUUUCAAGUAUAUUGAACGUUUUUGCAAAAUCAUUAUGGUUUAAGAGCAGUUUUGAAAAAACUGUUUUUUUCAAAACCGAAAACGUGAAUCGUAUUUUGGACUCAAUUUUCAAACGGUUUGUCGGAAUUGAGCAAAUAAGAUGGCGUUGGAAAGCUGGUGAUAAUCCGCAUCUUCCAUAUAUGUAUUGUUUUUUCUAAUUCAAUAUGAUUUAAAAGUAAUUUGAAAAACGGUGAAAUUCUGGGCGAAAAGUAUUUUCGCGAUUUUUUGCAAAUGGUUUGUCGGAUUGACACAAAUAAUAUGGCGUUGGAAAGCUACGGAAAAUGCGCAACUUUUUUGUAUUGAAAUGUUUUCUAAUUCCUUACAGUUUAAAAACAAAUUCGAAUACGGUCAAAUUUGAUUUUGAACGUGAUUUUUUAAAAAGUUUGUCGAAAUGGGGCAAAUAAUAUAUCGUUGAAUAGCUAUCGAAAAUGCAAAACUUAGUCAUGUUGAACAUUUUCUCAUAUUUGCAGCCGUUGAAGAGUAAUUUGGACUACAGUGACACCCAUCAUGGUGUAUUUCCUCCAAAAAAACAGAGUACUCGUACUGAUAUAUUUGUGUUUUUGUACUGAGAUAUUUUUCACAGUAGUUUUGAAUGGUUCGAAAAAAGUACUUGAACGGAUGUCUAUAUGAUUUUGUACUGAGCGUGUGUCCACAUACUAGACUUUAUUUUGUAUUUAUUUAAAAAGUUUUCAAUACGGCAAGACACAUCAUGUUCUUUUCCCGUUUGAUAAACAAAGUACUCGUACUGACAUAUGUGCGUGUUUGUACUGAGCUAUUUUUCACAAUCCGGAAUGUUCAGGGGGUUGAUCACUUGAACUUGUAGAAAUGUAACUUUUAGAUUUAGUUUAAAAUGUGUUUCGACGUGUCAUUAUCAUCGAACUUGCAUGGUUUAUAUACUUGAAUUGGCUGAAUUUUCUUCUCCAAGAAAUGUUUUUGUGUUUUGUGAUAGUAACCAUUGAUGCAACAAUCCAUACCGAAUUUGAUAUGCCCUUUGAACUGAUUAUAAAAUACAUACUGAACUGUUGGACAUAUGGUAACGCAUGAAAACAAUUACAUAAUCUUCCAGUGGUUGUACAUGUUGCAAACAAUUAUCAAAUGCUAAGCUACAGUCUGUACACUUCUUCUUUUUUGAACUCAACAUUUUUUUGACAACGAUGUUCUGAACUUCUCUCAUUUUAUGACUUGUACUGACGUACUUACUAAGCAGGAUUUUCAUGGGGUUUCUUUUUUUUGCUUGAAUUUUUACAAUUUGAAUUUCGGCCAUUUCUUUUAUUCCGAACGAACCACCAUUUUAACUCGUACUAAGGUACUUACUACGUCCGAACUGGGGUGGCUAUCGCGUGUCUCGGCGAGGAAGAAGACGAAUCUCGGGAGCGCAGCUGGAUUUGGUCGGCGGCUAGGAUGACGCGGGGCGGGGAUGGCGGUGCGCGGCGGUGGAGGGAGGCUGGGAUGGCGCGCGGCAGCCACCGGAGGCGGGGACGGGCCACGGCAGCCAUUGACGGGGAGGUGCGCAUGGAGGGAGCGGCGCCCGUCGGAGGGAAGGCGUGCGGGGAGGGGCCGGCGAGCCCGUCGGCGGUGAGGCGUGCGGAUGGCCAGCCGGCGGCAACGCGUGUGUCGGAGGAGCUACCCGUAACGGCGCCGCGGGCUCCCUCGCUCCGGCUGCCGCCGUCGCUCGCUCGCCCGCGACGGCUGCCUCCGUCGCUCGCUCGCCCGCGACGGCUGCCUCCGUCGCUUGCUCGCCCUCAAUGGCUGCCUCCGGCGGUAGGAGGCGGGUUCGAUUGGGGACGGGUCGGGGAGUUUCUCCUGUCGUCUGCGCGUCGCGCCCUUAUAGGGACCGAGGGUAACAGAAUAAUAUUCUAUUACCGGUAACAAAAUAGUCCAGCCCUAUAUAUAUAUAAUAUGGCUUCUGCACAGCAUCUCCAUCAUCAUUAUCAGUACAUCCUACGCAGGUGAGUUAGGAUGCACUUGAUCCCAGGAAGGUAUCUAUCCUUCAAACCAGAGGAGUGCUUCAAACUAACAAUAGUACAUAAUAUCCAACAAAAGAGGGUCGUGGUACAGCAGCAGAAUACAUGGCUCAGUCUAGAUAUCAGCACGAAUCAAGUUGUGCAUAUUUUCUAUUGGCAUGAACCACAUCGCCGCAUGUCGGGUUUGCAAAAGCCAUCCAUCGCAUGGAAGCUUGAUGCCUUUCACACACUGAAGAUUAUCUGGCAACAAGCUGUGUUGACGAAUCUCUGGAUAUGGUGAUUCACGAAACCCAUGGUAUGAUAUGUAAACACAGUCCCCCCUGGCGAAUGGAAGUUGCAUAGCACGGUAAUCAUCAUCGGUGAUAUGAUCAAUGAUUGAUUGGAUGAUCGGAUAAUUGAGCCCGAGGAACAAGGAAGGGUUGCCGAGGUUGUAAACCCGCCUCCAGUUGAAUACGCCUGGCCCAACGGAGCUGGGAUCUUUCUCGAACAUGAAGCAGCCAUAGCCAUCAAUGUCACAAACGCCCCACGCAUUGUACUGCAUGUGGUUUGAUGUAAUGGUUUGGUCAAUUUGGUACGUGCGAAUGAGCAUCAAAUGACCGUCCUUAACUGAACAAGCAAUAAACCACCACCCAUCGGCUGGUAUGAUUCCAGGUCCUGGAAUCAUGAAGGCCAGCGCAUUUGCUUUUGUUGCAACAAUUCAAAUUGGAGACCAAAAGGGCAAAAAUAAACAAUCAUGUUCAGAGUAUGUGUGGAAUUAAGAUUAUUAUAAUAGUGACACAUAUCAUAGACAGAGAAUUGCAAUGUCGUGGUCAUAAUCAUACCCCAAGUUAAAACAAUAAGCCAAUGGCUUUCAUACUCUAGCAAUAUGUCAUGGUUCAAACAUCAUGUAACAAUGAGAGGAAAACAGCUAUGACAGAGCCUGCUCAUAUUCUACCAUAGCACUUACUACUACUGUUCUCAUAUCAACUCUAAGCAAUAACAUGCGUUGUUAUAAAAAUCUUGGAAACGAGAGUAACAUAUAGCAAUCAUGAUGUUAUGCUCAUAAUAUGUAUUCUAACAAUCAUUAUAUGCCAAUUGUUCUGAUAUCAACUCUAACAAUAACAUGUGUGGUCAUAAAAAUCUAGGAAAUGAGAGGAACAUAUACUCCCUCCGUCCCAAAAUAACUGUCUUAAGCUUAGUACAACUUUGUACUAGAGCUAGUACAAAUUUGAGACACUUAUUUUGGGACGGAGGAAGUAGCAAUGAUGUGGUUAUAGACAUACUAUCUAUUCUAAAUUUGUAACAAUGAACAGGCAGUCGUAUUCAUAAGGUAAAGAUGAGAUGAGAUAGAACAAUUACACGACGAUAGAUUCCACAAGUAUAGGCAGCCAAUAUGUGCGUCGACCGCGUAAACGAUGCCAUCGUCCACUAUAACAUUAGACAGAAAUGUUGCCUCAACAGGAUUGAUGAUGAGUCAUAAUGUCACGCCCAAUAUGCGACCCUAUCCAAAAGGAACUCAAAGGUCCCACCAAGGAUAGACCCGCAUAUUGCGCUUUUGCAAGGUGGAUAUCAUUACAUCAACAUUACAUUAUAGAUGGGUGAUACAUACAUACGGCAUACAAUGCCACACGAAUACAACAUCACAAUACAAAAGAGCAUCAUCCGACUACGGAUGCAACACAAACAGAAACUCAAACGACAUCCACCCUGCUAGCCCAGGCUGCCGACCUGGAACCUAUCCCCUGGUCGAAGAAGAAGCAGAAGAAGAACUCCAAAACAAGAAACCAUCGCACUCGCAUCAUGAUCAUCGAAUAACCUGUACCUGCAAACUGUUGUUGUAGUAAUCUGUGAGCCACGAGGACUCAGCAAUCCCAUUACCAUGGGUAUCAAGAAUAGCAAAGCUUAAUGGGAAAGGAAGGGGUAAAGUGGUGAGGUUGCAGCAGCGACUAAGCAUAUAUGGUGGCUAACAUACGCAAAUAAGAGCGAGAAGAGAGCAAAAGGAACGGUCGUCAACUAGUAAUGACCAAGAAGUGAUCCUGAACUCCUACUUACGUCAAACAUAACCCAAAGACCGUGUUCACUUCCCGGACUCCGCCGAGAAGAGACCAUCACAGCUACACACACGAUUGAUGCCUUUUAAUUAGGAUCUGGUGUCAAGUUAUCUACAACCGGACAUUAACAAAUUCCCAUCUGCCUAUAACCGCAGGCACGACUUUCGAAAGAUUAUACCCUGCAGGGGUGUCCCAACUUAGCCCAUGAUAAGCUCUCGCGAUCAACGAAGGAUAUAGCUUCUCCCAGGAAGACCCGAUCAGACUCGGAAUCCCGGUUUACGAGACAUUUCGACAAUGGUAAAACGAGACCAGCAAAGCCGCCCGAUGCGCCGACAAAUCCCGAUAGGAGCUGCACAUAUCUUGUUCUCAGGGCAACACCAGAUGAUACAUCCUACGAGUAAAACCAAACCUCGAGUUUCCCCGAGGGGGCCCCGCAGUCUACUCGGUUCGGACCAACACUUAGACAAGCACUGGCCCGGGGGGGCUAAAACAAAGAUGACCCUUGGGUUGGCCGACCCAAGGGAAAGGUAUAGGUGGUGGUGAGGCAAAUGGUAAAACCAAGGUUGGGCCUUGCUGGAGGAGUUUUAUUCAAAGCGAACUGUCAAGGGGGUCCCAUAAAUCACCCGACCGCGUAAGGAACGCAAAAUCCGGGAACAUAACACCGGUAUGACGGAAACUAGGGCGGCAAGAGUGGAACAAAACACCAGGCAUAAGGCCGAGUCUUCCACCCUUCACCAAGUAUAUAGAUGCAUUUAUAAUAUAAGAGAUAUUGUGAUAUCCCAACAAAAUCCUGUCCGCCAUGGAGCAAUCUUCAACUUCACCUGCAACUAGCAACGCUAUAAGAGGGCUAAGCAAAGCGGUAACAUAGCCAAGCAACGGUUUGCAUAGGAAAGGUGUCAAAGGUUAGAGGUUCAUGGCAAUAUGGGAGGCUUGAUGAGCAAAAGAUAGGUAACGCAGCAAGGCGAUAGAACGAAGCAACUAGCAUAGCAAUGAUAGUAGUGAGAUCCAGGGUAGCGGUCAUCUUGCCUGAAAUCCCGCUAGGAAGAAGAACGAGUCCAUGAAGAAGACGAACGGAUGAAGCCGAACCAAGCGUAGACGAACGAAUCCUCACGAUCACAACGAAACAGGAACUAUCGAGAAGUAGCACACAACAUGAUAAACACACCACACAUGAGCAAGGCAUGAUGCACAACAAGCAUGAUGCAUGACAAGACUACAUGAAGCUACUCAUGGCAAGAAAUGAUGCAAACAAGAGCAACACAUCAAGGCAAGUUUAAAUGAGACCGGGAACAACAUAUAACAAUUCCGGUAAGUCCUCAUAUGCAAAUUUCGAAAUUGGUCCAGAUCUGAAUAAACCUUAUGUUCAAGUUGUUAAACAGCAAGUUAAGAUGCACAAAGAUGAUCUACACGAGAUUCUAGUCAAGUUACAUAUAAAGUUCAUUUAGUUCGGAGCUACGGCCUAUAAGAUAUGAGCAAAACAAGUUAAACAUGACAUUGAUGCAAAAUGCACCCAAACAUCAAGCAAACACACCAAAACAAGGAUGCAACAUGAUAAUAUGAAGCUACAUGCAAUUCUAAGCAAGUUUCAUAUAGAGCACACUCAAAACGGAGCAACGGUUCAACACACACACAUGAAACAAGUUAUAGCAACAAUCUGUCCAAAACAGCAAUUAGACAUAUUGCAAGCACCAAAACAAUAUGCUACGGCAUCUCAACAUGAAAACAAAAGACAUGGGCAUGAUGUACAGGUAAAGCAUAACAAAACAUGAACACUGAGCUAUCUCCAGAAAUCACUAGAACAUGCUCAAACACACAUGGCAAGAUUGCAAAUAAUAACAGUUCAGACUUUGCAGAAAAUAACAUCAGGUUGCAAUGUUUAGAGCUAUCAAACAACAUGUUACAGGAACUUAUCAUGGAAAACAAAGGCAUGGCAUGAAUCUACUAAUUGCAUAGAACAAGAGUCCCUUACUGACCAUGAGCCAAAAAGGAUCAGAAGAAAAGAUGGCAUCCAUGUAAACAUGGCAAGUUAUAUGACAGAUUCAUACAUGGCAGGAACAACAAUAAGUAGGCAUGUUGGUGAGCUUGAACCACUCACCACAGAGCAAUACAUGGCAUGGCAAGGCAACCAACAGUAAGAAGACGUGUUUGUGAAGCUAAUCAUGGCAAUAGCAAGUUCAUAGAAUGCAAGGAUCAACUACAACAACCUUGGCAAAAUUGAAUAACAUGUAAACAAUCUGCCAGGAAACAUUUUGAAGCAAAAGUAGAGCACGAAACUGACAUGCUAGACUACUACAUAAUUGCAACCAGUGGCAUAAAUGGAUAGAUAAUAACCAUAUGUUCAAAAUACUCUUACUGAAGUAUCUCAAAAUAAGCAUGGAUCUCUCUAUAGCAUCAUAUUUACAUGGCAUCAAAAUAACAGCAGAACAGGGACUAAAAUCAGCAACAUCACGAAGCCUAGUUUGCAUGCUUGUGCUAGUCACCACAUUGAUCAGAAAAAUACAUGGUAAGCACCUCUGUAAAGAAUACAUAGCAUAGAUCAAAACACAUGUAGACAUCAACCUCAUAGGAUGCACACAUCAAUCAUGGCAAAAAUGACAAAAGUGCAUGUUCUGUUAACAGACAGCAGAUAACAUUAUGAAGCACUCUUGCAACGAUGAUUCAAGCAUCAAGAUGAACUCAAAUGAAUAUGAUGCAAUGGAAUGAAAUGAAGUACUCGUUGAGAUGAACAAUUUGACAUAUUACACGCACGAAACGGAGCAGUAUGCAUGGAGUUAUGAUGCGAUGAACAUGGAAUGAUAAUGUCACAGAAUCGGGGACUUGGGCAAAAUCACCUCGGGGAAAAGCUGGAUGGGGCGAUCCGGGCCGGGGCGUUUGGAUCGGGGGCUUGGUGGAUCUGGUCCAGAUCUGGAGGAUCCGGUCGGAGAACGAACUCCGGCGACGGCAGCGACCUCCGGCGAGGUGGCGGCCGACGGGGAAGGCACGGGACACGGCGAGGCGCGGCGCAGGGCUCCUCCGGCGAGCUCCGGCGGCCGGAGACGAUGGCGAGGCGGAGAAGGGCNNNNNNNNNNNNNNNNNNNNNNNNNNNNNNNNNNNNNNNNNNNNNNNNNNNNNNNNNNNNNNNNNNNNNNNNNNNNNNNNNNNNNNNNNNNNNNNNNNNNNNNNNNNNNNNNNNNNNNNNNNNNNNNNNNNNNNNNNNNNNNNNNNNNNNNNNNNNNNNNNNNNNNNNNNNNNNNNNNNNNNNNNNNNNNNNNNNNNNNNNNNNNNNNNNNNNNNNNNNNNNNNNNNNNNNNNNNNNNNNNNNNNNNNNNNNNNNNNNNNNNNNNNNNNNNNNNNNNNNNNNNNNNNNNNNNNNNNNNNNNNNNNNNNNNNNNNNNNNNNNNNNNNNNNNNNNNNNNNNNNNNNNNNNNNNNNNNNNNNNNNNNNNNNNNNNNNNNNNNNNNNNNNNNNNNNNNNNNNNNNNNNNNNNNNNNNNNNNNNNNNNNNNNNNNNNNNNNNNNGCCGGCGCGAGGACGGCGGCGCAGGGCGGCAGCGGAGGCGCGCGGCCAUGGGCGGAGGGCGCGGCGGCUUCGGGUCGCCGGCGGGAGGAGCAGGGCGGUUAGAUGGGUUUUGGGCCAGUUUGGAAGGGUGUUGGGCUGCAAAGAAAAGGGGGGUUUUACGGUUAUCCGGUUAACCGUUGUAGUACCAAACGACCUCCAAAUGGCACAAAAAUUGACAGGCGGUCUACCGGUGCUAUACCAAGGCCGCUUGGCAAGACUCGGUCCGUUCCGAGAACGUUUAACACUCACUCACGAAAAGAGAGAAGAGGGGGACGCCGGAGGACAUAGGAGUGCCGGAUUGCAAAACGGGCAACAAGGAAAAUGCUCGGAUGCAUGAGACGAACACGUAUGCAAUGCAAUGCACAUGAUGACAUGAUAAAAUGCAACACGCAAGCAAAAGACAUGGCAACUACGGCGAAUAACUGGAAGACACCUGGCGCAUCGAAUCCGGGGCGUUACACCUAACCAUGUAUGGCUACCGGAUUCCAGAUAGACUAAUCCCAUGUUGAACAAGGCAAUGAGCCUAUAAUCCAUGUAGUCUUCUGAUGGUGUGGGCACUUUGCGGAUUACAACUUUUAGCAAACAGAGGUCAAGCCAAAAGCUUGACGCGUCUCGUGCAUAGUAGGCAGGAGUUUCCGGCGGGCCGCGAGGCUCGAUGGCGGUGGUAUCCAAUGAUGGAAGGGUGAUCUCUCGCUGGGUGUAGAUAUCCACGAGACACCACGGACUACCGGAUUGGUGGAUGAGGACGAUCCAGUUGGCCUUCAUGCCCACCCAGUAGUGGUCGCGCAUGAAGGACAGGUGGACGGGUAGUGGUAGCAUGUCGAGGGGCACCAUGGAAACCUCCAUAUGAUCGUCAAGUCAGUGUCUGGGGCACCUGCGAGGAUCAGGUAUCACCAAGCAGGGUGUCUUGAAAAGAGUCGGCUGGUUGCAAACGAGUAGACGGUACAAAGAUACCGAGCAUGCGACCAGAUGGACGGUGCUGACUAGGUCCAUACGAUUACAGAUCUGCUCCACAAGAACAUCGGAGAGGGAAUUCCAAUCGCAGCUCUGCGUGUCAGUCGGUUCUGCCAUUGGGGUUUUCGGUGCCUGCAAGCCAGCGGGGAAGUGGAUUCGGGCGGGCGAGCGAAGAAGCUUCUCCUCGUGUGGCUGAGCAGUGAGCGGGGGGAUAUGGUACGCGCGAGCUACCAAGGAAGAUGGUGCGGAUGGGCGAGCAGUGGGCGGGGGUAAAUGGUGUGCGGCCGGUGAUGGGGAAGAGACGAGGAAGAAGAGUGGAAGACGGGGAAGAAAGUGCACUAAAUCUCAAUUCUACUAGUACUACUACCAGGAUAUACCGUCCUUCGGAGUGUAAAUAGUUACACCAAUGAAAUGUGGGUCUACGACAAGAGGGCCCGUAUGUUAGUUAAUGGAGGACAGAGGUGCGUAGGCAUAUUUGCGGAAGCAUGCUCUACUGGCAAACAUGAUGGCAGUACUGGGUAAGGCUGAUUUAGUAACACCAACAUGCUGGUUUAGCUUAUUAAUUAUGUGUCCCAUCUGCUGUAGCGUGUAUUGUCACUUCACUGUGAAGACUAGUUGAAUAGUUCUCUCUGACCGAGAUGGGGAAUAAUGGAUUGCGAAGACUUCCUUUCUACAGUAUCCCUAUGCCUCUACGCUCACUUCACUCAUUUUGCACCGUACCUAGUCAGUUGUUGAAAUCUGUAGAAAGACAAAUACUCCGUAUUUGGGAACAAAGGGAGGCUUUUACUCCGUAUUUGGGAAUAGAGGGAGUAUCACCAUAUGGAGGGAACAGAGGAAACUUGAAAUAUGAACAUGUCAAUGGGAGGGAGUAAGACCCAUGCAUGCAUCCAUGCAUGCAACAUGCAACACUCACACAUACACAUGGACGCACGCAACACUCACGCACCCAUGCGGCACACAGCACAUGACGCAACACACACGCUCACGCUCAAGUGCUCAACCUACUCCCUACGUCCGUGAAAGACUGUACAUUUAGAGAUUUACACAUUGACCAGGGCAUAAUUAAUGCCCAAAAGUAGCAGACUUAUGUGUGCAUGCGACCAUUGAGAGAAGAAGAUUAAAUGAAGGCCGUUGCAUGCUGUAAUUAAGGAUAGACAUGUAGCCUAUACCUAGAGCACAAGUUGGUGCAUUAGUCAAUCAAUAUCAAUUUAGAUUAAAGGCUAAAUGCAUUGGAAGUGUAGAUGUACAUCAUGUACUACACUCUUUGUUUUUUAGCCAAUGUACACUCUUUGUUGGAAGACCGAGGGAGUACACAUGCAUGCACUCACAUACACAGCCAGGGUGGUUCGUGCGCAAGGGUUGGACUCCUGUUGUGUUUGCGUAAAGUUUUGUUUAACUGAUUUCUUUGCUCUGCCAACUGACAGGUGGGACCCAUAAACCAGGUGACAAUUUAACCAAUCAAAAAAGUGCCACGUCGACUAUGUGGCCAGUCAGUAUGGUGCAAUAAGGUGCUCUACGAUGAGCUAGUGAUCGUAUAAUCACCGCAAACUAUAUAUAGUGAUCGUAAAUAGCGUAUUGUUACAUACGUUGACCGCCACUGUAUUUUUCUUGUUUUAAGUUAAGCCAUAUUAAUCAGAAAGUACACAAUAUGGACUACUAGUACUAGUACUACUUUGAUGUGUCCCGUCAACUCGCCGAACGAGGAGAAGCUUUCUUACUACGCCUCUCCCCCGCCCACCCGCGUGGUGGUUCACAGGCUUAGGAGAGGGUUUUGACUACAGCGCCCUCUCCCUCUCCCUAUCCCUCGCCCUCGCCCUCGCCCUCACGGUGGACGUGCAGCAGUUCAAUCGGUGUCAGAUUGCCAGAAGCAUAUUGUACUAUAGUAUCAUCAUUGUUGGACCUUCCGAAGAGGCGAAGAGCCAAGUGCAAGGUUCACACAAGUACAAACUGUUGAACCUCCAGAAGAGGCAAAGAGCCAAGCGCAAGGUUUUAUAGGAGUUGUCGUCCUAGUAGGAGUGUACUACAACUAUAGCGAACGAUGCUACUGUAUGAUGCCGCCACAUCACGUAUAUCCAAAGCUGUGCCACCUUUUUUUCUCAAAGAGCGUGUUGGAGCCCGUGCAACAACCACACAAGUUGCACGUACACAUAACACAUUUACUAGUAAUAAAUUCUAAAGGACAAAUGCCAAUAUGCCACACAAGUUCAUCUCCAAUUCAUGUGAUAAAUUUGUGCACGACUAGUCUACAUAUAUUCACAGCGCUACCGUUCACAAUUACCGUACUCCACUUACACGUUAUAGAUGGGCUACAUGCAUGUCCUCCUCCAGGUUCCAGUCCCAGGUGUUCUUCAUGGAUGGCACGAUCCAUAGCAGUGGGCAAUGGUAAUCAUUGUUGCAGCUUUCUAGUCCGGUUCCACACGAUGGAGACUCAUCCAAGCUGAAGCGGCAUAAAUCAGGGAUAGCGUGUCCCAGCAUGUCGUUCAUCCGGCGGUGCACAAUGAAGACACAACCAUGCUUCGUGAACGGCAGGCCUUCCGUGUCGUGCACGGAAGGUGGCAUCCGCUUCACAAUGGGGUAGCUGUCCCUGAUGAAAAGCGAGUACUCUCCAAGAGUGUUCCUCGGCACCCAUGUAGCAUCACUGGGGUCGAACUCGGCGUCGUUCAUCUGGUACACGCGGCAUCUAAGAUCUGGACACAUGGUGACGUACAUAGUCAAGGUCCAUGCAUAAUAAUGUUGUGCUCAAAUAUGGCGGUCAGUAAUACUGUGCAGCAAAUAGUACUACUCCGGUAUAGAGGAAGUAAAAUAACUGGCUUAUUAUAUAUAGCCACUCUUGGCUACAUGGAUAAGAUAGUAAGACAUGGAAAAACAAAAAUGGUGGCAGCUAGUUGGUUCAAGUCUUCAAGGGCCUAGCUAGCUAUACGCGUCCUCCAAGGUAAAAAGUACUCCUACUAGUAGUACUAAGUAUACUACUAGUACAACAAUGAAAGUGAAGGCGGGAUGGUUAAAAAAUGGAAUACCUGGGUAGAUGGUGACGGUCCGAUCGUGGUAGAUUGUGUGACCAUGUUGCACAUCAGUGGUACCAUGGGUAAUGACUGCUAAGAUAGUUGAUCCCAAUAUGCCAAAGUCAGCUACAAGGUUCCAGGUUAGACCGAAUCGCGGAUGCAAAUGCACAUCCAGGAUUGGCGAUCUUAUUUUGAUCGGGGGAUGACUGGUCCACUGCAAAAUAAUGGAGUACCGUUAGAGAUGCAAAUGAUGGUUUGUGCAUUCCGUUUGUAAUCUCUUGUACCGUAGGAUGGCAACCAGAUGAAACAAGUCCCCUGGCUUGUCACUGCAAAGAUGCGGCCUAGAUGGCGCACAGCGUCUUCGAACGUGUAGGGGUACAAAUCUGCCGCCGCCAACAUGCGCCAGCCUCUGCCAUUACUGCCUCUUGCAUUGAUGGCAAUCCUUGUGUCGAACACCACGUCACUUUGUCGGCGGGUCCGCAAUUGCUAUCUUCUUCAAUCUCAUGUAGGCAUCAUCAUACGUAUUCAAGCCCAACCAGUCCGAAAGGCCGAUCCCAAUGGUGGAGAAGGGGUCUACCGGAACGGCCGCACUGCUGUGGAUGUUGUGCAAAAUGAUGGUGGUAUCCGGCCGGAGGUAUGCAAGCCAAUCUUCCUUUGCACCGACCCAGACCUAUAUAUAAGACGGUGGGCAGCAGAGAAACUACAGGAUGGAAAUGGAAUAACUAAGUACUACAUGAUCAAACUCCAUUACUGACCUGCUCAUCGGACAAAAUCCGACUACCUCUCCACGUCGGCAACUCUAGCGGAGUCAACAUGCAACCAUGGCCAGGGAACGGUGGACUGUUUGAAGGAUUGUCCCAUAAAAGAACCUUCUCCUCGAGGACGCAUCGAAGACCAAUAAGCACGGCCUUUUCCAAAGCCUGUUUAAGCACCGUCUUGAAAAAGUUGGUGCAAGAAGCACCGAGUCUUGCGGCGGUGAGGACGUCGGAGCAGCGUGCGAUUUCUCCCAGAGGAUCGUCGUCCAAGGUCUCCCAGCCCCGACGAGGAGGAGAACCGCCUGGCGAAUCCAUGGGAGCAGCGAUGAACUGCCUUCUCUUCGGGGGGAGGGGAACUGGCGAGGAGGAGAUAAGAGCGUAGUAACUGCAUGGCCUAGUCCCUUCCAAUUGUAGAUCAUGUCGGCGAACGUUGCAGAAAAUAAAAAAAUUCUAUGCUUCACCAAGAUCAAUCUAUGGAGUCAUCUAGCAAUGAGAGAGAGGAGUGCAUCUACAUACCCUUGUAGAUCGUGCGCGGAAGCGUUCAAGAGAACGGGGUUGAGGGAGUCAUACUCGUCGUGAUCCAAAUCACCGGGGAUCCUAGCGCCAAACGGACGGCACCUCCGCGUUCAACACACGUACGGUUGGGAAGACGUCUCCUCCUUCUUGAUCCAACAAGGGGGAAGGAGAGGUUGAUGGAGAUCUGGCAGCACAACGGCGUGGUGGUGGAUGCAGCAGCGAUCUCGGCAGGGCUUCGCCAAGCACAGCGAGAGGGAGAGGUGUCACGGGAGGGAGAGGGAGGCGCCAAGGGCUAGGGUGCGCAGCCCUCCCUCCCCCUCUUUAUAUAGGGGUCAAGGGGGGUGCCGGCCCCUCUAGAUCCCAUCUAGAUGGGGGGGCUGCGGCCAAGGGGGUGGCUUGCCCCCCAAGCCAAGUAGGGCGCCCCCCACCCCUAGGGUUUCCAACCCUAGGCGUAGGGGGAGGCCCAAGGGGGGGAGCACCAGCCCACCAAGGGCUGGUUUCCCUCCCACUGCAGCCCAUGGGGCCCUCCGAGAUAGGUGGCCCCACCCGGUGGACCUCCGAGACCCUUCUGGUGGUCCCGGUACAAUACCAGUGACCUCCGUAACUUUCCCGAUGGCCGAAACUGGAUUUCCUAUAUAUAAAUCUUCACCUCCGGACCAUUUCGGAACUCCUCGUGACGUCCGAGAUCUCAUCCGGGACUCUGAACAACUUUCGGGUUACCGCAUACUAAUAUCUCAAUAACCCUAGCAUCACCGAACCUUAAGUGUGUAGACCCUACGGGUUCGGGAGACAUGCAGACAUGACCGAGACGACUCUCCGGUCAAUAACCAACAGCGGAAUCUGGAUACCCAUGUUGGCUCCCAUAGGCUCUUCGAUGAUCUCAUCGGAUGAACAACGAUGUUGAGGAUUCAAUCAAUCCUAUAUCAAUUCCCUUUGUCAAUCGGUACGUUACUUGCCCGAGAUUCGAUCGUCGGUAUCCCAAUACCUCGUUUAAUCUCGUUACCGGCAAGUCACUUUACUCGUACCAUAAUGCAUGAUCCCGUGACCAGACACUUGGUCACAUUGAGCUCAUUAUGAUGAUGCAUUACCGAGUGGGCCCAGAGAUACCUCUCUGUCAUACGGAGUGACAAAUCCUAGUCUCGAUUCGUGCCAACCCAACAGACACUUUUGGAGAUACCUGUAGUGCACCUUUAUAGUCACGCAGUUACGUUGUGACGAUUGGCACACCCAAAGCACUCCAACGGUAUCUGGGAGUUGCACAAUCUCAUGGUUUAAGGAAAUGACACUUGACAUUUGGAAAAGCUCUAGCAAAACGAACUACAUGUUCUUGUGCUACGCUUAGGAUUGGGUCUUGUCCAUCACAUCAUUCUCCUAAUGAUUUGAUCCCAUUAUCAAUGACAUCCAAUGUCCAUAGUCAGGAAAUCGUGACUAUCUGUUGAUCAACGAGCUAGUCAACUAGAGGCUCAGUAGGGACGUGUUGUGGUCUAUAUAUUCACACAUGUAUUACGAUUUCCGGAUAACACAAUUAUAGCAUGAACAAUAGACAAUUAUCAUGAACAAGGAAAUAUAAUAAUAACCAUUUUAUUAUUGCCUCUAGGGCAUAUUUCCAAUAGUCUCCCACUUGCACUAGAGUCAAUAAUCUAGGUACAUUGUGAUGAAUCGAACACCCAUAGAGUUCUGGUGUUGAUCAUGUUUUGCUCUAGGGAGAGGUUUAGUCAACGGAUCUGCUACAUUCAGGUCCGUAUGUACUUUACAAAUAUCUAUGUCUCCAUCUGGAACAUUUUCACGAAUGGAGUUGAAGUGACGCUUGAUGUGCCUGGUCUUCUUGUGAAACCUGGGCUCCUUGGCAAGUGCAAUAGCUCCAGUGUUGUCACAGAAGAGUGUGAUCGGCCCCGACGCAUUGCGUAUGACUCCUAGGUUGGUGAUGAACUCCUUCACCCAGAUUGCUUCAUGCGCUGCCUCCGAGGCUGCCAUGUACUUUGCUUCACAUGUCGAUCCCGCCACAAUGCUUUGCUUGCAACUGCACCAGCUUACUGCCCCACCAUUCAAAAUAUACACGUAUCCGGUUUGUGACUUAGAGUCAUCCAGAUAUGUGUCGAAGCUAGCGUCGACGUAACCCUUUACGACGAGCUCUUCGUCACCUCCAUAAACGAGAAACAUAUCCUUAGUCCUUUUCAGGUACUUUAGGAUGUUCUUGACCGCUGUCCAGUGUUCCAUGCCGGGAUUACUUUGGUACCUUCCUACCAAACUUACGACAAGGUUUACAUCAGGUCUGGUACACAGCAUUGCAUACAAGAUAGACCCUAUGGUCGAGGCAUAGGGGACGACACUCAUCUUUUCUCUAUUUUCUGCCGUGGUCGGACAUUGAGCCGAGCUCAAUUUCACACCUUGCAAUACAGGCAAGAACCCCUUCUUGGACUGAUCCAUAUUGAACUUCUUCAAUAUCUUAUCAAGGUAUGUGCUUUGUGAAAGACCUAUGAGGCGUCUUGAUCUAUCUCUAUAGAUCUUGAUGCCUAAUAUGUAAGCAGCUUCUCCAAGGUCCUUCAUUGAAAAACACUUAUUCAAGUAGGCCUUAAUGUUUUUCAAAAGUUCUAUAUCAUUUCCAUCAAAAGUAUGUUAUCCACAUAUAAUAUGAGAAAUGCUACAGAGCUCCCACUCACUUUCUUGUAAACACAGGCUUCUCCAUAAGUUUGCAUAAACCCAAACGCUUUGAUCAUUUCAUUAAAGCGAAUGUUCCAACUCCGAGAUGCUUGCACCAGCCCAUAGAUGGAGCGCUGGAGCUUGCAUACCUUGUUAGCAUUCUCAAGAUCGACAAAACCUUCCGGCUGCAUCAUAUAAAGUUCUUCCUUAAGAUAGCCGUUAAGGAAUGCCGUUUUUGACGUCCAUUUGCCAUAUCUCAUAAUCAUAGUAUGUGGCAAUUGCUAACAUGAUUCGGACGGACUUCAGGUUCGCUACGGGAGAGAAAGUCUCAUCGUAGUCAACCCCUUGAACUUAUCGAUAACCCUUAGCGACAAGUCGAGCUAUAUAGAUGGUAACAUUACCAUCCGCGUCCGUCUUCUUCUUAAAGAUCCAUUUGUUUUCUAUCGCUCGCCGAUCAUCGGGCAAGUCUGUCAAAGUCCAUACUUCGUUUUCAUACAUGGAUCCUAUCUCGGAUUGCAUGGCUUCAAGCCAUUUGUUGCAAUCUGGGCUCGCCAUUGCUUCUUCAUAGUUCGAAGGUUCACUGUUGUCUAACAACAUGAUUUCCAGGACAGGGUUGCCAUACCACUCUGGUGUGGAACGUGUCCUCGUGGACCUACGAAGUUCAGUAGUAACUUGAUCCGAAGUACCUUGAUCAUCAUCAUUAACUUCCUCUUUAGUCGGUGCAGGCAGCACAGGAACAUCUUCCUGAGCUGCGCUACUUUCCGGUUCAAGAGGUAGUACUUCAUCAAGUUCCACUUUCCUCCCACUUACUUCUUUUGAGAGAAACUCUUUCUCCAGAAAGGACCCGUUCUUGGCAACAAAGAUCUUGCCUUCGGAUCUUAGGUAGAAGGUAUACCCAAUGGUUUCCUUAGGGUAUCCUAUGAAGACGCAUUUUUCCGACUUGGGUUCGAGCUUUUCAGGUUGAAGUUUCUUGACAUAAGCAUCGCAUCCCCAAACUUUUAGAAACGAUAGCUUAGGUUUCUUCCCAAACCAUAAUUCAUAUGAUGUCGUCUCAACGGAUUUAGAUGGUGCCCUAUUUAAAGUGAAUGUAGCUGUCUCUAGAGCGUAUCCCCAAAAUGAUAGCGGUAAAUCAGUGAGUGACAUCAUAGAUCGCACCAUAUCCAAUAGAGUGCGAUUAGAACGUUCGGACACACUGUUAUGCUGAGGUGUUCCAGGCAGCGUGAGUUGUGAAACGAUUCCACAUUUCCUUAAGUGCAUACCAAAUUCGUGACUUAAAUAUUCUCCUCCACGAUCUGAUCGUAAGAACUUAAUCUUUCGGUCAUGUUGAUUCUCUACCUCAUUCUGAAAUUCCUUGAACUUUUCAAAGGUCUCAGACUUGUGUUUCAUCAAGUAGACAUACCCAUAUCUACUCAAGUCGUCAGUGAGAGUGAGAACAUAACGAUAUCCUUCGCGAGCCUCAACGCUCAUUGGACCGCACACAUCAGUAUGUAUGAUUUCCAAUAAGUUGGUUGCUCGCUCCAUUGUUCCGGAGAACGGAGUCUUGGUCAUUUUGCCCAUGAGGCAUGGUUCGCAUGUGUCAAAUGAUUCAUAAUCGAGAGACUCUAAAAGUCCAUCAGCAUGGAGCUUCUUCAUGCGCUUGACACCAAUGUGACCAAGGCGGCAGUGCCACAAGUAUGUGGGACUAUCGUUAUCAACUUUACAUCUUUUGGUAUUCACACUAUGAAUAUGUGUAACAUCACGUUCGAGAUUCAUUAAGAAUAAACCAUUGACCAUCGGGGCAUGACCAUAAAACAUAUCUCUCAUAUAAAUAGAACAACCAUUAUUCUCGGAUUUAAGUGAGUAGCCAUCUCGUAUUAAACGAGAUCCAGAUACAAUGUUCAUGCUCAAAGUUGGCACUAAAUAACAAUUAUUAAGGUUUAAAACUAAUCCCGUAGGUAAAUGUAGAGGUAGCGUGCCGAUGGUGAUCACAUCGACCUUGGAACCAUUCCCGACGCGCAUCGUCACCUCGUCCUUCGCCAGUCUCCGCUUAUUCCGCAGCUCCUGCUUUGAGUUACAAAUAUGAGCAACCGCACCGGUAUCAAAUACCCAGGAGCUACUACGAGUGCUGGUAAGGUACACAUCAAUAACAUGUAUAUCACAUAUACCUUUGGUGUUGCCGGCCUUCUUGUCUGCUAAUUACUUGGGGCAGUUCUGCUUCCAGUGACCACUUCCCUUGCAAUAAAAGCACUCAGUCUCAGGCUUGGGACCAUUCCUCGGCUUCUUUGCGGCAACUGGCUUACCGGGCGCAGCAACUCCCUUGCCGUCCUUCUUGAAGUUCUUCUUACCCUUGCCUUUCUAGAAGUUAGUGGUUUUAAUCACCAUCAACACUUGAUGUUCCUUUUUGAUCUCUACCUCCGCUGAUUUCAACAUUGAAUAUACCUCAGGAAUGGUCUUUUCCAUCCCCUGCAUAUUGAAGUUCAUCACAAAGCUCUUGUAGCUCGGUGGAAGCGACUGAAGGAUUAUGUCAAUAACCGCGUCAUCCGGGAGAUUAACUCCCAGCUGAGUCAAGCGGUUGUGCAACCCAGACAUUUUGAGUAUGUGCUCACUGACAGAACUAUUUUCCUCCAUCUUACAACUGAAGAACUUGUCGGAGACUUCAUAUCUCUCGACCCGGUCAUGAGCUUGGAAAAGCAUUUUUAGCUCUUCGAACAUCUCAUAUGCUCCGUGUUGCUCAAAACGCUUUUGGAGCCCCGGUUCUAAGCUAUAAAGCAUGCCUCACUAAACGAGGGAGUAAUCAUCAGCACGAGACUACCAAGCGUUCAUAACGUCUUGGUUCUCUGGGAUGGGUGCUUCACCUAGCGGUGCUUCUAAGACAUAAUCUUUCUUUGCAGCUAUGAGGAUGAUCCUCAGGUUCCGGACCCAGUCCGUAUAGUUGCUGCCAUCAUCUUUCAGCUUGGUUUUCUCUAGGAACGCGUUGAAGUUGAGGGCAGCAUUAGCGUGGGCCAUUUGAUCUACAAGACAUAUUGUAAAGAUUUUAGACUAAGUUCAUGAUAAUUAAGUUCCUAUAAUCAAAUUAUUCAAUGAACUCCCACUCAGACAGACAUCCCUCUAGUCAUCUAAGUGAAACAUGAUCCGAGUCAACUAGGCCGUGUCCGAUCAUCACGUGAGACGGACUAGUCGACAUCGGUGAACAUCUUCAUGUUGAUCGUAUCUUCUAUACGACUCAUGCUCGACCUUUUGGUCUUCCGUGUUCCGAGGCCAUGUCUAUACAUUCUAGGCUCGUCAAGUCAACCUAAGUGUAUUGCGUGUGUAAAUCUGGCUUACACCCGUUGUAUUCGAACGUUAGGAUCUAUCACACCCGAUCAUCACGUGGUGCUUCGAAACAACGAACCUUCGCAACGGUGCACAGUUAGGGGGAACACUUUCUUGAAAUUAUUGCGAGGGAUCAUCUUAUUUAAGCUAACGUCGUUCUAAGCAAAUAAGAUGUAAAACAUGAUAAACAUCACAUGCAAUCAAAUAGUGACAUGAUAUGGCCAAUAUCAUAUUGCUCCUUUGAUCUCCAUCUUCGGGGCGCCAUGAUCAUCUUCGUCACCGGCAAGACACCAUGAUCUCCAUCAUCAUGAUCUCCAUCAUUGUGUCUCCAUGAAGUUGUUCGCCAACUAUUACUUCUACUACUAUGGCUAACGGUUUAGCAAUAAAGUAAAGUAAUUACAUGGCGUUUAUUCAUUGACACGCAGGUCAUACAAUAAAUAAGACAACUCCUAUGGCUCCUGCCGGUUGUCAUACUCAUCGACAUGCAAGUCGUGAUUCCUAUUACAAGAACAUGAUCUCAUGCAUCACAUAUAUAUCAUUCAUUACAAAUUUUUGGCCAUAUCACAUCACACGGCACAUGCUGCAAAACAAGUUAGACGUCCUCUAAUUGUUGUUGCAUGUUUUUACGUGGCUUCUAUAGGUUUCUAGCAAGAACGUUUCUUACCUACAUAAAACCACAACGUGAUAUGCCAAUUUCUAUUUACCCUUCAUAAGGACCCUUUUCAUCGAAUCCGCUCCAACUAAAGUGGGAGAGACAGACACCCGCUAGCCACCUUAUGCAACUAGUGCAUGUCAGUCGGUGGAACCUAUCUCAAGUAAGCGUACAUGUAAGGUCGGUCCGGGCCGCUUCAUCCCAUGAUGCCGCCGAAGCUAGAUAAGACUAGUAGUGGCAAGAAAAUUCACAACAUCUACGCCCACAACAAGUUUGUGUUCUACUCGUGCAUAGAAACUACGCAUAGACCUAGCUCAUGAUGCCACUGUUGGGGAACAUUGUAGAAAAUAAAAAAAUUCUACGCUUCACCAAGAUCAAUCUAUGGAUUCAUCUAGCAACGAGAGAGAGGAGUGCAUCUACAUACCCUUGUAGAUCGGGCGCGGAAGCGUUCAAGAGAACGGGGUUGAGGGAGUCGUACUCGUCGUGAUCCAAAUCACCGGAGAUCCUAGCGCCGAACGGACGGCACCUCCGCGUUCAACACACGUACGGUUGGGAAGACGUCUCCUCAUUCUUGAUCCAGCAAGGGGGAAGGAGAGGUUGAUGGAGAUCCAGCGGCACAACGACAUGGUGGUGGAUGCAGCAGCGAUCUUGGCAGGGCUUCGCCAAGCACAGCGAGAGGGAGAGGUGUCACGGGAGGGAGAGGGAGGCGCCAGGGGCUAGGGUGCACAUCCCUCCCUCCCCCCUCUUUAUAUAGGGGUCCAGGGGGCGCCGGCCCCUCUAGAUCCCAUCUAGAUGGGGGGCGGCGGCCAAGGGGGUGGCUUGCCCCCCAAGCCAAGUAGGGCUCCCCCCACCCCUAGUGUUUCCAACCCUAGGCGCAGAGGGAGGACCAAGGGGGGCCGCACCAGCCCACCAGGGGCUGGUUCCCCUCCCACUUCAGCCCAUGGGACCCUCCGGGAUAGGUGGCCCCACCCGGUGGACCCCCGGGACCCUUCCGGUGGUCCCGGUACAAUACCGGUGACCCCCGAAACUUUCCCGAUGGCCGAAACUGGACUUCCUAUAUAUAAAUCUUCACCUCCGGACCAUUUCGGAACUCCUCAUGACAUCCGGGAUCUCAUCCGGGACUCCAAACAACUUUCGGGUUACCGCAUACUAAUAUCUCAACAACCCUAGCGUCACCGAACCUUAAGUGUGUAGACCCUACGGGUUCGGGAGACAUGCAGACAUGACCGAGACGACUCUCCGGUCAAUAACCAACAGCGGAAUCUGGAUACCCAUGUUGGCUCCCACAUGCUCCUCGAUGAUCUCAUCGGAUGAACCACGAUGUCGAGGAUUCAAUCAAUCCCGUAUACAAUUCCCUUUGUCAAUCGGUAUGUUACUUGCCCGAGAUUCGAUCGUCGAUAUCCCAAUACCUCGUUUAAUCUUGUUACUGGCAAGUCACUUUACUCGUAUCGUAAUGCAUGAUCCCGUGACCAGACACUUGGUCACAUUGAGCUCAUUAUGAUGAUGCAUUACCGAGUGGGCCCAGAGAUACCUCUCCGUCAUACGGAGUGGCCCAGUCUCAAUUCAUGCCAACCCAACAGACACUUUCGGAGAUACCCGUAGUGCACCUUUAUAGUCACCCAGUUACGUUGUGAUGUUUGGCACACCCAAAGCACUCCUACGGUAUCAGAGAGUUGCACAAUCUCAUGGUCUAAGGAAAUUAUACUUGACAUUUGGAAAAGCUCUAGCAAAACGAACUACACGAUCUUGUGCUACACUUAGGAUUGGGUCUUGUCCAUCACAUCAUUCUCCUAAUGAUGUGAUCCCAUUAUCAAUGACAUCCAAUGUCCAUAGUCAGGAAAUCGUGACUAUCUGUUGAUCAACGAGCUAGUCAACUAGAGGCUCACUAGGGACGUGUUGUGCUCUAUAUAUUCACACAUGUAUUAUGAUUUCCGGAUAACACAAUUAUAGCAUGAACAAUAGACAAUUAUCAUGAACAAGGAAAUAUAAUAAUAACCAUUUUAUUAUUGCCUCUAGGGCAUAUUUCCAACAGAUCAUUCCUUAGCGAAGGUGUGAGGCUAUGAUUUACUACUAGUACUAGCAUUAUGGAACAUUAUGGGAUUGCAUUAUACUGUAAAUAGUAGCACUAGUAAGAAAAUUUUGGCACUAGGUAGUAGUUUUUGGCGUGGAUUAAGAAAUUUUGGGUAUGUUUUUGCUAUUUUUUGUACACACCAACUAGUGUCAAAAACGUCUUACAUUAUGUGACGGAGGAGUACGUACUCGUACUGUAGCAGUACUAGUACUACUUUUUCUCAACUAGUAGUGCGAUGUACUGUACUUCUAGUCUAGUCUAGUAUAGUGCACCAGUUUUGAACUCUUGAAUCUCAGGGCCAAGGAGCUACAGUUGGAAGUGGAGGGUACUACUAUUCUCUAGAACCAUCGAUGUACUAUCAAUGCAGGGAAAGUACACCUACGUAGUGGCCUAGUGGGUACUCUCGAUGCUCUAUUCAGCUGCUCCUCUCACAUAGCUGGCCUACUCAGCCGCCCCUGUCAUGCACACACUAGCAGCCUGUUUAUCAGCGAUGGUUACUGCAGGGGUAGAACAUUUGAGUUAUUUGAUACAGCAAGACUUGGCUUUUCGCUUCCAUUUGUGGAGGUGUAAUGGAUCUCAUCGAACUUUGUUAGUAGUUCCUUCUUUAUGAAUGAGAUGAAGCAAAGCUUUUGCCUCCAUUUCAAAAAAAACACGUCAAGAGAAAUUUCUUUUAUAGUAGAGUCGAUAAUGGGGUGAAGUCCAUGCGUGCAACGCCACAAGCUACAGAGUAGUAGUAGAGAACUUUACGUACAGAGCCAUAUCGCACAGUUCCCAAUGCCCCGUUAGGCUUUUCCAGCUCCUCGGGCUUAAUUGGGAGGCACUAGUUUAAAUAUGCUACUAGCUGAUGACGAAGCUGCAAGCGAGGUGCGGCUAGGGCGAGCACGCGAGCCACGGGAUGCUGGGAAGGAAAACCCGUUCACGUGGCUAGGCUAUCCAGUGCACCCAGAUUGUCGUGUGGCACGUCCAUUUGACUAUAAAACUCAAACUACCCGUGUAAAAUAUUGGCUCGCAGUGAAGUUACUAUUUAAAAAAAGGCCGUCGUGCGUUCGGCCGGGAUCGAACCCACAAAACAAGGUAUACACUCCCGCGACCACUUGUAGUACUCGUUGGAGUACAACACAACCUAGAAUCGCCUUUUGUCGCUAGUAGUACGUACAUUGUUCCUUACAAGAAACCCCUAAUAUUGCAAGAAACCACUAAAAUGCCAAGAAACUGUUGGGGAAUCAUAGUAAUUUCAAAAAAAUUCCUACGCACACGCAAGAUCAUGGUGAUGCAUAGCAAUGAGAGGGGAGAGUGUGUCCACGUACCCUCGUAGACCAAAAGAGGAAGCACUAGCACAACGCGAUUGAUGUAGUUGUACGUCUUCACGGUCCGACCGAUCAAGCACUGAAAGCACGGCACCUCCAAGUUCUUGCACACGUUCAGCUUGAUGACAUCCCUCGAACUCCGAUCCAGCAAAGCUUUGAGGGAGAGUUCCGUCAGCAUGACGGCGUGGUGACGAUGAUGAUGUUCUACCGUUGCAGAGCUUCGCCUAAGCACCGCUACAAUAUUAUCGAGCAGGACUAUGGUGGAGGGGGCACCGCACACGGCUAAGAGAUCAAUGGUCAAUUGUUGUGUCUAUGGGGUGCCCCCGUCCCCCGUAUAUAAAGGAGUGGAGGUAGGGCUGCAAACUAGUCGAGUUCGAGCGAGUUGGAUUAGGCUCAACUCAACUCAUACUAAACUUCGAGCGAGCUCAAACUGGGUGAAGCUCAAGAUCAAGCGCUAGAAAGUGGCUCAUGCUCAGCUUGUAACGAUCUCAAGUCGAUCUCGAGCUAGUUUCGAGCUAAAUAAGAUGAUAUUUUUAACAAUCUAAGGCAAUUUUUUGAACAAGAUCGGCCACAACAGAACAUCAGAAACUAUUAUAGAAUAUUAUUUUAAUUCAAACGGUGAUAAUAUAUCUUUUUCAAGGUAGUUUGGUGUAUUCUCUCAAUGAAGACAAGUAACUAAAAGAUCCUUGAUGAAUUGCUAGGAGAAGAAAAAAAAGUUGGAUCUACUCCCAAACGUUGACAAAAAUAGCAGGAUAUUUAACAUGCAGCUGACCAUGUACCAAAUUAAGGCCUAAUUUUUCUCGGGGCUUAAUUAAGCUUCCUAGUUUGCUAGUAGAUAAAAUGAAGAGAAACCAUACACCACACAUAUGAUAGUAAAUCAUCCUAUUUCAUUUUAAUUUAUAUCUAGAUUAUGUAAUAUAAUUGUAUUAUAUCGAGCUAAAAUCGAGCGAGCCAUGGUUGGCUCAAGAUCAACUUGUUUCUCGGUCGAGCUACAAAAAGGUGCUCAUACUCGACUCAUUUCUUAGUGAGUCGAUUUCGAGUUGAGCCAAAAAACGAGUCGAUCUCGAGCGGCUCAUGAGCAUCGAGCUUUUCUUGCAGCCCUAAGUGGAGGAGGGGGCCGGCCAAGGGGGUGGCGCGCCCUAGGGGGGGAGUCCAACUCCCACCGGGAGUAGGACUCCCUGUUUUCCUAUUAGGCGAGGGAGAGGGAAGGAAGAGGAAGGAGGGAGGAAGGAAAGGGGGGCUAGCCCCCUUCCCAAUUCGGAUUGGGCUUGGGGAGGGGGCGCCCCCUCCCUUGCUCCUUUCCCCUCCUUUCCACUAAGGCCCAAUAAGGCUCAUAUACCUCCCGGGGGGUUCCGAUAACCUCCCGGAGCUCCGGUAUUGUACCAAUCUUACCCGGAACCUUUCUGGUGUCCAAAUAUAAUCGUCCAAUAUAUCGAUCUUCAUGUCUCGACCAUUUCAAGACUCCUCGUCAUGACCUUGAUCACAUCUGGGACUCCGAACAACAUUCGGUACAUCAAAACACAUAAACUCAUAAUAUAAUUGUCAUCUUACUUUAAGCAUGCGGACCCUACGGGUUCGAGAACUAUGUAGACAUGACCGAGACAUGUCUUCGGUCAAUAACCAAUAGCGGAACCUGGAUGAUCAUAUUGGCUCCUACAUAUUCUAUGAAGAUCUUUAUCGGUCAAACCGCAUAACAACAUACAUUGUUCCCUUUGUCAUCGGUAUGUUACUUGCCCGAGAUUCGAUCGUUGUUAUCUCAAUACCUAGUUCAAUCUCGUUACCGGCAAGUCUCUUCACUCGUUACAUAAUGCAUCAUCUCAUAACUAACUCACUAGAUAUAUUGCUUGCAAGGCAUAUAGUGAUGUGCAUUACCGAGAGGGCCCAGAGAUACCUCUCUGACAAUCGGAGUGACAAAUCCUAAUCUCGAAAUACGUCAACUCAACAAGUACCUUCGGGGACACCUGUAGGGCACCUUUAUAAUCACCCAGUUAUGUUGUGACGUUUGGUAGCACACAAAGUGUUCCUCCGGUAAGCUGGAGUUACAUAAUCUCAUAGUCAUAGGAAUAUGUAUAAGUCAUGAAGAAAGCAAUAGCAACAUACUAAACAAUCAAGUGCUAAGCUAACGGAAUGGGUCAAGUCAAUCACAUCAUUCUCCUAAUGAUGUGAUCCCGUUAAUCAAAUGACAACUCAUGUCUAUGGUUAGGAAACUUAACCAUCUUUGAUUCACGAGCUAGUCAAGUAGAGGCAUACUAGUGACACUAUGUUUGUCUAUGUAUUCACACAUGUAUUAUGUUUCCGGUUAAUACAAUUCUAGCAUGAAUAAUAAACAUUUAUCAUGAAAUACGGAAAUAAAUAAUAACUUUAUUAUUGCCUCUAGGGCAUAUUUCCAUCAGUCUCCCACUUGCACUAGAGUCAAUAAUCUAGUUCACAUCACCAUGUGAUUUAACACCAAUAUUCAUAUUUGUAUAUGAUUAACAUCCAAAGUUCACAUCGUCAUGUGACCAACACCCAAAGGGGUUACUAGAGUCAGUAAUCUAGUUCACAUCGCUAUGUGAUUAACACCUAAAGAGUACUAAGGUGUGAUCAUGUUUUGCUCGUGAGAGAAGUUUAGUCAAUAGGUCUGUCACAUUCAGAGUCGUAUGUAUUUUGCAAAAUAUUCUAUGUCUACAACGCUCUAUAUGGAGCUACUCUAGCUAAUUGCUCCCACUUUCAAUAUGUAUCCAGAUUGAGAUUUAGAGUCAUCUGGAUCAGUGUCAAAACUUGCGUCGACGUAACCCUUUACGACGAACCUCUUGUCACCUCCAUAAUCGAGAAACAUAUCCUUAUUCCACUAAGGAUAAUUUUGACCAAUGUCCAGUGAUCUACUCUUAGAUCACUAUUGUACUCCCUUGCCAAACCAGGGCAGAGUAUACAAUAGGUCUGGUCCAUAGCAUGGCAUACUUUUAUAGAACCUAUGACUGAGGCAUAGGGAAUGACUUUCAUUAUCUUUUUAUUUUCUGUCGUGGUCGGGAUUUGAGUCUUACUCAAUUUCACACCUUUGCAACACAGGCAAGAACUCUUUCUUUGACUGUUCCAUUUUGAACUACUUCAAAAUCUUAUCAAGGUAUGUACUCAUUGAAAAUCUUAUCAAGCGUCUUGAUCUAUCUCAAUAGAUCUUGAUGCUCAAUAUGUAAGUAGCUUUACUGAGGUCUUUAUUUUAAAGAACUCCUUUCAAACACUUCUUUAUGCUUUCCAGAAAAAUUCUACAUCAUUUCUGAUCAACAAUAUGUCACUCAUAUACUUAUCAGAAAUGAUGUAGUGCUCCCACUCACUUUAUUGUAAAUACAGGCUUCACCGCAAGUCCGUAUAAAACUAUAUGCUUUGAUCAACUUAUCAAAGCAUAUAUUCCAACUUUGAGAUGCUUGCACCAGUCCAUAGAUGGAUUGCUGGAGCUUGCACAUUUUGUUAGCACCUUUAGGAUUGACAAAACCUUCUGGUAGCAUCAUAUACAACUCUUCUUUAAGAAAACCAUUAAGGAAUGCGGUUUUGACAUCCAUUUGCCAGAUUUCAUAAAAUGUGGCAAUUGCUAACAUGAUUCGGACAUAAUUAAGCAUCACUACAGUUGAGAAAAUCUCAUUGUAGUCAACACCUUGAACUUGUCGAAAAGCUUUUUGCGACAAGUCGAGAUUUGUAGAUAGUAACACUACUAUCAACGUCCGUCUUCCUCUUGAAGAUCCAUUUAUUUUCUAUGGCUUGCCGAUCAUUGGGCAAGUCCACCAAAGUCCACACUUUGUUCUCAUACAUGGAUCCUAUCUCAGAUUUCAUGGCCUCCAACCAUUUCGCGGAAUCUGGGCUCAUCAUCGCUUCCUCAUAGUUCGUAGGUUUAUCAUGGUCUAGUAACAUGACUUCCAGAACAGGAUUACCGUACCACUCUGGUGUGGACCGUACUCUGGAAGACCUACGAGGUUUUGUAGUAACUUGAUCUGAAGUUUCAUGAUCAUCAUCAUUAGCUUCCUCACUAAUUGGUGUAGAAAUCACUGGAACUAAUUUCUGUGAUGAACUACUUUCCAAUUCGGGAGAAGGUACAAUUACCUUAUCAAGCUCUACUUUCCUCCCACUCACUUCUUUCGAGAGAAACUCCUUCUCUAGAAAGGAUCCAUCUUAGCAACGAAUAUCUUGCCUUCGGAUCUGUGAUAGAAGGUGUACCCAACAGUUUCCUUUGGGUAUUGUAUGAAGCUGCACUUCUCCGAUUUGGGUUCGAGCUUAUUAGGUUGAAACUUUUUCACAUAAGCAUUGCAACUCCAAACUUUAAGAAACGACAGCUUAUGUUUAUUGCUAAACCAUAGUUCAUACGGUGUUGUCUCAACGGAUUUUGAUGGUGCCCUAUUAAAGUGAAUGCAGUUGUCUCUGAUGCAUAAUCCCAAAGAAAUAGUGGUAAGUCGGUAAGAUACAUCAUAGAUCGCACCAUAUCCAAUAAAGUGUGGUUAUGAUGUUCGGACACACCGUUACGAUGUGGUGUUCCAGGUGGCAUGAGUUUGUGAAACUAUUCCACAUUAUUUUAACUGAAGGCCAAACUCAUAACUCAAAUAUUCAUCUCCACGAUUGUCGGGGAAACUGAUCCUCGAACACCUAUGGGGCCGGCGGACCGGGCCCCUUUCGGUUCGGCGGGGGGCGGAGAUCGCAUGAAGAGCAGAUCGAGGCGAGGCACACGAGCAGUUUACCCAGCUUCGGAGCUCUCCGGAGAGAUAACACUCCUACUGCUGCUUGUCUAGUUGUAUUAUCUUGUGUUCUUGCUCUCCAAAGCGAGAGUGUGAUGUUCUCUAGGCUACGGAUGGAUCGAAGCAAACUGUCUGAGGCUCCGAACCUAUGAGCCCCAACCCCCUCUACGUUGUGCAUGGGCCUCCUUUUAUAUGCUAAAGGGGUCACCGACAGGUGGCAACGCAGAGGAGGGUAAAAACGUAAAAAGCGAGGUAGUUGAUACAGUUGCUUGCACAGUGCACCCUACCUAACCCUGACGGCAGGGGACAAGGGCAUUAAAUGCCCGUCUGAGUCGCCCGAACAGUGCAGAAAAGGACCGUUAGGGGCGCCAUCGUUCGCCACGAUGGUGAUCUUGUCAGCUUCGCAUGCCACUGCGCACCGCUGGCUGCACAGCCUCCCGCCACGCACGCCCGAAGAGGCCCCCAGAGCGACACGUUGGUGGAUGCGCUGGAGCGUGGACGCAGAGUGGCCGCCUGACGCGGCAAGCGCCUUGCCGCUGUUGUUAUCUUGUCGGGUCCGGAAGCUUGUCGCUCACCGGGCUUCGAGGUACCUUGGUUUGUCUUCCCGGCAAGCUCCUCUUGCCGGGGCCUUGUUGCCUUGCCGGAGCACGUGGCGCGUCACGGCAAGUUCAUUGGAGCGCCUUGGUUGGCCUUCCCGGCAAGCUCCUCUUGUCGGGGUCUUGUCUCCUUAGCUUAAAUACUUUGUUCUUGGAUGGCUCCAAGGGAACCUUGGGGGAUCUUGGCGAUCACCCGACAAGCCUUUGCCGCGGGGUGCUGCAACUGCCCGUGCACAAGUUCGGGGUACUAGGGUACCCCUAAUCUAGUACACCGACAGGAGCCCCCGGGCCUGGGCCAGACAUGGUGCCGAGCGCUGUUGGGCCAGGCCCAAGACAGGGCACGGGCACACGCGGGCUGGGCCAUGCCAAAUCUUGUUCCGUAUCCACCACACUCUCCCAUAACGGCACGCGUUGAAUGCGGCAUCGUGGGAGAGAUCGUGGGUGGUUGUUUAUUCGGAAGGCCGAAACGUCCGCCCCGUCCCUCUUUAUAAGCAGAGGAAAUAGGGGCAGUUCGUCCCUCCUUGCUGGUUGCUGCUACUCUUUCUUCACAAACUCCGUCGCUCCCCCCUUCUUCUCGAAGCCGAGAGAGCUGCGUUCCCCCCCCCAUUGCCACCAGCAUCACCACGCCGUCGACCUUCUCCACCACCUCCGCCAUGGCCCCGAAAGCCGACAAGGGAAAGGGCGUGAAGUCGGCCAAGGCGCAGCGGCUCGCGGCGCUGCGGAAGGAGCGGGCGAUCUUCACCCCCCAGCUCGGCGUGCAGGAGCUGAGGGAGUACUUCUACCUCUUUUGGGCAACGGAGACGCGUGCGCAUCCGCGCACGAGGGUACUUCCGGCCGCUGCCUCGGGGUCGGCUCCAAAUGGGUACCCGUUCUUCCCGCUAUUCUUCUAUUGCGGGCUCUGCCCACCCUUCUCGGAAUUCUUUUGUGACAUUAUGAACACAUAUGGCUUCCGCCUCCUUGACUUCACCCCCAAUGUUGUCCUGACCAUGGCAGUUUUCGCACACUUGUGCGAAAACUUUGUCGGAGUCCACCCUAGUGUAGCCCUUUUCCGCCAUUACUUCAUGCCUCGGGUAGAGAGAGGAGAGCCGCUUGCCGGAGGGAUUGCUUGGAUCUCAAGAGUCGGCAAGAAGGAUGCGUACUUGGAGGGUGAGCUCCGCAGCAAGUGGGAGGAGUGGAGAGCGGAGUGGUGUUGGAUCGUCGAGGAGGAUCCGCAGCCCUUCACCGCCAUGCGCCAAACUCCAAUAGUGCGCGGCAAUGACUGGAGCAACGUGGCCCCGGAAGACGAGAGGCUGAAGAUCGCCAUCACGAGGAUUCUUCGCCUCAGGCUUGCCGGGCUCACCGUAGGUGCUGUCGGGGCAGAUUUCCUCCGCCGCCGCAUUGCCCCCCUGCAGGAGAGGGGGAGACCCGCCUGGGAAUUCAAGAACUCGGCGGACAUCAUGAGGUUGCGGCCAGGCCUCAACUACAACUUCACCGUCUUGGAGUUGGAUGCAAUGCUCUUGGAAUUAUUCAAACGCGACCCCCAGCACCCAUUCACACUGCCGAGGGGCGUAGUUCCUUUGUGCAAUAAAUCUUCGCUUGACCGGAUCCGAGCCAUGAUGCCGUUGUGCGAUUCACACGGCAUCGUCCCAACUUGGCAAGAGCCUACGGAUGACGUUGUGCAAGCAUUCUUCGACACCUUGGAGGAAGUGCCAGUCCGCGCCGACGAGCAGAAGAGCCUCACCCGUGACACCACCGACGAGGAGCUGCAACUCAUCGCUACUAGGGCAGAAGAGGCUGCGGCCGCAGCUGCUGCGGGUGUGUUUGGGUUCACUGUGGAGGAGGCGGAGGCUGCAGAGGCGGCAAACCUUGCCGAACGCGCGGAGUUCAUGGGCGAAGAGGAGCCUGCCGGUUCUGAAGCCGAGUCGAGCGAGGCCGGCGAGGAGGAGGCUGAGCCUUUAGAGAGCUUGCCGCAGGCGGAGCCCCCGGCCCCGCCAAGGAGGCGCCUUCGCAGGGCUGGGGACACAGUGGGGCGGCAGCCGGCUCCACAGCCACCGAGCCGCACGACGCGCUCUACCGCGGCAAGCAAUGUUGCCGCGGGAGCGCCUCACGCAACAGCUGCAACUGGAGCGGGAUCUUCCCGGGCCACCGCCACUGCCCCCGCCAAGCGGGCAAGGGAUCCUACUCCUCCACCUCGCCGCGCCGGAGGAGGGUCGGACUUCGAUCUCUCCGCGCUCAGCUCCGACGAGGAGGAAGAAGAGUGAGUUUCUUUGGUGCUCUUAUAAUCCUUCAGUCUUGCUGUUUAUAUCUUGUAUCUGACUUGCUCCAAUCUGGACUCUUUUCUUUUCAGAACACUGGCCCAGAGAGCAGCGAAGAGGGCCAAGGCCGCGGUGAUCGUCAUCGAGGAUGACCCCAUCGCGUCGGCAGGAGGUGGGUCCGAGACCACCUUGACGGACCAGGCCAUCACCCCUCGAAGCAGCCCCCAGCGCAGCCCCCAGCGUAAGUUCAUAGUUUAGCCUUCUGUUGUCGGGCGCGCUUGAGUGCUUUUUCCUUUGUUGAUAUCUUGCUUGUUGACUUGUGCAGGAGCAGAGCAGCCUCAUCAGGAGCGCCCGGAGGCCGGUCCCGAAGUGCCACCUGCUUCAACUGUGCCGCCAAGGGAGGAGUCCCUGGCAAGGGAGCGCUCUCCGGCAAGGGGGGACUCUCCGGCAAGGGACGGCACUGCUGAUCCUGCGGCGACCGAGGCCACAACUGAAGAUCUUGGCGCAGGUAAUCCACUUGCCCAAAAACUUUCCCUUGGGUUCUGCUUCUUUCGUUUUUCCUUUCUUGGAUUUUCUGAUUGAUUUUCCUCCCCUCUUCGUUCUUUAGACCCAUCUUCGGCUGAGCCAAUGGAGACUGAGGGCGCCGGCGAGGAAGGUGCCGGUGCUGAUGUGACCGCCGGCGAGGAGGCCACCGGGGCUGCUGCUGCGGAAGCCGGCGAGGGGUCGGGCGAUCGCACUGACGACCCUGAGGCCGCAGGAGCGCCGGGCGCUGCACCGACCGCCGAACCCUCUGCCACUUCUGCGGAGCCGGGCUCUAAGGAGCCCCAGUCCGGCGCCUAUUUGAAGGCCGACGAUGACAUCUUCAUCAAGCUACCAUGGGCGUCGAGCUCCAGGGCGCCGGUCGAGGGGGAGACUUUUGACGGGGAGGUGCUCGCCUCUGCCGGACUGUCAUUGGUUGAUGCGCCCGGCAGCAGCAGCGGCGAGCCUGAGGAGGAGCAGCUACUGCGGAAGCUGCUGUCACUCUACCGCACCCGGCAAGCCAAGCUGGCUUCCUGGGAAGCACUUGUCGCGAAGGCAGGAGUUGAUAUGGAAAAGCGCGCGGAAGAGCUCCGGAGCCAAAAUCAAUAAGCUCUCCGGUCCCUGGCGUAGGAGCGGGAGCGAGUCGACGAUGAGCGCACGGCCUUUCUUCUCGAGAAGGCCGAGGCUGAGGAGGAACAAAGACUUGCUGCCGAGAAGCAGUCCGCGCGGGAAGGCGAGCUAGUGCAGCGGAAGGCCCACCUCGACAGCUACGAGGAAGAGCUUGCCGAGCGUGAGCGAGCACUUGGCGGGGCGCUCAAGGAGGCAAAGGAUGCCGCGGCAACUGCAGAGGCUGCCAAUAAAGAGCUAGAGGAGAAGGUGGCGCGGCUGGAGGCCGAUAUUGGGAAGAGCGGCGAGGAGAUUGCCGCGCUCAAGCGUGAGCGCGAGAAGGAUGCUGCCGCCCACGGUGAGCUGCAAGGCCUUCUCACUGAGAGGGGCAAGGAGCUCAGUGCCGCCAAGGAUUCCAAAGCAGACCUGGAGCUGAAGCUGGCCACACUGACGCAGACGCUAGAGGCCGCCAAGGAGCGGGAGAAGACCUUGGCGGAGAAGGUCAAGGCUGACGCGGCGCUGCUGGAGAGCAUUGCAGUUACCCAGAACUCGUUCAGAGACACGGUGGAGCACUGGACCAAGGGCCUGGUGAACACUGCCGCCGUCAUCAAUGAGGAGCUAGCGCAGCUGGGGAUGGAUGACUUUGGGUAUCCUUCCGACGAGAGCCUUCAACCCAGCGCCAAGCUCAGCCUAUUCUUCAAGGGCGUGGCGACGGCACUCCAGCGGCUCUGGGAGAGGAUCCCGAAGCAGCUGGCCAACGAGUCACGCAAAAUUUGCGCCGGGGUUCUCCAGAAGGUGCUGAUGAAGGUAGCCUUCCGCAAUCCAGGCCUCAGCUUCACCAACGUCCUCCGAUCCUUGCCGCCUGACGCCGAUCUGGAUGCACUCAAGGCCCUUGUCGCACCCAUUGUGGACAAGGUGAGCGAGAUCAAGUGAGUCGAGGGCGGACGCGUAGAUUAGGCCGCCCAUUUCUUCUUUUCCCUUGUCGCUGCUAGUCAUGUUAUGAGAACAGUCUGUUAGAGCUGCGACAAGUUAUCUUUGUAAUAUAACUUUAUUUCUGUUAUCAAUUGCAAUGUUAUUUCCUUUACUAGAUUCCUUCCUUUGUAUGUUUUCACCCUACGCUUCUAGGGAACUUGUCGGCGCAGGCGCCCGAGCCGCGAGCGCUGAGUGCGGAACUUCAGCAGCCUGCUGGCGGCGCUGCUUCUGACAAGAAACCUUGUCGCGACUAGAUGCAGCACACUUAAGUUGUUGAGCGGACUCGAAACAAAGUAAGGGCGCAACUAGCCACGAGUUGGUUCCUCCGCGCACAGGUUUUCCAUACAAAGCAGGGUCGUUCGAGGAAGAUAACACAAAAAUUUAAAAAGGUGAUUGCUCAAACUUUGGCAACUUAGCUUUUCUGUCAUUUGCUUCCCGGUAAGGCAAGUCCUUGUUUCAAUGACGCCUGGCCCACACCACAAUCUUCUCCUUCCCCCCCGGCAAACUUGUGUGCGAGAGAACCUUCUUUUCCUUUAAAAGAAAAAAGAAAGAAGAGAAAAUAAUAAUAUGGAGCUCUUCGGCUCGUUACUGCUUACCGGAUGUAAGUGCUGCACAAAAUGUCAGAUAAUCACAUGCAAGAAAGGAACUAACGCAUGAGAUGGACAAGCUGUGCGGAGCACAUGGGGUUUUACUUAUGCACGGGAUCUGCGCCCGGCUUUGUACAAAGGAUUACAUGCAACAGCGGCAAGACUUGUACAAAAGGUGGUUGCCGGAACGGGUUCCGGCAACUACGCCUUAUGGGAAAAACUUACGAAGAUGUUCUAUGUUCCAGGAGUUGCUCACUGGAAUGCCAUCUUCGGUCUCAAGGCGGACAGCGCCAGGCUUUGUGACUCGUCUCACCCGAUAAGGGCCUUCCCACUUCGGCGUCAACUUGUUGGAAUUCUUGGCGGACUGAACGCGCCGAAGAACAAAGUCGCCUUCCUCGAAGCUUCUGGCUUUAACUUUGCGGCUAUGAUAGCGGCGCAAAGCUUGCUGGUAUCGAGCAGCUCGUACAGCAGACUGAAGACGAUCUUCCUCAAGGAGCAGCGCGUCGUCUUGCCGCAGUUGUUCUUGCUCAAGCUCAUCAUAAGCGAGCACUCGAGGUGAUCCGUAUAUGAGUUCCAUGGGGAGAACUGCCUCUGCUCCAUAGACUAGAGCGAAAGGUGUCUGGCCAGUAGCUCGAUUUGGCGUCGUUCUGAUCGACCAAAGAACCACCGGCAGCUCCUCGAUCCAGUUUCUUCCGCACCUGUUCAGCCUGUCGAAAGUUCUGGUCUUGAGCCCGCGCAGCACUUCAGCAUUUGCCCUCUCUGCUUGACCGUUGCUUCUCGGAUGAGCAACAGAAGCGAAGCAGACCUUGGCGCCAAGGUCUUGGACGUACUGCAUGAAGGUGCGGCUCGUGAAUUGCGUGCCGUUGUCGGUGAUGAUCCUGUUAGGGAUCCCGAAACAGCAAACAAUUGACCUGAAGAACUUGACUGCUGACUGUGUUGUCACCUUCCUCACUGGCUGCACUUCUGGCCACUUUGUGAACUUGUCGAUUGCGACGUCCAAGUACUCAAAGCCCCCGACAGCUCGGGGGAAGGGGCCAAGAAUAUCGAGCCCCCAGACCGAAAAUGGCCAGGAUAAAGGGAUUGUCUGGAGAGCUUGAGCUGGCUGAUGUAUCUGUUUGGAGUGGAACUGGCACGCUUCACACUUGGUUACUUGUGCAGCUGCAUCCUGGAGGGCUGUCGGCCAAAAGAAACCUUGCCGGAAAGCUUUGCCGGCAAGUGCUCUUGCGCCAAUGUGGUGGCCACAUAUGCCUCCAUGUAUUUCUGCCAACAGCUUUUGUCCAUCUUCCCGGCGAAUACACUUCAAUUUCACACCGUUGAGUCUUCUUCUGUACAGUAUGCUAUCGACAAACUAGUACAUACUUGACUGUCGGGCUACUCUUUCCGCUUCUUCUUGCUCUUCGGGAAGUUCUCCUGUCUGAAGGAAAUGGACAAUCUGCUGUGCCCAUGCUGGAGCUUGUGGCUCGACAACAAGGGCUAAAGGCACAUCUGCUGCUGCGGGAACGUCCGCUUCUACGGCAAGGGCUUGCGACCCUGCCGGAGCUUGAUGUUCCCCGGCAAGCUUGCCGGAGCAAAACUUGUCGGGAGCGUCUGAUUCAACGGAACAAACCGUAAGGCUUGCCGGAGCAGACUGCUCCUCAGCAUCCUUGGUGUUGAUCUAAGGGGACUUUCUUGGCGGCGGCUUCAGGGAGCUCUGCCGGAAAGUAGUCACCAGAAAUCAACUUCCUCUUCUUGCUUUGUCCAGUUGAUGGUGCUACGGAUGGUUGAGUCAACUUAAGCACAAAGAUCCCUGGUUCCACAGGUAACUUUAGUGCGGCGCACUUUGACAGACCAUCAGCAAUAUCAUUCUGAGCUCUUGGGAUAUGCUCCAUUUGUAGGCCUUCAAAGUGCUCUUCUAGCUUCCUCACUUCAUCGACAUACGCUUCCAUCAACGGACCCUGGUAGUUCUUGUUCACUUGUCGGACGACAAGCUGCGAGUCACCCCUGACAAUGAGCUUCUUGAUCCCAAGGUCUGCUGCGAUUCUGAGACCGGCAAGUAAUCCUUCAUACUCUGCUGUAUUGUUGGUUGCUUGCUCUUUGGGAAAGUGCAUCUAGACUAUGUACUUGAGGUGCUCUCCGGUGGGUGCGACAAGCAGCACGCCUGCACCGGCGCCUUGCAGCGAGAAGGCACCAUCAAAGUACAUCAGCCACUCUUUGUUUGCCUCUUCGACGGGGAUGCUCGUUUCUGAAAUUUCUUCAUCUGGGGUUGGCGUCCACUCUGCUACGAACUCUGCCAAUGCUCUUCUUUGGAUAGUUGAGGUGCUCUCAAAUUUGAGGCCAAAGCUUGACGGUUCCAGCACCCACUCGACAAUCCUGCCCGUUGCUUCUGGAUUUUGCAGUAUCCUCUUCAGCGGAAAGCGAGUGACGACUGUGAUCUCAUGUGCUUGGAAGUAAUGGCGCAGCUUUCUCGAGGCCAUGAGGAGGCCGAAAAGCAACUUCUGUACACCAGAGUACCUUGAUCUAGCCCCCUGCAGAAGAGAACUGACAAAGUAAACUGGGCGCUGCACCAUUCUCCUUGGCAUCUCAUCAUGCUCCUGCGCAAACCCAUGUUUGUCAGGACCAGAGCUUGUCGGCGAAGCCCCCUGCUUGUCGCUGGAUGGAUCUGCCAUGGUUGCUGGAUCAUCAUCCGCCUCCCUCUCCGCCACUAACGCAGCACUAACCACUUGAUUGGUUGCUGCUAUAUACAGCAGCAACUUCUCUUGCGGCUUAGGUGCGACAAGCGUUGGAGUGGAGGACAGGUAUCUCUUCAAGUCCUGCAGCGCGGCCUCCGCUUCCGGAGUCCAUUUCAUUGGACCUGCCUUUUUCAAAAUUUUGAAAAAUGGCAGGGCGCGCUCAGCAGAUCUAGAGAUAAACCUGCUGAGAGCAGCCACGCAACCGGCAAGCCUCCGUACAUCCUUGACGCGUUUUGGUGCUUCGAUCUGCUCGAUGGCUUUGAUCUUGUCGGGAUUGGCUUCAAUUGCCCGCUGAGACACGAAGAACCCGAGAAGCUUGCCGGAAGGGACUCCAAACACGCACUUCUCGGGGUUAAGCUUGAGGUUGAUCUUGCGCAGGUUUGCAAAUGUUUCGUCUAAAUCUUGAAUCAAGGUCGCCUUGCUCUUGCUCUUGACCACUAUGUCAUCCAUGUAAGCUUCCACAUUUCUGUGUAUUUGUGGCUCAAAAGCAUGGUGAACUACCCUUGCGAAUGUUGAACCAGCAUUCUUCAAACCAAAAGGCAUCUGUACGAAGCAGUACGUGCCACACGGGGUGAUAAAUGCGGUUUUCUCUUCAUCUUCGGCCAUGAAGAUCUGAUGAUAUCCUGAGUAUGCAUCAAGAAACGAAAGCAAAUCACAUCCGGCUAUGGAGUCAACAAUCUGGUCAAUACGCGGCAAGGGAAAUGGGUCUUUGGGACAAGCUUUAUUAACAUCGGUGAAGUCAAUACAAAGUCUCCAUUUCCCAUUAGCCUUGCGCACAACAACAGGAUUGGCCAACCACGUGGGAUGGAGUACUCCUCUGACAAGGCAUGCUGCUUCCAACUUCUUGAUUUCUUCUGCGAUGAAUUCUUGGCGCUCUACUGCCUGCUUCCUGACUCUCUGCUUGGCGGGCCGCGCAUGAGGACAGACGGCAAGGUGGUGCUCAAUCACUUUCCUGGGAACACCGGGGAUAUCAGACGGUUGCCACGCAAACACGUCGACAUUCGCCCGCAGGAAAGCAACGAGCGCGCUUUCCUAUUUGGGGUCAAGAGUGGCGCUGAUGGUGAAGGUACCACCAGUGCCAUCCUCCUUGGCGAACACCUUAUUAGUCUCAGGUGGAGCUGCCAUUGCCUUCUUACACUUGCCGGUGGAGCUUGAUGGUGCGCCCUCGACGGUAGCGCAGCACUCCGAGGAGGUGCGCUUGCCGGAGUAGGCAUCAGAGCUCUUGCCGGACUUGGUCUUCUUCUUCCCCUCGGGAGCUUCAGCGGCAAGUGUCCUUCGUUCUACUGCGGCUGCUGCUUCCCGGUAGAUCUUGUCGGCACAAAUAAGAGCAUCCUUCUUGUCGCCAGGGACAGAGAUGACACUUAUUGGGCCUGGCAUUUUCAGUACGUUGUACGCAUAGUGAGAGGCUGCCAUGAACUUGGCGAGUGCCGGACGGCCAAGGAUUCCAUUGUAAGGUAAUGGAAUGUCGGCAACGUUAAACGUGACCCUCUCAGUCCUGAAGUUCAGCUCACUGCCAAAUGUUACCGGCAACGUGAUCUUUCCCUUUGGCUUGCUCCUUCCCGGGUUGAUUCCUUGAAAUGUGCCGGUCUCUUCGAGCUCGCUGUCAGGGAUCUGGAGUUUCUGGAGCACCGCGGAGGAGAUCAGAUUCAAGCCGGCCCCGCCGUCAACUAGCAUCUUAGUGACCUUGAGGUUGCGGAUUGUUGGUGAAACCAACAUCAGCAAGCACCCGACCGUAGUUAUGCGAUCUGGGUGGUCCUCAAUAUCAAAGAUGAUAGGCGUGCCGGACCAUUUCAGAGGCUUGCGUGACUCGAUGGGUGGUUCUGCGGCAUUAACUUCCCACACCGACUGCUUGAGCUGGCAGUGUGAGGCAUGCAGAGAAGCACCACCGUCAACGCACAGGACCUCUGUGGCUUUCUGGAACUCCUGCUCAUCAAUCUCCUCAUCAUCCAUAUCUUCAUCGUCGCCGUCAUCUUCAUCGUUGUCGCGACCGCGAGGAGGUCUAUCUCCUUGCCGCUGCUUGGCCUUGCCGCGGCGUCCUCCUCGGCCGGGACGUUUCUUGACGGAUCCACCAGCUCCUUCCUGGGCCUUCUCUUUAUCGCGUCGCUCGUAUUCAGCUUUCUGUUGCUCAACAAGCUGCUCGACUCUCUUACAGUUCUGAAGAUCAUGGCCCUUGGUGCGGUGAAUCUUGCAAUACUGCUUGUUGGUGCCAUCCUACUUGUCGGCGACCGCUACCUCCGCGGCAACCUCCUUGCCGGAGUCACCAGCUUUGGCUUCCUUGGCGCUACCACCGUUGCCGGACUGCUCGACAACUAGCACUUCUUUGCCUUUCCUCCUUCUGUUGUUCCGCCGCCGGUUUUUCCUUGUUGGGGCAGCAUCUUCACUGUCAGAUCCCCCUGCUCCUACAUUUUCUCCGGGGAGUCUCCUCCCUUCCUCAGCACGCGUGCACUUGUCGUCCAGUGCAUAUAACUCGCUAACGUCCUUGAUCUUGCACAUCGCCAUUUCCUCCCGCAUCCUACGGUUCCGCACGUUCUGAUGGAACGCGCUGAUCACCGCAGCAGGGUGGACGUCUGGGAUGUUGUGCUGCACACUACUGAAUCUCUGAAUGUACUUGCGCAGGGGCUCUCCUUCCUUCUGGGCGAGCAGAUGAAGAUCACUCUCCUGGCCAUGAGGCUUGUGUCCGCCUGUAAAGGCGCCGACAAACUGGUGGCACAGAUCAGCCCAAGAGGAUAUGGAGUUGUCCGGCAGGUGCAUGAGCCAGGAUCUAACAUUGGGCUUGAGCACUAGCGGGAAGUAGUUGGAAAGGAUCUUGUCAUCUGGUCCCCCGGCAGCUUGCACCGCAAUGGUGUAGAUGCUGAGGAACUCUAACGGAUGCGUUUUGCCGUCGUACUUCUCCGGUACGUCUGGCUUAAAGUUCUUUGUACUGGGCCACUGGACUUGCCGCAGCUCACGAGUGAACGCAGGACAACCUACCGCGUAUGGCAGAUCGCCUGGUUCCCCUGGCGCAUGCAUGUCCACAGAGGGCCCAGCGCACUUGUCGGAUUGACGCCGCGCUUCUCUUCGGCGCUCGAUGCGGGUUCGAGCGUCUUCUUGUUGUCGAUCAUGAAGAACUUGGCGCUGAUCGCGACGAGCUCGUGGAUCCGACGAUGCAGUGGAGUCGCUGUCGAGGUGGAUCCGGCGAGUCGGCGAUCUUGGCCUUCGGGGCGGUGAUUGCAUGGUAGUUGCACCUCCGCCCGUUUCGUCGCCACCGGCUCGCGUCCGGCGGUCCUGCCGCGGUGGCGACGCGCUCGGACGCCGUGGAGUGUCGCCGUUGGCAUAGCCGAUGAGACUCUGAAUGGUGGCUCUCCAUUCGUCAAUCUUGUCUGACGUCAGAGGGUAAUCUAGGAGAAGUUGAGCUCGCGCCAAGGCUUCUGCUGGAGUGGUGGGUGGCAGUGGUGGAUGGCGCGAGGAACGGGACGUGCUCGAACUUCUAACUAUGUUAGAAGGAGCAGUAUCCCGUCCAGGCGACCGUGCCCCGCUCGUGCCAGCACGCUGGCGUGCAUGCUGGUCUUGAGCGCUCCGAGAUCCACCAGCUUGGUCUUGGGCUAUCAUGCGUAUGGCACUGCUAGUGCCAUGACGUUGUUGAUCUUACGCCUCCUGAGAGUGGCGUGGAACAUGUACAGUCACCGAGGUUUGUGCAGCCUUGUUCUUGGACCUGGAGGCAUCAUGGGCUUCCUCGUCGACGUCCUUUCUUCCGCCGGCGUCCAUCCCACCACUUGUUUGCUCCAACGGUGGCGGAAGUGACGUGGAUGGAGCGGCCGCCGCCGAAGUCUUCUUCUUCGGUGGCAUGUUGAUGAAGGGAGUAAGGAUCUAGCUCGUGUGAACGCCGGAUCAGGUUCACGCAAUCUCGAUGCCCCCUACCUGGAGCGCCAAAGAUGUCGGGGAAACUGAUCCUCGAACACCUAUGGGGCCGGCGGACCGGGCCCCUUUCGGUUCGGCGGGGGGCGGAGAUCGCACGAAGAGCAGAUCGAGGCGAGGCACACGAGCAGUUUACCCAGCUUCGGAGCUCUCCGAAGAGAUAACACUCCUACUGCUGCUUGUCUGGUUGUAUUAUCUUGUGUUCUUGCUCUCCAAAGUGAGAGUGUGAUGUUCUCUAGGCUACGGAUGGAUCGAAGCAAACUGUCUGAGGCUCCGAACCUAUGAGCCCCAACCCCCUCUACGUUGUGCAUGGGCCUCCUUUUAUACGCUAAAGGGGUCACCGACAGGUGGCAACGCAGAGGAGGGUAAAAACGUAAAAAGCGAGGUAGUUGAUACAGUUGCUUGCACAGUGCACCCUACCUAACCCUGACGGCAGGGGACAAGGGCAUUAAAUGCCCGUCUGAGUCGCCCGAACAGUGUAGAAAAGGACCGUUAGGGGCGCCAUCGUUCGCCACGAUGGUGAUCUUGUCAGCUUCGCAUGCCAUUGCGCACCGCUGGCUGCACAGCCUCCCGCCACGCACGCCCGGAGAGGCCCCCAGAGCGACACGUUGGUGGAUGCGCUGGAGCGUGGACGCAGAGUGGCCGCCUGACGCGGCAAGCGCCUUGCGGCUGUUGUUAUCUUGUCGGGUCCGGAAGCUUGUCGCUCACCGGGCUUCGAGGUACCUUGGUUUGUCUUCCCGGCAAGCUCCUCUUGCCGGGGCCUUGUUGCCUUGCCAGAGCGCGUGGCGCGUCACGGCAAGUUCAUUGGAGCGCCUUGGUUGGCCUUCCCGGCAAGCUCCUCUUGUCGGGGUCUUGUCUCCUUAGCUUAAAUACUUUGUUCUUGGAUGGCUCCAAGGGAACCUUGGGGGAUCUUGGCGAUCACCCGACAAGCCUUUGCCGCGGGGUGCUGCAACUGCCCGUGCACAAGUUCGGGGUACUAGGGUACCCCUAAUCUAGUACACUGACAACGAUCAGAUCGCAGAAACUUUAUUUUCUUGUUAUGAUGAUUUUCUACUUCACUCUGAAAUUCUUUGAACCUUUCAACUAUUUCAGACUUACGUUUCAUCAAGUAGAUAUACCCAUAUCUGUUCAAAUCAUCUGUGAAGGUGAGAAAAUAACGAUACCCGCCACGAGCCUUAAUACUCAUUGGUCUGCAUACAUCAGUAUGUAUUAUUUCCAAUAAGUUAGUAGCUCGUUCCAUUGUUCCAGAGAACGGAGUUUUAGUCAUCUUGCCCAUAAGGCACGGUUCACAAGCAUCAAAUGAUUCAUAAUCAAGUGAUUCCAAAAGUCCAUUUUUAUGGAGUUUCUUCAUGUGCUUUACACCGACAUGACCCAAACGGCAGUGCCAUAAAUAUGUUGCACUAUCAUUAUCAACUUUGCAUCUUUUGGCAUCAAUAUUAUAAAUAUGUGUAUCACUACGAUCGAGAUCCAACAAACUAUUUUCAUUGGGUGUAUGACCAUUGAGGGUUUUAUUCAUGUAAACAGAACAACAAUUAUUCUCUGACUUUAAAUGAAUAACCGUUUUGCAAUAAACAUGAUCAAAUCAUAUUCAUGCUCAACACAAACGCCAAGUAACAUUUAUUUAGGUUUAACACUAAUCCCGAAAGUAUAGGGAGUGUGCGAUGAUGAUCAUAUCAAUCUUGGAACCACUUCCAACACACAUCAUUACUUCACCCUCAACUAGUCUCUGUUUAUUUUGUAACUCCUGUUUUGAGUUACUAAUUUUUAGCAAUCGAACAAGUAUGAAAUACUUAGGGGCUACUAUAAACACUAGUAAGGUACACAUCAAUAACCUGUAUAUCAAAUAUACCCUUGUUCACUUUGCCAUCCUUCUUAUCCACCAAAUAUUCAGGGCAUUUCCGCUUCCAGUGACCAUUUCCUUUGCAGUGUAAGCACUGAGUUUCAGGCUUAGGUCCAGCUUUGGGCUUCUUCGUGGGAGUGACAACUUGCUUGUCAUUCUACUUGAAGUUCCCUUUCUUUCCCUUUGCUCUUUUCUUGAAACUAGUGGUCUUGUCAAUCAUCAACACUUGAUGCUCUUUCUUGAUUUCUACCUUCGUCGAUUUCAAUAUCACGAAGAGCUCGGGAAUCGUUUUCGUCAUGCCUUUCAUACUAUAGUUCAUCACGAAGUUCCAGUAACUCGGUGAUGGUGACUAGAGAACUCUGUCAAUCACUAUCUUAUCUGGAAGAUUAACUCCCACUUGAUUCAAGCGAUUGUAGUACCCAGACAAUCUGAGCACAUGCUCACUAGUUGAGCAAUUCUCCUCCAUCUUUUAGCUAUAGAACUUGUUGGAGACUUCAUAUCUCUCAACUCGGGUAUUUGCUUGAAAUAUUAACUUCAACUCCUAGAACAUCUCAUAUGGUCCAUGACGUUCAAAAAUGUCUUUGAAGUCCCGAUUCUAAGCCAUUAAGCAUGGUGCACUAAACUAUCAAGUAGUCAUCAUAUUGAGCUAGCCAAACGUUCAUAACGUCUGCAUCUGCUCCUGCAAUAGGUCUGUCACCUAGCGGUGCAUCAAGGACAUAAUUCUUCUAUGUAGCAAUGAGGACAAUCCUCAGAUUAUGGAUCCAAUCCACAUCAUUGCUACUAACAUCUUUCAACACAGUUUUCUCUAGGAACAUAUCAAAAUUAACAUAUGAAAACAACAACGCGAGCUAUUGAUCUACAACAUAAUUUGCAAAAUACUACCAGGACUAAGUUCAUGAUAAAUUUAAGUUCAAUUAAUCAUAUUACUUAAGGACUCCCACUUAGAUAGACAUCCCUCUAGUCAUCUAAGUGAUCACGUGAUCCAAAUCAACUAAAUCAUAACCGAUCAUCACGUGAGAUGGAGUAGUUUUCAAUGGUGAACAUCAAAAUGUUGAUCAUAUCUACUAUAUGAUUCCCGCUCAACCUUUCCGAGGCCAUAUCUGCAUAUGCUAGGCUCGUCAAGUUUAACCUGAGUAUUCCGCGUGUGCAAAACUGGCUUGCACCUGUUGUAGAUGGACGUAGAGCUUAUCACACCCGAUCAUCACGUGGUGUCUGGGCACGACAAACUUUGGCAACGGUUCAUACUCAGGGAGAACACUUUUAUCUUGAAAUUUAGUGAGAGAUCAAUGCUACCGUCAAUCAAAACAAAAUAAGAUGUAUAAAAGAUAAACAUUAUAUGCAAUCAAAAAUAUGUGACAUGAUAUGGCCAUCAUCAUCUUGUGCCUUUGAUCUCCAUCUCCAAAGCAUCGUCAUGAUCUCCAUCGUCACCGGCAUGACACCAUGAUCUCCAUCAUCUUGAUCUAUAUCAAUGUGUCGUCACAUGGUCGUCUCGCCAACUAUUUCUCUUGCAACUAUUGCUAUCGCAUAGCGAUAAAGUAAAGCAAUUAUUUGGCGCUUGCAUCUUAUGCAAUAAAGAGACAACCAUAAGGCUUCUGCCAGUUGCCGAUAACUUCAACAAAACAUGAUCAUCUCAUACAACAACUUAUAUCUCAUCAUGUCUUGACCAUAUCACAUCACAACAUGCCCUGCAAAAAAAAGUUAGACGUCCUCUACUUUGUUGUUGCAAGUUUUACGUGGCUGCUACGGGCUGAGCAAGAACCGUUCUUACCUACGCAUCAAAACCACAAAGAUAGUUCGUCAAGUUAGUGUUGUUUUAACCUUCUCAAGGACCGGGCAUAACCACACUCGGUUCAAGUAAAGUUGGAGAAACUGACACCCGCCAGCCACCUGUGUGCAAAGCACAUCGGUAGAACCAGUCUCGCAUAAGCGUACGCAUAAUGUCGGCCAGGCCGCUUCAUCCAACAAUACCGCCGAACCAAAGUAUGACAUCCUGGUAAGCAGUAUGACUUGUAUCACCCACAACUCACUUGUGUUCUACUAGUGCAUAUAACAUCAACGCAUAAAACCUAGGCUCGGAUGCCACUUUUGGGGAAUCGUAGUAAUUUCAAAAAAAAUCCUACGCACACGCAAGAUCAUGGUGAUGCAUAGCAACGAGAGGGGAGAGUGUGUCCGCGUACCCUCGUAGACCGAAAGCGGAAGCGUUAGCACAACGCAGUUGAUGUAGUCGUACAUCUUCACGGUCCGACCGAUCAAGCACUUAAAGCACGGCACCUCCGAGUUCUUGCACACGUUCAGCUCUAUGACGUCCCUCGAACUCCUAUCCAUCCAAGCUUUGAGGGAGAGUUCCUUCAGCACAACAGCAUGGUGACGAUGAUGAUGUUCUACCAUCGCAGGGCUUCGCCUAAGCACCGCUACGAUAUUAUCGAGGAGGACUAUGGUGGAGGGGGGCACCACACACGGCUAAGAGAUCAAUGAUGAAUUGUUGUGUCUAUGGGGUACCCCCUCCGCCGUAUAUAAAGAAGUGGAGGAGGGGGCCGUCCAAGGGGGGUGGCGCGCCCUAGGGGGGAGUCCAACUCCCACCGGGAAUAGGACUCCCCCUUUUCCUAUUAGGAGAGGGAGAGGGAAGGAAGAGGAAGGAGGGAGGAAGGAAAGGGGGGGCCGACCCCCUUCCCAAUUCGGAUUGGGCUUGGGGGGCGCGCCCCCUCCCUUGCUCCUUUCCCCUCCUUUCCACUAAGGCCCAAUAAGGCCCAUAUACCUCCCGGGGGGUUCCGGUAACCUCCUGGAGCUCCGGUAUUGUCCCAAUCUCACCCGGAACCUUUCCGGUGUCCAAAUAUAAUCGUCCAAUAUAUCGAUCUUCAUGUCUCAACCAUUUCGAGACUCCUUGUCAUGUCCUUGAUCACAUCCUGGACUCCGAACAACCUUCGGUACAUUGAAACACAUAAACUCAUAAUAUAAUUGUCAUCUUACUUUAAGCGUGCGGACCCUGCGGGUUCGAGAACUAUUUAGACAUGACCGAGAUACGUCUCCGGUCAAUAACCAAUAGAGGAACCUGGAUGCUCAUAUUGGCUCCUACAUAUUCUAUGAAGAUCUUUAUCGGUCAAACCGCAUAACAACAUACGUUGUUCCCUUUGUCAUCGGUAUGUUACUUGCCCGAGAUUCGAUCGUCGGUAUCUCAAUACCUAGUUCAAUAUCGUUACCGGCAAGUCUCUUUACUUGUUACGUAAUGCAUCAUCUCGUAACUAACUCAUUGGCUAUAUUGCCUGCAAGGCUUACAGUGAUGUGCAUUACUGAGAGGGCCCAAAGAUACCUCUCCGACAAUCAGAGUGACAAAUCCUAAUCUCGAAAUACAUCAACUCAACAUGUACCUUCAGAGACACCUAUAUAGCACCUUUAUAAUCACCCAGUUACGUUGUGACGUUUGGUAGCUGUAACAUCCCAAUUUUUAUUAAAUUCGGAUGUUAAUAGAAUCAUUCAAUGCAUAUCAUAUUUCUUUGCAUUUUGGAGUUUUAAAAAAAAUAUUCAAAUAAUAUUUUCCACUCGAGAAAAACAAAUGAGAGGGGAUAAGAUGACUUCCUCAAAAUAUAAAAGGGUGGGAAAUUUUAUUUUGAAUAUUAUUUGAAGUUUUGGAGUUUAUUUGGUAUUUUUUUUAUCUGCAAAAAAUGCAUUAAUUGCAUUAGGAAAUAUUUUCAAAAUGUUCCGUGCUUAAGUUAAUGUUCAUUAGGCUUUAAAUAUUGCAUAGUUAUUUUAUAAAUUUUGUGGUGUUUUAUUAAUUCUUUUGAAUUAAUUAUGACCACUUUAGUGUUCUGUUUAAAAAAAAACACACGCACACANNNNNNNNNNNNNNNNNNNNNNNNNNNNNNNNNNNNNNNNNNNNNNNNNNNNNNNNNNNNNNNNNNNNNNNNNNNNNNNNNNNNNNNNNNNNNNNNNNNNNNNNNNNNNNNNNNNNNNNNNNNNNNNNNNNNNNNNNNNNNNNNNNNNNNNNNNNNNNNNNNNNNNNNNNNNNNNNNNNNNNNNNNNNNNNNNNNNNNNNNNNNNNNNNNNNNNNNNNNNNNNNNNNNNNNNNNNNNNNNNNNNNNNNNNNNNNNNNNNNNNNNNNNNNNNNNNNNNNNNNNNNNNNNNNNNNNNNNNNNNNNNNNNNNNNNNNNNNNNNNNNNNNNNNNNNNNNNNNNNNNNNNNNNNNNNNNNNNNNNNNNNNNNNNNNNNNNNNNNNNNNNNNNNNNNNNNNNNNNNNNNNNNNNNNNNNNNNNNNNNNNNNNNNNNNNNNNNNNNNNNNNNNNNNNNNNNNNNNNNNNNNNNNNNNNNNNNNNNNNNNNNNNNNNNNNNNNNNNNNNNNNNNNNNNNNNNNNNNCUCGCCUCCUCUCACUGCCGCUGCCAGGCGGGCCCCGCUCGUCAGCUCGUCCCCAACCUCCCGCUUCUCCCGCAGGAUGAGCACGCGCACGCACUCCCGAACCCGCCGGCCGAAGCUCUCGGGAUAGAGCUUAUCCCGCUGCUCCCCGACGCCCUCCCCUCGCCUAUAUAAAGGCCAAGACCCCCUCUUCCAUCCUCGCCGACCCGCACCUUCCCACGCCGCCCCUACCGCUCGUCGUCGCCGUUCGCAUCUCGCCGGAGCUCCGAGCCCCGCCGUCCUCGCCCCGCCCCGUCCGGACGUCGCCGACGCACGCCGCCACCACCUUCGCGACGCCCUCGACGCGCCGCACCUCCCCAUCUUCUUCCCCGACGCCGAGGACCGCCGUAGCCGCCGCCCCCUCCGUCACCGACGCCGCGCCGCCAUUUUCAUCGUCGCCGGCCACCACCACCACCCACUGUAAGCCGCCGCCCCACCCUCGCCCGUUAGAUCGGACCCCAACGGUCCAGAUUAGAUUAGGUUCGGUUUUUUUUUAUUUUGCGAAGAGGUACGCGGUUAACCGCGGUUCCCUUAGACCGGCCGGUUUUAUUUAAACCGAGCGUCGGUUUUUCUUUAGUUAGCCGCCGCCACUGUUUUCCUUAUUUAGCGGCCGUUCGCCGUAUAACCUCCGCAGCGGACGCUGCUCGGCCAGCCACGAGCCACCACGUGGCCAGGGACUUGUUUGCGAUAGUUUUCUUCUCUGUUUAGUCCCUGUAAUUAGCAGAUUAGUCCCUAAACUUCGCGUAGCCACAACUUUUUAACCGUAGAUCCAAACUCGAUGAAACCAGCGGCAAAUUCUUCGUAUUGUUUAGCUCUAUCCAGUGGUAUCCUUUUUGCAAACUUUUGACAGAUUCAAAUUUGAAUUUAUUCAGAUUUGAAUUCGAACUUCAAAUGGCCAUAUCUCCCAAACCGUAGCUUCGAUUAAGUUGAUUCUUUUUGCACUUUGUCACCGUAGCCAAACCCUAUCACCUGGACCUUUGUCACAAUACUUUUCACACACUAGAAUCUGCCCAUUAAUAUUUUACUAGUAAGCAUAGUACGCACUAUAGUUCACAUCACUCUUUGAACCAUAGGCCUAUGUUGUUUUGCAUCUAGAAAUAUUUUUCAUGCUAGUUAAGUGUGAUGUUUGUUCUUUUGGUUUUUCUGAGACUUUUGCUUUGCAUGUUCUUCUUGGUUCUCUUGAAUGUUUGUUUAUGUUUGUUUAUCUCCUUUGCGAUAGAUUGCCCGGAGUGCGAAGCAGAAUAUUUUCAGUCUUUAGAGUUCAACCAGCAGUACCAAGGCAAGUUGCAUCUUGAUCAUGUUUCCUUACCUAUGUCUUUUAUGCACUUAGUUCUUUGCGGUAGGACUGCAUGGUAGGAAUUGAUGCCGCAUGACUAUGCUUUUCACCCAGUAGUUCAUUGAGGUAGGUCUGAACCAUAUGACAUUGUCGCCAUCGUUUUACAUUAUGUUGCCUCGCUAAGUAGACGUGGAUUGGGGAGUGAACAUUGUAAAGUAUGAGUAACAAUGUAGUAAGUAGGACCUAAGAUAAUUAAUGAACUACCUGGGCGGAAACUUGAUGGAAUGGUGGCGAAGUACAGUGGGGCACGCAUGGGAAAUCCAUGGUGGUGCACCACUAGUGGACCGUCCGCUCAGGCUCAAAGAGAUCAAUCGUAUUCUCAUGUCUAGAAGCUUACGUGUGCAGCCACAAGCCAAUAUGGGCUCUGGCUUAGUUGAGUAGUUAGUGUGACUCCUUCCGGGAUGGGCUAGCAGAUGUAGAAGGAUGUAGGUGUACCGGCCUAUCCGUGGGUUAAGGGGAAGCAUUUUCGAAAGACUAUGUCUCGAUCUUCCGAUCAUGGAGGUGGUCGAGUCUUGUGGGGAAAAGUGCGCAACCUCUGCAGAGUGUCAACCUAAUCGAUUAGCCGUGUCCCCGGUUACGGACAUCUUGAGCAUCUAGUAGUGAAAAUGCUGGGAGAUCUCCUCACCUUUAAUUAAACAGUUGGGAUUUAAAUGAAACUUGGGAACGGAUGGAGUUGGGUUUGCCAACUCAUCCUAUGCAAAUGUGUAGUAGUAGAAUAACAUCUUUUCUAAUAGGGAAAAACUAGCUUUAUGCAAAAAUUAAACUUAGAGCUUUCCACCAGCCAAAUUGCAUGUACAAGUAGGUUCAUUACACUUAUGAUGUGACUUGCCAGUACAUUCAAUGUACUGACCUAUAUGGCUGCAACUUAUCACGUUGCAGAUAUAUCCGACGAGGAUUAAGGUGCGAUAGGUCGAUGUUCUACACUCAGCCUUGCUCGUGGAGUUGGACUCAUUUACUACUUUGCUUCCGCAGUAUUUGCUUAUUGGCUCUAUGCCCUAUUUGGUAAUAAAUGUAUUGCUCCUGGACUAUCGAUGUAAUAAAGAGAUGUGUGUUAUUUCUGUUAUUUCAUCGAGUACUGUGUGUGCUAGCAAGUCGAUCCAGGGACUAGCACGGUAAGCACAGAGACUUCGACUCUUACCGAGUCGGGUCGCUACAAGAUGGUAUCAGAGCACACGUUGACUGUAGGACGCGACCCCUAGAAAAUGGAAAAGCCAUAGGAUAAAACUUUAUUUUUCACUUUCUCUAUAUAUCCUUUGGUCUCGUACCUUCUUUACUUCUGUACUAAUUUCUUCCCUCUUUCAAAAUUUAGAUGUCGUCCGCCAUUGUCGAGUUUGAGCAGCCCGAUGAGACCAUGCCUUUUGGACGGCAGCUGGUGAAGAUCGUGAAGCACCUGAAGAUUGGGCUUCCCACAUUCACUGGAACCUUCACCGCCACCCUGCCCGAGGAGACAUGUUGGAGGAUCGAUGCCCAUAUCCCUGGACGCAUCCUCGGAAACCGCACCAAGCCCAUUGAUUUCCAUGUGGAUACUGCAACAUGGGGCUUGGGCAGGGGCAUCGCUGCUCACAUUGCUCUCGGACGCAUUCGGGAGGAGUAUGACGAAGACCUCAAGAGGACCUCCUUCGUGAUGUACGGACGCCGUGACGCAAAAGGAGAUGUGGUGCGUACCCUGGAGGACGAGACGAUAGCAUCCCAUAUUCAGGACAUGGAGGAUCACAUUCGUAUGAUGGAGCUGGAGCUGUCUGACAACAUGAUCGUCAUCAAGAACCUCAUGACUCGCAAGGCCGAUCUCGAGGAGGAACUCCAAGACGCUCGCAUCGAGCAUGAGGGAGAGCUGGACGCACUAGAGGAGAAGAUCGACGAUCUGAAGCUUGAGCUUGAGGAGGCCAAGGAGAAGCUGGAUGAGGGAGAAAACAUUCAGGAGGAUCACUCGUAUGGUGCCUAUGUCAGCCAGGACAAGGACCAGGGUGAUGAGCUUAGAGAUGAUGACACCGACAGUGAUGCAAGAACACCUGAUGUCAACAUGGUUGACUGGUCUUCAUCCGACGAGAGUUAGAUUUUAUACCACCAUGAGAGUUGGAAAUUUGGUUUCGUUAUCCGAUUAGUUUUAUUUCAUUUGUGAGACCUUGUCAAAUCUUGUGACAUGGCUUACCUUAGGUUUGAUUGUUCAUGUGAACCCCUUUGAGUGAAAUUGAAUUGGAGUGAUUUGAAGUUUUAUUGCUAUCAUGUGCAUAUGGGUAGUAUGAUUUUACUCCCUAGGCCUUAUUCUAUUCUGACUUCUCAUCCACUCUAAACCCAUCAGAUGCCUUCAAGACGUGACCCCGAAUUCAACUUUCCGCCGGGGCUCACGCAAUUGAUCCAGCAGCAGAAUGCUCUUAUGCAGAUGCUCAUUCAGAACCAGAACCAGAACAACAACAACCCACCGCCGCCACCCCCAGUUGAUAGUCUUACCCGUUUUCUGAGGCUGAAACCACCCGUGUUCUCCAGCAGCACGGAGCCAAUCAUCGCAGAUGACUGGCUCCGCAAGAUAGGAAGGGAGCUAGCCACGGUGGGAUGCAAUGAUGCUGAGAAGGUGAAGUUUGCCGCCCAUCAGCUGGAUGGCCCGGCCGCUGCUUGGUGGGAGAACUACACCACCACAUACCCCUUGGAGAAUGUGACUUGGACUCAGUUCCAGCAGGCAUUCCGCACUGCUCAUGUCUCAGCUGGAGCCAUGAGUCUGAAGAAGAAGGAGUUCCGCAGCUUGCGCCAGGGAGGACGCACGGUAUCCCAGUAUGCUGAUGAGUUCAGUAAGUUGGCCCGUUAUGCACCAGGGGACGUGGCCACUGAUGCAGCCAAGCAGGAGAAGUUUCUGGAGGGACUAAACGAUGAGUUGGGAGUUCAGUUGGCUGUGGUGACCUUUGCGAACUAUCAGGAGUUGGUUGAUAAGGCUACCAUUCUCGAGGGCAAGCACCAGCAGAUGGAGAAUCGUAAGAGAAAGUACGGUCAUGGGAAGUAUAACUCUGGAGUUCAACAAAAACCCCGCUAUAGCCCGUACUCAGGAAGUUCUGGAUCAGGAACUAGCAAGUUUGGAGGGAAUCAUCAUAACCAUGGAGGCCACAUUCAGCAUGGAGGAAAUGGACACAACCACCAUGGUCACAAGCAUGGAAAUGGCAAUGGAGGGAAUGGCAACCAGCAGCAUUUCAACUCUUCUACACCAAUGAAGAAAGAUCUGAGUCACAUCACUUGCUUCAAAUGCAAGAAGACAGGGCACUACUCCAAUGAGUGUCCUGAGGCGCAGAAUGGAAAUGGAAAUGGCAAUGGGAAUUCUGGAGGCAAGAAGCCUAAUCCUUUCACUAAGGGGCAUGUGAAUCAUGUCAAUGUGGAAGAGGUCUAUGAACAGCCUGACGCAGUGAUUGGUAAGUUCUUGGUUAAUUUAUUUCCAACACUCAUUCUUUUUGACACUGGUGCAUCGCAUUCAUUCAUAUCGAGGGGAUUCGUGGAUAGACAUAAGUUGCCUACCAUAGCUCUUAAGGCACCCAUUCUAGUGAGUUCCCCAGGAGCCGAGUCUAUGGCUAGUCAGGGAUGUUUCCAGUUGCCUUUGAACAUAGGGGGACAUGUUUUCCCUACGGAUAUGAUCAUACUAGAGUCACAAGGGUUGGAUGUAAUCCUAGGGAUGGAUUGGAUGUCCAAGUAUGAGGGGACCAUCGAUUGUGCUAGUAGAUCGAUUUUUCUCACCACCCCAGAGAAGAAGAGGAUCAAGUAUGUAUCCAGGCUUAAGCCUAAGAGGACUCAGGUGAACUCUCUUACGGGGGUUGUCCAGGAAGAAGUACCAGUGGUGAAGGAUUAUCUCGAUGUAUUUCCAGAGGAGUUACCAGGUAUGCCGCCAGAUCGGGAGAUUGAGUUUUUGAUUGAGUUGCUGCCAGGUACAGGACCUAUCUCCAAGAGGCCGUAUCGGAUGCCCGCUAAUGAUUUGGAGGAAGUCAAGAAACAGAUUAAGGAGUUGCUAGAGAAAGGGUAUAUUCGCCCGAGUUCAUCACCUUGGGGAGCCCCAGUACUCUUAGUAGAGAAGAAGGAUGGAACCUUGAGGAUGUGUGUGGAUUACCGCUCUUUGAACGAAGUGACCAUCAAGAACAAGUAUCCCCUACCGAUGAUCAAUGACUUGUUUGACCAGCUAGAAGGAGCUAGUGUUUUCUCCAAGAUUGAUCUUCGAUCGGGUUAUCACCAAUUGAAGAUCCGUGAGAAGGAUAUACCCAAGACAGCUUUUACCACAAGGUAUGGGCUUUAUGAGUAUACAGUCAUGUCCUUUGGUUUGACUAAUGCCCCUGCCUAUUUUAUGAGCAUGAUGAACAAGGUGUUCAUGGAGUUCUUGGAUAAGUUCGUUGUGGUAUUCAUUGAUGACAUAUUGGUUUUCUCCAAGAAUGAGGAGGAACACGCUGAACAUCUGCGCUUGGUUCUGGAGAAGCUCAGAGAACAUCAACUUUAUGCCAAGUUCAGCAAGUGUGAGUUUUGGCUCAAGGAAGUCGGAUUCCUUAGACAUGUUGUGUCAGGUGAAGGGAUUGCAGUGGACCCUACCAAGGUAGAGUCAGUCACCGAAUGGAAUGCACCCACCACAGUUGGCGAGAUUCGCAAUUUCCUUGGACUUGCAGGAUAUUACCGGAGAUUUAUUGAAAAUUUCUCUAAGAUUGCAAGGCCCAUGACAACGUUGUUGAAGAAGGACACCAAGUACGUUUGGACUGAAGAGUGUGAAGCCAGCUUUCAAGAGUUGAAGAAGCGUUUGGUUACAGCCCCAGUGCUAAUCCUACCUGACGUACACAAGGACUUUCAGGUGUAUUGUGAUGCUUCACGUCAGGGACUUGGAGGUGUUCUUAUGUAGGAGGGAAAAGUUGUAGCUUAUGCUUCACGACAGCUUCGACCUCAUGAGUUGAACUAUGCCACGCAUGACUUGGAGUUAGCAGCCGUUGUGCAUGCACUCAAGACAUGGAGACACUAUCUUAUUGGGAAUCGUUGUGAUGUUUACACGGAUCACAAGAGUUUGAAGUACAUUUUCACGCAGAAGGAGUUGAAUCUCAGGCAAAGGAGAUGGUUGGAACUUAUAAAGGAUUAUGACAUGAGUCUGCAUUAUCAUCCAGGAAAAGCCAAUGUUGUGGCGGAUGCUUUGAGCCGUAAGAGUUACGUUAACACCCUUACAGCAGGAGAUUUACCUCAGGAGUUAUGUGAUGAGCUUAGAGACCUUCAGUUAGAAAUAGUUCCAAGAGGUUAUGUUGCCGCACUCGAGGUACAGUCCACCUUGUUGGGAAGAAUCAGAGAAACCCAGAAGUUGGACCAAGGUAUUGCUGAGAUAAAGGAAAUGAUGAGAAAAGGGAAAGCAAAAGGAUUCCGUGAGGAUGAAAAUGGAACCAUAUGGUUUGAGCAACGGAUUUGUGUACCCAAUGAUCCAGAGAUCAGGAAGUUGAUUCUUCAGGAGGCUCAUGACUCACCAUAUUCGAUACACCCAGGCAACACCAAGAUGUAUUUGGACUUGAAGGAAAGUUUUUGGUGGGCCGGUAUGAAGAGAGAGAUUGCCGAGUAUGUGGCAAUAUGUGAUGUAUGUCAGAGAGUAAAGGCAGAGCAUCAGAAACCAGCAGGUUUACUUCAGCCGUUGCCAAUACCUGAUUGGAAAUGGGAUAAACUUGGUAUGGACUUUAUCACGGGGUUACCCAGGACCCGUUCAGGUUAUGAUUCCAUUUGGGUGAUAGUGGAUCGUUUGACCAAGGUUGCUCACUUCAUUCCAGUGAAGACCACCUAUACAAGUGCUAAGCUGGCAAAGAUAUAUAUGACCAGGAUUGUAUGUCUGCAUGGAGUUCCGAGGAGCAUCGUAUCAGAUAGAGGAACACAGUUUACCUCAAAGUUUUGGAAUCAGUUGCAUGAAACUUUGGGUACCAGGCUAGAGUUUAGUACAGCCUUCCAUCCACAGACUGAUGGGCAGACAGAGAGAGUCAAUCAGAUUCUGGAGGACAUGCUGAGAGCUUGUGCGCUAGACUAUGGGUCUAGUUGGGAUGAUAACUUACCCUACGCAGAGUUCUCGUACAACAACAGCUACCAAGCCAGUUUGCAGAUGGCCCCUUUCGAGGCAUUGUAUGGCAGGAAAUGCAGGACACCUUUGAUGUGGAAUGGAGUUGGAGAUCGCAAAUUAUUUGGACCUGAUUUGAUCAGGGAUUCAGAGGAGAAGGUCAAGUUGAUUCGUGACAGACUUAAGAUAGCCCAGUCAAGGCAGAAAAGUUAUGCUGAUGCUAAACGCAAGGAAGUGAUCUAUGAACUGGGAGAUAGAGCAUAUCUUCGAGUGUCUCCACUUCGAGGUAUUAAGAGAUUUGGAGUCAAAGGAAAGUUAGCACCACGAUUUGUGGGACCAUAUAGAGUUCUGGAACGCAGAGGAGAGGUUGCAUACCAGUUGGAAUUACCAGAGGCUUUGACAGGAGUUCAUGAUGUGUUCCAUGUUUCCCAGCUGAAGAAGUGUCAUGCAGAGAUGGCGGAUAUUCCUUUGAGAGAUACAGUGCCACUCGAGGCAAUUCAGUUAGAGAGCGAUCUGACUUAUGAGGAGAAGCCUAUUAAGAUUCUUGAGACUGCAGAGAGGAUCACUCGAACCAAGAGCAUCAGGUUCUGCAAAGUUCAGUGGAGUCACCACACCGAGGAGGAAGCUACCUGGGAAAGAGAAGAAGAUCUCAGGCAGGACCAUCCACACCUUUUUGCUGGCCAACCCGAAUCUCGAGGACGAGAUUCAUCUUAAGGGGGGUAGGUUUGUAACAUCCCAAUUUUUAUUAAAUUCGGAUGUUAAUAGAAUCAUUCAAUGCAUAUCAUAUUUCUUUGCAUUUUGGAGUUUUAAAAAAAAAUAUUCAAAUAAUAUUUUCCACUCGAGAAAAACAAAUGAGAGGGGAUAAGAUGACUUCCUCAAAAUAUAAAAGGGUGGGAAAUUUUAUUUUGAAUAUUAUUUGAAGUUUUGGAGUUUAUUUGGUAAUUUUUUUUAUCUGCAAAAAAUGCAUUAAUUGCAUUAGGAAAUAUUUUCAAAAUGUUCCGUGCUUAAGUUAAUGUUCAUUAGGCUUUAAAUAUUGCAUAGUUAUUUUAUAAAUUUUGUGGUGUUUUAUUAAUUCUUUUGAAUUAAUUAUGACCACUUUAGUGUUCUGUUUAAAAAAAAACACACGCACACACUCACCGCAGCCUGGACCGAAACUGGGUUCGGCCUAGGAGCGCCCCAACCGGCCCAGCUGGCCAUUUGGCUCAAGGCCAGCGCCCCAAAGCCCGCGCGCCAGAAACCCNNNNNNNNNNNNNNNNNNNNNNNNNNNNNNNNNNNNNNNNNNNNNNNNNNNNNNNNNNNNNNNNNNNNNNNNNNNNNNNNNNNNNNNNNNNCAGUCGACCGCUCCGCGCCGCCCUCGCUCGCCUCCUCUCACUGCCGCUGCCAGGCGGGCCCCGCUCGUCAGCUCGUCCCCAACCUCCCGCUUCUCCCGCAGGAUGAGCACGCGCACGCACUCCCGAACCCGCCGGCCGAAGCUCUCGGGAUAGAGCUUAUCCCGCUGCUCCCCGACGCCCUCCCCUCACCUAUAUAAAGGCCAAGACCCCCUCUUCCAUCCUCGCUGACCCGCACCUUCCCACGCCGCCCCUACCGCUCGUCGUCGCCGUUCGCAUCUCGCCGGAGCUCCGAGCCCCGCCGUCCUCGCCCCGCCCCGUCCGGACGUCGCCGACGCACGCCGCCACCACCUUCGCGACGCCCUCGACGCGCCGCACCUCCCCAUCUUCUUCCCCGACGCCGAGGACCGCCGUAGCCGCCGCCCCCUCCGUCACCGACGCCGCGCCGCCAUUUUCAUCGUCGCCGGCCACCACCACCACCCACUGUAAGCCGCCGCCCCACCCUCGCCCGUUAGAUCGGACCCCAACAGUCCAGAUUAGAUUAGGUUCGGUUUUUUUUUAUUUUGCGAAGAGGUACGCGGUUAACCGCGGUUCCCUUAGACCGGCCGGUUUUAUUUAAACCGAGCGUCGGUUUUUCUUUAGUUAGCCGCCGCCACUAUUUUCCUUAUUUAGCGGCCGUUCGCCGUAUAACCUCCGCAGCGGACGCUGCUCGGCCAGCCAUGAGCCACCACGUGGCCAGGGACUUGUUUGCGAUAGUUUUCUUCUCUGUUUAGUCCCUGUAAUUAGCAGAUUAGUCCCUAAACUUCGCGUAGCCACAACUUUUUAACCGUAGAUCCAAACUCGAUGAAACCAGCGGCAAAUUCUUCGUAUUGUUUAGCUCUAUCCAGUGGUAUCCUUUUUGCAAACUUUUGACAGAUUCAAAUUUGAAUUUAUUCAGAUUUGAAUUCGAACUUCAAAUGGCCAUAUCUCCCAAACCGUAGCUUCGAUUAAGUUGAUUCUUUUUGCACUUUGUCACCGUAGCCAAACCCUAUCACCUGGACCUUUGUCACAAUACUUUUCACACACUAGAAUCUGCCCAUUAAUAUUUUACUAGUAUGCAUAGUACGCACUAUAGUUCACAUCACUCUUUGAACCAUAGGCCUAUGUUGUUUUGCAUCUAGAAAUAUUUUUCAUGCUAGUUAAGUGUGAUGUUUGUUCUUCUGGUUUUUCCGAGACUUUUGCUUUGCAUGUUCUUCUUGGUUCUCUUGAAUGUUUGUUUAUGUUUGUUUAUCUCCUUUGCGAUAGAUUGCCCGGAGUGCGAAGCAGAAUAUUUUCAGUCUUUAGAGUUCAACCAGCAGUACCAAGGCAAGUUGCAUCUUGAUCAUGUUUCCUUACCUAUGUCUUUUAUGCACUUAGUUCUUUGCGGUAGGACUGCAUGGUAGGAAUUGAUGCCGCAUGACUAUGCUUUUCACCCAGUAGUUCAUUGAGGUAGGUCUGAACCAUAUGACAUUGUCGCCAUCGUUUUACAUUAUGUUGCCUCGCUAAGUAGACGUGGAUUGGGGAGUGAACAUUGUAAAGUAUGAGUAACAAUGUAGUAAGUAGGACCUAAGAUAAUUAAUGAACUACCUGGGCGGAAACUUGAUGGAAUGGUGGCGAAGUACAGUGGGGCACGCAUGGGAAAUCCAUGGUGGUGCACCACUAGUGGACCGUCCGCUCAGGCUCAAAGAGAUCAAUCGUAUUCUCAUGUCUAGAAGCUUACGUGUGCAGCCACAAGCCAAUAUGGGCUCUGGCUUAGUUGAGUAGUUAGUGUGACUCCUUCCGGGAUGGGCUAGCAGAUGUAGAAGGAUGUAGGUGUACCGGCCUAUCCGUGGGUUAAGGGGAAGCAUUUUCGAAAGACUAUGUCUCGAUCUUCCGAUCAUGGAGGUGGUCGAGUCUUGUGGGGAAAAGUGCGCAACCUCUGCAGAGUGUCAACCUAAUCGAUUAGCCGUGUCCCCGGUUACGGACAUCUUGAGCAUCUAGUAGUGAAAAUGCUGGGAGAUCUCCUCACCUUUAAUUAAACAGUUGGGAUUUAAAUGAAACUUGGGAACGGAUGGAGUUGGGUUUGCCAACUCAUCCUAUGCAAAUGUGUAGUAGUAGAAUAACAUCUUUUCUAAUAGGGAAAAACUAGCUUUAUGCAAAAAUUAAACUUAGAGCUUUCCACCAGCCAAAUUGCAUGUACAAGUAGGUUCAUUACACUUAUGAUGUGACUUGCCAGUACAUUCAAUGUACUGACCUAUAUGGCUGCAACUUAUCACGUUGCAGAUAUAUCCGACGAGGAUUAAGGUGCGAUAGGUCGAUGUUCUACACUCAGCCUUGCUCGUGGAGUUGGACUCAUUUACUACUUUGCUUCCGCAGUAUUUGCUUAUUGGCUCUAUGCCCUAUUUGGUAAUAAAUGUAUUGCUCCUGGACUAUCGAUGUAAUAAAGAGAUGUGUGUUAUUUCUGUUAUUUCAUCGAGUACUGUGUGUGCUAGCAAGUCGAUCCAGGGACUAGCACGGUAAGCACAGAGACUUCGACUCUUACCAAGUCGGGUCGCUACAGUAGCACACAAAGUGUUCCUCCGGUAAACGGGAGUUACAUAAUCUCAUAGUCAUAGGAACAUGUAUAAGUCAUGAAGAAAGCAAUAGCAACAUACUAAACAAUCAAGUGCUAAGCUAACGGAAUGGGCCAAGUCAAUCACAUCAUUCUCCUAAUGAUGUGAUCCCGUUAAUCAAAUGACAACUCCUAUCUAUGGUUAGGAAACUAAACCAUCUUUGAUUCACAAGCUAGUCAAGUAGAGGCAUACUAGUGACACUAUGUUUGUCUAUGUAUUCACACAUGUAUUAUGUUUCCGGUUAAUACAAUUCUAGCAUCAAUAAUAAACAUUUAUCAUGAAAUAAGGAAAUAAAUAAUAACUUUAUUAUUGCCUCUAGGGCAUAUUUCCUUCAGAAACUACUACCACUUGCAUACGUGGCAGACUUAAGAUAAGACUACCUUAUCAACCAUUGUACAUGCUCUUAGCAACCAACCCUACCAAGAAACGACUACUCUACAAAGUGCCGUUAUAGGCAUGUUUCAACCCAUGGCCCUGUUUGGAUACAUUUGUUGUCAAUCUAACCCUGGCAUCCAAACACCACUUUGGUUAGAGUUAGUUCAGGGUUAGAAUCUAACUCUAACCUCUGACAGGGCCCAUGUCACCCAUUAAGUCAACGCCUUCUAUUCGAUCGGGCGUUAUGACUUGUGGGACCUACAUGUCAGUCUGCACAAAAAUCCCCGAGUGACCUCCUACCUCCGGCCCACCUAGUCAUCCUCGGCCAUGGGACACAGCUACCGCCGCCGGCAGAAGGCGAGGUCAAAACCGCCGGCGGUGCGGGGCCCAUGUUGCAGCAGCCCGGAUGCCAACUCCGUCCGGCGCUCACGGUCACUAGCUAGCCAAGAUAGCUCCGUCCAGCUACUUGUCUGAAAGGUUUGCUAGCUAGAUUGGCACGGCAGUGCGGCGGCUUGCUCGCGCGUGCCGCGCUAAGGCCAGCCAUCUGGCUCGAGCGAAGGCCAGCACGGCGGCUUGCUCGCUCGUGAGUCAUGCUCGGGCCAGCCUGCCAACCCGUGUGGAGGCCAGCGCGGCGUCCGGCCCGUCCGGCGGAGUGACGGCCAACUCGCUCAUCACCGGCGCCACCGACGAACAUGCAUCAGUACUGGUUGAAGUAAUGUUCAGGAAAAAUAAUGAUUUGAGGGGGAAUAACAGGAUAGAAGGUCAGAUGUGGGUCCCUCAUGUCAACGAGCAAACAAAAUGUGUUGGUUUAAGCUGCCUCAUCAGCACAAACGUGUGGGCCAACCCUAUCAUAAAUGGGUUUAAACGACCCUAAUCGGUAGGAGUACUAGGUAGUAGUUUUUGGCGUGGAUUAAGAAAUUUUGGGUAUGUUUUUGCUAUUUUUUGUACAAUAGAUUCUUCCUAGGGCUGGUUGAAAGUGGUAAGUUUUUGUUAAAUACUCUACGUAUUGUAAGUAGGAGUGAAAGUUAAGCUUUGGAAGCCAAUAAGCAAGGCUAGUUACAUAGUGCAUAUGUGUACAUGAUUGAAAGUAAAUAUCAACCAUGAGUGACUAAUAUCUUGAUGGAAAACUCGAAACUAUGGAAUGCUAGGAAAAAAUGCAUGGUUGGAAAUACUAGCAAUGUUCAUGUGUGUUGCAAUGAAUCAUAAUUAGAAUAAUACUUAUUCACAAACUUGAUACAAAACACUCUAAUUUUGAUAUACAUAUGUCACUAGAGAUAUAUUAUGUUUCAAUUAGAAUAUAUUCCUUGGGUGUUUUGGUGAGGUCAGGGAGGGAUGUGGUUGGUUUUAAGAUACUAAUUAUGGGUUUUUCUACAAAUUGGUAGACAAGUGGGAUGUUGGUGAGAAAAGGCAACAACUUACCUCACAGUCGUUAGAUGUAGAUCUAAUGGUCAGAAACGACAGAUGGCAGACACACCAUCAUCACCAACUUAGUCUUCUGUAGGAGUACUAGCAAGAUCCGUGCAUUGCACAGAACAUCAAGAUGCAUUUUUUUAUAAAACACUUGUUGUGAUUGACCCUUGCAGAGUAAUCCCAUGUGUAAAAACUAAUGAUAUCUCGAGAAAUAUGAGAUAAGGUGAAGAGGACUGGGGUGGGGUGGUGAUUGGUGGUCGGACUGAGCGGAGGCAUGGGGAUUGACGAUGCCGACAACGGCCACCAGGCCAGCUUGUUCCAUAGGCUUCCUUUCUUAAUUUCUCAACAAUGAGGUUUGUUGGAGAUAAGGAUGAACGAGGGAAGGCCUUGUCUGCAAAUGUGGAGAGGGGUGCGGGUAUCUUUUAGUUUAAUUUCCAUCCGUCAGAUAUAGAUCGGACGGUCUAUAUUGCAAGAUGGCACACGUACCAUCAUCACCAACUCGGUUUUUUAUAAGAGAAGAAAUAUAAGUAUGGAGAUACAAACAUAUUAUCGAUACUUGCUUCUGUAAACUAGCAUCAUUCUAUUCAACACCUCGACAUGUGGGGCCUUAGCACAAUGACUUCUCGGCUGUGUAAAACAAAGAUUUUCCCGUCUCCGAUAAGGAGGGGGUGACGGUGAUGAUACACAAGUGUAGGGGGUCUAUCAUAGUCCUUUUGAUAAGUAAGAGUGUCGAAGCCAACGAGGAGCAGAAGGAAAUGAUAAGCGGUUUUCAGUAAGGUUUUCUCUGCAAGCACUGAAAUUAUAGGUAAUAGAUAGUUUUUUGAUAAGAUAAAUUGUAACGAGUAACAAGCAAUGAAAGUAAAUAAAGUGCAGCAAGGUGGCCCAAUCCUUUAUGUAGCAAAGGAUAAGCCUGGAUAAUUUCUUAUAAUGAAGAAGGAGCUCCCGAGGACACAUGGGAAUUAUCGUCAAGCUAGUUUUCAUCACGCUCAUAUGAUUCGCGUUCGGUACUUUGAUACUUUGAUAUGUGGGUGGAGCGGUGCUUGGGUACUGCCCUUACUUGGAUAAGCAUCCCACUUAUGAUUAACCCCUAUUUCAAGCGUCCGCAACUACAAAAGAAGUAUUAAGGUAAACCUAACCACGGCAUUAAACAUAUGGAUCCAAAUCAGCCCCUAACGAAGCAACGCAUAAACUAGGGUUUAAGCUUCUGUCACUCUAGCAACCCAUCAUCUACUUAUUACUUCCCAAUGCCUUCCUCUAGGCCCAAAUAAUGGUGAAGUGUCAUGUAGUCGACGUUCACAUAACACCACUAGAGGAAAAGACAACAUACAUCUCAUCAAAAUAUCGAACGAAUACCAAAUUCACAUGACUACUAAUAGCAAGACUUUACCCAUGUCCUCGGGAACAAAUGUAACUACUCACAAAGAAUAUUCAUGUUCAUAAUCAGAGGAGUAAUAAUAUGCAUUAAGGAUCUGAACAUAAGAUCUUCCACCAAGUAAACCAAUUAGCAUCAACUACAAGGAGUAAUCAACACUACUAGCAACCCACGGGUACCAAUUUGUGGUUUUGAUACAAGAUUGGAUACAAGAGAUGAACUAGGGUUUUGAGAGGAGAUGGUGCUGGUGAAGAUGUUGAUGGAGAUUGACCCCCUCCCGAUGAGAGGAUCACUGGUGAUGAUGAUGGUGAUGAUUUCCCCCUCCCGGAGGGAAGUGUCUUCGGCAGAACAGCUCUGCCGGAGCUCUAGAUUGGUUCCACCAAGGUUCCGCCUCGUGGCGGCAGAGUUUCGUCCCGUAAGCUUGCCCAUGAUUUUUUCCAGGGUAAAAGCCCUCAUAUAGCAGAAGAUGGACACCGGGGGGCCACCAGGGGACCCAUGAGAUAGGGGGGCGCCCAGUAGGGGUGGGCGCGCCCCCCACCCUCCUGGGCAGGGUGUGGGCCCCCUGAUGUAUUUCUUCCGCUCAAUAAUUCUUAUUAAUUCCAAAAACAUGUUUCAUGGAGUUUCAGUAUUUUUGGACCAGUGCAGAAUAGGUUUCCAAUGUUUGCCCCUUUUCCACCCAGAAUUCCAGCUGCCGGUAUUCCCCCUCUUCAUGGUAAACCUUGUAAAAUAAGGGAGAAUAGCCAUAAGUAUUGAGAUAUAAUGUGUAAUAACAGCCCAUAAUGCAAUAAAUAUUGAUAUAAAAGCAUGAUGCAAAAUGGACGUAUCAACUCCCCCAAGCUUAGACCUUGCUUGUCCUCAAGCGGAAGCCGAUAUCGAAAAAUAUGUCCACAUGUUUAGAGAUAGAGGUGUCGAUAAAAAUAAAAUACGAACAUGAGGGCAUCAUGAUCAUUAUUGUAACAGCAACAUAUAGAGAUUUUAUCAUAUGAUUUCUUAUACUCAAGUAACAAUCAAUUCACAAUGUCAAGUAUGGUUCAAAAACUUCAUUGAGAACUAACAAACUAUAAUCUCAGUCAUUGAAGCAAUUGCAAUUUAUCAUAACAUCAGAAAGAGUCAAUAAUAGAGUCUUUUCAGCAAGUCCGCAUACUCAACUAUCUUGUAGUCUUCUACAAUUGCUAACACUCACGCAAUACUUGUGGUUAUGGAGUUUCAGCCGGACACUGAGAAAGAUAGGGGCUUAUUGUGUUGCCUCCCAACGUAUUCACCUUUAGGUGAUGUCAACAAUAAUAGCCUAUGCUAACUUACAUCCAGUUGGAUAUAUCUAUCAUGAUCUUUCAAACACGAGGAGCUUACCAAAGGAUAAAAUAAAAAAGGGAAAGGUGAAGAUCACCUUGACUCAAGCAUAAAGUAAAAACAUAAAGUAAAAGAUAGGCCCUUCACAUAGGGAAGCAGAGGUUGUCACGUCCGUUUAGGGUUGGAUGCACAAAAUCUUAAUGCAAAAGAACAUCACUUUAUAUUGCCCCUUGUAUGUGGAACUUUAUUAUGCAGUCCGUCGCUUUUAUUGCUUCCACAACAAGAUCGUACAAAGCUUAUUUUCUCUGUACUAAUAAGUCAUACAUAUUUAGAUAGCAAUUUUUAUUGCCUGCAACAUGACAACUUACUUGAAGGAUCUUACUCAAUCCAUAGGUAGGUAUGGUGGACUCUCAUGGCAAAACUGGGUUUAAGGAUGUUUGCAAGCACAAGUAGUAUCUCUAAUUGGUGCAAGGAAUUUGGCUAGCAUGAGGGGGAAAGGCAAGCUCAACAUGUUUGGAAGGUCAAUAACAAUAUACUUUAACUAAGAUGUGAGAAAACAUAAGCCAUUAUGUUGUCUUCCUUGUACAACGUCAACUCUUUUAGCAUGUCAUACUUAAUGAGUGCUCCCAAUUAUAAAAGAUGUCCAAGAUAAUAUAUUUGUAUGUGAACCUCUCUUUCCUUAUCACUUCCUAUUAAUUGCAACGAUGACCAAAACUACGUUUAUCAACUCUCAACAACUUUUAUGCCUCAUACUUUCUAUGUGUGAAGUCAUCACUAACCAUAAGAUCAAUAUGAACUCUUUUAUUCUUUCUACUUUCUCAAGAUCAUAGCAAGAUACCAAAGCCCUUGACUCAACACUAAUCCUUAUUAUAGAUAGCUCACGGACUCGAUUACAUAAAGAGAUCACAAAGCAAAACUCAAAACUAAUUGAUACUAAGACUUCAAUCUACUAGAUCAAGAUACUACUAAAAGGAUCGAACUAAAUAAAAUGGUAAAGAUAGGAGUGUGAUGGUGAUACGAUACCGGGGCACCUCCCCCAAGCUUGGCAAUUGCCAAGGGGAGUACCCAUACCAAUGUGAUUAUGUCCUCGGAGGUGAUGGAGGUGGUGAUGAUGAUGGUGGAUAAUCGCACAUCGAGCGUAAAAGCUCCUCAACUUGCGGAUAAUGCCCUUGAGUCCGACGAUAUGAUCCUUCAACAAAAUAUUCUCCUACAUGAGAUACUUGUUCUGUAUGCGAGAUAACUCAACCAUCUUGAAAGCUUCAAUCUCUAUUGGAGUAAAGAGGUUAGGUAAAGGUUGAGGGAUGUCUUCUUCUUUCACCGCCGGAGUUUGGACCUCCAUGACCUUCUUGAUCCCUUCAUCCUUGUUGAUCUCCUCCGGAUCUUCUCUUUUCAGCUCUUUCUUCAAUAGCCAAGCAUCCUUGUCUUCGUUGUUGGAGGAGGGUGACGUCAUAGUGCUCUAGAUCUGCAACGGAAACUGUUUGAAAUGAAAACAGAGGAGAUUUGCGUGAUACGGUGGUCAAAACCUUCGGGAGUAUAUAUAAUGAAUUUUUACCGACCAAAAUACGUAACGUGCAAGAAAACGGAGUCCGGGAGGCACACGAGGUGUCCACGAGACAGGGGGCGCGCCCAGUAAGGGUGGGCGCGCCCUCCACUCUCGUGGGGGCCUCGUGUCCCUCUCGGACUACUUCUUUCUUCCUAAAAUUCUUAUAUAUUCCAAAACUGAUAAAAAUUGCCAUUGGAGUUGUUUUGGAGUCAGUUUACUUAUCGUACCACAUACCUAUUCCUUUUCAGAGUUUGGAACAUUCUGGAAAGUGUCCCUUAUGUAUUCCUCUGGGGUUACGGUUUCAAUAAUAUUAGUUUCAACAUUAAUAGUAUUACCUGAAAUAUAAUGUUUAAUUCUUUGACCGUUCACCACCCUCAGACUUGUGCCUUCGAAGUUGUUGAUUUUUAUGGCACCAGAAUGAUAGACCUCCUCGAUAACAUAAGAACCUUCCCAUUUAGAGAGAAGUUUUCCUGCAAAAAACCUUAAGCGAGAGUUGAAUAAUAACGCAUAAUCUCCUACGUUAAACUCACGCUUUUGUAUCCUUUUGUCAUGCCAGCGUUUGACUUUUUCUUUGAAUAGCUUGGCAUUCUCAUAGGCUUGGGUUCUCCAUUCAUCAAGUGAGCUAAUGUCAAACAACCUCUUCUCACCGGCAAGUUUGAAGUCAUAGUUGAGCUCUUUAAUAGCCCAAUAUGCUUUAUGUUCAAGUUCAAGAGGUAAAUGACAUGCUUUUCCAUAAACCAUCUUAUAAGGAGACAUACACAUCUUAUAAUGCAUCAUCAAGUUUUUUGGACCAAUUCUUUCUAGAUCUAUUGACAGUCUUUUGCAAAAUUAAUUUGAGCUCUCUAUUGCUCAACUCUACUUGAUCACUAGACUGCGGAUGAUAAGGGGAUGCGAUUCUAUGAUUGACAUCAUACCUAGCAAGCAUCUUAUGGAAAGCACCAUGAAUAAAAUGUGAACCACCAUCAGUCAUAAGAUAUCUAGGGACUCCAAACCUCGGAAAAAUAACUUCUUUAAGCAUUUUAAUAGAGGUGUUAUGAUCAGCACUACUAGUUGGAAUAGCUUCUACCCACUUAGUAACAUAAUCAACAGCAACUAAAAUAUGUGUGUAACCAUUAGAGGCAGGAAAAGGUCCCAUAUAAUCAAAGCCCCAAACAUCAUACGGUUCAAUAACAAGAAAAUAAUUCAUAGGCAUUUCUUGACGUCUACUAAUAUUACCAAUUCUUUGACAUUCAUCACAAGAUAAGACAAACUUACGAGCAUCUUUGAAGAGAGUAGGCCAAUAAAAACCAGAUUGGAGUACCUUAUGUGCAAUUCUAUCUCCAGCGUGGUGUCCUCCAUAGGAUUCAGAGUGACACUUGCGUAGGAUCUGUUCCUGUUCAUGCUCAGGCACACAACGUCUAAUAACACCAUCUACUCCUUCUUUAUAAAGGUGUGGGUCAUCCCAGAAGUAAUGUCUUAAAUCAUAAAAGGACUUUUUCUUUUGCUGGUAUGUGAAACUAGGAGGUAUAAAUUUAGCAACAAUGUAAUUAGCAUAAUAAGCAUACUAGGGAGCAGUACGAGAAGCAUUAAUGACCGCUAAUUGUUCAUCAGGAAAGCUAUCAUCAAUAGGCAGUGGGUCAUCAAGAACAUUCUCUAACCUAGAUAAGUUGUCUGCAACGGGGUUCUCGGCUCCCUGCUAUCAAUAAUAUGCAAAUCGAAUUCUUGGAGUAGGAGAACCCAUCUAAUGAGUCUAGGCUUAGCGUCUUUCUUUUUCAUAAGAUAUUUAAUAGCAGCAUGAUCAAUGUGAAUAUUAACUUUGGAAUCAACAAUAUAAGGUCUAAACUUAUCCCAUGCAAACACAACUGCUAAGAAUUCUUUUUCAGUAGUAGCAUAAUUUCUCUGGGCGGUAUCAAGAGUCUUACUAGCAUACUGGAUAACAUUCAAUUUCUUAUCAACUCUUUGCCCUAGAACAGCACCUACAGCAUAAUCACUAGCAUCACACAUAAUUUCAAAAGGUAAAUUCCAAUCAGGUGGCUGGUGUCGGUGUCAAAACCGGCGGAUCUCAGGUAGGGGGUCCCGAACUGUGCGCCUAGGCGGAUGGUAAUAGGAGACGAGGGACACGAUGUUUUACCCAGGUUCGGGCCCUCUUGAUGGAGGUAAAACCCUACGUCCUGCUUGAUUAAUAUUGACGAUGUGUGUUACAAGAGUGGAUCUACCACGAGAUCAAGGAGGCUAAACCCUAGAAGCUAGCCUAUGGUAUGAUUGUUGUUCGUCCUAUGGACUACAGCUAUCCGGUUUAUAUAGACACCAGAGAGGGCUAGGGUUACACAGAGUCGGUUACAAAGGUAGGAGAUCUACAUAUCCGUAUCGCCAAGCUUGCCUUCCACGCCAAGGAAAGUCCCAUCCGGACACGGGACGAAGUCUUCAAUCUUGUAUCUUCAUAGUCUUGGAGUCCGGUCGAUGAUGAUAGUUCGGCUACCCGGACACCCCCUAGUCCGGGACUCCCUCAGUAGCCCCUGAACCAGGCUUCAAUGAUGACGAGUCCGGCACGCAUAUUGUCUUCGGCAUUGCAAGGCGGGUUCCUCCUCCGAAUAAUUUAUAGAAGAUUGUGAACACCAGGAUAGUGUCCGGCUCUGCAAAAAUAAAUUCCACAUACCACCAUAGAGAGAAUAAUAUUACACAAGAUCAAUCUGCUGACGUAUUCUGUGGCGUGACGUCACACCACUUCCAAGCCUUUACUCAAAUCGUUUUUAUUGUUCCACCUCAGCGCGUUUAGCGAGGCGGUUUCCUUGGCACGUCUUGUCGAAGCAGAGAUCGUGUUCCCCUUAUUCCGGGAUUCCCAUCAAUACGGACGUGGGUAACCCAACCGCGCCUGUUGCCACGCCCCCUCCAUCGAAGGCGGGUUCCAAACGGUCACGGGGACGGCUCUUGGUAUUCUUCCUCUUUAUAAUGAGACCAAGGCCCGUUCUUUUUAUUCAAUCCUCUAUCGAAUCCGCCCCUCUCCCCGAGUUCCAACACCCAGGGCUCCAAAUUCAGGUACCUUCGAUCUUCGACAAUGUCCGGUCCUAACCUACGAGGCCGGUGGAUGCCCUCCUCCAUCAUGGAGGAGGACAUGCUAAAGCUGAGAGAUGCCAGGUACUUAACCUAUGAAAUUUCACAUAGGCUGCCUGCCCGAGGGCAAGUUAUCCCAACUCCCGAGCCUGGCAAGAGCGUCUUGUUCGUGUCUCACUUCCGUCGGGGUUUAGGCUUCCCGACGGAUCCCUUCAUGAGGGGGCUCAUCUUUUACUAUGGGCUGGAAUUCCACGACCUGGCUCCGGAGUCCAUCCUCCACAUCUCAUCAUUCAUAUUCGUCUGCGAAGCCUUCCUCCGCACUACCCCUCACUUCGGCUUGUGGCUCAAAACCUUCAACGUGGAGCCGAAGAUGGUUGAGGGGCGUCAGGCAGAGUGCGGCGGGGCGGUUAUAAGCAAGAGGGCCGAAGCUCCAUGGCCCAAGGGCUCUUUCCAGGAGGAGCUCGGCUUGUGGCAACAGGAGUGGUUUUAUAUCACCGCUCCCCAGGGUAGCAGGCAGAAGCCGCUGCCCGUCUUUCGCUCGGGCCCUCCACCGCAGCUGAUGUCAUGGGUCAACAAGGGGCGUGGAUGGGGGCCGCCCAAAGACGUCCCCCUGUUGUAGGACCAGAUUCGCGGCCUCCAAGAAAGGGAGAUCAAUCUGGUCGCAGUGGUGCAGGUCAUGUUGAUACGGCGCCUACUGCCCUGCAAACGUCGCCCCCUCCGCCUGUGGGAAUUUAAUCCGGAGGGGCCACGAGCUCUUCAACACUUCAUGGGUUUGACUCCCAUGGAGAUGUAUAAACUGUUCUUCGGAUCGCAAGAGACGCAUCCGGAAUUGACCGAGGACGCUGGCCUAAGCUGCAAUCACCCGGAUACUCAAGUAAGUAGCCCUGUGUCCGGACACACCGUCCAUGUAUUUAUCGUGAGCUUGCCUUUUAACCAGCUAUCCCUGGACAGGAGUGGAUAGCGCAAGCAAAACUGAUAUGGUGUUCGGCUCCCCUCCCUGAGACCAUGCAGGAUCCCGUGUUAAUAAAAAUGUUGGAGGUCGCACCUUCAAAUGAGGGCGAAGGGGGGCACGGGGAAACUGUCACCUCUGCCAAGGAGGUUUUUAGUAAGGGAGGAAUCGAGAGUCCCUCCUUCCAGGGGGAGAAGAGGAACGCUUCCGAAGACCCGGAGGCCAAGGCCUCAAAGCGGGGAAAGAAAUCUGUACCUGAAGGUCCUGCGCCAGAAAGCGCCCCGACCGUACUGUCUCCUCGGAGGAAUCAGCCCUCUAACGAGCCGUAAGUGAAAAAGGGGGAUUUUAUAAUUAUCAGACACCCCUGCUUAAUGUCUAAAGGUAACCGAAGUUUUUACCUUGUAGUUCGGAUCUCAGCCCAUCUCAGCACAGCUCAUCUUCGGGAGACCUUCGUCCGGGGAUGAUGGAAAGCGAAACGCCUCCAUCUGCCGCCCCAUCGCGUGGGGCGGAUGACCUAAGGUGUCGUCGCGGAGGGUCUCCCUGAGUCCGGCGGGGCCAGAGAGUUCGGCGCCCAUUGGAGUACGGCCGGUGGAGCUGCAGGAUUUGCUUAAGAGGGCGUCCAUCUCAGAAGAUCACCGCACAUUAAUGGGUGGUGUGACUGAGAGGAUCUCGUCCGCCGAAACCGGAUUGUAUGAGGCCGUCGGAAGUUUACUGACGGGAUUUGAGGUACGCAAAAAAUGACAUACCUGUUGACAGUUUUGCACAUGAAGUGCGCCCUGUAUAGAUAGUAGCCCCUAAGACUUGGUAUGCUGUCGAAAACGACAGCGUGCCUAGGAUCAUAAUCUCAGUUAUUAACUGUCGCCUUUCCCAUGCAGGUGGCGGAACGUUCGGUGGCCAGCCGGACUGAUGAAUUUGCCGAGCUGAAGAAGCAACUCGACACUGCGGAUGCGGACAUCUCGCUGGUCAAUAGACGACUUGAUGAGUCACAAGGUAUGUGGUUGCUUUGCGGUUGCUUAGUAAGGGAGCUGACGCCCAUUCCUUACAAAUUGUAUGCUAGAUGCAGAUGGUGCUGCUGCUGUGGAAGACCUUCGAGCAGAACUUGCUCGGGCCAAGGAGCAAGCCAGAAAAAGCGAGGCGGCUGCCUUGAAGGCAGCGGAAGGGCUAGAAGCCGAGAAGGCUGCUCACUGCCGAAGCAGGGAGGAGAUGGCCGGAAUGGCCAUGAAAUUAAGAGUUGCUACCGACCGCCUGGAGGUUCUUGAAGGAGAACGCCGAGCGGAGCAAGAAGACCUGAAGAAGGCCGAUGCCGAAGCCAAGGAUGCCCGUAGUGUGAUGCGGGCUAUGAAGGAGGAACUACGUCAGGUCGGAGACAUUGUGGCUGGAAAGCCCUUUAUGCUGCGUAGGAAGUUUACGGAUCCGAAGUAUGCUCAGUUGGGCCGAUUGUACGGUGCGGAGGAUCCUUAUCUGGACUUGGCGGCGAGUGCGGCUGACGCUGUCGUGCACUUUCGCAGCCAGGAGGAUCAUGAAAUGGAAGAGCUUUUCUGGUCUCAAUUCCAUAGUCCGAAGCGUCCACUUCCGUUGAGUGAUCGGCUGGUUGAGUGGGCUGAGCUGCAUAGAUUGUCCGGACUGGCCAUGACGGAUGUGGUCACUCAUCUGUGGCCGAAAAGGCCCAAGCCGAAGAGUUAUUUUGGCUUGUUGCAGCAAUUCCUUGGGGUAGUGCCGCAUAUUAAGGCGAUGAAGCAUUCAGCAUGCGUAGAAGGUGCACGGAUGGCUCUCGCCCAUGGUAAAACAUACUGGGCGGAGAUGGAUGCCACCGCUGUCGCAUCCCGGGGUUCGGACAAAAGCCGAUUCCCCACCGAGCAUUACUUUGAGGAAGUCCUGCAGGGCGCUCGUAUAAUAGAGUCGCAGUGCUCGAAAGAUGUUAUGUUUGAAUGACAUGUAUGAUUUCUAAGAUCAUGUUUAUAAUGCAAUGACUUUUUAAACUUGUGUGUUCAAGUAUUGAACUAUCUCCUGUGCGGCCGUAUAUAUAUGUAUAAUCUGAAAGAUGGCAGUCUUUGGCUUCAGCCCCCACGCACAUGGUGCGGGGGUGUUUGCAAAAAGAAAAACGCUUUUUCACACUUAAUCCAACGUCUUGGUCCUUGUAAGGAGGUGAUAGCGUAGCAAACUAGGCAACCGGACUAUAAUGCUUUAUCACUUUCACUUAGCCAUAGGAGCUCGAAUGUGGGGCUACUAUAUAGCCCCUGAUGGCAUCGCGCUUCUCCGAACUCAGGGCGCGUAUGUGCCUGACCGGGAAGCGGUCCUUCGUCAAAGCGGAGGAAUUCUAAACAUUCCAAUGGUCGAUCGAGUGGUUGACCAGUCUCUCGCUAUAUCAUGACAGUCAGUUUUCGGCUUUCUCUACUGAGGUGCUCUCCCGGCCAAACCGGGGCACAAUCGCAGUAGUUCUCCUGGUGCCGCGUUAGCCGAUGAUACGGAACGUAAGGCAGCAAAACACAGGAGCCGGGCAAACCCAACAUUUGACCAAAGACAUGAUUCAGAGCUGAUGCAUAUAAGGCCUAACUCGAGACGCCGAACACUCCCUGAGGUGUUCGGUCUUUAUGAUUUCGAGCAGAAUAAAGCCCUAAGCCCCUAGUGUUCAGGUACAGGCGGGAACUUCUGACGCGGCCGAUGCCAAAACGCCAGCCUCCUCCUCGGCUCUGGUAGGAAACCGAGGGAUGUGUAUCAACAAGAGACAGUAAGAAAGGUUUACGCAGGGUCUUAAUCUGAAAAGAAUCCUUGCAACGGGUCCCUACUGCACGUCUGCGCCUGUGUCUCCAUUGCGCUGUAUCCUGGACGGGUGUAGCACGUGCUUCAUCUAUAAAAGAGGAGGACUUAGUUUCUAAGAAAUAUCGUGCAAAAAGUGUAUAUAAAAAGAAAGUAUAAUUUGGGAGAUGAAGAAAGUUGAGCUUUAUUGGCUUUCAUCAUUUAUGCGGCUGGGAAGCCCCUUGUUAAGUUACGCCGAACUCGUCUAACCAUGUCCGAGGUCUAAAUGACCUGUUUUUAGGGGCUUUGACCUACAAGGUUGGAAUAAUGUGUGGCUGUCGAAGCAGCCGCACAUUCUCCGUGGUCGAGAGACACCUGGAGUUUUGAGAAUAUGCCCCAUGCACCGGGCAUUUUUAAGCGUAAGAGACGCGUAAUGUGGUAUUGCAUUAAAGCGGGCGAAAGCUGCACGCCCCAGUAGUGCUUAAGGGCUAUUGCUAGAUGGGGCGAUGGAGGGUGAGCUUUUCGCGACGGAGGUUGUCGGAUGAACCGAACAAGACCUCUAGUGGUACAGAGCCUGUGAGAUUGGCUGAAAAGGCCUCGCGUCACUCCUUUGAAGGAAGUGCUGCUAUAGCGAAUUUUGGUGGGUUCUAUCCCCAGUCUGCGGAUGGUGUCCUGGUAUAGCAGGUGUCGCGCUGCGUGUUAUCACGUUAAGUGAGUUCACUGUUUUGACUUCUAAUGGGAAAGUCUUUUGGUUUCCGAAGCGCUGCUUUUGGGUUUCGUCAUUUUCACUUGGUGUGCCGAGCUCUUUGUGUUCGGCGUUAAGUCGGCCGGACUGCUUGAAGACCCAACAAUCUCUGUGGGUAUGGUUUGCAGGCUUCCCGGAGGUACCGUGUAUUUGACACGGUCUGUCCAGAAUCUUGUUGAGGUUGGAUAACUCAUCACUGUUAUCCUUUAGGGGCAGUUUUUUGUUGUUCGGCCGAGAGCUUUUGAAUCUGGCAUUGACCGCCGUACUAUUUGGGCCAUUUUCCAUAUUCUGGCGCUGAUCUUUUUUGCGUCGUGAUUUUCCAUUUCAUCCCUGAUUUCGGAUGUACUUGUUGGGUAACAUAGUAAUUUCAAAAAUUUCCUACGCACAUGCAAGAUCAUGGUGAUGGCAUAGCAACGAGAGGGGAGAGUGUUGUCCACGUACCCUCGUAGACCGUAAGCGGAAGCGUUAUGACAACGCGGUUGAUGUAGUCGUACGUCUUCACGAUCCGACCGAUCCAAGUACCGAACGUACGGCACCUCCGAGUUCAGCACACGUUCAGCUCGAUGACGAUCCCCGGGCUCCGAUCCAGCAAAGCUUCGGGGAUGAGUUCCAUCAGCACGACGGUGUGGUGACGAUGAUGAUGCUCUACCGGCGCAGGGCUUUGCCUAAACUCCGCGACGAUAUGACCGAGGUGGAAUAUGGUGGAGGGGGGCACCGCACACGGCUAAGGAACGAUCCGUAGAUCAACUUGUGUGUCAUGGGGUGCCCCCCUGCCCUCGUAUAUAAAGGAGCAAGGGGGAGGAGGCCGGCCCUAGGAGGGGGCGCGCCAAGUGUGGAAUCCUACUAGGACUCCCUAGUCCUAGUAGGAUUCCACCUCCCUUGUUGGAGUAGGAGAAGGGGAAAGAGGGGGAGAGGAAGAAGGAAAGAGGGGCUGCGCCCCUUGUCCAAUUCGGACCAGAGGGGGGGCGCAGGCCUCCUUCCUUUUGGCCUCUCUCCUCUAUUCACGUAUGGCCCAAUAAGGCCCAUAUACUCCCCGGCGAAUUCCCGUAACUCUCCGGUACUCCGAAAAAUACCCGAAUCACUCGGAACCUUUCCGAACUCCGAAUAUAGUCGUCCAAUAUAUCGAUCUUUACGUCUCGACCAUUUCGAGAUUCCUCAUCAUGUCCCCGAUCUCAUCCGGGACUCCGAACUCCUUCGGUACAUCAAAACUCAUAAACUCAUAAUAUAACUGUCAUCGAAACCUUAAGCAUGCGGACCCUGCGGGUUCGAGAACUACGUAGACAUGACCUAGAACUAUUCUUGGUCAAUAACCAAUAGCGGAACUUGGAUGCUCAUAUUGGCUCCUACAUAUUCUACGAAGAUCUUUAUCGGUCAAACCGCAUAACAACAUACGUUGUUCCCUUUGUUAUCGAUAUAUUACUUGCCCGAGAUUCGAUCGUCGGUAUCCAAUACCUAGUUCAAUCUCAUUACCGGCAAGUCUCUUUACUCAUUAUGUAAUGCAUCAUCCCGCAACUAACUCAUUAGUCACAUCGCUUGCAAGGCUUAUAGUGAUAUGCAUUACUGAGAGGGCCCAGAGAUACCUCUCCGACAAUCGGAGUGACAAAACCUAAUCUCGAAAUACGCCAACCCAACAUGUACCUUUGGAGACACCUGUAGUACUCCUUUAUAAUCACCCAGUUACGUUGUGACGUUUGGUAGCACCCAAAGUGUUCCUUCGGUAAACGGGAGUUGCAUAAUCUCAUAGUUACAGGAACAUGUAUAAGUCAUGAAGAAAGCAAUAGCAACAUACUAAACGAUCAAGUGCUAGGAUAACGGAAUGGGUCAUGUCAAUCACAUCAUUCUCCUAAUGAUGUGAUCCCAUUAAUCAAAUGACAACUCAUGUCUAUGGUUAGGAAACAUAACCAUCUUUGAUUAAUGAGCUAGUCAAGUAGAGGCAUACUAGUGACUAUAUGUUUGUCUAUGUAUUCACACAUGUAUCAUGUUUCCGGUUAAUACAAUUCUAGCAUGAAUAAUAAACAUUUACCAUGAAAUAAGGAAAUAAAUAAUAACUUUAUUAUUGCCUCUAGGGCAUAUUUCUUUCAGUCUCCCACUUGCACUAGAGUCAAUAAUCUAGUUCACAUCGCCAUGUGAUUUAACAUCAAUAUUCAUAUCUGUAUAUGAUUAACACCCAUAGUUCACAUCGUCAUGUGACCAACACCCAAAAGGUUUACUAGAGUCAAUAAUCUAGUUCACAUCGCUUAUGUGAUUAACACCCAAAGAGUACUAAGGUGUGAUCAUGUUUUGCUCGUGAGAGAAGCUUAGUCAACGGGUCUGUCACAUUCAGAGCCGUAUGUAUUUUGCAAAUAUUCUAUGUCCACAAUGAUCUGCACGGAGCUACUCUAGCUAAUUGCUCCCACUUUCAAUAUGUAUCCAGAUUGAGACUUAGAGUCAUCUGGAUUGGUGUAAAAGCUUGCAUCAUUGUAACUUUUAUGACGGGCUCUUUUAUUACCUCCAUAAUCGAGAAACAUCUCCUUAGUCUUCACUAAGGAUAUUCUUGACCGCUGUCCAGUGAUCUACUAUUAGAUCAAAAUUGUAUUCCUUUGCCAAACACAGAGCAAGGUAUACAAUAGGUCUGUUUCACAGCAUAGCAUACUUUAUAGAACCUAUGACUGAGGCAUAGGGAAUGACUUUUCAUUCUCUUUCUAUUUUCUGCCAUGGUCGGGUCUUGAGUCUUACUCAACUUCACCACCUUGCAACACAGGCAAGAACUCCUUCUUUGACUGUUCCAUUUUGAACUAUUUCAAAAAAAUUAUCAAGGUAUGUACUCAUUGAAAAAUCUUAUCAAGCGUCUUGAUCUAUCUAUAUAGAUCUUGAUGCUCAAUGUGUAAGCAGCUUCACCGAGGUCUUUCUUUGAAAAAAAAACUCCUUCAAAACACUCCUUUAUGCUUUGCAGAAUAAUUCUACAUUAUUUCCGAUCAACAAUAUGUCAUUCACAUAUACUUAUCAGAAAUGCAGUAGUGCCCCCACUCACUUUCUUGUAAAUAUAGGCUUCACCGCAAGUCUUUAUAAAACUAUAUGCUUUGAUCAACUUAUCAAAGCGUAUAUUCCAACUCUGAGAUGCUUGCACCAGUCCAUAGAUGGAUCACUGGAGCUUGCACAUUUUGUUAGCACCUUUAGGAUUGACAAAACCUUCUGGUUGCAUCAUAUACAACUCUUCUUUAAGAAAACCAUUAAGGAAUGCAGUUUUUUGACAUCCAUUUGCCAGAUUUCAUAAAAUGUGGCAAUUGCUAACAUGAUUCGGACAGACUUUUAAGCAUCGAUACGAGUGAGAAAAUCUCAUUGUAUUCAACAUCUUGAACUUUGUCAAAAACCUUUUUCGACAAGUCUAGCUUUGUAGAUAGUAACACUACUAUCAACGUUCGUCUUCCUCUUGAAGAUCCAUUUAUUUUCUAUGGUUUGCCGAUCAUCGGGCAAGUCCACCAAAGUCCACACUUUGUUCUCAUACAUGGAUCCUAUCUCAGAUUUCAUGGCCUCCAGCCAUUUUACGGAAUCUGGGCUCAUCAUUGCUUCCUCAUAGUUCGUAGGUUUAUCAUGGUCUAGUAACAUGACUUUCAAAAUAGGAUUACCGUACCACUCUGGUGCAGACCGUAUUCUGGAAGACCUACGAGGUUCUGUAGUAACUUGAUCUGAAGUUUCAUGAUCAUCAUCAUUAGCUUCCUCACUAAUUGGUGUAGGAAUCACUGGAACUGAUUUCAGUGAUGAACUAUUUGGAGUUCUACUUUCCUCCCACUCACUUCUUUCGAGAGAAACUCCUUCUCUAGAAAGGAUCCAUUCUUAGCAAAGAAUGUUUUGCCUUUGGAUCUGUGAUAGAAGGAGUACCCAACAGUUUCCUUUGGGUAUUCUAUGAAGACGCACUUCUCCGAUUUGGGUUUGAGCUUAUCAGGUUGAAAACCUUUUUCAUAUAAGCAUCGCAACUCCAAACUUUAGGAAAUGACAGCUUAGGUUUACUGCUAAACCAUAGUUCACACGGUGUCAUCUCAACGGAUUUAGAUGGUGCCCUUUUAACGUGAAUGUAGCUGUCUUUAAUGCAUAACCCCAAAACGAUAAUGGUAAAUCAGUAAGAGACAUCAUAGAUCGCACCAUAUCCAAUAAAGUGCGGUUAUGACGUUCGGACACACCAUAACGUUGUGUUGUUCCAGGUUGCGUGAGCUGUGAAACUAUUCCACAUUAUUUUAAUUGAAGACCAAACUCGUAACUCAAAUAUUCGUCUCCGCGAUCAGAUCACAGAAACUUUAUUUUCUUGUUAUGAUGAUUUUUCCACUUCACUCUGAAAUUCUUUGAACCUUUCAACUAUUUCAGACGUAUGUUUCAUCAAGUAGAUAUACCCAUAUCUGCUCAAAUCAUCUUGUGAAGGUCAGAAAAUAACGAUACUUGCCACGAGCAUCAACACUCAUUGGAUCGCAUACAUUGGUAUGUAUUAUUUCCAAUAAGUCAGUAGCUUAUUCCAUUGUUCCGGAGAACGGAGUUUUAGUCAUCUUGCCAAAAAGGCACGGUUUGCAAGCAUCAAAUGAUUCAUAACCAAGUGAUUCCGAAAAUCCAUCUUUAUGGAGUUUCUUCAUGCGAUUUACACCGAUAUGACCCAAACGGCAGUGCCACAAAUAGGUUGCACUAUCAUUAUUAACUUUGCAUCUUUUGGCAUCAACAUUAUGAAUAUGUGUAUCACUACGAUCGAGAUCCAACAAACUAAUUUCAUUGGGUGUAUAACCAUUGAAGGUCUUAUUCAUGUAAACAGAAUAACAAUUAUUCUUUAACUUCAAAUGAAUAACUGUAUCGCAAUAAACAUGAUCAAAUCAUAUUCAUGCUCAACGCAAACGCUAAAUAACAUUUAUUUAGGUUUAACACUAAUCCCGAAAGUAUAGGGAGUGUGUGAUGAUGAUCAUAUCAAUCUUGGAACUAUUUCCAACACUCAUCGUCACUUCCCCUUCAACUAGUCUUUGUUUAUUCUGUAACUCCUGUUUUGAGUUACUAAUCUUAGCAACCGAACAAGUAUCAAAUACUCAGGGGCUACUAUAAACACUAGUAAGGCACACAUCAAUAACCUGUAUAUCAAAUAUACCCUUGUUCACUUUGCCAUCCUUCUUAUCCACCAAAUAUUCAGGGCAUUUCCGCUUCCAGUGACCAUUUCCUUUGCAGUGUAAGCACUCAGUUUCAGGCUUUGGUCCAGCUAUGGGCUUCUUCGCAGGAGUGACAACUUGCUUGUCAUUCUACUUGAAGUUCCCUUUCUAUCCCUUUGCCCUUUUCUUGAAACUAGUGGUCUUGUCAAUCAUCAACACUUGAUGCUCUUUUUUUGAUUUCUACCUUCAUCGAUUUCAACAUCACGAAGAGCUCGGGAAUCGUUUUCGUCAUCCCUUGCAUACAAUAGUUCAUCACAAAGUUCUACUAACUUGGUGAUGGUGACUAGAGAAUUCUGUCAAUCACUAUCUUAUCUGGAAGAUUAACUCCCACUUGAUUCAAGCGAUUGUAGUACCCAGACAAUCUGAGCACAUGCUCACUAGUUGAGCGAUUCUCCUCCAUCUUUUAGCCAUAGAACUUGUUGGAGACUUCAUAUCUCUCAACUCGGGUAUUUGCUUGAAAUAUUAACUUCAACUCCUGGAACAUCUCAUAUGGUCCAUGACGUUCAAAACGUCUUUGAAGUCCCGAUUCUAAGCCGUUUAAGCAUGGUGCACAAAACUAUCAAGUAGUCAUCAUAUUGAGCUAGCCAAACGUUCAUAAUGUCUUCAUUUGCUCCUGCAAUAGGUCUGUCACCUAGCGGUACAUUAAGGACAUAAUUCUUUUGUGCAGCAAUGAGGAUAAACCUCAGAUCACGGAUCCAAUCCGCAUCAUUGCUACUAACAUUUUUUAACACAAUUUUCUCUAGGAACAUAUUAAAAUAAACAUAUGAAAGCAACAACGCAAGCUAUUGAUCUACAACAUAAUUUGCAAACUACUACCAGGACUAAGUUCAUGAUAAAUUUAAGUUCAAUUAAUCAUAUUACUUAAGAACUCCCACUUAGAAAGACAUCCCUCUAAUCCUCUAAGUGAUCACGUGAUCCAAAUCAACUAAACCAUAACCGAUCAUCACGUGAAAUGGAGUAGCUUUCAAUGGUGAACAUCAUUAUGUUGAUCAUAUCUACUAUAUGAUUCACGCUCGACCUUUCAGUCUCCGUGUUCCGAGGCCAUAUCUGCAUAUGCUAGGCUCGUCAAGUUUAACCUGAGUAUUCCGCGUGUGCAAAACUGGCUUGCACCCAUUGUAGAUGGACGUAGAGCUUAUCACACCCGAUCAUCACGUGGUGUCUGGGCACGACGAACUUUGGCAACGGUGCAUACUCAGGGAGAACACUUCUUGAUAAUUAGUGAGAGAUCAUCUUAUAAUGUUGCCAUCAAACAAAAUAGAAUAAGAUGUAUAACAGAUAAACAUCAUAUGCAAUCAAAAUAUGUGACAUGAUAUGGCCAUGAUCAACUUGCGCCUUUGAUCUCCAUCUCCAAAGUACUGUCAUGAUCUCUAUCGUCACCGGCACGACACCAUGAUCUUCAUCAUCUUGAUCUAUAUCAAUGUGUCGUCACAUGGUCGUCUCGCCAACUAUUGCUCUUGCAACUAUUGCUAUCGCAUAGCGAUAAAGUAAAGCAAUUAUUUGGCACUUGCAUCUUAUGCAACAAAGAGACAACCAUAGAGCUUCUGCCAGUUGCCGAUAACUUCAACAAAACAUGAUCAUCUCAUACAACAACUUAUAUCUCAUCACGUCUUGCCAUAUCACAUUACAACAUGCCCUGCAAAAACAAGUUAGACGUCCUCUACUUUGUUGUUGCAAGUUUUAUGUGGCUGCUACGGGCUGAGCAAGAACCGUUCUUACCUACGCAUCAAAACCACAAUGAUAGUUCGUCAAGUUGGUGCUGUUUUAACCUUCUCAAGGACCGGGCGUAGCCACACUCGGUUCAACUAAAGUUGGAGAAACUGACACCCGCCAGCCACCUGUGUGCAAAGCACGUCGAUAGAACCAGUCUCGCGUAAGCGUACGCGUAAUGUCGGUCCGGGCCGCUUCAUCCAACAAUACCGUCAAACCAAAGUAUGACAUGCUGGUAAGCAGUAUGACUUGUAUCGCCCACAACUCACUUGUGUUCUACUCGUGCAUAUAACAUCAACGCAUAAAACCUAGGCUCGGAUGCCACUGUUGGGUAACGUAGUAAUUUCAAAAUUUUCCUACGCACACGCAAGAUCAUGGUGAUGGCAUAGCAACGAGAGGGGAGAGUGCUAUCCACGUACCCUCAUAGACCAUAAGCGGAAGCAUUAUGACAACGCGGUUGAUGUAGUCGUACUGUCACACCCUAGCUAGUCAUGCAUUAGAGUGUUGCAUCAUGUUUAUUCUUUCACCAGAAACCUGAAAUGGGGAUGACAGAACCCCCAGUCCCCUUUGAAACCAACUAGGGUUUACUAAAAACUUUUUCAAUGAACCUGAAAUGCCCUUCUAAAAUGCCCAUCAUUUUUGUCUUGGUUCAGAACCUCUGCCAAAAGUGAUGCACAUUUUCCUAGGCCAUCUUAGGGUUUUUGAAUUAAAUCAUAAAUAUUUGAAUUUGGGCAUUUAAAAUUAUAUAAAAUAUUUAAAUGCUCAAAUAUCUCCAAACUAAAAUGUUUCAUGUUGGAAAUAAUCCAACUAUGGACCAGGAGUAGUUUGGUGAUUUUAGGAGUAGCCUAAGUAUUUUAUUUAAUUCAACAAAGUUGCAGAAGUAUUAAAAAAACAGAAAACAGAAAGAAAUGGAAAAACUUACCUGGCGCCUGCUCCCGGCCCACCUGCCGGCCCAGCCCAGCACCGCUCCAGUGAGCUGCUUGCCGGCCAGGCAGGCAGGCAGGUGCCCGACGGCGACCGCAGCGCGCGCCACGCACCUGCUCGCCGCCUCGCCGCUCCCCGCGCCCGGUGACGUCGUGGAUCAGCCUCUCUCGCUCCCCCGAACCCCCCAGACACCCCCUCUCCUCUCCAGCUCCUCCCCCUCGCGCUCCCCCGCCAUGGCCGACGCCACCAUCGCCGUGCCUUCGUCGUAGCCGUGCUCCCUGCCGCCCGUGCGUCCUCUCAUCGUGUCCAGGAGCUCCGCCGCUGUCCACUCCAUCGAGCAAGCCGAGCCCCGAGCGCUCGCAACGCCCGAGUCCACCACAACGACCUCGCCCGAACCGCCGUCGCCGGAGAUCCCCUUCAACGCCGUCGUCGCUCCGGUCCAUCUCCGGCCGCACCAAGGGCUUCGUCGCACUCACUGUGAGCUUAGCCAUCUUCCCCUCCCUUCCGUUCUUGCUCCCGAGCCGUGUAGCGACCUCCCGGAGCUCAACCGCACCCACCGCCGUGGAGCUCGUCGCCAACGUGCUCCCGGUCAUCCUCCGGCCACUCCACGGUGUCCAUCAUGCUCACCGUGUCACUUAACACCUAGCUAGCUACUCCCCGAGCCUCACCGACCCCUCUAGCGUCAAGUUCGUCUUCGGCCGAACCCCGGUGGCCGCCAAAGUCGUCGCCGGCGCCAACUCCAGCCACCCCGACCCCAACGGACUCCACCAAGAGCUGCGGCUCGUCCUCAGCUCCACUCCGGUGGUCUCCGUGACCCAAUUGGUGGCCGAAACAGCCAAAACCACUUCCGCCGCCGCGUCGGGCUCGCCGGCGGCUAAACGCCGGUGCAGCCGACCCGGGUUUGACCACGGGUGGGCCCUGGUUGACUCCCAUGAGUCAAUGACAGGUGGGGCCCAGCCCUGUUAAUUAAACAGGUUUAGUUUUAAUUAAACUUUAAUUAAUUUAAUCACCCUGACACGCGGGACCCACUGUCAGGUUUGACCUAGACGUGUUCCGUUGACCUGCUGACGUCACACUGACGUCAGGCUGACGCAAUAAUUGAUUUUCUGGAAUUAAUCUAAUAUAGGAAAUUCCAGAAUAUAGUUUAAACUUCAAAAAUUCAUAACUUUUAUUCUGUAACUCCAAAUCAGACAAAUUAUAUAUGGAAAAUGAUCAGAAAAAUCCAAUCUAUCCAUCUGUACUAUUUUCAUGCAUGAUUAAACAAGUUAACCUGAUGUUUAAUGCAGAACAAGGAAAAACACUUUAAAGGACCAUAUUUGAGUUUGAAAUUUGAAUCUUUGAUUCAAAUUAGUACAAAACCUUCUGGUCUUAGUUGCAUUAGCCCAACACACUCAUAUUGCUAUGUUCCAUGCAUGCAUCAUAUUGUUGCACAUUGUUUGGUGAUGGUUGUGUAUCGGUGUUCUUUACGGCAGGUUCUGCUCCCGAGGAGUACCAUGAUUACCCUAACGAAGAACCGUAUCAGUGCAUCGAACCAUCAGGCAAGCAACCAACCAUUUGAUCAUAUCGAUACAAUCCCAUGUUCUUGCUCCUGCUCUCUUUUACUGCAUUAAGACAACGCGUUUCAAACUGCUGUGUGCUAUGGUAGUUGAACCCAUUUCCUCUGCAUGACCUGUCUUUGCCACAGUAACUAGAUGAAACCCACUAGCAUGUGUAGGAGUUGAUUGAGCCAUAUGUAUGUGUUGUUCCUACCUUGCUAUGCCUGCUAUGCUUAGAGUCGUGUCAGGUCUGGUUCAUCUGGGUGAUGGGCUAGAGUGAAAUGAUUAUGUCGGUAAUGAGAGUGGUGUGGUGAACACGAUUUGGUAAAGGUAUCGAUGAGAGGCCAUGUAGGAGUACAUGGUGGGUUGUUUCAUUGAAGCCGACCUUAAGCACUGAGAUCUGUAUGUGUGAUUUAAGAUACAGCUACUACCAUGCAUUGGGCCCUGAAAUAUGACCCCGCUCGACUUCUUAUUCACCCUAGCUCUCUGUCCAGGAGUUGCAAGUAGUUUCUGGUGUUUGUAGCCUACUAGAGGCCGUGGACAGCGCUGACCGUAGGGGUGGGCUGUGAUGCGGUAGGUACGUGGCCGGGUGUACCGAAUACCCGUUAGGUAUCUCGGGAACCCUGUUCACAUCAUUCGGGGCCGUAUGGGAAACCUCGGCCGGACUCCCUGCGGAUGGAACCUGGAUAGGCGAUAAACCUGGACUAGAGGCUUAAGUGUUUAGGUAGGUCGUGGUCUACACCCACGUCGGCUUUCGCUUGAAGUCUGCCGAGCACAUGUCGUGUGCAGACGCUAAGUGGUGGAAACAUGUAUGAAGAAGUACACCCCUGCAGGGUUAUCAUGAUCUAUUCGAAUAGCCGCGUCCGCGGUAAAGGACUACUUGGUUGCCUAUACAGUUCAUAGACAAGUAAAUGGAAACUACUAAAAGCCUCAAGAUAAGUGUGAGUGCCGAGGAUGGCUCUUCCGUAGGAAGUCGGAGGUGGAUCCUCGGUAGUGUAUUGAAGUGGUGAUUAGUGGACUCGUGUGCGAAAAACCAUUUCAAGUUGGAGUCUCGUAGGUUAGCCUAGCCAAGAGUCAAAGCUGGCUUGCUGCAAUAACUCCACCAACCCUUCUUGAUAAUAUGCAUGUAUGUAGGAUCUGAUGUAAGUCUUGCUGAGUACCUCUGUACUCAUGUUGCUAUAAUUUACAUUUUUACAGAAGACGCUGCAACCCCUUCUGAUGGGUUCUACGUAGACGUUGACAUCAACGAAUAGGCUAAAGGCCCAGGUGGUGAUCCUGAGCUUUUGAAGGACCACGUAGUAUAGUUAGGCUUUCCAAGCCUCUUUUAUUUUACUAGUUGUCUGUACUCAGACAAGUUACUUCCGCUGCUGGUUUGUAUGACUGUAUGACUUGAAUGCUGGGUCGUGAGACCCGUACCUUUGUGUAUGUUAUGUAUGGCUCCCUGAGCCUUAAAUAAAGUACUUGUGUCGUAGAGUCAUGUUGUGAUGCUUCGUUGUAUUUGCACAUAUCGAGCAUAUUGUGUGUAUGAUUGAAAUGCUUGGUAUGUGUGGGAUCUGACUAUCUAGUUGUUUAUCUUUAGUAGCCUCUCUUACCGGGAAAUGUCUCCUAGUGUUACCGCUGAGCCAUGGUAGCUUGCUACUUCUCUGGAACACUUAGGCUGGCCGGCAUGUGUCCUUCUUCGUUCCUGUGUCUGUCCCUUCGGGGAAAUGUCACGCUUUGAGUACCGGAGUCCUGUUAGCCCGCUACAGCCCGGUUUACCGGAGUCCUGCUAGCCCAGUGCUACAGCCCGGACCCACUUGCUGAUGACCGACACGUUCGAAGCUGGGUCAUGGAUGCCUGUCCCUGUAAGUCUGUGCCACUUUGGGUUUACAACUAGUCAUGUCAGCCUGGGCUCUUUAUCAUAUGGAUGCUAGCGACACUAUCAUAUACGUGAGCCAAAAGGCGCAAACGGUCCCGGGCAAAGGUAAGGCGACACCCGUGGGAAUACCGUGCGUGAGGCCGCAAAGUGAUAUGAAGUGUUACCGGCUAGAUCGAUGUGACAUCGAGUCGGGGUCCUGACAGCGUUGAAUUAAAUCAGGAAAUUCCAGAAUAUUAAUUAAACUUCAAAAAUUCAUAACUUUUAUUCUGUAACUCCAAAUUGGACAAAUUAUAUAUGAAAAAUGAUCAGAAAAAUCCAAUCUAUCCAUCUGUACCAUUUCCAUGCAUGAUCAAACAAGUUAAGUUGAUGUUUUAAUCAGAACAAGAAAAGGCACUUUAAAAGGCCAUAUUUGAAUUUGAAAUUUGAAUCCUUGAUUCAAAUUUGUUCAAACCCUUCUGGUUUUAGUUGCAUUAGCCCAACACACUCAUAUUGCCAUGUUUCAUGCAUGCAUCAUAUUGUUGCAUAUUGUUUGGUGAUGUUUGUGUAUCGAUGUCCUUUGCGACAGGAUCUGUCCCCGAGGAGUACCGUGAUUACCCUAACGAAGAACCGUAUCCGUGCAACGAACCAUCAGGCAAGCAACCAACCAUCUGAUCAUAUCGAUACAAUCCCAUGUUCUCGCUCCUGCUCUCUUUUACUGCAUUAAGACAACGCGAUUCAAACUGCUGUGUGUUACGGUAGUUGAACCCAUUUCCUCUGCAUGACCUGUCAUUGCCACAGUAACUAGAUGAAACCCACUAGCAUGUGUAGGAGUUGAUUGAGCCAUAUGUAUGUGUUGUUCCUACCUUCCUAAGCCUGCUAUGCUUAGAGUCGUGUCAGGUCUGGUUCAUCUGGGUGAUGGGCUAGAGUGAAAUGAUUAUGUCGGUAAUGAGAGUGGUGUGGUGAACACGAUUUGGUAAAGGUAUCGAUGAGAGGCCAUGUAGGAGUACAUGGUGGGUUGUUUCAUUGAAGCCGACCUUAAGCACUGAGAUCUGUAUGUGUGAUUUAAGAAUCAGCUACUACCAUGCAUUGGGCCCGAAACCAAUGGACCCUCUCGACUUCUUAUUCACCCUAGUUCUCCGUCCAGGAGUUGCAAGUAGUUUCUGGUGUUUGUAGCCUACUGGAGGCCGUGGACAGCGCUGACCGUAGGGGUGGGCUGUGAUGCGGUAGGUACGUGUCCGGGUGUACCGAAUACCCGUUAGGUAUCUCGGGAACCCUGUUCACAUCGUUCGGGGCCGUAUGGGAAACCUCGGCCGGACUCCCUGCGGAUGGAACCUGAAUAGGCGAUAAACCUGGACUAGAGGCUUAAGUGUUUAGGUAGGUCGUGGUCUACACCCACGUCGGCUUUCGCUUGAAGUCUGCCGAGCACAUGUUGUGUGCAGACGCUAAGUGGUGGAAACAUGUAUGAAGAAGUACACCCCUGCAGGGUUAUCAUGAUCUAUUCGAAUAGCCGCGUCCGCGGUAAAGGACUACUUGGUUGCCUAUACAGUUCAUAGACAAGUAAAUGGAAACUACUAAAAGCCUCAAGAUAAGUGUGAGUGCCGAGGAUGGCUCUUCCGUAGGAAGACGGAGGUGGAUCCUCGGUAGUGUAUUGAAGUGGUGAGUAGUGGACUCGUGUACGCAAAACCAUUUCAAGUUGGAGUCUCGUAGGUUAGCCUAGCCAAGAGUCAAAGCUGGCUUGCUGCAAUAACUCCACCAACCCUUCUUGAUAAUAUGCAUGUAUGUAGGAUCUGAUGUAAGUCUUGCUGAGUACCUUUGUACUCAUGUUGCUAUAAUUUACAUUUUUACAGAAGACGCUGCAACCCCUUCUGAUGGGUUCUACGUAGACGUUGACAUCAAUGAGUAGGCUAGGGCCCAAGUGGUGAUCCUGAGCUUGUGAAGGACCACGUAGUAUAGCUAGGCUUUCCAAGCCUCUUUUAUUUUCUUAGUUGUCUGUACUCAGACAAGUUACUUCCGCUGCUGGUUUGUAUGACUGUAUGACUUGAAUGCUGGGUCGUGUGACCCGUACCUUUGUGUAUGUUAUGUAUGGCUCUCUGAGCCUUAAAUAAAGUACUUAUGUCAUAGAGUCAUGUUGUGAUGCCUUGUUGCAUUUACCCAUAUCGAGCAUAUUGUGUGUAUGAUUGAAAUGCUUGGUAUGUGUGGGAUCUGACUAUCUAGUUGUUUAUCUUUAGUAGCCUCUCUUACCGGGAAAUGUCUCCUAGUGUUACCGCUGAGCCAUGGUAGCUUGCUACUGCUCUGGAACACUUAGGCUGGCCGGCAUGUGUCCUUCUUCGUUACGGUGUCUGUCCCUUCGGGGAAAUGUCACGCAUUGAGUACCGGAGUCCUGUUAGCCCGCUACAGCCCGGUUUACCGGAGUCCUGCUAGCCCAGUGCUACAGCCCGGACCCACUUGCUGAUGACCGACACGUUCGAAGCUGGGUCAUGGAUGCCUGUCCCUGUAAGUCUGUGCCACUUUGGGUUUACGACUAGUCAUGUCAGCCCGGGCUCCUUAUCAUAUGGAUGCUAGCGACACUAUCAUAUACGUGAGCCAAAAGGCGCAAACGGUCCCGGGCAAAGGUAAGGCGACACCCGUGGGGAUACCGUGCGUGAGGCCGCAAAGUGAUAUGAGGUGUUACCGGCUAGAUCGAUGUGACAUUGAGUCGGGGUCCUGACAGCGUUGGCAUCAGAGCUGGAUUGCCUGUAGGUUCUCCAAGCCAAACUGGUCGAUGUUGAGUCUAGAAAAUUCUUUAGUUAUAUGUAGGGGAAUUGUUUGUGGGUUGGAACGUAAGGCUCUUUUUACUCCUUUAUCUUAUGACAUUCUGAUCUGAGUCAGUCUAUUCUUCCACCGGGGGUUAAGGAAUUAGGAUCUAUUCUCUCUAUCAGGAUCACGUGUUACUAAUCAGUAGUACCUUAUAGGUUUGAUGGUUACAAGCCUAGUUCAGUUCUACUACCACAUUAUGUUGCUAGGAUGGACUCAGAACUUUGAUAUGAUGAUGUUGAGUGUGAAUGAAAUCCUUUGUCAAAUGUCUCAAAAUCCUUCUUGAGCAUUUACAGCUGUUAUGCUGCCGAAAUUUUGUUAGAAAUUCUAAUGCCUUUGCAUUAUGAUUGUGUUUUCAGAUGGCCACUCGCGACCUCAAUCAAGUGGUUCGCCUGACUCGAUGCCUAGAUGUACCCGGCCAUACCGCUAUGUUGGCCAGGGUAAUGACUGAGGCUGGAUACCGUUGGUAUCCUGAGUACACGGUCGAAGAGCAAUUCCGAGACUUUAAUCAAAGCCAGUAUCUCUGCACUGUCAGGAUAUUUCCAUCUUAUCCUGGGUCCACCGAGCCCCUUCACUGCUCCUAUGGACUCGGGGUUACUAUUGAGAUGGCUGUGCAGGACGCCGCCUACUCUAUGAUGACCAUCAUGCGAGUCAGGUCUGGCCUAUUUCGGGACUCUGAUUUCCGGUAUAUGCCAGGAUCACUUUCGGGAGCACAAGGGUAUCUCCAGGCUAUCUAUGCUGACCCCACCCAGGAGGAUUCACGGACUUGCACCACUGCUGAGAUGCUCGAGGAUAAGGACCGUGAAAAUCGGGCCUUGAGGUUAGAGCUCUUCAAUACCCGUGCUGACCAUUGGGCCACAUUGACUCGGUUUGCACCGGCGGUGCAAGCUGGAUAUUCGGAUAUGCGCGAUCUCUAUCCUGUGAGAUCUGCUCUGCCAGACGUGAUGGGUUGGCGUGAUGUAGGAGGCAUCACCCCACCUCGCGGUCCCCGCAGGCCACCGUCUGUUGGUCCAAGACCUCAUCCUAGUCCCUAUGGUCCACAAGCUCCGCGAGAUCAUCUGUUUCCGGAUGAUCAUGUUGAGCUUCCAGGCUAUGGAGGUGACUUCUACGAGGACUACUACGGAUCGGUCUGAGUUAGUAGUAGUAUCACUAGUUCGUGUUAGCUGUGUCGUCUAUCGUCCUGCGUGACUCGUGGGAUAUGACCUAGUUUGUAUCGCCUUCCGGAGGUGUAGAAAAAUAAUGUAUAGGAGCUUGGAAUGCCUCCGAUGAGAUGUAAUCCUCUUUUCACCGUAAUAGUACCUUGUUUGGUCUUGUACUAAACCCUGUAUGGUGUGUGUGACGAUGGAAUAAAGAAGCAGUUUCUGUAUCUACCAUGUCAUACGGAUGAUCAUCUUGCAUUCUGAGUUAUUCCUUACAUUCUGUAUCCUAUGUCGGAAUUUUAUCAUCCUGACUAAAUCAUUGUUUUGUUUACCUAGGAUGGUCAACACGCGCACUAACCCUGCUCCUCAAGAGCAGGCCGAAGGCAGUGAAGUCAGGAAUGCAAAUCUGCCUCAUCCUCCUUCCCUAGCCGAGGUUAUGAUGGAAGCCGAAAGAAACAAGCGGGAGACCAACCGUUUGUUGGAGCGUAUUGAACAGAACACGGCACACCAUCAAAGGACUAACGUGGUGUCACUCAGUGAUUUCAUCAAGUUACAUCCACCCACGUUCCACCACUCCAUCGAGCCUCUCGACGCUGAUGACUGGCUUCGCAGUAUUUCUCACAAACUGCGUUCCGCGCUGGUAGCAGAGGCUGACAAGGUCACCUUUGUUGCAUAUCAUCUUGAAGGUCCCGCCAGUCCAUGGUGGGAGAAUUAUGGAGCUAUGCGCCCAGCGGGCCAUGUCACUACUUGGGCUGAAUUCAGCGAGGCUUUCCGUGAACAUCACAUUCCGGAGGGUCUCAUGGACUGUAAAUGUGAGGAAUUUUGCAGUUUCACUCAGGGCCGACUCUCUGUGGAUGCUUACAGCAGGGAGUUUGGUAACCUCGCACGAUAUGCAACUGAGGAAGUUUCUACUGAUGCCAAGAAGCAAGCAAGGUUCCGUAAGGGGCUUAGUCCUGAGCUUCGCCGCGACCUCCGUCUGCAUGAGUGCACAUCUUUUCAGAAACUUGUUAACAAGGCCAUCAGUGCUGAAACUGGUCAGACUGAUUAUGAUGCAACACGCAAGCAUGGCCGUGACAUGGGUUCCUCAUCCGGUGCUGGUCCUCAGAAGCGCCGCGUGUGGGUGCCCAACACCGCCCUGCCACCCAGGUUCACACCAAGGCCAUCUUUCCAGGCGCCUCGCCCUGUUCAACAAUCUGCACCAGCCAAGCCCUAUGGUGGUCCAACCAACAGUUCUCCUCCACGCACCAGCUCCGUGACUUGUUUCAAGUGUGGGGAAUCUGGCCACUAUAUGCGUGAGUGUCCCCAGACCAACCCCAACCAAUCUGCUAAAGCUGUUGGCCGUGGCAAGCCGACAGGGAAAGUGUUCCAUGCCAAGCCGGCCACCGCUACACGUGGCCAUGUCAACUGUAUCUCUGCCGAAGAAGCUCAAGAGGAUCCCAACGUCGUUCUCGGUACGCUCCUUGUUAACUGCCACCCGGCAUCUGUUCUUUUCGAUACAGGAGCCUCUCAUUCAUUUAUAUCCGAGAACUAUGCUCGUUUGCAUAACACCGCAUUCUGUAACAUGCCAUCCACUAUGGAAAUUUCUACUCCUGGUUCUAGAUGGCAGACCUCCAGGGUAAGUUAUGGAAAUGAAAUCCAAGUCGACAGACUUGUUUUCCUUGCAUCUUUGAUAGCUCUCAAAUUUUCAGAUAUUAAUAUCAUUUUGGGUAUGGACUGGAUGUCAGCUCAUCAUGCCAAAAUUGAUUGCUUCUCUAGGACUGUUCAACUCACUCAUCCUUCGGGCAAGAUAGUCAAUGUCUUGACCCGAUUAGCCAAGCGACAAUUAUAUUCUCUUAACGCCAGCCCUUUGCCAGACCUUGAGGACGUUCCGGUAGUCUGUGACUUCCCGGAUGUCUUCCCAGAGGAAUUGCCAGGUGUUCCACCUGACAGGGAUGUUGAGUUUGUAAUAGACCUCAUCCCAGGAACCGUUCCGAUUGCUAGAAGACCUUAUAAGAUGGCACCACUAGAACUAGCCGAGCUUAAGAAACAACUCGAUGAGUCCUUGAAAAAGGGUUUCAUCCGACCUAGUUCAUCUCCGUGGGCUUGCCCCGUCCUCUUCGUCAAGAAGAAGGAUGGUACGGACCGGAUGGUUGUAGAUUAUCGACCUUUCAAUUUGGUCACAAUCAAGAACAAAUAUCCGCUUCCCAGGAUCAACGACCUGUAUGAUCAGCUCGCUGGAUCCUCAGUCUUCUCCAAGAUGGAUUUGAGGUUGGGCUACCAUCAAAUCAAAAUCAGAAAUGGGGACAUUCCUAAAACGGCCUUUGUUACUCAUUAUGGCCAAUACGAGUACACCGUCAUGUCCUUCGGUUUAACCAACGCUCCAGCCACCUUUUCUCGGUUAAUGAACUCAAUCUUCAUGGAGUAUUUGGAUAAAUUCGUCGUGGUUUACCUAGAUGAUAUACUCAUCUACUCCAAGAACGAGGAAGAACAUGCCGAACAUCUAAGGCUAGUGUUGAAGAAACUUCGAGAGCACCGCCUUUAUGCCAAGUUUUCCAAAUGUGAAUUUUGGUUGUCAGAAGUGACCUAUCUGGGUCAUGUAAUAUCUGGUAAAGGUAUUGCUGUUAACCCUGAGCGAGUUCAAGCCAUCCUUAAUUGGACUCCACCUGAAUCGGUCAAGCAAGUUCGGAGUUUUCUGGGCUUAGCGAGCUAUUGCCGUCGCUUUGUCGAAAACUUCUCCAAAGUUGCUAAACCUCUAACCGAACUCCUCAAGAAAGAUAAGAAGUUCGAAUGGACUCCACAAUGUGAGCACAGCUUUCAGGAACUGAAAAGACGCCUGACCUCUGCUCCCGUACUGGUACCGCCAGACUUCUCCAAGGACUUUGUUAUCUACUGCGACGCCUCGCGACAAGGACUAGGUUGCAUUCUCAUGCAAGAUCGACACGUAAUUGCUUACGCUUCACGGCAAUUGCACCCACAUGAGGAGAAUUAUCCUACUCAUGAUCUAGAACUUGCAGCCGUAGUCUAUGCACUUAAGACCUGGCGACAUUACCUCCUCGGUAACCGUUGCGAAAUAUUCACUGAUCACCAAAGUCUGAAGUACAUUUUCACCCAACCGGAUUUGAAUCUCAGGCAAAGACGUUGGGUCGAGUUGAUCACAGAUUUCGACUUAGGAAUAACUUACACCCCAGGGAAAGCCAACGUCAUGGCUGAUGCACUAAGUCGUAAAUCUUAUUGUAACAACCUGAUGUUACAACUAAGUCAACCGCUUCUCCAUGAGGAAUUUCGGAAGCUUAACCUUCACAUUGUUCCUCAAGGAUUUCUUUCCACCUUGGUGGCGAAACCUACUCUUACGGAUCAAAUCAUCGCUGCCCAGAAGCGAGAUAAGGGAAUAGCUAAGAUCAAGGAGAACAUCGCUAGCGGAGGUGCUAGUUGUUUCUCCACAAAUGAUCAUGGUGCUGUGUACUUUGAGAACCGUUUAGUGGUUCCCAAGAACCAGCAUGUACGGCAGUUGAUCCUUAAGGAGGCUCAUGAAUCUCCUCUCACCAUUCAUCCGGGUAGUACCAAGAUGUAUCAGGACCUACGCCAGAGGUUCUGGUGGACCAGGAUGAAGAGAGAAAUUGCUCAGUAUAUUGCUAAUUGCGACGUCUGUCGUCGUGUAAAAGCAGAGCAUCAACGGCCUGCUGGCACCCUUCAACCCUUAGCUAUUCCUGAAUGGAAAUGGGAUAAAAUUGGUAUGGAUUUCAUUACCGGUUUUCCCAGGACCAAAAGAGGGAAUAAUGCUAUCUUCGUCGUUGUUGAUCGUCUUUCCAAAGUGGCCCAUUUCUUACCUGUUCGUGAGAGUAUAACCGCUAGUCAGCUGGCAGACCUAUACAUCUCCCGAAUAGUGUCUCUCCAUGGUGUUCCUUUGGAAAUUAAUUCGGAUCGAGGAAGUCUUUUCACCUCUCGAUUUUGGGAAAGUUUCCAAAACGCUAUGGGAACCCGCCUUUCCUUUAGCACCGCUUUUCACCCUCAAUUGAGUGGUCAAGUAGAACGCGUCAACCAGAUCCUAGAAGACAUGCUUCGAGCCUCUGUUAUAUCAUUCGGAAUGGAUUGGGAGAAGUGCCUUCCAUUUGCCGAAUUCGCUUACAACAACAGCUAUCAAUCUAGCUCGGGUAAAGCCCCUUUUGAAGUUCUCUAUGGACGACAGUGUCGAACACCCCUUAACUGGUCAGAGACCGGGGAAAGACAAUUCUUUGGCCCGGAUAUGAUUCAGGAAGCAGAAGAGCAAGUUCGCAUCGUUCGUGAAAAGUUGAAAACAGCCCAAUCUCGUCAAAAGAGUCAAUAUGACCGAAAACAUAAGGCUAUGACUUUCGAGGUUGACGAGAAGGCUUACCUUCGGGUUAACCCUCUGAAGGGAACCCAUCGUUUCGGUAUCAAAGGCAAAUUGGCUCCUUGUUACAUUGGACCUUUUCGCAUUCUCGCUAAACGAGGAGAAGUUGCCUACCAGUUGGAACUACCUCCGCACCUCUCCAGAGUCCACGAUGUCUUCCACGUUUCUCAACUCAGGCGUUGCUUCUUGGAUCCUAUCCGUGGAGUGGACCACGAAACGCUUGAUCUCCAAGAUAAUCUUACAUAUCGAGAGUACCCCAUUCGUAUCCUCGAUCAGGCCGAGCGUACCACUCGACGUCAUAAUAUCAAGUUUCUCAAAGUUCAAUGGUCACACCAUUCUGAGGAUGAAGCAACUUGGGAAAGGGAGGAUCGUCUUCGACUCGAGUAUCCCGCUUUCUUCCCGGAGGAACCCAAAUCUCGGGACGAGAUUCUUUUGAGUGGGGGUGAGUUGUCACACCCUAGCUAGUCAUGCAUUAGAGUGUUGCAUCAUGUUUAUUCUUUCACCAGAAACCUGAAAUGGGGAUGACAGAACCCCCAGUCCCCUUUGAAACCAACUAGGGUUUACUAAAAACUUUUUCAAUGAACCUGAAAUGCCCUUCUAAAAUGCCCAUCAUUUUUGUCUUGGUUCAGAACCUCUGCCAAAAGUGAUGCACAUUUUCCUAGGCCAUCUUAGGGUUUUUGAAUUAAAUCAUAAAUAUUUGAAUUUGGGCAUUUAAAAUUAUAUAAAAUAUUUAAAUGCUCAAAUAUCUCCAAACUAAAAUGUUUCAUAUUGGAAAUAAUCCAACUAUGGACCAGGAGUAGUUUGGUGAUUUUAGGAGUAGCCUAAGUAUUUUAUUUAAUUCAACAAAGUUGCAGAAGUAUUAAAAAAACAGAAAACAGAAAGAAAUGGAAAAACUUACCUGGCGCCUGCUCCCGGCCCACCUGCCGGCCCAGCCCAGUGCCGCUCCAGCGAGCUGCUUGCCGGCCAGGCAGGCAGGCAGGUGCCCGACGGCGACCGCAGCGCGCGCCACGCACCUGCUCGCCGCCUCGCUGCUCCCCGCGCCCGGUGACGUCGUGGAUCAGCCUCUCUCGCUCCCCCGAACCCCCCAGACACCCCCUCUCCUCUCCAGCUCCUCCCCCUCGCGCUCCCCCGCCAUGGCCGAUGCCACCAUCGCCGUGCCUUCGUCCUAGCCGUGCUCCCCGCCGCCCGUGCGUCCUCUCAUCGUGUCCAGGAGCUCCGCCGCUGUCCACUCCAUCGAGCAACCCGAGCCCUGAGCGCUUGCAACGCCCGAGUCCACCACAACGACCUCGCCCGAACCGCCGUCGCUGGAGAUCCCCUUCAACGCCGUCGUCGCUCCGGUCCAUCUCCGGCCGCACCAAGGGCUUCGUCGCACUCACUGUGAGCUUAGCCAUCUUCCCCUCCCUUCCGUUCUUGCUCCCGAGCCGUGUAGCGACCUCCCGGAGCUCAACCGCACCUACCGCUGUGGAGCUCGUCUCCGACGUGCUCCCGGUCAUCCUCCGGCCACUCCACGGUGUCCAUCAUGCUCACUGUGUCACUUAACACCUAGCUAGCUACUCCCCGAGCCUCACCGACCCCUCUAGCGUCAAGUUCGUCUUCGGCCGAACCCCGGUGGCCGCCAAAGUCGUCGCCGGCGCCAACUCCAGCCACCCCGACCCCAACGGACUCCACCAAGAGCUGCGGCUCGUCCUCAGCUCCACUCUGGUGGUCUCCGCGACCCAAUUGGUGGCCGAAACAGCCAAAACCACUUCCGCCGCCGCGUCGGGCUCGCCGGCGGCUAAACGCCGGUGCAGCCGACCCGGGUUUGACCACGGGUGGGCCCUGGUUGACUCCCCUGAGUCAAUGACAGGUGGGGCCCAGCCCUGUUAAUUAAACAGGUUUAGUUUUAAUUAAACUUUAAUUAAUUUAAUCACCCUGACACGCGGGACCCACUGUCAGGUUUGACCUGGACGUGUUCCGUUGACCUGCUGACGUCACACUGACGUCAGGCUGACGCAAUAAUUGAUUUUCUGGAAUUAAUCUAAUAUAGGAAAUUCCAGAAUAUAGUUUAAACUUCAAAAAUUCAUAACUUUUAUUCUGUAACUCCAAAUCAGACAAAUUAUAUAUGAAAAAUGAUCAGAAAAAUCCAAUCUAUCCAUCUGUACUAUUUUCAUGCAUGAUUAAACAAGUUAACCUGAUGUUUAAUGCAGAACAAGGAAAAACACUUUAAAGGACCAUAUUUGAGUUUGAAAUUUGAAUCUUUGAUUCAAAUUAGUACAAAACCUCCUGGUCUUAGUUGCAUUAGCCCAACACACUCAUAUUGCUAUGUUCCAUGCAUGCAUCAUAUUGUUGCACAUUGUUUGGUGAUGGUUGUGUAUCGGUGUUCUUUAUGGCAGGUUCUGCCCCCGAGGAGUACCGUGAUUACCCUAACGAAGAACCGUAUCAGUGCAUCGAACCAUCAGGCAAGCAACCAACCAUUUGAUCAUAUCGAUACAAUCCCAUGUUCUCGCUCCUGCUCUCUUUUACUGCAUUAAGACAACGCGUUUCAAACUGCUGUGUGCUACGGUAGUUGAACCCAUUUCCUCUGCAUGACCAGUCUUUGCCAUAGUAACUAGAUGAAACCCACUAGCAUGUGUAGGAGUUGAUUGAGCCAUAUGUAUGUGUUGUUCCUACCUUGCUAUGCCUGCUAUGCUUAGAGUUGUGUCAGGUCUGGUUCAUCUGGGUGAUGGGCUAGAGUGAAAUGAUUAUGUCGGUAAUGAGAGUGGUGUGGUGAACACGAUUUGGUAAAGGUAUCGAUGAGAGGCCAUGUAGGAGUACAUGGUGGGUUGUUUCAUUGAAGCCGACCUUAAGCACUGAGAUCUGUAUGUGUGAUUUAAGAUAUAGCUACUACCAUGCAUUGGGCCCUGAAAUAUGACCCCGCUCGACUUCUUAUUCACCCUAGCUCUCUGUCCAGGAGUUGCAAGUAGUUUCUGGUGUUUGUAGCCUACUAGAGGCCGUGGACAGUGCUGACCGUAGGGGUGGGCUGUGAUGCGGUAGGUACGUGGCCGGGUGUACCGAAUACCCGUUAGGUAUCUCGGGAACCCUGUUCACAUCGUUCGGGGCCGUAUGGGAAACCUCGGCCGGACUCCCUGCGGAUGGAACCUGGAUAGGCGAUAAACCUGGACUAGAGGCUUAAGUGUUUAGGUAGGUCGUGGUCUACACCCACGUCGGCUUUCGCUUGAAGUCUGCCGAGCACAUGUCGUGUGCAGACGCUAAGUGGUGGAAACAUGUAUGAAGAAGUACACCCCUGCAGGGUUAUCAUGAUCUAUUCGAAUAGCCGCGUCCGCGGUAAAGGACUACUUGGUUGCCUAUACAGUUCAUAGACAAGUAAAUGGAAACUACUAAAAGCCUCAAGAUAAGUGUGAGUGCCGAGGAUGGCUCUUCCGUAGGAAGACGGAGGUGGAUCCUCGGUAGUGUAUUGAAGUGGUGAGUAGUGGACUCGUGUACGCAAAACCAUUUCAAGUUGGAGUCUCGUAGGUUAGCCUAGCCAAGAGUCAAAGCUGGCUUGCUGCAAUAACUCCACCAACCCUUCUUGAUAAUAUGCAUGUAUGUAGGAUCUGAUGUAAGUCUUGCUGAGUACCUUUGUACUCAUGUUGCUAUAAUUUACAUUUUUACAGAAGACGCUGCAACCCCUUCUGAUGGGUUCUACGUAGACGUUGACAUCAAUGAGUAGGCUAGGGCCCAGGUGGUGAUCCUGAGCUUGUGAAGGACCACGUAGUAUAGCUAGGCUUUCCAAGCCUCUUUUAUUUUCUUAGUUGUCUGUACUCAGACAAGUUACUUCCGCUGCUGGUUUGUAUGACUGUAUGACUUGAAUGCUGGGUCGUGUGACCCGUACCUUUGUGUAUGUUAUGUAUGGCUCUCUGAGCCUUAAAUAAAGUACUUAUGUCAUAGAGUCAUGUUGUGAUGCCUUGUUGUAUUUACCCAUAUCGAGCAUAUUGUGUGUAUGAUUGAAAUGCUUGGUAUGUGUGGGAUCUGACUAUCUAGUUGUUUAUCUUUAGUAGCCUCUCUUACCGGGAAAUGUCUCCUAGUGUUACCGCUGAGCCAUGGUAGCUUGCUACUGCUCUGGAACACUUAGGCUGGCCGGCAUGUGUCCUUCUUCGUUCCGGUGUCUGUCCCUUCGGGGAAAUGUCACGCAUUGAGUACCGGAGUCCUGUUAGCCCGCUACAGCCUGGUUUACCGGAGUCCUGCUAGCCCAGUGCUACAGCCCGGACCCACUUGCUGAUGACCGACACGUUCGAAGCUGGGUCAUGGAUGCCUGUCCCUGUACGUCUGUGCCACUUUGGGUUUACGACUAGUCAUGUCAGCCCGGGCUCCUUAUCAUAUGGAUGCUAGCGACACUAUCAUAUACGUGAGCCAAAAGGCGCAAACGGUCCCGAGCAAAGGUAAGGCGACACCCGUGGGGAUACCGUGCGUGAGACCGCAAAGUGAUAUGAGGUGUUACCGGCUAGAUCGAUGUGACAUCGAGUCGGGGUCCUGACACGUACGUCUUCACGAUCCGACCGAUCCAAGUACCGAACGUACGGCACCUCCGAGUUCAGCACACAUUCAGCUCGAUGACAAUCCCCGGGCUCCGAUCCAGCAAAGCUUCGGGGAUGAGUUCCGUCAGCACGACGGUGUGGUGACGAUGAUGAUGCUCUACCGGCGCAGGGCUUUGCCUAAACUCCGCGACGAUAUGACCGAGGUGGAAUAUGGUGGAGGGGGGCACCGCACACGGCUAAGGAACGAUCCGUAGAUCAACUUGUGUGUCAUGGGGUGCCCCCCUGCCCCCGUAUAUAAAGGAGCAAGGGGGGAGGAGGCCGGCCCUAGGAGGGGGCGCGCCAAGUGUGGAGUCCUACUAGGACUCCCUAGUCCUAGUAGGAUUCCACCUCCCUUGUUGGAGUAGGAGAAGGGGAAAGAGGGGGAGAGGAAGAAGGAAAGGGGGGCUGUGCCCCUUGUCCAAUUCGGACCAGAGGGGGGGCGCAGGCCUCCUUCCUUUUGGCCUCUCUCCUCUAUUCCCGUAUGGCCCAAUAAGGCCCAUAUACUCCCCGGCGAAUUCCCGUAACUCUCCGGUACUCCGAAAAAUACCCGAAUCACUCGGAACCUUUCCGAACUCUGAAUAUAGUCGUCUCAUAUAUCGAUUUUACAUCUCGACCAUUUCGAGACUCCUCGUCAUGUCCCCGAUCUCAUCCGGGACUCCUAACUCCUUCGGUACAUCAAAACUCAUAAACUCAUAAUAUAACUGUCAUCGAAACCUUAAGCGUGCGGACCCUACGGGUUUGAGAACUAUGUAGACAUGACCUAGAACUAUUCUUGGUCAAUAACCAAUAGCGGAACCUGGAUGCUCAUAUUGGCUCCUACAUAUUCUACGAAGAUCUUUAUCGGUCAAACCGCAUAACAGCAUACGUUGUUCCCUUUGUCAUCGAUAUGUUACUUGCCCGAGAUUCGAUCGUCGGUAUCCAAUACCUAGUUCAAUCUCGUUACCGGCAAGUCUCUUUACUCGUUAUGUAAUGCAUCAUCCCGCAACUAACUCAUUAGUCACAUUGCUUGCAAGGCUUAUAGUGAUGUGCAUUACCGAGAGGGCCCAGAAUUACCUCUCCAACAAUCGGAGUGACAAAACCUAAUCUCGAAAUACGCCAACCCAACAUGUACCUUUGGAGACACCUGUAGUACUCCUUUAUAAUCACCCAGUUACGUUGUGACGUUUGGUAGCACCCAAAGUGUUCCUCCGGUAAACGGGAGUUGCAUAAUCUCAUAGUUACAGGAACAUGUAUAAGUCAUGAAGAAAGCAAUAGCAACAUACUAAACGAUCAAGUGCUAGGCUAACGGAAUGGGUCAUGUCAAUCACAGCAUUCUCCUAAUGAUGUGAUCCCGUUAAUCAAAUGACAACUCAUGUCUAUGGUUAGGAAACAUAACCAUCUUUGAUUAAUGAGCUAGUCAAGUAGAGGCAUACUAGUGACUAUAUGUUUGUCUAUGUAUUCACACAUGUAUCAUGUUUCCGGUUAAUACAAUUCUAUCAUGAAUAAUAAACAUUUAUCAUGAAAUAAGGAAAUAAAUAAUAACUUUAUUAUUGCCUCUAGGGCAUAUUUCCUUCAGUACUCGGGUCGCUGGUACAGCAUCUAGCCAGCCAGCUGUCUUCCCCGCGCAAAAGCGGGUCAUGAGACUUGUUAGUGCGGCCAUUGUUCUUGGUUUUUCCUGGCCGAGGUGUCUGGCGAGCCAUUCGUCUCGGACGUUGUGUUUAAAGGCUGCUAAGGCUUCAGCGUCCGGACAGUCGACUAUUUGGUUCUUUUUAGUGAGGAACCUGUUCCAGAAUUUGUGUGCUGAUUCUCUGGGCUAUUGAGUUAUGUGACUUAAAUCAUCUGCAUCCGGAGGCCGGACAUAAGUCCCCUGGAAAUUUGCUCGAAACGCAUCCUCAAGCUCUUCCCAACUUCCGAUCGUAUUUUCUGGGAGGCUUUUAAGCCGAUGCCGAGCCGGCCCUUUGAGCUUGAGGGGUAGGUAUUUUAUGGCAUGGAGAUCGUCUCCUCUUGCCAUAUGUAUGUGUAGGAUAUAAUCCUCAAUCCAGACUCCGGGGUCUGUUGUUCCGUCGUAUGCCUCUAUGUUCACGGGUUUAAAUCAUGCUGGAAAUCCAUGAUCUAGUACCUCAUUGGUAAAACAUAGUGGGUGCGCGGCGCCCCUGUAUUUGGGUGUGCCGUUGUCUUCAAACGCUCGGCUGGUUGUGUUACUUCCUGGAGUCUUCUUUUUUGGCCCAUAGAUAGACCUGGCUGGGUUAUCCUUUUUCUGAGGAUCUUUAUGCUGAUCGUGUGUCGGCUUGUGUGCGGCGCCCCGUGUUGCUCUUGGCCUGUCAUCUGGUCGUCUAUCCGGCCAGGUGGCUUCUUUCUUUUUUGACUGUGAGGGCUUUAAGGCCUCCUCGUCAAAUUCGGGCAACAGCUUGCGCUUCGGGUAGCUCUUUGUCUGGUGACUAGUGCCGUAUUUAUCUGCGGUGAUAAGUACUUUGCUCCAUCUCAUUCUGAGUGCGUCUUCCGCUGUUUUGAGCUUCCGCUUUUGCUUCUUCAAACUUCUUGCAGUGGCGACGACCCUUUUAGGAAGAUUCAUAUGCUCUGGUGAUGUGAGAUCAUCUUCGCCGGGGAUGGGUUGCUUGUCCAGUUCAUGUCCGGCUGGCUGCUUGUUGACGUGUGUGUCAUCCACUGCUUCGUCCUGCUCUAAGGCCGGGUCCGUAUGGGUGCCGUUUUUGUCGAUGCCGGUCUUCGGGCGGCGCUUGCGUCGCCGCUUUGUUUGUUUGUUGGGGGAGUUGUCCUUUCCCACGUCCCAUUUUUCCUGAUUGUCGCUUCCUUUUGGUGUGUCCACCAUGUAUACGUCGUGGGCUGGGGUGGCUUUCCUGCGCCCGUUAGGCGCUGGUUCUUGGUCGUCUCCGGCAUCAUCGUCCGUACUGUCGAUGUCCUCGGAGUCGUAGUCUAGCAUGUCAGUUAAAUCGUCGACAACGGCUACCAAGUGGGUGGUGGGUGGGCUUUGAAUUUCUUCGUCGUCCGCAUCCCAACCGUCCUGACCGCAGUCCGGCCAGGUCUCUCCUGAUAACGAGAGAUAUUUUAGCGAACUCAAGAUGUUGCCGAAAGGUGAUGUUGAAAGACGUCCGCUGCGGUGAACUCCAUGAUCGGCGCCCAUACGGAUUCGAUCGGGGCGGGCGCGCGAGGUUCGGAGUCCGGCGAGGAGUUCGGCACCUCGGAGUCACGAGCUUUAUGAGGGACAAAGUCAGUGUUCGGCUCUAUCGCCGUAGAGGUUGCAGCCCCCGAGGCGGUGUCUAGGCAUCCAUCCUCGAUCUGCGGAGCUGGCUCCGAAUUGAAGGUCGGAGCGGUUUCGAGUGCGGCCUCGAAGGUACUGUCCGGCUGCAGAGCUAAAUCAUGCUCGCCACGACAGUGCGGCACGCUCGGCUGUGGCUCGAACCUAUCAAGGAUCAAGUCCCCACGGAUGUCAGUCGUGAAGUUCAAACUUCCAAACCUGACCUGACGGCCAGGGGCGUAGCUUUCGAUCUGCUCCAGUUGGCCAAGCGAAUUGGCCCGCAGUGCAAAGCCGCCGAAUACGAAGAUUUGUCCGGGGAGGAAGGUCUCGCCCUGGACUGCAUCGUUGAUGAUGAUUGAAGAAGCCAUCGAGCCUAUCAGUGAUGACACAGAGGAACUCUCAAUGAAAGCACCAAUGUCGGUGUCAAAACCGGCGGAUCUCGGGUAGGGGGUCCCGAACUGUGCGCCUAGGUGGAUGGUAACAGGAGACGAGGGACACGAUAUUUUACCCAGGUUCGGUCCCUCUUGAUGGAGGUAAAACCCUACGUCCUGCUUGAUUAAUAUUGAUGAUGUGUGUUACAAGAGUGGAUCUACCACGAGAUCAAGGAGGCUAAACCCUAGAAGCUAGCCUAUGGUAUGAUUGUUGUUCGUCCUAUGGACUACAGCCAUCCGGUUUAUAUAGACACCGGAGAGGGCUAGGGUUACACAGAGUCGGUUACAAAGGUAGGAGAUCUACAUAUCCGUAUCGCCAAGCUUGCCUUCCACGCCAAGGAAAGUCCCAUCCGGACACGGGACGAAGUCUUCAAUCUUGUAUCUUCAUAGUCUUGGAGUCCGGCCGAUGAUGAUAGUUCGGCUAUCCGGACACCCCCUAGUCCGGGACUCCCUCAGCUGGACAAUAGGUGCAGUGAUCAAAGCUUUCUUAAGUAUUUCAAAUGCUUCUACACAAUCACCAUCAAAGACAAAAGGAAUAUCUUUUUGCAAUAAAUUAGUCAAAGGCCUAGAGAUUUUAGAAAAGUCCUUAAUGAACCUCCUAUAAAAACCGCAUGACCAAGGAAACUUCUUAUACCUUUAGCUUUAUCAACUUUGAUACCUCUCUCAAAGAUCUUGUGCCGCAAAACAAUGCCUUCAUUCACCAUAAAGUGGCACUUUUCCCAAUUCAAGACGAGACUAGUGUCUUCGCAUCUCUACAAAACUCGAUCAAGGUUGCUCAAACAAUCAUCAAAAGAGGAUCCAUAAACAGAGAAAUCAUCCAUGAAUACCUCACAAAUCUUUUCACAAAAAUCAGAGAAUAUAGCCAUCAUGCAUAUUUGAAAGGUAGCAGGUGCAUUACAUAAACCAAAAGGCAUAUGUCUAUAAGCAAAAGUACCAAAAGGGCAAGUAAAAGUAGUUUUAGAUUGAUCCCCCACUGACACAGGUAUUUGAGAGAAGCCAGAAUAACCAUCUAGAAAGCAUAAAUGUGUGUGUUUGGAUACUCUUUCUAGCAUUUGAUCAAUAAAAGGUAAAGGGUAAUGAUCUUUCUUAGUAGCUUUAUUUAAUUUACGAAAAUCAAUUACCAUCCUAUAACCUGUAAUAAUUCUUUGCGGGAUCAAUUCAUCUUUAUCAUUAGGAACGACAGUAAUACCUCCCUUUUUAGGAACACAAUGGACAGGGCUUACCCAAUCACUGUCAGCAACGGGAUAAAUUAUACCUGCCUCAAGGAGCUUUAGUAUCUCCUUUCUUACCACUUCUUUCAUCUUGGGAUUCAGUCGUCGUUGAGGAUCUCUAACUGGUUUGGCAUCUUUCUCCACUAUAAUUUUGUGUUGGCAUAAUGUGGGACUAAUGCCCUUAAGAUCAUCCAGAGUAUAUCCAAUAGCAGCUCGGUGAUUCUUCAGAGUUUUCAAUAAUCUUUCUUCUUCUUGCUCUGAAAGGUUAGCACUAAUAAUAAUAGGAUAUAUUUUCUUCUCAUCAAGAUAAGCAUACUUAAGAUUAUCAGGUAAUGGUUUGAGUUCAAACACGGGAUCACCCUUGGGUGGAGGGGGAUCCCCAAGAAUUUCAAUAGGAAGGUUAUGUUUCAGCAUAGGUUCCUGUUUAAGGAACACUUCAUCUAUUUCCCGUCUUUCCUUCAUAAACAUUUCGUUUUCAUGGUCUAGCAAAUAUUGUUCUAACGGAUCAGUAGGAGGUACGGCAAUGGAAGCAAGACCAAUAAUCGCAUCCUUACUAGGGAUUCUAUAUCACGAGGUUGUCUAUGAAACUUAGCAAAAUUAAAUACAUGAGACAUACCCUCUAAGCCAAUUGUAACAGUAUCCUUUUCACAAUCAAUCCUAGCCUUAACCGUGUUCAAGAAGGGUCUACCGAAAAUAAUGGGACAAAUAUCAUCUUGUGGGGAACCAAGAACAAGAAAAUCAGCAGGGUAUUUAACCUUCCCACACAAGACUUCAACAUCUCUAACUAUCCCAACUGGUUUAAUGGUAUCCCUAUUAGCAAGCUUAAUAGUAACAUCAAUGUCUUCUAAUUCAAUGGGUGCAAUUUCAUGCAUAAUUUCUUUAUAUAAAUCAUAGGGUAUUGCACUAGCACUAGCACCCAUAUCACAUAAGCCAUGAUAACAAUGAUCUCCUAUUUUAACAGAAAUAACAGGCAUGCCUACGACAGGUCUAUGUAUCUUAGUAUCUGGUCUAGCAAUAUUAGCAGUCUCACCAUAGAAAUACAUAACAUGCCCAUCUAAAUCAUCAUCCAAGAGAUCUUUAACCAUAGCAAUACUAGGUUCAACUUUGAUUUUCUCAGGAGGUGUAUAAGUCCUAGUAUUACUCUUAUGAACAAUAGUUGAAGUUUUAGCAUGAUCCUUUAUCCUAACAAGAAAAGGAGGUUUCUCAACAUAAGUAGUAGGAACAAUAGGAUCACUAUAGGUGAUAGUCUUUUCUUCAACUGUAAUAGGUGCAACUACUUUCACUUCAACGGAGGAUUAUAUUUAAACCAUUUCUCCUUAGGGAGAUCAACGUGAUUAGCAAAAGAUUCACAGAAAGAAGCUACUAUCUCAGAGUCAAGUCCAUAUUUAGCGCUAAAUCCAGGAAAAGCAUCGGUAUCCAUAAAAGAUUUAACACAAUCAAACUUACGUGUCAUACCUGACUCCUUACCAUCAUCGGAACCCCAAUCUUCAGAGUUGCGUUUAAUUCUUUCCAAUAAGUCCCAUUUGAAAUCAAUAGUCUUCAGCAUAUAAGAACCAGCACAGGAAGUAUCGAGCAGGUUGCGAUCAUUGAGAGAAAGCCGAGCAUAAAAAUUUUGAAUAAUCAUUUCCCGGGAGAGCUCGUGAUUGGGGCAUGAAUAUAUCAUUGACUUAAGCCUCCCCCAAGCUUGAGAGAUGCUUUAUCCUUCGCAAGGCUAGAAAUUAUAUAUGUAAUUACAAUCACGAUGAACAAGAUGCAUAGGAUAAAACUUCUCGUGAAAUUCCAACUUCAAUCGUUUAUAAUUCCAAGAUCUCGUAUCAUCACAUAGCCUAUACCAUGUCAAUGCAUCUCCCUUCAAAGAUAAUGGGAAGACUUUCCUUUUGAAAACAUCAUCGGGAACACCUGCAAGCUUAAAUAAUCCACAAACUUCAUCCACAAAGAUAAGGUGUAAAUCGGGAUGCAAUGUUCCAUCUCCUGUAAAUGGAUUAGCUAGCAGUUUCUCUAUCAUACCCGAAGGAAUCUCAAAGUAAAUAUUUUCAAAAAUUUCAGUAGGUUGAGGAGCAACUCUUUGAUCUUCUGGUCAGGGUGAAGAUACCCCGAACAAGCCCCUCAAAGGAUUAGUUUCCAUAGUGACAAGUAACAGAAAAUUUCAGGACACUAUAUAAAUGUUUCCUUACCAAGUUCCACUCACCAAAAGCGCUACACUCCCCGGCAACGGCGCCAGAAAAGAGUCUUGAUGACCCAAAAGUGUAGGGGAUCUAUCGUAGUCCUUUCGAUAAGUACGAGUGUCGAAGCCAACGAGGAGCAAAAGGAAAUGAUAAGCGGCUUUCAGUAAGGUUUUCUCUGCAAGCACUGAAAUUGUAGGUAAUAGAUAGUUUUGUGAUAAGAUAAAUUGUAAUGAGUAACAAGCAAUGAAAGUAAAUAAAGUGCAGCAAGGUGGCACAAUCCUUUAUGUAGCAAAGGAUAAGCCUGGACAAUUUCCUAUAAUGAAGAAGGAGCUCCUGAGGACACAUGGGAAUUAUCGUCAAGCUAGUUUUCAUCACGCUCAUAUGAUUCGCGUUCGGUACUUUGAUAAUUUGAUAUGUGGGUGGAGCGGUGCUUGGGUACUGCCCUUACUUGGACAAGCAUCCCACUUAUGAUUAACCCCUAUUGCAAGCGUCUGCAACUACAAAAGAAGUAUUAAGGUAAACCUAACCACAGCAUUAAACAUAUGGAUCCAAAUCAGCCCCUAACGAAGCAACGCAUAAACUAGGGUAUAAGCUUCUGUCACUCUAGCAACCCAUCAUCUACUUAUUACUUCCCAAUGCCUCCCUCUAGGCCCAAAUAAUGGUGAAGUGUCAUGUAGUCGACGUUCACAUAAAACCACUAGAGGAAAAGACAACAUACAUAUCAUCAAAAUAUCGAACGAAUACCAAAUUCACAUGACUACUAAUAGCAACACUUUACCCAUGUCCUCAGGAACAAACGUAACUACUCACAAAGCAUAUUCAUGUUCAUAAUCAGAGGAGUAAUAAUAUGCAUUAAGGAUCUGAACAUAUUAUGUUCCACCAAGUAAACCAAUUAGCAUCAACUACAAGGAGUAAUCAACACUACUAGCAACCACAGGUACCAAUUUGUGGUUUUGAUACAAGAUUGGAUACAAGAGAUGAACUAGGGUUUUGAGAGGAGAUGGUGCUGGUGAAGAUGUUGAUGGAGAUUGACCCCCUCCCGAUGAGAGGAUCGUUGGUCAUGAUGAUGGUGAUGAUUUACCCCUCCCGGAGGGAAGUGUCCCCGGCAGAACAGCUCUGUCGGAGCUCUAGAUUGGUUCCGCCAAGGUUCCGCCUCGUGGCGGCAGAGUUUCGUCCCGUAAGCUUGCCCAUGAUUUUUUCCAGGGUAAAAGCCCUCGUAUAGCAGAAGAUGGACACCGUGGGGCCACCAAGGGGCCCAGGAGAUAGGGGGCGCGCCCCCCACCCUCCUUUCCAGGGUGUGGGCCCCCUGAUGUAUUUCUUCCUCUAAAUAAUUCUUAUUAAUUCCAAAAACAUGUUUUGUGGAGUUUCAGGAUUUUUGGAGCAGUGUAGAAUAGGUUUCCAAUAUUUGCUCCUUUUCUACCCAGAAUUCCAGCUGCCGGUAUUCCCCCUCUUCAUGGUAAACCUUGUAAAAUAAGGGAGAAUAGCCAUAAGUAUUGAGAUAUAAUGUGUAAUAACAGCCCAUAAUGCAAUAAAUAUUGAUAUAAACGCAUGAUGCAAAGUGGACGUAUCAGAGGCGGCGCGCUUUUUGGCUUGCUCUAGUCCUAGUAGUCAUACUAGGUGGUCUAAGCACGUGUAGAUUUAUUCUUUUUCACGUCUCGUGUUCGUCGUACUGCCACGACUGUUGAUGAGUAGACGGUAAGUUAUUCACGGGGAAACCCUUGUUGAGCGUGUUUGCAAGAGGGAGAGACAGUGUGCGUGUGUGAUAUGUUAGAGACUGAGGCAAUGAUAACAGAUUCUUUGUGUCUAUGUGUGUGGAGGAUAGAGAGAGACAUGUACAUGGGGCUUUGUGUUGUGUAACAUGGAGACACAUAUACAUAAUUAGAGAGUGAGUGUGUGAGAUACACAUGCGGACAUGGGGAGAGAUGAGGAUCCAGAUAAAUGGGUGUUUGUGCGUGUCUGUGUGUAUUUGUGCACGUGUUUGUGUGUGAGAGGGAGUGUGUGUAUGGGGAGUAGAGAGACCACUAAUGAUGUAAACCUAGUAUAAGGGAAGGGGGAAUGGUGUGACAUGUGUAGUAGCGGGAUAGCAUGGGUGCGGGCGGGGGGAGCAGACUAUUUGGAAGAGACAUCGAGUGUGUGUGUGGGAGAGGGGUGUGAGAGCGAGAGAGAGAGAGAGAGAGAGAGAGAGAGAGAGAGCUAGCGACGUAGAGAGAGAGGAAGAGAGGGGGCGAGAGGGGUCGUUUGUGUCCAUAAAUGGCACAUAGAUAGGGAGACAAUGUUGAUGUUGUUCGAAAUUGGCCUAUGUACGGAGACGCAAGGGAAGCGAGUCAUCGUGUGUGUGAUAGGGACUUCAUGAGAGAUCUAGAAUAGAUGGUGUAGAGAACAAUGUGUGAAAUCGAGAACGAUGAUACAUUAGGGAGCUAUGGAAAGAGUCACAACAUAUAUGUAUACAGGGAAGGAGCUGGGGCGGGUCCGCAUGUGGGAGAGAUAGAAAGAGGAGAGUGGUGCACAAGGAGACAAAGUGUGCUUGUUCGCAGUGGGGGUGGUGUGUGAGGUGAGUGUGCGAGAACCACAUAAGUAGGGAGGUAGACGUUUGGGGGCGACAUUUUGUGUGUAUGGGAAAUAUACACUCUACAUAGUGUGUGUGCUUGGGAAAGAGAGAUAGCGGGAGACCUAGAGAGUGAGGGAAGAGAUGUGUGCAUGCUCGAGAGACAAAGUGAUAGAAACCUAUAUUGGGGUCCGGACUUUAGAAGAGAGAGGGGUGUUAAUGUGCUCGUGUGUUGGUGUUUAGGGGAGAGAACGACUUCUCUAUGUGUGUGGGGGGCGAGGGGGGGUGGCUUCAGAUAAAGAGUGAGGUGUCUAUAUUUGAGGGACUUUAGCGUAAUUGAGAUAUUGUGCACUCAUGGUUGAUCAAUUUGUUUCAUAGUUUGGACUAUGAGAUAACGAUACUUUUGAACAUGCGUGAUAUACCUUGUUGUACUAGAAUUACAAACCUAAGAUUGGAAUUUUGGAAUUCGAUCCAUCAUUAGCUUUUGUAAUUCAUUUAAACGGAGGUACAUUUUUUAAGCCGGGAUUUCGUGAUUUCAAAUUCAUAUAUCAAACCUAGAGAUAUACACAUACGGGCAUGUUCAAACUUUAUAAUCAUCCACUGUUGGAAAUAUGCCCUAGAGGCAAUAAUAAAAGGAUUAUUAUUAUAUUUCCUUGUUCAUGAUAAUUGUAUUUUAUUAAUGCUAUAAUUGUAUUAUCCGGAAAUCGUAAUAUACGUGUGAAUACAUAGACCACAACAUGUCCCUAGUGAGCCUCUAGUUGACUAGCUCGUUAAUCAACAGAUAGUCAUGGUUUCCUGACUAUGGACAUUGGAUGUCAUUGAUAACGAGAUCACAUCAUUAGGAGAAUGAUGUGAUAGACAAGACCCAAUCCUAAGCAUAGCACAAGAUCGUAUAGUUCGUUUGCUAGAGCUUUUCCAAUGUCAAGUAUCUUUUCCUUAGACCAUGAGAUCGUGUAACUCCCGGAUACCGUAGGAGUGCUUUGGGUGUGCCAAACGUCACAACGUAACUAGGUGACUAUAAAGGUAUACUACGGGUAUCUCUGAAAGUGUCUGUUGGGUUGACACGGAUCGAGACUGGGAUUUGUCACUCCGUAUGACGGAGAGGUAUCUCUGGGCCCACUCGGUAAUGCAUCAUCAUAAUGAGCUCAAAGUGACCAAGUGUUUGGUCACGGUAUCAUGCAUUACGGUACGAGUAAAGUGACUUGCCGGUAACGAGAUUGAAUGAGGUAUUGGGAUACCGACGAUCGAAUCUCGGGCAAGUAACAUACCGAUUGACAAAGGGAAUUGUAUACGGGGUUGCUUGAAUCCUCGACAUCGUGGUUCAUCCGAUGAGAUCAUCAAGGAGCAUGUGGGAGCCAACAUGGGUAUCCAGAUCCUGUUGUUGGUUAUUGACCGGAGAGCCGUCUCGGUCAUGUCUACCUGUCUCCCGAACCAGUAGGGUCUACACACUUAAGGUUCGGUGAUGCUAGGGUUGUAAAGAUAUUAGUAUGCAGCAAACCGAAAGUUGUUCGGAGUCCCGGAUGAGAUCCCGGACGUCACGAGGAGUUCUGAAAUGGUCCGAAGGUAAAGAACUAUAUAUGGGAAGUCGAGUUUCGGCCAUCGGGAAAGUUUCGGGGGUCACCGGUAUUGUACCGGGACCACCGGAAGGGUCCCGGGGGUCCACCGGUUGGGGCCACCAAUCCCGGAGGGGCCCGUGGGCUGAAGUGGGGAGGGGAACCAGCCCCUGGUGGGCUGGUGCACCCCCACCCCCUUGGUGCGAUCUACAAGGGUAUGUAGAUGCACUCCCCUCUCUCGUUGCUACAUGAACUCAUAGAUUGAUCUUGGUGAACGUAGAAAUUUUUUUAUUUUAUGCAACGUUCCCCAACAUCCACUUUAUUCAUACACAUACACAUUUUUGCUUUUGUCAUCAUAUUUAGGAUAAACACAUUUGGAAUUUCAUUUGAAUUGGACCGUAUGAUGGUAUUUACUUGUAGUAGCUCACUGAUCCAUAUUUGAAUUGAAUGGACAAUCUAAGUUUCGAGUUGGAGACAUUGAUUUUCAAAACUUGCACUUUUUUGCGUGCAAAACAAACAAAUUGUCGGCCAUGAUAUUAUAGUCGGCCAUACAAGAGCAGAACACUUAUAAUUUUAGGUGCCAAAAGCUUUCAAACUUCCCGCUCACAUCGAAAUAUCACGCGCCCGAAAGUUUAGCCCUGCUAUAUUCCUGUUUUACCGCUGCCACAUGAACGGAAAAGGGCUGCUUUGGUAACUCCAUUGUUUUCCCCUCUUUGCCCCCAAUAUUCUUCCCCGGAGCCCCUCCCCUUCCCCUCCCCGACCCCCCAACCACGGCAAGCCGCCGAAUCUAGUCCUCCACCGCAGCGGUGGACCUCACACCCCGCCGGAUCUACCUUCCGCACCUUGGAACCCCCAACUGCCAACUCACCACUUCACCGGAGCCGCUUGAGUGACUGGCUUGUCCACCGCUCCAGAUCUCCUUGACCGCCAUCAUGGUCCACCACACUGGAUCUGCUUAACCGGCGCCCUCAUCCACCACAGUGUAGGCUCUUCACUGACUCCCUCGUCCGCCCCUUCGCUGGCCCUUCAUACAAGCCCUCGUCCGUCGCAACAGAUCCGCCUCAUCGAAAGCACUGUACAACGCGCCCGCCGAAGCCUUCGUCCACUGCAUCGGACCCGCUCCACGGACGCCAUAUUCAACUCCACCGGCCCUGCUUUAUCGACGCCGCAGCCUCAUCAGGUUAUUUCGUUUUGUACUCCUUCGGUUUUUCUCUUUAUCAUGCAAUUGUUCACUUACCACAGAUGAGCUUUCUUGUAUGUUGACAGGCGCCGCAACCGUAGCACCAAAGCCGCUUCAGCAACGGCGACAGCCAGCCCAAACUCAACCGCAACACGAGCACCAUCGACGAUCCUUAGCUAUCAAGUAUGACAACGAUACCCAUACGCCGCUGAGAAUCAGGUACUAUUAUCCAACGAUCGGCGCCUACGUUCACUUUCCUAGCAUAAGCACCGCACCUUUGAAUUUCUUCAGGGCAUCAUUCAGUUUUUCAUGAGACGCGUUAUUCUGCUUGCACCUGUAGGGCCAUACUUCUGGCAGUGAACAUGUUACAUGUGCUAAAAUUACAUACCAGUGCACAUAUAGUUAAUAUGAUUUAGUUUUGUCCUAAGUACUCCCUUCGUUCCAAAAUAGAUGACCCAACUUUGUACUAACUUUGUACUGAAGUUAGUACAAAGUUGAGUCAUCUAUUUUGGAUACAAAGUUAGUACAAAGUUGAGUCAUCUAUUUUGGAACGGAGGGAGUAUUACUGUACUUCCUAGAUAUCACUGCCUACUAUUUUACUUCUUGAAUGCUAUAUUUAUGAUAAUGGUGUUGUUUUGAUGCCACCUGUUGGUUCCAUCAGACUGCUUAAUGUUCUCUAUGCUUAAUUACACAUCAGCAAACUAGCAUGUGGUUCCGCUGCUUUUUGUUUGUUUUACCCUACAUUUUAUGAUGCUAGCUAUUACAUCACUGCUCCGAGCCUCUGUUCAUUACUUGUUUGUGUGUUCUUGAUCUUCCCAAGUUGCAUGACUAAUUUGAUUCUUCUAUUAAUUAUGGAGCUGCCAACCCCAUCAAGCAAAAUACUUGUUCUUUUGGGGCUGGCACCUCGAACAAGCAUAAAAAUAGAGGGAAGCAGAUAUAUUGUCGUGUAUGCACACACCCUUCUUUCAUUAGUUUAGAUGAACCAUUGAUGAUCAAUUCGGACCAGUGCAUGCGAUUAAAAUUAAUGUUACCUAAAUAGAUGGUGCAGAAUAAACUACAACAACUAGAUUUGCAACCACGAGAUGCUGACGAUAUCUUCAAAGAACAUUGCAACAACAGCGAGGCUUCACAGCAACAUAUGGUAAGCCAGUGUGUUUUAGUACAUGUGAAAUGUAAUGCGAGUGCGCUGCUUUCUUGGCUUGUGCCCUCAACCUGUAAUCCUACCGAAAUACAAAUAGUUCAGUUGUCUGCUUUGCUGUAUUGCUUGAUUCGAAUGCUUGUUUGUUGUUACGCUAUACCUGAGUUGGCCAAUAUGUCAGCAGUGCCUGUUGUACUAUCGUAAAGAAAUGCAUGUCUAUUUCAUUUGAGUCCUUAACUUUUCCUCUCAACUUCAUCACAAUACUGUCUUCGUAGUUUAUAUGAGGCCACACUAUUAAGUGCUUUCUCAGAUUAUUUCAACUGCUUAGAUGCCUUGGCAACUUAAAUAUAGCGGUGGUACACUCCCUUUCAACUAGGGAUGUCAACUAGGUCCCGUUUAAUCCCGAUUAAAGUCCACUAGUGGUAUGAUAGUUCAAAAGAGUUUUUUGUUUUUUGAGGAAAAUGAACUAGGGAGCUAACAAAAACUAACUAGAUGGGACUGGCGGAUGCCGUUUAUUUGCCACUUACAUCCCUAGUUUUUCUUUUCAGCUGAUGCUGCUUCGAACCAUUUAAAUAUAGCUUGCCAUGCUCGGCAAUAAUUCAUCUGUCGUUUACCAUGUAAGCUUACUGCCUGGAUCAUAUGAUAACUAUCUCUUACGUAUGUCCAGCGGAAACCUUUCAAGAUGUCGUUCACACUAGGACACAAUGUACACCCCAGAAUCUAUUUGUAGAAGCAGUGCGCCAUCCAUGUUACCAGAUGGUAGCAGUUCAGAGGUAACACCGCCGGAGAGCAGUCUGAGCAUAGAUAUUAUAGUGCUUGAGGCUCUACUAGAGGCAGAAAGAGAUGGUGUGGCUGCCAUGAAUGAGGUAAUCUUUAUCUUGAGGCUGGAAAUUACGGAAUUAGCGGCACGCAUUAUGCAAGCAACUCAAGAAUUGGACGAAGUAAGAAUGUUGCAUUUGAAGACGGAGGAGGUCCUGCUGUUUCUGCUAUCUAAAGCCCAGGGUAAUCCCGGUUAUUCUUUAGAUACCAGUUGAAAUUGUCAUUAGAUUAUUGUACUUGCAUGUUGUGUCAUGUCUCUGAAUGGAUUAUGUUGCAAGACCCCCUAUGUUGUCCAUGUGUUGUAAUGAUCCGAAUUUUUUGGGCGAGGUAAUCCUCAGUACUUGUAUGAUUAACAUAAGGUGAACUAUUUUUUGUGUGAGCAUAUUGUAUUGGAUGAAAUAAAUAUUUGACUCAGAGCGUAUCCAACAUACUGAUUCGAAGAUCGCGGCAUUUCUAAAUCAUAAUCAUAUAUAAAGGUGGAAUAAAUCUUUGUUGUGGUUUUGAAGAAAUAAAUAACAAAACGUAGAAUUAUCUGUGGAUAUUUGUAAUUGAAUACAAAUUGGAUUUGAAUUUAGUUUGCCAGGGCCCAAGGCAAACGUGAAUGCUAAUUCUCCCAAGUUUUGAACGGAGCGGCUAAACACCCACUAUAAUUGGUGGGCUGCCCGAAGCAAGUGUUGUGAGAUGGAAAUUAUUGUCUACCCCUGACACUUGACAUCCUUAUCGACCGGAUUUACACUGUUGUCGAUAGGGGUAAACUAGUAACUCCAAUCAGACAUGACACGACGGCCUCCGAGCCCAUUCAGACACGGUGGGCGCCAAAAGUGGGCUGCAAAACACAUUUGAUUCAAGCUCGUCCGAGAGACAUGUGUCCCUUCCUCUAUUUCCCCAUUCAUACACGGUGGGCGGCAAAACAAACUCUCCUCAUCCGAAAUUGAUGUAGGCUAAUAUUUUAAAUAGGGGCAAAUGUGUAACUUCCCUCAGACGUGACACAACCGCCCUACCUGUCAGCCCCGUUCAUACACUGUGGGCGCCAACCGUGGGAAGCAAAACGCUCUCUCCUCGCCCGAAAUAGUUACCGGCAAAUAUUUGGGAGAUGCGAGAUUACCGUCCUAUCCCCAACCGACGCGAUGUCUGAAAUUUUAAACGGGGAAUAAAUUUGUAACUUUCCCACAUUUCAGAGAAGCGUGUCCCAAAGUUUGAGAUCCCUCCCCCCUCCAUUUCCCCAUUCAUACACCAUCGGCGGUACGACAACCUCCGCACUGCAGCCAGCCUCCUCCGUCCUCCAUCCCAUCCUCCACCUUGCCGGAGCCGCUACCCCUACCCCGUCGUCCACUGCAAGAGAUGCACGUCUCUCAUCCACGGCGCUGGGCCAGGAUCCUUUCAUCGCCUCCUCUCGCUUCAUCGACGCCGUCGUCCACCUUGCCGUUGCCACUCCUACGACCGCCUCGUCCACAGCAACAGGAUUUAUCCCCUGACCCGGCUAUCUGCCAUCUAAAGUCUUCUUCCCGGCCGCCGAAAGCCAUCGCACCCGCAGCACCCUCAAUGUAUCAGCAUAGGCCUACACGGCGUCGCAAGAGAUGUGGUACUCUUCCAUAUGUGCUUAAGUUAUUGAUCUCACCCGGAAAAUAGAUCGUAUUUGUUUACUGUACUUUUCUUGUCCAUACCAAAUCAUAGUGGCUAGUUGAAAGCAAACAUUGGUUGCGAAGUAGCUUUGUCCGGUUUGCACCUUCAGAUCUGCCAUGGCACGGGCACUAUACUCGUAAAGCUUAUGGUUUCCCCCCUUUAUAUUCAUUACCAUCAUCGUAGGUGCUUCGUGUCGUGCUAGCACUGCUCCUCAAGACCUCAACCCAAAGCUUAUGUGUUGAAAUACGAAUCUGAUAUGAUGCUCAUAUCACUAAAACAGAGAAUGUUUAAUUGGUCACCUAAUGUUCCUAUAUUUGUUUCGAAAAGCAUGUGCGCCACCCACUGGUCCAGCUAGUUCCACUUUCCUGAUUUUUCUCCUGAUGCUUAGGGUUUUCCCCUUUUAUCUACUCUACUAUGAUCUGCGUAGGUGCUUUCUGUCGUACUAGCAUUACUCCACCCUUCAAGCUAAACAACACAACACUCAGAAUUCGAAAGCUUAGUUGUUCAAAUAUGAUUGUGAUAUGAUACUGAUAUUAGUUAACCAACACAUUUAAUUAGUUAGCUAAAGGUCCCACUUGAGUUUCCAAAUGCAUGUCGCGACAUAUAGAGAGACAUCAUAAUUGCAUUUCUUUGUCACUUGUUGACCGUAGUUUCUUGUCCAUACCAAAUCUUAGUUGUUAUUUCAAAGCAAACAUCGGUUGCUAACUACCCUUUGCGCGAUUUGCAGCUUCAGAUCUGCCAUCCCACUGCCACGGUCAACACUGUACUCAUCAUGCUUAUGGUUUCCCCAUUUUAUGAUGACCACAAUCAGCCUACGUGGUUCGUGUCGUAAUAGCACUGCUCCACCCAUCGAGCUAAACAAGCUUAGUUGUACAAAUUCAUAUAUGAUAUUAUUGCUGAUAUUAGUAAAACUGAGAGAUGUUUAAUUGGUUAGCUCAAUGUUCCUACUUUAGUUUCGAAAUGCAUGUGAGCCACAUAUGGAGAGACCGGAAAGAAUAGUAUUUCUCUAUGCGCUCUGGUUCAUCAUGGGUGGCCAACCGACAUUGUAUUGAAAGACUUGUAAUAUCUUCAAUCUGCUUGCUCUUCUGCUCUUCUUUAGGAUGAUCCUCUUCUCUUGCGGUCGACUGGUCAGGUCAAGCUGUUCUCCUUUAGUAUAUUUUGAAUCUAUCAGGUCAUGUCGACUUGUUCUUCUUUACUAUAAGUUGAAGUUAUCAUCUGCGAAGUGUCAUCACUUCUGGAUCUCUCAUAUUUUGAGUAGUAGGCCACAUUAUAUUAAUGCACACACCAAAUUACAGCAUGCAUGGCAUCUCUUAAAAGAAUUGUAGAGAUAGCACAAAGGGGUUUACAGGGAGGCAGUAUUGGAUUAGAAUCACUUCUGCAUUACAAAGAAAAUCUCACUUGUUUUUAUGUUUUCAUGCAUGUCAGAUAUUGAACAUUGUCAAAAUGAAUAUGAGAAUGGGUGCACGAGAGGAAUAUGGCGGAACAAUCCACUGGCUAACAAACUUGGCAUGGUGGAGGAUGGCCUAUCUUAUUCACCCAUCAAGGUGCUUGCUCUAACUUUGCAAAGUUGUAUAGGUCGCACAUAUUUUGCAUCUGACCUCUUGCAUUACCUCUACUUUGUUACACCAUCUGCUUAGUUUAAGCACCAUAUAUGAGUAUAUGCCAUACCUAUCCAUUUUCUGUACCUAUUCCAUGUGUCAUCACACUAUGUUUUUCUAGUCAAAUGUUGUUCUUUCGUAAUAGAUGUCCAAAAGGAAGAGGGUGAGUGCAGAUCCUCAGGGAGUACAAACUAGGUAUUUGGAAAAGGUACUGAUACCUAUUAAAUCAGAUAGAUCAGCAGCCACAGAAAACACAUGCCCAACUGUACCACACUUUACCCCUACUCCAGUGGCCAAACCCCUAUUAGAACCGCUGAGAGCCCAGCGUCAGGUACUGUCUAUGAUAUCAAAUCAAAAUUUUAACUCCUAAAUUUCUGCAUGUGCCUUACCUUCUCUCUUGUAUGAAAACUAAUUUCAGAUGAAUCUCCUUGCUCAAAUGACCAUACGAUCUCACAACCAUAUUGGGCUCUGCAUUGCUCUUGUCAGUACCUCUCUCCCUUUUGCCUUGUAACAUUGUACUUAAUUAAUUGCUAUUUGAUUAUGUAUCAUCAGUCUGCACCUGAGCUUCAAUAUCCUCUGUUUCUUCCAAUAUUAUUUGAUCUAUAUUUACUCUUUGCAAAAUGUAGAAUAAUGGCAACGCUUAUAAAGAAUUUUCUUUGGGGAAUUUAUUGAAUUAUCCUUCCAUCAACAUGGAGAAGGACUCUGUCCAGCCCGUGUUAACAUGUAAUGUAAGUUCAUCCUUCUCAAGCCUUCAAACUUUGUUCUAGUAUAGAUUUGGAUAGGCAUCAUUUCCUCCACUGAUGUUUGCUUUGCUGUUUACAUCUGAUUGGAUGUUUGCAACAACUACCAGUUUCAAAUUGUAGUUGUAAAAACAUGUUCGUUAUGCAGAACAGAUCCAUUUAUUUGCUUAUAUAAUUGUGAAAUAUGUUACGUGUCUCCUUGUUUCUCUUUCAGAGUCGUAUCUCUUAUGCCAGGCAGAACUUUAGGGAAGAUAGUGAGCCAAACCAUCUUGAGGACAGCGAGAUGACCCCAAGGUCCUGUCUUGAUGAAGACAAUGAGUUGAAGCUACUCACCAGCAGGUGUGAGACAACCUCUGUGCAGUCGCUGCCUCAAUCAGUUUGACUUCUUCAGUCUCAACUUAAAGCGGAAAGGCUUGUUUCAGCUCAGCUCCGACUUGAAGUCAAAGAUGCAAUGAAGAUGUCAGAGGACUGCCGUGCGCACCAUUAUGCCAUACAUCUACUGUUGAUGCAUCUAUCGUUGACACAACUGAGGUCUACUCAGCUUCUUCGGCUGUUUGGGGGGGGGGACCUGGCCAGGCCUAGUGCCUUCUGAAGUGCUCUCAGUUUUGUAUAUUCUUUUGUCGGUGCGUUUAUUUGCACUGGUGGCAAACUUUGAUGCCCAUUGGAUGUAAUAUGUGUGAUAGCCAUGAUAGCCUAGCGUAAGUUGCUUGCUUAUUUAUUUCCUUGUUGUCUUGUUUAUUUGUUUACUUGUAGUCAUUGCAGUUCUUUUUCUGCGGUUUGCUAGUGGCUGCAAUAACCUAUUUUUUAAAACUAGGCCAUAAUAACCAUGGGCUAAUAUUUACUGUAGUGACACUGGGCCUCCUACGGGCCAUAGAAAUAGUGGGCCUUCUACGGGCCAUAGAAACAAUGGGUAUUCUAUGGGUCGUAGAAACAAUGGGCCUUCUAUGGGGCAUAUCAUCCAUGGGCCUUAUAUGGGCCGUAUGAUUGAUUGGCCAAACAUGGGCCAAUAACAGACCGCAUUAUGGCCGUAAACGGGCUAGAGUUGGAAUCGUCCGUUCAUGGGCCGACCAUAACGUGCCAUCGUUAAUAGGUCGGAUUUGAUGACGCUAUGAAAACGGUCCAACGUAUUAACGGACCACAAACGGGCCGACUGUAACCACGGGCUUAAUUUGGCCCACACGCAGAAAAUGACAGUAACAGGCCGUAAGUAAACGAAUGCUGGAAAUGAGCCCAAGAAUAAAUGGGCUCUGAGAAGGCCGAAAGAUAACAUGGGCUGGAAACGGCCCAACGAAAUAACGGGUCGUUAAUGUGUAUAAAGUGAUACACUGUUCAUUAUGGGCCAGUUUCACCAUGGGCCGUUAAUGGGUGUAAAGUGAUACACUGUUCAUUACGGGCCAGUUUCACCACGGGUCGUUAAUGGGCCAAGAGUUACAAAGGGCCUCAUAUGGGCCGAAAGACUUCAUGGGCCAUACAUGGGCUAGAAGUGAAAACGGGCUGGAAUCAUAUUGGAUGGCCCAGAUGACGCUACUGGGCCUAAUUCAGAUAGUGCGUAACGGGCCUUGGGUUAGCGGGCUGUAAAUGGGCUAUAUGUGAACAAGCCGUCAACAGGCUUUCCAUGGGCCGGCCCGCCACCUUUUGACCAAGUCAAACGGGCCGGCCUUUUCACAGGAAUGGGCCUCUAUUGGGCCGUGCCAUGUGUCGAUGUAUCAUAGGCGCCUUCUGUCCAAUGAGUGGAUGACAUCUGUCCCACCGAUGAGCCGACACGUGUUUCCUCCAGCCAAUGAUGAUUUUACACGUGGAAAAUCCCCAUUGGUAGGGGAUGUUAAUGGGUUAUCGGAUCCAAAACCCGACCCGAUAGCUUAACGACGUUCCGUUACGGUGGAUGCCACGUGUCGGUCACCCUUGACGAAAGCACUUCUGUGACGCGCGAUUUAUCGUCAUGGAAGUGGACACUUCCGUGAUGAUAAUUUUGGUAAUGUCAUGGAACACUUCUAUGACUGCACAGGUAUGACUAUCUUGAUUCUGUCAUAAAAUCGUCAUGGAUGUACAUGCAUGACAAAAAAUGUGACCUACUAUGACAAACACGUAUCAUCACGGAAGUGUAUUUUUUUAGUGUUGGAGGGGCAACAAGGAUGAUGUAGAAGCCCUUCGUGAUCGAUUCCCCCUCCGACAGAGUAUCGGAGAAGGCCUCCCUAUGGGAUCGCGGAAGAACAAAGGCUUGCAGCAGCGGAAAAAGUGUUUCGGGUGGCUCUCUGGUGUAUCGGGAAUAUUUGGGAAAUUAUAGAGCUAGAAUUAGGUUAAGAAGUGCCACGGGGGCACCAGGGUGCGCCACCCCCCUCUAGCGCACCCUGGUGGGUAGUGGGGCCCACUAGGCUCCACUGGCGCUAAUCUGGAUACUAUAAAUUCCUAUUUCCCGAGAAAAAAAGGAGAGAAAUUGUCAUCGUGUUUGACAAUACAGAGCCGCCACCACCUCAUGCUCUUCCUCGAGAGGCCGGAUCUGGAGUUCGUUCUAGGUUCCGGAGAGGGGGAUUCGCCGCCAUCAUCAUCAUCAACCACCCUCCCUCACCAAUUUAAUGAUGCUCACUGCCGGGAGUGGUUAAUGUCUUCGUAGGCUUGUUGAAUGGUGAUGGGUUGGAUGAGAUUUAUCAUGUAAUUGAGUUAGUUUUGUUAGGGCUUGAUCCCUAGUAUCCACUAUCUUCUGAUAUUGAUGUUGAUAUGACUUUACUAUGCUUAAUGCUUGUCAAUAGGGUCGAGUGUCAUGAUUUCAGAUCUGAACCAUUUAUGUUUUAAUGAAUAUAUUUGAGUUUUUGAUCCUAUCUGCAAGUUAUAUGCACUUGUUAUUGUUCUGAACCGUAGACCCCAAGGUGACAAUAAUUGGGAUACUCUCCGGGAUGACUGUAAUUUGAGGGGUUCAUGUAUUCACCAUGUGUUAAUGCUUUAUUUCGGUUCUCUAUUAAAAUGAGCACCUUAAUUACCCUUAGAUUUCCAUUAGGACCCCACUGCCACGGGAGGGUAGAACAAAAAAUGUUAUGCAAGUUCUUAUUAUAAGUAUGCAUAACUAAACAGAUUACAUGCCUGUAUUUAAUUGAUGAAUUUGAGCUAUUGUGUAUCGAUCUAGGUUGUGACUCUUACAUGAUGAAUCUCAUCCAAAUAUCCAUCGUUACUCUAUGCCUACGCUUUGCUCAUAUUGUUUUUGCUAAGUUACUACUAUCGUUGGUACUAUUCCAACUACUACAAAACUAAACUUCUACUGUCACUCUUACUAUUACUAUUCCUACUGUUACCGCUACUAUGUAUCAAACUAUCAUACUAUUGUGCUAUGAAUAAUUAGCUACAGAGAAAUAACUUCUCGGGUGUGGUUGAAUUAACAACUUGAUUACUAAGACUUAUAAAUAUUCUUUGGCUCCCCUUGUGUCGAAUCAAUAAAUUGGGUGAAAUACUACCCUUGAAGACUGUUGCGAUCCAUCAAUUCCUCACCAAAGACUCCUACUGCCUAGGAGUUUUCAACCUCCAAGAGUAACGAGAUCAAGAGAGAAAUGCUCAAGACUUAUUCAAAUCACAAAUUGCUUACAAUUAAGGGAAUGAUUGCACUUUCACGGGUCAUCAACCUUGUCACAAAUAGACUGCCAGAAUAACAUGCUCAUCAUAUCAUUGAAAGUAUAUAUAUUGGUGGUGAAACCAAUCUUCUGGGCCUUUUUAGGAUAACAAUUGAUGAUGCUGACAGACAAAUCGGUAGCACCUACAUCAUGGAUAUUAAUUCCAUUGUUGGCAUGAUGACCCUUGUACUCAGUGUACCCAAGAGCUUGGGCAAGAAGAGAUAGUGGUUGCUUCUUGACCAAAAUGGGGCCGCUCAUCCAAGACAUACAAACGCACAAGAGAAGAAAUAAAUGGGAUGAGUGUGGGUAUGGUAGUUCAACGGUGUGGACUGAAACACAACGGCAUUGGAUCUACUUCACCAAGAGGGUGAGGGCAUGGGCGGCGUCGCUGCUAAUGGCGUUGGCACGGAUGGCUCCUAAAGUCGUUGAAUUUCAGUUCAGGAUUGGAGAUUAUUCAUUUAAAGGUUGAAUACAUGUUCUCUUGUAACCAUCUAAUGGCCCAACUCAUCUCAAUUAGUGCUACGGCAAAAAGGGAAGCAACUAAUUAACAAGCGCUCCGUCGGAAGCCUAGCAACGAUCAGCGCCACUUGGCGCACUCUCAGCCAUUCACCACGUGUCGCGCUCUGGGCGCUUCCUCCGGAUUUUAUUUUUUUAUUUUUUUUUUGCACGCGUUUUUGGCUUUUUAAACGAUUUUAUUUUUUGUUUUUUGACGUUUUGGUUUUCCAUCGGUCUUCCCUAGCUUUUCGACAAAAAAAAACUGUGUAAAAAAACACAUUUUUUCGCGAGAGUCACGGUUUUGUUUUCGCGAGAGGCACGGCCGUGCCUCUUGGAAACGGAAAAACGCGUUUUCUGUUUUUUUUCCUUUCGCGAGAUGCACGGUUUUGCUUCCGCGAGAGGCACGGUUGUGCUUUCGCGAGAGACACGGCCGUGCCUCUUGGAAACGAAAAAACACGUUUUCUGAUUUUUUUUCUUUCGCGAGAGACAUGGUUUUGCUUCCACGGGAGGCACAGUUGUGCUUUUGCGAGAGUCACGGCCGUGCCUCCUCGGAAACGGAAAAAAACGCAUUUUCUGUUUUUUUUCUUUCGCGAGAGGCACGGUUUUGCUUUCGCGAGAGGCACGGGCGUGCCUCUUUCGGAAAGGGAAAAAACUCGUGCUCCCGGAUCGGUUUUUCGUCCGAUUUUUUUCGUCCGAUUUUUUUUGUGAAAAAAAAGUUCGUCAAACCUAUCAACAUGGGAUCUAUUUUUGAAGAUUUCGAUGCAAGGAAUCCAACGGCGAAAGCGGUUCGAGAUUUGGAUGCACGGUUUAAGAGAUAAAACAUUUUGAAUAAACGGAUCUUGCCCGAAAUCAUUAAUUAAGGAGUACUCCUUGCGCAGAUCACUCCAACUUACCCAGGUUGCGCCACUUGUCGCAACCUGAGAGUUUUUCCUUUUUUCGUAGAUCCGUUUAUUCAAAACGUUUUAUCUCUCAUUACCAUAACAAUGAUGUCCCUCAUUACAACAGAAGCAAAGGAUCCUUUUGGUAGAAAGAUUGCAUGAAAAUGUAUGACCUUUUCAAGGAAAUGACUACUUGUGAUAUCAAAUCUGGUUGCACUAAUCUGCUAUGGAAUGACAUAUGGAAUGGUGAUAUUAAGAAAAUUAAAUACCCUGAGCUUCACUCUUUUACCCAAAAGGAAAGCAUAUCAAUCAAAGAAGCCAAAGAACUGGAUAACCUUUACAGCCUGUUCCAACUUCCAUUUUCCAUUCAAGCCCACCAACAAUUCCACUUACUAUCAGGAGAAAUAAACAAUAUCAGAAACUCAGAUGAUAAGGACACAUGGACCUUCAACUGGGGUAACAAUAAGAACAUUACAAAGAAGAUCUAUGGAUACCUUAUGAAUGGUGAAGAUGCAGCUGCCACCUUUAAAUGGAUAUGGAAAUCAUGUUGUCUUCCAAGACACAAAUUUUUCCGUUGGCUCAUGCUAAAUGACAGAAUAAAUACAUGCGAUCUUUUGAUCAGAAAAAGCAUGCACCUGGAUUCCACUGUAUGUAUUCUAUGCAACAAUGAAGACUAUGAAGACAUGACUCAUCUUCUAUUCACUUGUCCAUUUAGCCAAGGGUUCUGGUGGAACAUUGGAUUUAAAUGGAAUUUGGAUAUGGAGAUCAACAAUAUGAUUAUUGAUGCUAAACAUAGAUAUAAAAUUGACCACUUCAUGGAAAUCAUGAUUCUUGGAUGCUGGAGCAUAUGGAACCAAAGGAAUGGGAUGUUUUUUGAAGGGAUACCUUGCUCAAUAAAUGAUUGCAAGAUUGCCUUUGUCAGAUAUUUCAAAAUGACCAUACUGAGGGCUAAACCCACUCUAAAAGAGGACAUGUCUUCAUGGAUAGACAAUAUUUAAUUUUUCAAUAAUUUCCUUACUUUCCUCCCCCUGGAUUGUACCUACUUGGNNNNNNNNNNNNNNNNNNNNNNNNNNNNNNNNNNNNNNNNNNNNNNNNNNNNNNNNNNNNNNNNNNNNNNNNNNNNNNNNNNNNNNNNNNNNNNNNNNNNNNNNNNNNNNNNNNNNNNNNNNNNNNNNNNNNNNNNNNNNNNNNNNNNNNNNNNNNNNNNNNNNNNNNNNNNNNNNNNNNNNNNNNNNNNNNNNNNNNNNNNNNNNNNNNNNNNNNNNNNNNNNNNNNNNNNNNNNNNNNNNNNNNNNNNNNNNNNNNNNGGGGACUUACCCUACUGUUCUUUGGUCAAAAAAAAACCUUUUAUCUCUUAAACCGUGCGUCCAAAUCUCGAACCGCUUUCGCCGUUGGAUUCCUCGCGUCGAGAUUUUCAAAACUAGAUCCCAUGUUGAUAGGUUUUGAUGAACUUUUUUUCACGAAAAAAAUCGGAAGAAAAAAUCAAACCGAGAGCAUGGAUUUUUUUCCUUUCCGAAAGAGGCACAACCGUGCCUCUCGUGGAAGCAAAACCGUGCCUCUUGCGAAAGAAAAAAAAACAGAAAACGCAUUUUUUUUCGUUUCCAAGAGGCAUGGUUGUGCCUCCCGCGAAAGCACAACCGCACGCCUCUCGCAAAAACAAAACCUUGACUCUCACAAAAAAAUACGUUUUUUGCGCAAAAGAAUUUUUUUUCCAAAAAAAAAAAUUGGUCAAAAAACUAGGGAAGGCCGGUGGAAAACCAAAACGUAAAAAAAACGUUUAAAAAGCCAAAAACACGUGCGAAAAAAUAAAAAAAAAUCAUGAGGGAGCGCCCAGAGCGCGACACGUGGUGAAUGGCUGAGAGCGCGUCAAGUGACGCUGAUCGUUGCGAGGCUCCCGAAGGAGCGCUCAUUAAUUAGUUGCACCCUAAAAAGUAUUGUUUCAAAGUCUUUUGGGAAAGGGUGGGGGUGGGGCUGUACCGAGGCAAAGCCCUGAUCAUUGGCCCAUUCAUUGUUGUGCUUCAGACGGCAUUUUUUUUUGUUGCCUCCUCGUAUUCAUUCGAAGAUUGGGGGGAAACGGUGUUAGCAUCCCCUCCAAGCGGUUUCUCUCUUUAUACACACACCACUAUAAUAUACGACGUACAUAUGUUAGUUUACAUAAUGUGCAUAGUACGCAUACAUUUGGUAAAUAAUAUACUCUACAUUGUGGACGACACAAAUCAAAUGAAUAUGCCACACAUAAUUCCCAGAACUGCAAGCUGCUGUGUACGCGACGACAUAUAAUCCACUAACAGCUGGUUACACUAUGAGCUGGCAGCAAGGAAAAGCUAACCCUCACACAGGGUUAGGGGUAAAGAGGACAAGAGACGAAGCAAUGGGUCGUUGCAGGAUACAAGAAGCUUCUAUAGUGCACCCAUGCAUUCCGUCAUGCUAGUGUACGAAGGAAUAAAAGAUGAGUGCUAGAGAUAACUUUAAAGAAGUGAAUAUUGGUUGGUCGGUCUACUAAAUAAAUAAACUGACGAUGUGGACAAUUUUCGAAUCAGGAAUAGAAGCUCUUUUUGCCCAGCAUCAUCAUCAUGCCUAAAUUUGAUAGUGCAAUCAUGAUGCUCAUAAACGAAUUAUUCGUUAGCCAUGUGGUAGACCAUGACCACUCUGUUUGACGCAGUGCAUUAGCAAUGAACACUCGUUAGCCAUGGAACUACUCCUAGACCUUGUCACAGAUUGGCAAUCACAGUUUGUUUAUAAUCACAAACGAGCCAUCACUUGUAAAACUGUUUACAAGUGUCAUCUUGAGUGGCAACUGAUUCCAACGAGCCAUUGCAUUUGGAGGAUCAAGAUGAAAAAACAGUAGGCCACCAACCAUAGUGGUGGCCAACUGGUUUUGAAAGAAAAACACCAUAGUCUGUCGCUGUGCGUUUCGUCAGUCCAGAUGUUUGCCGGCAGAUGCCCUAAGCAGUAAAAGAGGACAGUGCAUAUGUUCAAAAAAUAUAAUCUUACAACACAAAGCUUAGCAUGUACAUUUUGAAAAUCAGAUCUUGCACAAAGAGGACAUCCAGACAAAUUUUAUCGACGGCUUCUCUGCAAGUUAAACUGUCAAAAUUUCAGGCAAAUGAUGAUGAUUGCCCACAAAAUUUGAGGCACCACAACAUAUGAUGAGAGGUAGUUAACAUAUGUGCAUGUCAUAAUUUCUCACGAGAAUUUAAAAGACUCUGGUCAAGUUGUGGGGUCUGACCAGGCAAGGCAAGCCUACAAGAACAGAUAUAUAUCACAGUACAAUGUUCCCUCUAUCAUUGUCCAGAAGGAGAGCACCAUGUGCUUCAUAUUGUCCAGUAGUUUAAGCAGUUCCUUGUGCAUGAAAUGGCUUUCUGCAAUCAGGAAAAGACAAUAGUUUGGGAAACCACGUCUUGGCAAACUGAUACUGUAAAAUUGCAAAAAUAAACAGGACAGAUGAAACACUUCAUCAAGCAAUAUAUGACAAACUGGACAGAUGAAACACUUCAUCAAGCAAUAUAUACAACAUUAAGCAAGGAAAAUACAAGCUCCAGUAAACCUCAGGUUUGACGAGUACACAAUAUAUACAACAUUAAGCAAGAAAAAUAAACUGAUUUUUGUUUUACACAAUGCCUCAGGUUUGUCGAUUGCUGUCAUUUUCUCAAGAGGUUCUCCCUUUAACAGGGGCUCGAGCAUCCAUUUUGCAGACAGGAACAUCAUUGGCAAAACCAUAAGUAAUUCAGAUGUGAUGCAACACAGUUCACGAAAGGUGCGGAAAAAAUGUAUCAACAAAUAGAACAGGGCACUCCAUUUGUUUUGCAUCACAUCCCCAACUAGUGUGGAAUCUGUUAAAGACAGGAAGAUUGGGAAAAACCAUCAGCAGCAAAUAUUUUGACGUCAAUGUAAUUCAGUCCGCGUCAUGGUGGGAUCGCUCACAAGCAACCCUCGUCAUCCGGUUCCGUACGUUAUUCCUCCAAUCCGGGUUUCAACAAGACAGUAUUUUCCAAGGGCAAAAGCCGGAAACAUUUUCUGAAAAAACAUUUGAUGUCUGGCAAAAAUUGCAGAUAAACAAAUUUGAAAAUACAAGUAUGUAUCCUUGAGGCGGCUCAGAUGUAAAAUGGGUUGUAGUAAGUUUCUUUAUCAGCACAAAGAGAUAAAUCUCUUCAGAGUGGUGCAUGACUUUUCUCAUCAUAGCCAUUUGCUUCCACAGAGCAUCCAUUUUGCAGACAGAAUCAUCUUCGGAAAACCACAGAGCAUCCAUUUUGCAGACAGAAUCAUCUUCGGUAAACCAGAUACUGAGCACAUUCAAAAUAGAGGGGGUCGGAAAUAAGAACAAGAUAGGAAGGGGUAUUGGAAAGAGGACCCAUCAGCGGCAAAUGUAUCUGACCACAAUGUAAUUUCAGUCCGCAUCAUGGUAGGAUCGCUCAUAGGCAACCCUCAUCAUUUGGCUCUGUACAUUAUCCCUAAAAUCCAGUUAACCUUCAAGGCUUCUAUUUUCAAACUACAGUAUUUUCCUGAAGGCAAAGGCUGGAAACAGUUCCUAAAACACUAAUACACGUCUACGUCGAAAACAGCGGAUAAACAAAUCAGAAAAUACAAAAUAUGAAUCCAUGAGGUGGCUGGAUUUACAAUGGGUUGUAAAGUUAGUUUAUCAUCACAAAGAGAUAAAUCUCUUCAGAGUGGUCAAUGACUUUUCUCAUCGUAGCCUUUUGCUUCCACAGAGCAUCCAUUUUGCAGACAGAAUGAUCAAGCCAGAACAAAUAAUUCAGAUGCAACGCAACGAGGUUCACGAAGCCACCAAUAGGAAAAAAAGAACAUUCAAGAUACGGAGGAAUGAAAAGAUAUACAUCAUUUGACCUCAAUGUAAUUUCAGCCCGCUCACUCUUGGGCAACGCUAGUCGUCUGUUUCUGUACAUUACUCCCCCGAUCUAGUUAAUCUCAAGACUCAUGUUCAAAACUGAAGUAUUUUCCCAAUGGCUAAAUCUGAAAACAGUUUCUGAAAAAACACUAGACAUCUAUGGCAAGACAAAAAAUACAAAAGUAGGUCCCCAUGAGGUGGCUGAGAUGUAAAAUGGGUUUGUAAGUUUGCUUUAUCAGCACAAAGAGAUAAAUUUCUUCAGAGCGGUGGAUGACUUUUAUCAUCAUGGCCUUUUGCUUCACCAGGAAGAACAAUGUCAUGGAAUACAGCAGAUUUGUCGAUUGACGUUAUAAUACUAGGAAGCACAAUAUGGAAUACCUCAGAUUUGUCAUUUGAUGUCAUUUUACAUCUGCUUUCUCAAGAGGUUCUCCCUGAAACAGGGGAUUGAGUCCACAGAGCAUCUAUUUUGCAGACAGAAUCAUCAUCGGAAAACCACAGGUAAGGCAGUUGCUAAAUAAAUAAAUCAGCACCUGAAUUCAACAUUGCUACUAAAACCACUGGGCAAUAAGCAGCACAGUAUUAUCAUAUUACAUCUGCUUCAUCAAGAGGUUCUCCUUGAAUCCACAGAGCAUCCAUUUGCAGACAGAAUCCUCAUUGCCAAACAAAAUAAGCAAGCAUGAUGCAAAAAAAAGUAAGAUGAAGAUUAAAUUUUUCAGAACUCAAUUUAACAUACCCACUACAAUCAAAAGGCAAUGAGCAGAAAAGUUUUCAGAUAAGCACAAAGUUCAGACUAUGGAAGCAUAGCCAUAAACAGUUAAAUCUGUGCCACUAGACUGGGCAUCUUUCAGAAAGCACAAUCUCAAGAUGCCAAAGCUGAGGCACCCGGAGCACAAAUAAGGUCAGAACUAAUGAAUUUAAACAAUCUAAAGAUGCCAAAGCAGAGAGGCACCCGGAGCACAAAUAUAAGGUCAGAACUGAUGAAUUUAUGGUAGUGUAAAUUGAUAGAGUAUAAAACCACAUUUUGAUUCCGAAGCCUAGGAACAAACAAACCACUAUGCGCCUCUAUGACUGGGCAACUUUGAGAAAGGUCUACCUCAAGAAGCCAAAGGUGAGAGAGGCGCACACAUAAAAUCAAAUGGCUCCUAGCAAAAUUACUGUAAUAUAUGGCAGGAAACAAACUUAUCACAAAGAAAGUAUUAACCAUAGUAUGAUAGCAGAGUACUAGCAAAUGGGAAAGCAGGUUCUAGUACUAGCAUUCACCACAGGAAAACAAAACCACAAAUGGGAUAAGAGCACAAUAAUGGAAUCGAAAUAGAGUAUUUAAACGACACAUCAUAGCUCGCACACAGGUGCAGGAGUCAAAGUGCAAUAACGCCCAGGAACACUUAACAUACACUAAGAUUCUCCAAAAAAGACUUGACACUAAAACUUCUGCUAGAUAACUCGAUGGCAGACACCAGAGCACUCAUUUCUUCUUGAUGGCGGCCUUGGUAACCUUGGCACCGGUGGGGUCCUUCUUCUCCACGCCCUUGAUGACACCAACAGCAACCGUUUGUCUCAUGUCACGCACAGCGAAGCGGCCAAGAGGAGGGUAGGUGGCGAAGGUCUCCACAACCAUGGGCUUGGUGGGAAUCAUCUUCACGAUACCAGCGUCACCGUUCUUCAGGAACUUGGGCAGCGCCUCCAGCUCCUUACCAGAUCGCCUGUCGAUCUUGGUCACCAGCUCGGCGAACUUGACAGCAAUGUGGGAGGUGUGGCAGUCCAACACUGGGGCGUAGCCGUUGCCGAUCUGACCAGGGUGGUUCAUGAUGAUGACCUGGGAGGUGAAGUUGGCCGCUUCCUUGGCAGGGUCAUCCUUGGAGUUGGAUGCAACAAAGCCACGCUUCAGAUCCUUCACAGCAACGUUCUUGACGUUGAAGCCGACGUUGUCACCAGGAAGCGCCUCCAGGAGAGACUCGUGGUGCAUCUCAACAGACUUGACCUCAGUUGUCAGACCAGUGGGACCAAAGGUAACAACCAUACCAGGCUUGAUGACACCAGUCUCAACACGGCCAACAGGCACAGUUCCAAUGCCACCAAUCUUGUAAACGUCCUGAAGGGGAAGACGGAGGGGCUUGUCUGAGGGCCUCUUGGGCUCGUUGAUCUGGUCAAGAGCCUCAAGAAGGGUAGGGCCCUUGUACCAGUCAAGGUUGGUGGACCUCUCAAUCAUGUUGUCACCCUCAAACCCAGAGAUGGGGACAAAGGGAACCUUGUCAGGGUUGUAUCCGACCUUCUUCAGGUAGGAAGAGACUUCCUUGACAAUUUCCUCAUAACGGGCCUUCGAGUACUUGGGGGUGGUGGCAUCCAUCUGUAACAGAAAACAGAGAAAUCCAUCAGACUACAGCUCUGAACUAGCAA
rnacentral:lncRNA from 1 species